rnacentral:lncRNA from 1 species
ACGAUAACUUUGUACAUCUUGCAUUACUAGUUUUGAAACAUAGUCUUGGGAGAGCGGUACAAUAGAAGAUGAAUGUCGUACAGCACACCCCAUCAAUUUUAUCUACCAAGGAAACCAAAUUUAUGCGUGAGCAACAUUUGGCACAAAUGUUCAAUAUUAUUCCUACUGGCAAUCGAAUUGCUAUGACGGACAGUUCACUAUCAACACGAUAUAUAAGAACAGUUCACUAUCAACACGAUAUGUAAGAUAAGCAAUCAGCACACCAGGUGCGCUGACAAGGACCCCUAGCAGCUUUCUGAGCCUUGGUCACACCAUCACGGCCAUCUUUACCGCAGCAUUCUUUCCCAAAGCAAGCUGUCAUUUGCAGAGUGGAAAAUAAGUCAGCUUGAAACCGACGUUUUGGUUAACAAACUGGGAGAAAAUAAGAUUAUGUAUUGCGAUUUGAAAGGGCAUGAAUAAUUUACAAAACAAAGCUACACUUGUAUAAGCUGAAGCCCGAAAGGCUUACAGUGAAGUGCAUGAAUUCUACAGGAUGUUGAUAGCUCAAUUUAGAGAAACGGAAGCUCAUGUGCAAAUGUUGGGUCAAACCAUCAAAGGCCCGGCGUAAGCUGGCCGAAUUUGGGACUUACAAUCAGCCCACUCACUACAUGCUUUCAUCGAUUUUUACUCCUCACCCUGCAAAUCAGCCAGCGACUACCCUGCCCGAAUAGCUUCAUGCUCCAAAUUUUAUCUACCAGUGGCCUUUGAUCCAUAAACUGUCCUUUUCAGGGCAUGAAAGGUUCGUAACAUAACUCCUAGUAUUAAAAGCUAUUCCUUACCUCACCCAGUUCAUCAAUAUUGAUGUUCAAGAACUACUCCCUCCGUCCCAGUGUCUGAAGCUUAGUACAACUUAGCUCUAGUACAAAGUUGAGACAGUUAUUUUGGGACGGAGGGAGUAUAAUUUAAUUUAUGGUCCUUUCAGGAAAUGGACUUCCUUAUAAAAAACUUCCUAACAUAACUUCUAGUGUAAGAGUUGUUUCUCUCACCCAGUUCAUCAAUAUUGAUGUUCAUGAACUAUAAUUGCAAGUAAAAAAUCAUGCAUAGUGGCAGGAAGGACACAUAGUAAUAUCUGAUGUCAGGAAGUAGUAUAAUUUUGCAACUAAUAACAGGAACUACCUCAUUAUUGAUCACUUUCCAGAAACACAAUGCCAGGUGCAGCAAGCUCACCAUUUAACAUGCCCAUAAGGCAGCUCCAACCUGGUGUCCAUCUGCUCGUCAGGCUGGUUUGCAAGGAUAACGAAAUCGUCCUCCAAGUCCAUCUGGUCUUCCUCCUCGGGCUGAUUUGCAAUGAUAACAAAAUCGUCCUCCAGCUCUGAAUCCUCAUCCUCAUACUCCAAGCUCCCGGUUGGUACCUUGCUCUGCUCACCCUCAUCAUCCGAGGUCCCAUCAUCUUCAUCCUCCGAGGUCCCAUCAUCUUCAUCCUCCGAGGUCCCAUCAUCUUCAUCCUCCGAGGUCCCAUCAUCUUCAUUCUCCAAGGCCACAAGUGGCACCACCACGCUCUCCCCCUCGUAAUCAUCGAUGGGCACCGGUGGCACCUCCCUCUCCUCAAGCAGGUCGGUGACAUCCGGGUCGAUAGCCUCCUCGACUGGGAUCAGCUCUCCCGUUGCGGCGGCAUUGUCCAGACCAACCUCAACACCACGCGCGUCGUAAGCCUACAGAGAACAGCACCGGGAUCAGACACCUGGAAGGCUAGAAGGGAUGAAAUUACGCGGCAGGGUCUAGUGAACAAACAGAUCGGACCUUGACGCUCAACGGGAGGCCGCAGCGCGCGGCGCGGCGGGUGGGGAGGAACACGGUGGACGAGCCCCCGCCGCCGGUGGAGGAGUAGGAAGGGCGGAUCUCGCGGAUGUGGUCGAGGUAGUUGUAGCCGUCGUCGGGGAGGCCGAGCUCGAGGAUCGCGCGGCGGACGUGGUCGGGGAGGGCGGCCCCGGAGGGCGAGGACGAGGGCUCGGCGCCGUCGUCGUCCGCGGAGGGGAUGGCGCCCUCGAAGUAGGAGCAGUCAUCGUCGUCGUCGUCGAGGCCGGGGACGUGGUACUGGUUGCCGUCGACGCGGACGAGGACGCGGUCCGAGGGGUCGGCGGCGCCGGGGCGCGGGCAGAGGCGGAACGUGGCGGAGUUGCGCGGCUUGCGGUUGCGGCCUCCUCGACCACGGCCCAUGGCGACGGUGGCGGUGGCGGAUGGGGCGGGGGAGGCUGUGGCGUGCGGUGAGGUUUCCGAUCUGUGUGGAGUUUAUUUUUUUCCGGGAUCCUACUUCCUUCCCUUUUUAUUAGGGCUGGGAAAUGGAUGAUGCGUGAGGGGUACUACAAAGAGCGCGAGAUAAGGGAAUAUUCUCCCGAGAUCUAUCCAUUUUUCUUUUUUGAAGGGGAUCUAUCCAUUUUUCUUAAGAGAGAGAGAGAAACUCCCGAGAUCUAUAUCUGGCAUGAAGGAACAGUUUUUAUAUCAAACAUAUGAAACCAUUUCAAUCUUUUCACAUGUAAAAGAUUGAAAAAAAUGUGAGAUUAACAUUUCAUCUUAUACGAAUGUUUAUAUUCACAUACAUGAACAUUUUCAUGUUCAAGAAAUAGAAAUGUAUUUUAUGAAGAAACAUAUUUACAAAAUAUAUAUAUGAAAAGUACUCCAUCCAUUUCACAAUGUAGUGUGUCCGUGUUUCUUGAAAUCUAGUUUGACCAUACAUUUAAUCAACGAGACCGAUUGCGACGGGAGCAGAAAUUAUACCACUGAAUUCGUACCUGAGUGAGUAUAGAUUGUAAGUUUGGUUGAAGCGUAUGCCUAGCACGGAUGCGUUGCAUGUUUAUAUAAUCAAGGUUUAGGGUUUACAUGAUUAGGUGGUUAGGUGAGGUUAUAGAUUGAUCCUCAAGUUAACUAUGUAGAUAAGGAUGGAUCAUAACCGCCUGAACCAACCGAAGAUAAACAAAAAUAUCUACCCUAUACUACAUAUGGUUUACACUCCAGUGUAUAUGUUACAAUGUAUAUUCUAACACCCCCCCCCCUCUCAAUCAAAACUUCAUCAAGUUUAGAUUGCCCUUGAAGUCUUCCAACUUGCGCCAUGAUAAGGCUUGGUAAAACCAUCAACAACUUGGUCAUUGAUGGGAAUGAACCGAAUAUCUAGUAGCUUCUUGGCUACUCUCUCGCGCACAGAAUGAUAAUCAACUCAUUAUGUUUUGUUCUAGCAUGGAACACUGAAUUUUCUCCAACAUAUGUGGCACCAAAAUUGUAACUUCAGUCCACUACUCAUAGUUCCUCUAAGAUACCUGAGAAUUAUUUUUACUGUUGUCUAAUGUUCAAGUGUUGGAGCGUGCAAAAACUGAGACAAUUUAUUCACAAGAAAAGAUAUAUCAGGCCUUGUAAAGGUAAGUAUUGUACUGCACCCACCACACUUCUAUAAUUUGUGGAAUCUUCGACACCCAAUGGUUUGCCAUUUUUCUUCGAGAGUUUUUCAAAUGUUGAUAGAGGCAUAUUUGAGACCUUCCAAUUUAUCGUACCUACUCUCUUGAACACAUUUGACACACACUUUUCUUAAGUUAAGAGUAUACCAUCUUUUACCUUCUUGCCUUCUAUCCCCAAGAAAUUGUGCAAGUCACCAUGAUCUUUUAAUGCAAAAUCAUUCUUAAGAUCUUCCAACAGUGCUUUAGUUGCUUCAUGUGAUGAACUGGCCACAAUGAUAUGAUAUCAUCAACAUGUACAAGCAUAAAAAAUAGUGAACUUGCCUUUGUUAUAAAAGAACAAUGAUGUAUCAGUCCUUGAUGAUUUGAAACCAAGCCUUUGGAGUUUUUCACUCAACUUGGAGUACCAUGCUCUAGGUGCUGGUUUCAACCCUGAAAGGAUCGAUAUGGUUGGCUAGAGGGGGGUGAAUAGACAACGACCACUUUUUAAUUAAUCUUAGCAAGUUAAGGUAAACACCAUACGGGUUCACAAAUAAUACGACAAUGAGGUGAACCCUAUAGAAGCUAACAACGAGAGCUAUUAAGACAAGUAAGAUAUAGUCACAAGCAUAAGCAAAUACAAAGUAAAGGAUAGAGAUAACCACAAGUGGAACCGAUGGAGACGAGGAUGUCUUACCGAAGUUCCUUCCCUUUGACAGGAAGUACGUCUCCGUUGGAGCGGUGUGGAGGCACAAUGCUCCCCAAAAAGCCACUAAGGCCACCGUAUUCUCCUCACGCCCUCGCACGAUGCAAGGUACCGUGAUUCCACUAUAGGUGCCCUUGAAGGCGGCGACUGAACCUUUACAAACAAGGUUGGGGCAACUCCACACAAAGCUUGGAGGCUCCCAACUAAACCACGAAGCUUCACCACAAUGGAAUAUGGCUUCGAGGUGACCUCAACCGUCUAGGAUGCUCAAACACCCAAGAGUAACAAGAUCCGCAAGGGAUUGGUGGGGGAAUCAACUUUUCUCUUGGUGGAAGUGUGGAUCUAGGCCUUCUCAACCAAUCCCUAAAGAAUCAACAAGUUUGAUUGGCUAGGGAGAGAGAUCGGGCACUUUUGAGCUUGGGGCGCAACAAUGGAGCUUAGAGAGGUAAGAGAUGGGGUUCCUAAGCUAGAAGAACCCUUUAUAUAGUGGGGGGGGGGAAAUCAUACCGUUUUCCCACUCUCUGCCCGAGCUCCAGCAGUACUACCGCUGGCUGCAGCGGUACUACCGCUGGCACUCCAGCGGUACUACCGCUGAACAGGGGCGGUACUACCGCCGCCUGGCGGUACUACCGCUGGAUGCAGCGGUACUACCGCUGGGACUCCAGCGGUACUACCGCUGGCCCCUUGGUAGUGCAAAAGCACUACUACCGCCAAGAAAGUCUUCGCAAAAAGGUCCGUCCACGAACUACCGCUAGGCAGGUGGAACAAAGUUCCUGGAGCGGUACUACUGCUAGCAGUCCAGCGGUACUACCACUGGGGACCAUUUUGCAAAGAUGCGAGAAACAAAGUGGCGGGGGCUGCUCCAAAGAUGAAGGAAAGGGAGAAUGUGAAGUGUGCGCGUGCAACGAUAGAUUCCACCCAAACCUUUCCACUACGGAUCCCCUCUUAAUAGUACGGCUUUCCUAUGACUCAAAUAAAGAGAAUCGUAGAGAGCGCCGUGCUUCCGUUCCAUGAAUGAGGAGACGUGUCGUCUUGUGCCGUUGACGUGUGUUAUCUGAAACCUUAACACACACGGUUAGUCCUGUACGGUACUGUCAUCAAUCACCAAAAUUACUUAGGCAUAAACUAUGCCCCAACAAUCUCCCCCUUUUUGGUGGAUUGAUGACAAUACCGGAUUUGCACACAGAAUAAUAUGAGAACAAAAAUAUAGAGAUAUAUGACAAUACGGGGCAUAUGACUCAUAACAUAUGAUGGAAAUAAAUCUCACAUAAGUUCAUGUCUCACAAAAGAUAGCAAACUAGAAGCAAACCAAGUUCGAAGAAAACCACACGAAAUAAAGCAAAGCAACGCAAAGUUCGAAUAUGAAAGCAAAUUCAGCUCCUAGACUCUCUCCCCCUUUGGCACAAGACACCAAAAAGGGGCACACCUAAUGCCACAGGUAGCUACUCCUCAUCUUCAGCAUCGCCAGACUCAUCGGUCCCCUCCUGAUCGGCCUGCUCCUCCUCUUCCGCCUCAUCGCCAGACCACUGGUAUCCUUGAGCCUGCAUCCAAGUAGCCUCUGGAGUGAUGUCAUCCUCUGAUACGCUGGAGAUGUCCACAUCAAGAGUCCUGAGAACACGCUUAUGCCUCUGGCGGCUCUCCUUCUGAGCCACGUGCGUCUGGUACCGACCCUUAGCCUGCAUACAGAAUAGAGUCUUCAUCUUGUCCUGCAGUUUGAUGGCCCAAGAUGGCAUGGCAGAAGAGCGGGACUGAGAGGCGGUUCCUCUGUCAGCAGCAGUCUCUGUAUCAGUAUCCAUGUGCUGAGAGGAAGUAGAUGGGUUGGCCCAUUUGUCCUUGACGCGAAGCCUGAUCGGGUCGUGCACAAUGUAGUCAAACUGAGCGUAGAGCACCUCCUCCGGAAAAGCCUCUUGCCACUUAUGGCGAAUGUAUGCAAAUAGAUAAGGCCCGUAGAUGGGAACCUUACGCAUGAUGAUGCAGUUCCAGAGCUCCGUGAACAUCACAUCAGAAAUAUCCAGCUGAGCAGACUCCUGAGAUAUAGCCUCCUCACAAAGCAGCAGCAUCUCAGCCAAGGAGCCAUGAACCUCGUCGAAGUUACCAAUGCGAGGGAAGAGGGUGUUGCGAAGGAUCCGAUGCAUGAUGUCCAGGUGCUUGGGAAGCACCCCCUUCCUCACAUAGAGUUUCUGCAAUCUGUCCUUUGCGGGGGGCCUAUCGGCGGGGGCUGCAGCAUGAGGACGCAGCCCAAGAGGAGUGUCAGCACCCUGGAAGUCAAUGUUGAGGAAUUGCAUGAACUCACGCCAGGUACCAGUCAUCUUCUUUGUCCCAGUCAUCCACACCAUGGAGCGCUCUGCAUCAGGAGAGAAGUGGACCGUGACAUAGAACUGAGCAACAGCAGUGGGAUCAAAAUCUGUCUUGUAAGUGAUGAUGUCCUUGAUGCCCAGUUUGUCAAUCAGAGAGAGGGCAUCACCAAAAUAGUCCAUGUUCCGCUGAAGAUGUGCCAGGUCAAUCCACUGAACAGAGACAUAGUUUUUCUUGAAACGCGCGACAACAUCAUGGUAGAUCUUGCACUGGUCCCUUGCCCAGACAUGGUCAACAUCCUUGAUCACAGCCCUCUCAUUGAGAUAGUGGUUCUGAGUGCGAAACUGCAGAAAGUCCUUGGGGGACAUUGUUCGGACAUUGACCCUCUUAUCCUUGUGUGCGACCUUCUUGAAGGACUGAUUCUUGGGUUGCAGACCUGAGGUGGCAGACCCCUUGGGCGCCUCUUGGUUGCGAUACUGUUUUGACUGCGUGUCCCGUGGGGGGUUCGAACGGCGAGAAGAGCUACCUGUGACACAGAACACACAGCGAAAAGAGGCGACAAGAAGAGUCAAGGCAAUGAAUCUUGAAAACGCAGAAAAAGUAAACACACAUUGCUAAGCACAAAACACAAAAAAAUACACAGUGAAUGCUCCUGGUGGUAGUACCGCCACCCCUGGCGGUAGUACCGCUGGGGCCUAGCGGUAGUACCGCUACCCCUGGCGGUAGUACUGCUGGGGGUCAUAGCGGUAGUACCUCUACCCGUGGCGGUAGUACCGCUGGGGUCCUAGCGGUAGUACCACUACCCCUGGCGGUAGUACCGCUGGGGUUUGACUUUCAGAUCUGACAGAUAAAAAAUCGUUACGAGGGCAUGGGUUGUAUAUGAACACUAAGAACUCCACCCCAGCCCUACUUUACAUGAGGAACACUAGUAACACCGAAAUAAGUACAUGCCUAGGCAAGAGAGAGCAAGUUUUAGAUCUAAUCCAAACAUAGUUCAAGUGCUAGAUCUAAAACGAGUAAAUCCUAGGGCAUGGUAACAUAAUCAACAACAAUUCAUAGGACCUAUACUCCCCUCAAAUAUCUCCUUCAUGCCAUCCAAGAACUAGCCAUAAGAUCAAAGAUAUGGAUCCAAUCCCCAAUGCUCCUAUCCCUAGAACAAGAACAUCAACCAAAUAGAAGAAGGGAGGAGCUUUACCGGGAUUCAUGGCUCUUGGAGGAGGAAGGAGAGGUGGAGCAACCCUUCCAAACCAACGGGGAGAAGGAGCUCCACGAAACGAGAUCCAAACAGGGAGUUUUCGGGCUAGGGGAGGGAGGAGCCGCGAGGAAGAAGAAACAGGCUGAGAAAACGGGCUCCCCCUCCUUUAUAUAGCCCAAGGGGUACGGGCCAGCGGUAGUACCGCUGAGGACCUAGCGGUAGUACCGCUACCUGGCGGUAGUAUCGCCAGAUGGAGCGGUAGUACCGCUGGGGUCCUGGCGGUAGUACCGCUCCCCCUUGAGGCAGCCCUAAAAAUUUCCUAGCCGGUCGUGUUAGAUGGGAAUCCUGGCGGUAGUACCACCAUACCUGGCGGUAGUACCGCCAUACCUGGCGGUAGUACCGCUGGGGUCCUGGCGGUAGUACCGCUACCCCUGGCGGUAGUACCGUUGUAAAUGUCGCAACGCGGCUAAGGAAAAGAGAUGAACUUGGGCACAUGACAAGUGAGUAAAAACAGAUAGCAUCCAGGAAAAUGUACUGACUUGUCAUUGUAUAUCCUUUCUUCUAUACGCAAGAAAGGAUGGAGGGGCGGUGGCCGAGGCCACCUAUGUUUAAGACAAUGGUAUGACACCACGAAGAAUUAUCCUUGGGUUCAUGACCAAUGCUCAUCAUUGAAGCACAAGUGCCAUUUGACAAUGGCUAAAGUGAAAGACUAGAUUGAUUUAUGCAUAAUGGGGGGAGGGAAAGUUCAUUGAGAGAACAACACUCCCCCUAUGUCCAUGCCUACAUCUAGACCAAGAUGGAAUGCAAAGUGAGGUGCAAUAUGCCUAGUUUCAAUCCACAUUACUUGAAUCAAUGAUAUUUAGCUCAUGCCUUAACUCCCGGAACCUUGCUUCAUAUAGAGGCUUAGUGAAAAUAUCUGCAAGUUGCUCUUCAGUGUGGAUGAAGUGAACCUCAAUAUCACCUAGCUUGAUAUGUUCACGAAUGAAGUGAUGACGAAUAUCAAUAUGUUUGGUUUUGCUAUGUUGCACUGGGUUGAGGGAAAUCUUGAUAGCGCUUUGAUUGUCACAUAGAAGAGGCACUUUGUCACAAGUGACACCAUAAUCCUUUAAAGUCUGCCUCAUCCAUAGCAAUUGUGCACAACAACUUGCAGCUGCCACAUACUCAGCUUCGGUUGAUGAUAAGGAGACGCAAUUCUGCUUCUUUGAAGACCAACUUACCAAAGAGCGACCAAGGAAUUGGCAUCCUCCAGACGUUGACUUCCUCUCCACACAAUCUCCUGCCGAAUCUGAGUCAGAAUAGCCAACUAGAUUGAAGUUUGCUCCUUUGGGAUACCAGAGGCCAAAGUUUGGGGUAUGAGCCAAAUAUCGAAAGAUUCGCUUAACAGCCAUGUAAUGACUUUCUUUUGGUGCGGAUUGAAACCGUGCACAUAUCCCUACACUCAACAUAAUAUCCGGUCUAGAUGCACAAAGGUAAAGGAGGGAUCCAAUCAUGGAGCGGUAUACCUUUUGAUCCACUGCUUUACCAUUGGGAUCACUGUCAAGCUUGCAUCUUGUUGGCAUGGGGAACUUGACCGGUUUGACAUCUUCGAGCUCGAACCAUUUGAGCAUGUAUUGAGUGUACUUGGCUUGUUUGAUGAAUGUCCCUUCUAGACCUUGUCUAAUCUCGAACCCGAAGAAGAACUUCAACUCUCCCAUCAUGGACAUCUCAAACUUCUCAGUCAUUAGUGCAGCAAAUUCUUCAUUGAAUGAAAUGUAGGAGAGCCAAAGAUAAUAUCAUCAACAUAUAGUUGGCAUAUGAACAAAUCCCCUUUAACCCUCUUAGUAAAAAGAGUGGGAUCAAUCUUCCCAAUUUCAAACCCACGAUCUUGUAACAACUCAGUAAGAUACGCAUACCACGCGCGUGGGGCUUGUUUAAGGCCAUAGAGUGCCUUAUUAAGUUUGUACACAUGAUUGGGGAGCUUGGGAUGUUCGAAUCCCGGGGGUUGUCUGACAUAGACCAACUCAUUCAAAGGAGCAUUAAGAAAUGCACUUUUCACAUCCAUUUGCUGUAAUUUGAAGUUAUGAUGAGAAGCAAAUGCAAGUAACAUGUGAAUAGAUUCUAGACGAGCAACAGGGGCAAAGGUUUCACCGUAGUUGAUACCCUCGACUUGGGAGUAGCCUUGAGCCACCAAUCUUGCCUUGUUUCGAAUCACAAUUCCAUUGGCAUCUUGCUUGUUCUUGAAUAUCCAUUUGGUCCCGAUGACAUUAUGUUCCUCCGUUGGCCGAGGCACUAAAUCCCAGACUUGGUUGCGCUCAAAGUUGUUAAGUUCUUCGUGCAUGGCCAUAAGCCAAUCCUCAUCAUCGAGCGCUUCCUGUACCUGUUGAGGUUCACAAUACGAGACAAACGCGUGAUGCUCACAAUAAUUCCAAAGCUGUUGACGGGUGGAUACUCCCCUUUUUAAACUGCCAAGUACAUUCUUCAUAAGAUGUGACUUGACUCUCAGCUUGUUCGCAUUCUUGGCUGCUCGACACUCCAAGAGUUCUUCAUUAGAUAACGGGGGAGCAUCGACUUGUUUCUUUUUCUUGCCCUUGCGUAUUGAGCCGGUUGUUGGAGCUCCAGACGGGAAUUGUGAGACAGUCUCCUGAUCAUCUUGUCCUUCGACUUGAGCAGGUUCACUAGUUUGUUCUUGUAUUAGUGGUUGCUCUUGAUCUUGAUCUUGUGCUUCUACUGUUGGGGAACGUCGCAUGGGAAACAAAAAAAUUCCUACGCGCACGAAGACCUAUCAUGGUGAUGUCCAUCUACGAGAGGGGAUGAGUGAUCUACGUACCCUCGUAGACCGUACAGCAGAAGCGUUAGAGAACGCGGUUGAUGUAGUGGAACGUCCUCACGUCCCUCGAUCCGCCCCGCGAACAAUCCCGCGAUCAGUCCCACGAUCUAGUACCGAACGGACGGCACCUCCGCGUUCAGCACACGUACAUCUCGACGAUGAUCUCGGCCUUCUUGAUCCAGCAAGAGAGACGGAGAGGUAGAAGAGUUCUCCGGCAGCGUGACGGCGCUCCGGAGGUUGGUGAUGACCUUGUCUCAGCAGGGCUCCGCCCGAGCUCCGCAGAAACGCGAUCUAGAGGAAAAACCGUGGAGGUAUGUGGUCGGGCUGCCGUGGAAAAGUCGUCUCAAAUCAGCCCUAAAACCUCCGUAUAUAUAGGUGGGAGGGAGGGGGCCUUGCCUUGGGGCUCAAGGAGCCCCAAGGGGGUCGGCCGAGUCCAAGGGGGAGGACUCUCCCCCCCCCCAAACCGAGUUGGACUAGGUUUGGUGGGAGGGAGUCCCCCUUCCUUCCCACCUCCUCCUUUUUUUUUCUCUAUUGAUUUUCUUCUCCUUGGCGCAUAGGGCACUUGUGGGCUGUCUCACCAGCCCACUAAGGGCUGGUGUGUCUCCCCCAAGGCCUAUGGGCUUCCCCGGGGUGGGUUGCCCCCCCCCCGGUGAACUCCCGGAACCCAUUCGUCAUUCCCGGUACAUUCCCGGUAACUCCGAAAACCUUCCGGUAAUCAAAUGAGGUCAUCCUAUAUAUCAAUCUUCGUUUCCGGACCAUUCCGGAAACCCUCGUGACGUCCGUGAUCUCAUCCGGGACUCCGAACAACAUUCGGUAACCAACCAUAUAACUCAAAUACGCAUAAAACAACGUCGAACCUUAAGUGUGCAGACCCUGCGGGUUCGAGAACUAUGUAGACAUGACCCGAGAGACUCCUCGGUCAAUAUCCAAUAGCGGGACCUGGAUGCCCAUAUUGGAUCCUACAUAUUCUACGAAGAUCUUAUCGUUUGAACCUCAGUGCCAAGGAUUCGUAUAAUCCCGUAUGUCAUUCCCUUUGUCCUUCGGUAUGUUACUUGCCCGAGAUUCGAUCGUCAGUAUCCGCAUACCUAUUUCAAUCUCGUUUACCGGCAAGUCUCUUUACUCGUUCCGUAAUACAAGAUCCCGCAACUUACACUAAGUUACAUUGCUUGCAAGGCUUGUGUGUGAUGUUGUAUUACCGAGUGGGCCCCGAGAUACCUCUCCGUCACACGGAGUGACAAAUCCCAGUCUUGAUCCAUACUAACUCAACCAACACCUUCGGAGAUACCUGUGGAGCAUCUUUAUAGUCACCCAGUUACGUUGCGACGUUUGAUACACACAAAGCAUUCCUCCGGUGUCAGUGAGUUAUAUGAUCUCAUGGUCAUAGGAAUAAAUACUUGACACGCAGAAAACAGUAGCAACAAAAUGACACGAUCAACAUGCUACGUCUAUUAGUUUGGGUCUGGUCCAUCACGUGAUUCUCCCAAUGACGUGAUCCAGUUAUCAAGCAACAACACCUUGUUCAUAAUCAGAAGACACUGACUAUCAUCGAUCAACUGGCUAGCCAACUAGAGGCAUGCUAGGGAUGGUGUUUUGUCUAUAUAUCCACACAUGUAAAUGAGUCUUCAUUCAAUACAAUUAUAGCAUGGAUAAUAAACUAUUAUCUUGAUACAGGAAUUAUAAUAAUAACUAUAUUUUAUUAUUGCCUCUAGGGCAUAAUUCCAACAUCUACUUGGUCUGAAUCUCGGGGUUGCACUUGAUCUUGAUCAUGAGCCGGUUCGGAGUCUUGGGGUAGUGCUUGAAUAUCAUGGGACACAUCACCAUUGUUGGGCAAUUGAUCUUGACCUUGAGCUUGUUCAAUUUGUUGAGAGUCUUCUCUUUGUUCAUCGGAAGCGUGUGGGGCUUGUGGGGGUGAUGGCUCCACUUGAGUAGAGCAUUGUCCUUCUCCUUCGGCCACAAGGGGUUCCUCAAUGGGGAGUAUUUGACCAAUCCCCAUUCUUCUUAUGGCUUCGGGAGGAAUUUCAUCACCUAUAUCACAAAGACCACUUUGCUCCACUUGGGAGCCAUUAUUUUCAUCAAACUCUACAUUACACGUCUCCUCAAUUAGUCCGGUGGACUUGUUGAGGACACGAUAAGCAUGAGAGUUUGUAGCAUAACCAACAAAGAUACCCUCAUGUGCUCUAGAAUCAAAUUUAGCUAACCGUGCUCCUUUUUUGAGAAUGAAACACUUACAACCGAAUACCCGGAAGUACUUGAGAUUGGGUUUGUUUCCAGUUAGAAUCUCAUACGGAGUCUUGUUCAAGCCUUUGCGGAUGUAGAGCCGAUUGGAUGCAUGACAUGCUGUGUUGAUGGCCUCUGCCCAGAAGUUAUAUGGAGAUUUGAGUUCUGCCAUCAUUGUCCUUGCAGCGUCUAUCAAGGUCCGGUUCUUCCUUUCUGCCAUGUCGUUUUGCUGAGGGGUAUAUGGUGCAGAAUAUUGGUGCUUUAUUCCCUCAUCACCUAGAAACUCAUCUAAGGUGUAGUUCUUGAACUCGGUGCCGUUGUCACUCCUAAUCAUCAAGAUCUUUGCUUCAUGUUGACGUUGCGCUUCAUUAGCAAAGUUGAUGACUGUUUGUUGAGUUUCACUCUUCCUUUUAAAGAAAUAUACCCAGGUAUAUCUUGAGUAGUCGUCAACAAUCACUAAGCAAUAUUUUCUGCCUCCAAGACUAUCAAAUGAUGGAGGACCAAACAGAUCCAUAUGGAGAAGUUCCAAUGGCCUCUUAGUGUAGAUAAGAGUCGUUGGACGAUGAGCAGUUUCAUGAAUCUUUCCUUCAAUGCAAGCACUGCAAACACGAUCUUUAGCAAAGCUCACAUUUAUUAGUCCACGAACAUGGUCCCCUGUCAGAAGACUUUGCAAAGAUCUCAUAUUGACAUGAGCUAAACGGCGAUGCCAAAGCCAGCCCACGUCAACUUUAGCCAUUAAACAUGUCGCAGUCUUAGUGGGUCGCUUUGAGAAGUUCACCACAUAAAGACCAUUUUCGACAUGUCCAACAUAGGCUACUUUAAGAGUCUUGCUCCUUAGGAGGACCACAGUGUCAAUAUUAAAGAAUGUGGAAAAACCCAUAAUUGCAAGUUGACGAACCGAAAGUAAAUUGUAGGCAAGUGACUCAACAAGCAUGACCUUCUCAAUAGAUAAAUCUUGAGAGACGACCACCUUACCAAAUCCCAAUACCUUUGAAGAGGAUGCAUCGGCGAAUUGGACAUGGGUGGGCAUAGAUGGAGAAGGAUGCACAUCCACCACUAAGUCCUUGCUUCCGGUCAUAUGAUUUGUUGCUCCACUAUCGAGCAACCAUGACACCCCACCGGAAGCAAACUCCUGCAAUAGAUCAAGGCUUGGUUUUAGGUACCCAUUUUUUAAUGGGUCCUUUCAUGUUAGAGACAAGGGUCUUAGGAACCUAGAUAGCCCAUUCAAUAUCUUCAUCGUAGGAACCAACAAAUCUGGCAUAAACAUGCCCAUCACUAACACAACAUAAAACAUAAGAAGAAUUGAGUUUGCCGGCUGUGUUAGUAGGAACGGUUUUGCCCUUCUUGGGGUUCCCAUAGUCCACCUUGUUCCUGUUCACCUUCUGAGUCCCCUCACCCUCUUUGACAAAGAUGUCCAUGAGGGUGAGAGAUCGUUUGCUCUUGUUCUUCCUUUUACCUUUUGACUUGGAGGUAAGUCCAAGUCCUUCCUUUCCUACAACACCCUUUUGAGUGCUCAAGAGAUCGUUCAGACUCUUCUCACCUUGUAUGCAUGCCACGAGGCCCUUCUCAAGUUUCUCCUUUAACUUGGCAUUUUCCUCCACAAGAUGAACAUGCUCACAACAGGGGUUAGUUGCACAAGUAUUAUCAAUUAACACAAAGGGAGGACAAGUAGAGAUCUCCUUGGUAAGCUUUGCUUGGAGUUGAUCAUGAGACUCUUUCAGAGAGAAAUGAGCACCUUUCAAGGCUUUGUGGGCCUUGUCAAGUAUGUCAAACUCCUCCUUGAGUCUGUCAUGGCCAACCCCAAGAGCAUACUUUUCAGACUUAAGCAUGCGAGUAAGAACAACAUCAUGAUCUAGUUUCUUUUGCAUUUUAGCGCAGUCAUCGUUAUAUGACUCCUCAAGAGCCAAACGAAGAGUGCGCUCUUCUUCUAGAGCACUAGAUAAUUCGGAAAUUUCAUCGGCAUAGUCACGACUAUGUCCCUGAAGCUCGGAGAUGGUCUCCUCAUGAGACUCAAUGAGGUCAGUGGCCUCACCCAGUUGUUCCAAGAGAGCCACAAAGUGCUUCUUGGGUUCUCCCUUAAUAGUGCACAGAAACUUAUCAAGAUCAUGCUCAUUAAGUUCCCCAACAUUACUAUCUUCAACACAAUUUAACAAUGAAGGAGCAGAAGCAAUGUUGGUCUUAAUGAUGGGAGUUACCUGAUUGAUACCUUUUGCCAUGAGGCACUUGGUGAUGUGGUUCUCGUUGGGGGCGUUGAAGAGAGACACCUUCUGGGAAGAGGUAGUGGCAAUAGCAACAGUUGUCGUUGCCACUGUAUCAUCAUCAUCAUCACCAUCAUCAUCGGAAGGAUACUCUUCCAGGGCCACCAUCCCUUUUGGGUGAGGUUUCUUCACAAAGUUGUUCUUGAUUGGAAAUGAUUCGGUUUUGUCUUUGCGAAUGAGCUUGCCUCCGUUGUCUUCCCUUUUCUCAUAGGGACAUUCUGCCACGAAGUGACUCACGUUGCCACAGUUAUAGCAUGUCCUUACUCGUUGUUUGGGUUUGAAUCCACUCGAGUUGUUCUUCGUGAAAGUGGGUCUUGAGUUCCUUUUAUUGCCCCAGAAUUGCCUUGAUGCAAGAGCCAUGUGCUCAUGAUAGGCAUACUUUGUGUCUUCAGGGCAGCUCUCCUCUUCCUCAUCUUCUUCUUCUUCUUCUUCAAGCAUUGGUCUUGCUUUCAACGCAAGGUUGGGUGAAGUAGUUUUUGAUCGAACACGAGCAAGUGCAUUGUCGGCUGUUUCGUUCAUGAUUGACAUUGCAAUGAACUCAUCCAACACCUCACUGGAAGACAAGGAGUGGAAGUCUGGCCGCUGACGAAUGACAGAUGACAUGGCUUUGUUGAAAGGCAUGAUGGCUUUGAGGAACUUGCGCUUGACCCAUGUAUCAUCCACAUCCUUACUCCCAUGAUCCUUUAGUGCCACAGCAAUAGCAGUCACCCUCCGAUAGAGAUCACGAGGGUCCUCGUCUUCCUUCAUCACAAACUCAUCGGCCUUAUCAAGUAUCACUUCAUAGUUGGAUCGUUGAAUGCUUGAGCUUCCCUUGUACAACACCAUAAUAUGCUCCCAACAAUCCUUGGCCAAUGUGAAGGGACGUAAGUGGGGAAGAUCUUCAGGUGGCACAGCAGACUGAAGAAUAAACAACGCAGAGUGAUUAUAUUGAUUGUCUGCAUCUUCUCUUGGAGUGAGGUUGCUUGGGUCAUGGGGAUAAUAUCCUUGCUCGAUAAUUCUCCACAAGUUUGUUGAGCUGUGAUUCAAAUGAGACUUAAUAGAAAAUACCCAGUUAGCAAAGUCACCUUUCACAAGCUUAGGAGGAGGACCAACAAGAUUAAGACGAGGUGCGGGAACGGAUCCUUCAUAGACCAUGGGGGGUGAACUGAGGCAUAUGUUCCAGUCCCAUCCUUUUCGUGAGAUGAAGCAGGUCGCAUACCUUUAGCCGCUUCCUUAGAGGAGUUGGCCUCCGAAUCGGGGAUGGUGGGUUUAACCACUAAAGCCGGUUCGGGUGAACUUUUAAGGCCCUCAAUUAACUCUUUAAGCAUGGUCUUGACUUCGCUCGUCAAGGACGUCUUGAGGGCUGCCAUAGCCGUAUUCAAGUCGUCCCUUGUGACCGAAGUCAAGUCCAUGUCCUCGGGUUGCCCAUGGUUAACUUCCUCUCCGCCUUCCAUACUCUUCGGGUGGUUAAACCCUUAAUAAAGAGACGUGGCUCUGAUACCAAUUGAAAGGAUCGAUAUGGUUGGCUAGAGGGGGGGGUGAAUAGACAACGACCACUUUUUAAUUAAUCUUAGCAAGUUAAGGUAAACACCAUACGGGUUCACAAAUAAUACGACAAUGAGGUGAACCCUAUAGAAGCUAACAACGAGAGCUAUUAAGACAAGUAAGAUAUAGUCACAAGCAUAAGCAAAUACAAAGUAAAGGAUAGAGAUAACCACAAGUGGAACCGAUGGAGACGAGGAUGUGUUACCGAAGUUCCUUCCCUUUGAUAGGAAGUACGUCUCCGUUGGAGCGGUGUGGAGGCACAAUGCUCCCCAAAAAGCCACUAAGGCCACCGUAUUCUCCUCACGCCCUCGCACGAUGCAAGGUACCGUGAUUCCACUAUAGGUGCCCUUGAAGGCGGCGACCCAACCUUUACAAACAAGGUUGGGGAAACUCCACACAAAGCUUGGAGGCUCCCAACUAAACCACGAAGCUUCACCACAAUGGAAUAUGGCUUCGAGGUUACCUCAACCGUCUAGGAUGCUCAAACACCCAAGAGUAACAAGAUCCGCAAGGGAUUGGUGGGGGAAUCAACUUUUCUCUUGGUGGAAGUGUGGAUCUAGGCCUUCUCAACCAAUCCCUAAAGAAUCAACAAGUUUGAUUGUCUAGGGAGAGAGAUCGGGCACUUUUGAGCUUGGGGCGCAACAAUGGAGCUUAGAGAGGUAAGAGAUGGGGUUCCUCAGCUAGAAGAACCCUUUAUAUAGUGGGGGGGGGAAAUCAGACCGUUUUCCCACUCUCUGCCCGAGCUCCAGCGAUACUACCGCUGGCUGCAGUGGUACUACCGCUGGCACUCCAGCGGUACUACCGCUGAACAGGGGCGGUACUACCGCCGCUUGGCGGUACUAUCGCUGGAUGCAGCGGUACUACCGCUGGGACUCCAGCGGUACUACCGCUGACACCAGCGCUACUACCGCUGGCCCCUUGGUAGUGCAAAAGCACUACUACCGCCAAGAAAGUCUUCGCAAAAAGGUCCGUCCACGAACUACCGCUAGGCAGGUGGAGCAAAGUUCCUGGAGCGGUACUACCGCUGGCCAGGGGCGGUACUACCGCCAGCUAGCGGUACUACCGCUGGCUGCAGCGGUACUACUGCUAGCAGUCCAGCGGUACUACCGCUAGAACCAGCGGUAUUACCGCUGGGGACCAUUUUGCAAAGAUGCUAGAAACAAAGUGGCGGGGCCUGCUCCAAAGAUGAAGGAAAGGGAGAAUGUGAAGUGUGCGCGUGCAAAGAUAGAUUCCACCCAAACCUUUCCACUAUGGAUCCCCUCUUAAUAGUACGGCUUUCCUAUGACUCAAAUAAAGAGAAUCGUAGAGAGCGCCGUGCUUCCAUUCCAUGAAUGAGGAGACGUGUCGUCUUGUGCUGUUGACGUGUGUUAUCUGAAACCUUAACACACACGGUUAGUCCUGUACGGUACUGUCAUCAAUCACCAAAAUUACUUAGGCAUAAACUAUGCCCCAACAAACCCAUAUAAAGCUUUGUCAAGCUUACACACAUAAUGUUGCUUGUUAUUCACCUCAUACCCAGGAGGUUGUCUCAUAGACACUUCUUCCUCUAGAGCGUCAUGAAGAAACACAUUCUGCACAUCCAACUGACGGAGACUCCAAUCUUUUGACAAUGAAAUAGAUAGAACAAGUCUGAGAGUAGCUGCUUUAACAAUCGGACUAAAAGUAUUCUCAUAAUCUAUGCCAUAUCUCUCCUUAAAGCCUUUUGAAACUAGUCUAGCCUUGUACCUAUCUAUUUCUCCAUUUUCCUUCUUUUUAAUUCUAUAAACCCAUUUACAAUCAAUAAUAUUUCCGCCCCUUGCUGGAGAAACUAAAUGCCAUGUCUUGUUUUUUAUAAGAGCAUUAUACUCUUCUUCCAUAGCAUUUUUUGAAUUUUUGCUUUCCAAAGCGUCAUGCAAAUUAUGCGGUUCUCCUGUAGCAGUUAAUCCUACAAACUGGAGUUUCUCAUACCUGACUGUACCAUCUGUAUGCAUUUUUGGCUUAGAAACGCCGUGUUGUGACCUUGUUCGCUGCAUUUGCACAAAAGCUGGUGUAGACGACACUCGUGCAGAAGAUCCCAAGCCACCCGAUCCAGAUGGACCAGAUCCGAGGUGGAUCUCAGCAGACUCAGCGGCGACAACAUAUCCAAGGUGGGUAUCAGGGAUUCGCUGCGCAACCGCGUCUGCUCGGGACGUUGGUUGGGCCACUUGGCGAAUUCCUACUAGCCCAUCAGACUGUGAUGAGGAACGCCCCCAUUGGCGGUUUAGAGAGGCCAUCAUGCCGCGCCUAGGCCCGCUCGAUGUUGAUUGCGCUGCACGUGCCUUGAAGAAGAGUUCAAAGGAGCGGAUGAAAGAGGAUAGACGCCACCUCUACACCUGCCUUGAAGAAGAGUUUUCUUCGUUGCCUUGUCCUUUACCAAGAAGAAGUGAAGAUGAGUUUCAAGAAAGUUGUGAUUAUUACAAGAUAAAUGUGAUCAUAAAUCAAGUUAUUGGUAGCUUGAGGCACAUGCAAUAUGUUCUUGAGAUGAAGAUUGCGAGUAGGGGUAUGAAUAUAGGCUUGACCAACAUGGCUAAUUUUCAUACAUGCAUCGUUUGGCAUGUUCACUUGAUCUUGGCCGGAGUACUUCCCCCUCAUUGUGAGUUUGUCCAACUCACGAGUGAUGUGGUCGGUUGUCCCGAUGUCAACAUACCAAUUGGUGUCAACGCCGUAGGAGUUGGUGUUGGUGUUGACAACUCCGACACUUUUCUCCUUGGUGAAGGCGAUGUCGAAGCAACGAAAGCACUCCACGUUGGUGUGAUUUGCUUUUGGGCAGAUCUGAAAGAAGACUUUUGGAAGCUCAUUGCGGCCUCCUCCAUUGCCACGACCGCCAUGACCUUGGCCACGCCCGUCGUCGCCGCCAUUGCCGCGACCACCUCCAUGCCGGUCGCCUCCAUUACCACCAUGUCCUGCACCACGAGAGAUGGCCUUGGCAGAUGAGUGGGAGGAUUGGCCUCCCUCAAACAUGGUCAUCCUGCUCUGAAAGCUGAUAAGCUGUGGGAAGAGCUCGCUCACCUUGAUGGGAACAGUCUGUGCACACACGGAGGAGACAUAAGACAUGUAGUCGAAGUCGAGCCCGACGAGGAUGUAUGACACCAUGUCGUCGUCGAUGAAGGGUUUUCCAGCAGAGGUCAUCUCGUCACCGAGUGCCUUCAUGUGGUUGAUGUAUUCGGCUACAGUCGAGGUGCCCUUCUUGGUCAUUGACACGACCAUCCUCGUGUUCACCACAUGCGCUUGCGUCUAGGAGAUGAACAUCUCCGUGAUCGCAGUCCAUGGUGCGGCAACAGUGGUGCAGUGGGCGAUCUUGACCACCACAGGAGGUGAGAUUGAAUUGAAGAUAAAACUCAAAACAUGCGAGUCCUGAGCCUUGGCGAUCCCAUACGCCGGGUUGGGCACAUCUCUAGGUUUGCCCUCCUUUUUGGUCAGCAUGCGGGCUGGUUCCUCCCUGUCUGAGUUGAGGAAGGAGACGAGCCGCGCACCGCGGAUGGUCGCAAGGGCUUGCGCACGCCACACUAGGAAGUUGGAGCGGUGGAGGCGUUCGGCGAUGGGGAUGAGCGCGGGUGUAGCGACGAUGACGAUGGAGCUCGAGGAAAUGGCAGCAUAUCAAAAAUGUGCUAGAGGACUAAGCUCUGAAUACCAUAUAAGUUUGGUUGAAGCGUAUGCCUAAUAGGGAUGCGUUGCAUGUUUAUACAGGCAAGGUUUAGGAUUUACAAGAUUCGAUGGUUCGGUGAGAUUAUAGAUUGAUCACCAAGUUAACUAUGCAGAUAAGGAUCGAUCAUAACCACCUGAACCAACUGAAUGAAAACAGAAAAUAUCUACCUUAUACUACAUACGGUUUAUACUCCACCAUAUAUGUUCUAACGUAUACUAUAACAUAGACUAACACGCAACGUCAAUGACCAGCCCGUUUUGAUUCUGUUUUGAUGCCCUUCUUGGACGCAGAAUUUCAUCAUCGUCGUUUGUUCGUUGUCGUCACUACAAAGCUGCGGCUCGCAGCGCCUUGGCUGCUCAACAACGAUCCUCUACAAAAUAGUAAAUCUUAACGGAUUUACGGUGCUUAUUACUGUAUUACGGUAUUCCGAAUUUCCGAUCACACCAUCAGCACACAAGUAGUAGGCCUGUACAUAACACCUACGCAUUCAUCAGUCAUCACCAUGGAUCGUGGAUCCAUAUCGUCGAGCACACCACAGCAUAUGAGGGUUAAUAUAGUCAUCAAGGCGGACGAAGCGUAUUGAUCACGUGGCGGCGGCUCACGCGAGCACGGUGGUCUCCGCGACGGCGGCGGACCGGAUGCCGACGGCGGCCUCGACGUGGUCGCCGCCCGCCUCCCAGAGCUCCGGCAGCGCCUCCCUGAUGUUGUGGAUGCUCUCCAGCGCCACGUCCGCCCCGGGCACGAGCGCCGAGCUCCCUACCUGCACCAUCGUUUGUGGCAAAGCGUGCGUUCGUUCAGUUUCCGACAGGUGCUCCAAUGGCGUGGGGAUUAAUGCAGCGACAGUGAGAUCUUACGAUGACGGUAUGGAAGCCUGCCGAUUUUCCCGAGGCGAUGUUGCGCGGGCUGUCGUCGAAGAACACCUGCAAAUCAAGGCAGGCAGCCCUGUCAGUCAGUCGGUGCAGCUGCAGCUUGGAGUUCUCAAGUGCAGAGAACCGACGAGGGAAUCCAUGGCUGAGCUGCGUGCUGCUUACUGUCUUCUUGGGGUCGAGCUUGGCGAUCUCCACCACGGCUUGCAUGGACUCGAGGGACGGCUUGCAGAGGACCCUCUUGCCGGAGCCGUCGCCGCCGGCGCCCGUGCCUCCUGGAUUCUUGGGGUUCAGGGUCUCGAAGCAUAUGAUCCCCUCGAAGCAUCCCUCCAGCCCCAUCUUCUCCAGGACGGUCGCCGCGUGAGCCUCGUCGGAGUUGGUGAAUAUCUGCAGUGGAUGGAACAGCAAACUGUAACUUCUGCAGCAAUUUUUCGGUGCUGGAGAACAGAUGCAGCAAUGAACUGAUGCAGCAAGAAACAUCAGAGGGAUUUUUGAUGCGACGAAUGAUGAGCUUACGAUUUUCCUCUGUGGCAUCGAAAUCAGCAGGCUCCUCAGGACAGGGUCCGGCUUCAGCUUCUCGUACGGCAGUUUUCCGUGCACGCUGGCGUGGAAUUCAUCGUAGUCGAAAUCGUAGCCCAUAAGCUGUAGGAUCAUGAUUUUUUUGAAACGUAACAGUAGUAGUUAGUUUAAUGGUUAUGGAGCUACCAGAAGCUCGAACGAGUAAUAUGGCAAUCUAAGUGUACUGAGGCAUACUUUCAGACCGGCCAUUGUAGUUCCGUAUUCCCUGUACAAAUCUAGGCACAUCUUGGGGACCAGGCUCUCCUCGAUCUGAAGUUUGUCCAGCAUGUAGUCUGCGGUUUGGUAAAUUCCAACCAUUAUAUGAUGACAAACAAAUUUUACAGCAUGAAAACUGAGAUUUGGUGUGAGUUUAGUACUUACCUUGGAUGUUCUUGCGGCAUGCUAAGUUGAUUCCCAAGCUCAGUGGGUAGAUGGUGUCAUCCAUGUCUGAACAGGUCAGGAAACAAUCAAACGAGGGGUUCAGAAACAAAGUGCUGGCAGAGAACUCCAUGGUAAAAAUAUUGUACAAGUACAGUGAAGAAGCGUCAGUUAUAGACGGGCGUACCAAACAGCAGGCAGUCAAAUUUGGCUCCGUUGGCGUAGGAUUCCAUCUUCACAGGUUGAGGUUGGGCAGUGCCUGCAACCGUGGGGAAAGAAAAUCUUUAGGAAAAAAAGAAGAAGGUUAAGUUGGGGGCCAGCUGAGGAAGCAAACUAGAUUAUCGAACUAGCAUCAGCAUGCCGGUGACCAAACAAAGUAGCAAGAAAGAAACGGAAGGUCGAGGCAGAAACAGCAAACCGAGACAACAAGCAACCUGCAAUGGCAUGCACAUGUACCUCGACGCUGAACGGAAGGAAGACAGAGCAGGAGCUGCGCGCGCACACACACACACAACGCAGGUCAGCAGUGGAUGCCAUUUCGCCUAGCCAGGCCCCUCUAUUUAUACAACAAAGAUCAUCUCACUCACAGUCGCAACUCGCAACACAUGACAUGACGAGGAUGGGCUCCGCUUUAUCUGCUCUCUGGAAGGUGACACAUGGUAGCGACACCGGUGGGUGCUAUCCGAUGAUGGAAGCACCACCACCCCGGAGCCACAAAUUAUUGGCCACCGGCCAGCCGGCUCCUGCCUUCUCCAGCUUCUUUCUUUGCUCGCUCGUCACUUCCCGUCAAAGUGCUCUCCUACGCGAGGGGACGACGACGUGCUGCACUGGACAGCGACCGCUCUGAUUAUUGAUCGUUCAUGCUGGUGGUGGUGGAGUUGGCGUCGGAUAGGAUAGGAUCGGAUCGGAUCGGCCAACUUACGCCAGCCAGCGCAACAAUUUUCCUUUAAAAGCAUUGUAUACUUUAGUUUAGUUCAGCUCGGGUGCCGCCGACCAAGCUAGCGGACGAACGAUCGGGUAGCCAUCAGGCAUAGGUGACGGUGACGUGGCCGUUAAACUGACUAGAAUUCAUCUAGAUAAGAUAUAAUUUGAUUUUAUUCAUUUAAAAAUAAAAAAAGAAACAAAAUAGUAUCACAAAUCACGACAACACACGCAUUUUAUAGCACCGCAUCCAAUAACUAUAAAGAUAAAUAAGACAUAAUUAAAACUCAGCUAGAUGACUUGUAGCAAAACCGGUUAAACUAUGUGUGCAGGGUUCGAUGUGUGGAGGAAUCCACUCGUGGCCGGCGUGCGUCACAGCCCAUAUGAGCAUAUGGAUACGAGUGGCUCAUGGUCACAUGGGUAUGGCGAUUUGCCGGAGACUCUCGGCCGUGGAAAAGCCGGGACACGUGUGUGGCAUUUCUUAUUGGCAUGGUGAUGAUCAGGCCAAAGAUGGCAUCGCUUUCGUCCCGGCGUUUGUUUACGCGUUGAUGGGCGUCGAGCCCUGUGUUUUCAUCUGGUUAUCCUUUUUGUGUGUGAUGGAGAGAGCAUGCGUGAGCAGCAGAGUGCAUGUGAGAAUGACAAGUUUUCAUGCACAAAGCUUCAUCCGAAAGGAGAAAUGAGUAGAAAGAUGAUCUCCUAUUGGAUGCUGCGUCGGCCUUCAUUUUCAGUGUAGUGGAGAUAGCUACCUGGCCACCCAGCGAGUGUGACGAUGUACGAUGGAGUUUUUUUUAGUUAGGCAUAUAUAUGAUCCUCAGGCCAUGUAACAACAGCAGAUGCGUGCAAAGAGAGAAUCUGUCCUUUUGAGAUAAUUCUUUUUUUGAGAGAGAGAGAGAGAGAACCUGCCUUUUCGUUGGAAACGGGGGCGAAAUAUUUGUGGCCACAUAUGUAUAUACCAGGAAAAAGAAUGAUGUGUCGAUGUUGAUCCUUUAUUACUGUUGGCAGCGUUACUUUCUUUUUUUACAUUCAAAUCCCUCUUUUAUAUUAUUUUUUUAGGGGGGCCCUCUUUAUUUAUUUGUCACAACGGUUACAUCACUGAUCAGCAGAAGGAUAAUAGCAGCAGGGGCCUUAUCUAAACAAGUUCCAGGAGUGGGAAAUCUAGCUAAGCUGGUUAAUUCAUGGCCCUUUACUGUUGGCAGUGUUAGGUUGGUCUCAACUCUCAACUGUUGGCCGACUAUAGGUUUGAUCCUUCAGCUCUCUCUAUAUAAUGGGUGAAACCUUAUACCUUCAGUAUUUAACCUUGGGUGAAGUGGUUGCCUUGUACAUUCGGAUGCCCGUGGGUAAAAGGGUAGCCGGACGACAAUGAUACAACGAUGAAGGGGGGGGGGGGGGGGAUUGACGGAAAGAAACGCAAAAGGAUAUCAACCAAUCAACCAAGUUCCACACUUGCCGUCACAUGACAAACUUUACACGAUGCCGGCAGUUACCAUACGACUUGCCAGCCGCACGAGUGGUUCUAAGAAUGCCUGACAGUUGCCUUACAUACAUAACUAACCGACCCCUGACAUAGUGCAGAUUUCUGAACCAUCAAACCUCAAUAGAAAUUGACAUGACGCAACCAGGAGCCUGCAAAGUUAAAAAAUUCGAACAUUAGCCGUUAGCAAACUUGUCUGGGAUUCGAUUCAGGGUAUAUCUCUCUGAACCGCUAAAAGACCUGAAAAAGAGCCUCAACAGAUGGUAAGCUGAAAUGGUUUGACCUCAGAUGUAAGACAAGGAUACAUCAAGGUCACACCGCAAACAAUUUGUUGUGUGCAUUUACUUGUGAAGAGAUCCAGAGACUAAUUAGUUUUUGUUUUAAGUAGCAACAAAACACCAGUAUAAACAAUCUAGCUUGGCUGGUAUGGAAAGCUAGCAAUGCACUAGUUUUCCCAACAUCAGCCAAGAGCCUAAGAGCGUACCUUUCAUGUUGAUACAAGGAAAAAAUUAACAUCCAUUUGUCUGCAAAAGUGAACUAAACAUGCAAGGAACAUGAGUACCAAACUACUCCCUCCGUUCCUAAAUAUAAGUCCUUUUAGUGAUUUCACUAAGGGACUACAUACGGAGCAACAUGAGUGAAUCUAUAUUAUAAAGUAUGUCUAUAUACGUAUGUGGUCCCUUAGUGAAAUCUCUUAAAAGACUUAUAUUUAGGAACGGAGGGAGUACUACUUUAUCCAGAAGAAAAUGAGUAUAAAGUUCAAGUACUGAUAUCUCAGGAAGGGCAAGACCAGCAGAAUGCUGCAUGGAGCAUCCGACCAUUAAAAUGCGUUGCUAGAAACAAAUCUAUCCAAACCAUGAAUCAGUAUAUUCCUAUAAAAUGUGACAUCCUUUUGGCCGCAAAGAAGCAUUCUUCUAAAGAGGCUAACUUUCUCCGGAUGAAAUGUGGUCCUCCAAUUUCACAAAGUUGGCAGAACGUAACAAUAUAUGCUUGAAAUUGAGCUGAUCACAAAUCCAAAACCAAAGGGGAAAUGGGAGAAAGUGCAGUUAUUUUCCAUCUCUACGAAUCUAUGAUACUGCUCAGAUAUUAUCAAACUCAAACUGUUUUUCCUUCAUUGCAAUGAAGGAAACACAGUUCAGUUUGCUAAUGACUCAUAAACAGUUUAUAUAAGUUUAUCUUUCAAGUGAACUUGGCCAAUACGUUACACAGAAAAAAACCAGUGGGACUAGAUUUUGUUAAACCACGAAUUAAGUACUUCAACCAAUGCAGACCAUUGAUAAGAACCCUGUACCUGCCGGCUGCUUCAUUAAUGGUCAUUUUCAUAGUACGAACUUGCCCUGAAAAUGAAGACCUGCAAAAAAUAUAUAACAGAGGUUGCAUAGUUAGCAGCAUAGAUAGACUUUUACCACAGUAAUGCCUUACAAAAAAGGAUUCUCCAGGUAAUGGAAGGUGUACAACAGAAGCAGGCUUAAGAGGCAAAGCCUGAUAUUUAGAACUUAGAACCCUUUCCUAUAUCUGCUUGGCAUGGAGGGUUUUUAACAUGGAUGUUGAAGAGAUCGUAUGUUUCUUGCAAAUUUCAUGUACAACCAGCAUUUGAAACAAGUCCAUUCUCAUACUUUGUGUUGUGAAUAACAAGACAUAGUUUCCUAGUUCCAAUUAUUUGUGUAAGUAGACAAUGGGUGGACCAGUUUUCCCCAUGUGAUAUCUUAGAGACUUCACAUCAUUACUAGAAGGAUUUGCGUGCGUCGCUGCGCCGAGGAUCAUCACAAUAAUCCAUCAGUGACAUGUUUCACCAUCUAAACUGCAAUUAUAUGCAACCAUAACAUGAAAAGUACUACCAAUAGCACUCCCCAACACCAAGGCCAAACUCUGGAUGCUUGGCUGCACCAACACCUUGCAAGAGCUGCCUCUACAGGCCCGUCCUCGUCAUGUUUGAUCUAAUGACCAUGUAGAAUAGCUGUACAGUUUUUUGCUCUUUCCUUUUCGUGUUCUUGUUCUUGUCUUGUAGGUUGGCUUUUUUCGUCAGUUUGACUUUGGCAGAUCAAGGAGGAAGCAAAGCUUUGGGUAUGCGCUGCUGCUGUUGGGCUUAGGGUGUGUUUACCUGGGGCAUGGGAUGUCCACUGAGCCUUGCAUGUUGUGUUGCUUAGCGUGCUGUGCUGUAUCUGACCCUAUCUUUGGGUUUGUAAUUUUUUUCUAUCUUCUCAAUAUAUCAACACACAAGUUUUGUGUUUUUCUCACAAAAAGAACUUGUGCCUUUUUGUUUCUUCUUCUUAUACAAAAUGACGCACAUUUAUAUGCAUGCUCAAGAAAAAAGAGGAUAAAUACAAAAAUAUUUAUGGCCACAUAUGUAUAUACCAGGAAACAGAAGGUGUAUGUCAACAACAGCAAUCCAGGUUGGAAAAGGGAUGUUGGAUAAAAGAACGACAGUCAGGACUCCACAAAGACUCCUAUGAGCCCGUGCCGCGACCCGGACCGCGGCGGGGCCAGGGGCGGAGGCGGCGCCUCCGGCGAUGGCGAGGGCAAUAACCAAAUACCAGCGGGCGAGAAGGGCGCCUGCUCGCCGGCGGCCACCCCGUCUCCAGUGGGGGCCUGGCUUCCGGGAGUUCAGGAGUCCCAGGAUCUCGACGUUGCUGACUGCGGAGGAGAGAUCGGGGUGGCGAUCGGGAGGGCUAGGAUCGCCAGCCAUUCCGACGGCCUGAUCCGAUCUACCUGUUGUGAUGCCAAGGCGCAUCUCGACGGGACCUCAGCACAUCGGAAGUGGGCGGCGGUGUUCGAGGAUGUCUCCUCUGGAUCUCGUCGGCAGCGCUUUGGAUCAAUAGUGUUGCAUUUACCUUCGCGCUGGGUUACGAUUCGUGACGAAGAUGAUGAUAUUUUGGCUGGCACUUAUUUGCAUGUUGUGUUGCUUAGCAUGCUGUGCUGUAUCUGACCCUAUCUUUGGGUUUGUAAUUUUUUUCUAUCUUCUCAAUAUAUCAACACACAAGUUUUGUGUUUUUCUCACAAAAAGAACUUGUGCCUUUUUGUUUCUUCUUCUUAUACAAAAUGACGCACAUUUAUAUGCAUGCUCAAGAAAAAAGAGGAUAAAUACAAAAAUAUUUAUGGCCACAUAUGUAUAUACCAGGAAACAGAAGGUGUAUGUCAACAACAGCAAUCCAGGUUGGAAAAGGGAUGUUGGAUAAAAGAACGACAGUCAGGACUCCACAAAGACUCCUAUGAGCCCGUGCCGCGACCCGGACCGCGGCGGGGCCAGGGGCGGAGGCGGCGCCUCCGGCGAUGGCGAGGGCAAUAACCAAAUACCAGCGGGCGAGAAGGGCGCCUGCUCGCCGGCGGCCACCCCGUCUCCAGUGGGGGCCUGGCUUCCGGGAGUUCAGGAGUCCCAGGAUCUCGACGUUGCUGACUGCGGAGGAGAGAUCGGGGUGGCGAUCGGGAGGGCUAGGAUCGCCAGCCAUUCCGACGGCCUGAUCCGAUCUACCUGUUGUGAUGCCAAGGCGCAUCUCGACGGGACCUCAGCACAUCGGAAGUGGGCGGCGGUGUUCGAGGAUGUCUCCUCUGGAUCUCGUCGGCAGCGCUUUGGAUCAAUAGUGUUGCAUUUACCUUCGCGCUGGGUUACGAUUCGUGACGAAGAUGAUGAUAUUUUGGCUGGCACUUAUUUGCAUGUUGUGUUGCUUAGCAUGCUGUGCUGUAUCUGACCCUAUCUUUGGGUUUGUAAUUUUUUUUCUAUCUUCUCAAUAUAUCAACACACAAGUUUUGUGUUUUUCUCACAAAAAGAACUUGUGCCUUUUUGUUUCUUCUUCUUAUACAAAAUGACGCACAUUUAUAUGCAUGCUCAAGAAAAAAGAGGAUAAAUACAAAAAUAUUUAUGGCCACAUAUGUAUAUACCAGGAAACAGAAGGUGUAUGUCAACAACAGCAAUCCAGGUUGGAAAAGGGAUGUUGGAUAAAAGAACGACAGUCAGGACUCCACAAAGACUCCUAUGAGCCCGUGCCGCGACCCGGACCGCGGCGGGGCCAGGGGCGGAGGCGGCGCCUCCGGCGAUGGCGAGGGCAAUAACCAAAUACCAGCGGGUGAGAAGGGCGCCUGCUCGCCGGCGGCCACCCCGUCUCCAGUGGGGGCCUGGCUUCCGGGAGUUCAGGAGUCCCAGGAUCUCGACGUUGCUGACUGCGGAGGAGAGAUCGGGGUGGCGAUCGGGAGGGCUAGGAUCGCCAGCCAUUCCGACGGCCUGAUCCGAUCUACCUGUUGUGAUGCCAAGGCGCAUCUCGACGGGACCUCAGCACAUCGGAAGUGGGCGGCGGUGUUCGAGGAUGUCUCCUCUGGAUCUCGUCGGCAGCGCUUUGGAUCAAUAGUGUUGCAUUUACCUUCGCGCUGGGUUACGAUUCGUGACGAAGAUGAUGAUAUUUUGGCUGGCACUUAUUUGCAUGUUGUGUUGCUUAGCAUGCUGUGCUGUAUCUGACCCUAUCUUUGGGUUUGUAAUUUUUUUUCUAUCUUCUCAAUAUAUCAACACACAAGUUUUGUGUUUUUCUCACAAAAAGAACUUGUGCCUUUUUGUUUCUUCUUCUUAUACAAAACGACACACAUUUAUAUGCAUGCUCAAGAAAAAAGAGGAUAGCAUAGCCCCCCAAUCAGAUUUCACAACUUCUUAAGAAUCAUGAUGCGGCAACUCAAACAACCGCAGAAAUUCAAUACCAUAGGAAACCAACUAAGAACCUCACCUUGAACAAUGCCCUCCUGAUCAGCUGGAACACCAAGCAAUCACCUUCCACCAGCUCAUUGUCCAUGACAAACUCGCUCCACCCGGUGACAAGACUGCUACUGUGUGGACGAUAUUGCACCUUAAACUCCUCCUCCUCCUCAUCCACCAAAACCAAUUUCAUGCCACGGUCCGGGAGAUGCUCCAUGCUGAACUGUGCCGGAAUAUACUGCCAGAUACCCCACCAUCAAUAUCUAUUAAUAAUUCCUCUAUCAUAGGGGAUCGGAACAGUAGAUAAGUGGUAGUUUCUGCUUUACCAGCGAGGUAAGAGAUUGGGGCAUGGUUUUGACAAAGGUGGGGUAGUCGGAGCCAAGCUCAUCCCGUAGCUCUUCGGCCUUGGCGAUGGCAUACGCAUGAUCAGGCUUUACUUCUUUUUGCUGCCGUGGUUUCCCGGUGCCGAGCUUUACCUGAGAGUUAUUCUUAUAUUCGUUAGGAGAAUAAAAUGGGAUCCUUGGGAGAACCACCACUCUGAAGUGCAGUGCCUCAAGUAGAAAUUUAGUGAAUUUACCAAUUUACUCCCAGUCUUCCUCACUUACAAUGUACUCCCUUCGUUUCUUUUUACUUCCCAAGUUUGAAUACUAGUUUUGUCUUAUGCCAAAUUUUACAAAGUUUGACCAGAUUUAUAUUAAGAAAUAUCGACAUCUACAAUAAUAAACAAAUAUAAUAGUAUGAAACUGUAUUUCAGGAUGAUCUAAUGGUGUUGUGACUGCUAGAAUUACAGUUUUUUUCAUAUAAACUUAGUCAAAGUUCAGAAGUUAGUCUGACUUAGGGUUAAAAAGAAACGGCGGGAGCAUGAUUAGAUCUUACUUUUGUAAUCGGGUAUGGGACACCUUGGUUGCGGAGCACGUACAUUGUCGCGAUAGUCGGGCUGCUCGGGGAGGGUGGCGAUACGGCCGGAGCGCCGGGGCGGGGCGUCAUCGGCGGCGUCCCGUGGCUUCGACGCCUUCCUCUUCUGCUGCACCCAACCAAACCAGGCUAAGGAAGACAGAGAGGAGCAGACGGAGAGUGGAGAAGGGGGGGUGGGGGGAUCUGACGGACCAGCUUGGGCUUGGCGGCGGCCUCGCGGACGGCGGCGGAGAGGUGGUGCAGGCGCAGCUCCUCCAGCUUCCGCUUGUUCUCCUCCACCUGCCUCCUGCGCUGCUCCUCGUACGAGUUCGCGUCCGCCAUUUUCGCACGCCCUUUCUUGGUUUUCCCUCCCGCUGGGUUUGAUUUUUGGGCGAAGAAACCGCCGGGAGAGGAGGGCAAUCAGAGUUGGGUGGGGAACGAGGGUUUCUUUCUCGCUGUUUUUGGUUUCGGCGGGGAAGCAGAUGAGAAAGGUGUGAAAACUGAAAACUCGGGAGGGAGUGAUUUCAUUCACUGUUUUUUCGGAUCGGCACACAGGCGUGUAUGUAUUUCGUUCUCUCUYUUUUUUUAAAAAUAGAGAUAUGGGAUUUUAUUCAACAAAAACCCCGGCAAAAUCUGCCAAAUGAGAAGUUACAAGAAAGCUAGGUUUGGAAUCAAGCCAACAUUCUGUCACCUCUCGUGUGCUUGCUUGUUUAGCACACUGAUGGGUAGGAUUAUUGGCCUUCCUAUUACAAUGUUAAACGCAGAAUGAAGUAAAAACAUCUACAAGCUCCCCCAUCUCAUCUAAGAUAGGCGCCACUACUGAACGAGAGUUGUGACGCAAGUUCCAUAGCUGAACUAGCUUCAGGCUAUCUGUCUCCAUUAUGACCUUCGAGAAACCCCUCAACCGAGCAAAAAGAACUCCCUCUCUCAGGGCCAUCGCCUCGUCUACCAAAGGAUCGGUCACACCAUCAAACGGUUUACACCAGGCUGCAAGAAAAGUGUUGUGGGAUCGAGCUACCCCACCUCCCCCUCCUCUGCAAAAUUGUCUAGCAACACUCCCAUCCGUGUUGAUCUUGACACAAUCCUGCUCCAGUGGUCGCCACCCGUGUCCGGGAAGAAUCCGGGCAUGAUCCCGUGGUAUGUCUAACAAGGCCAGAGCAUCCCUUGUCAUGAUCAUCGACUGAACCGGACUAAGAGGACCCCGAUCAUGAGUGAGAUUAUUAUGUGAAGUCCAGAUCGCCCACAUAAUCGAUACCAUCUUUGCCCUAUCAACCUCCAAGAACCGCUGAUCAUAUAAAAUGUCGGCUUUCCAUGACUGGGGCUACACAUCAGGUCGCUGUAUAGCAAGCCACUCCGGUGCCACAUCCCAAAAUUUCAUCGCAUGUGCGCAGUUGAGGAGUGCAUGCAUAAGUGUUUCAUCAGGAUCCAAGCACAAUUUGCAGACACUUUUAUCAGAAAUGUGUCUGUGUUUGAGGACAGAAUCGACUCGCAAAAUGCCUCUCAUAACCCGCCACCAGAACACCCGAACCUUUGGCAGUACUUUGAGCUUCCACAGUCUCGACCACAUCUGUUGUUCUGUCACUGGGGUUUCUGUAGCCGUCCCUCCAUCUAGAGCUCGUUGCUCUUUUUGAUUCAUCAUAGAGCGGUACGCUGUUUUAACAGUGUAGAUUCCAGACUUCUCGGGAGCCCAUGCCACCACAUCUUCCCCUCCAGCCGCUCUCAAUGGAAUAUUCAAGAUAGCUUCGGCUUCGGCAGGGGAGAAUAUCUGUCGAACUAAGUCGAUGUUCCAUAAACCUGAGUAAGAAUCGAUCAGCUCCGAAACCCAUUGCAAUUGAGAGUUCCCAACACGCGAGGGGGUCAUCGAAGCAAGAGUAGGCACCCAUUUGUCUUCCCAAAUAGAGAUGGACGAACCAGUCCCAACACGCUUGAUCAGACCAAUUUGCAGAGCUUCUUUGCCGGCAAUAAUCGCUCGCCAUGUAGUUGAGGAGCUUCUCGGCGCCGUUGCCUGCAUGAAAUGUCCAUCUCGGAAAUACUUCCCCUUCAACACACGAGCACAAAGCGAGCUCGGAUUAGUAGUUAGCCGCCACCCAUGUUUCCCAAGUAGGGCAAUAUUGAACAGUUCCAAGUCUCGAAAACCGAUUCCACCUCGUUUCUUCGGUUCGGAGACCGCAUCCCAGGACAGCCAGUGCAAUGACCGUCGAUCAACCGAUGAGCUCCACCAGUACUUUCCCAUAAUCGAUACCAGAGACUUGCAAACUUUCCUGGUUAAUUUAAAGCACGACAUGCUGAAGGUGUGAAUAGCAUGUGCCGCUGUUUUCAACCUAAUCUCCCGCCCCGCACAGGACAGCAUGCGUUCCGCGCCCCCUUGCAGUUUUGCCCAUAUCCUUUCUCUGGUAUGAUCGAAAGUUCCACUUGUAAUACGGCCAACUGUUGUCGGGAGGCCCAGAUACCUCUCACUGAAAGCCUCGACCCCAAUGAGCAGGGAUAAUUUAACUUGUUGACGAACCGGUGCAGGAGUGUUGGGGCUAAAAAAUAUCGAGCUUUUCUCCUUGUUCACAACUUGUCCACAACACUCCCCAUAGAUCCUCAGAAUAUCAUCCAAACGAUUCCCACUCGAUUCCGAUGCCUGCAUAAAUAUCAAAGUGUCGUCGGCAAACAAAAGGUGAUUGAUCCAGGGCGAUCGGUAGCUCACACGGAUCCCUCGAUCCACAUUCGGGCCUCCGUAGUGAUUCAGCAAAGAAGUGAAACCUUCUGCACAAAUAAGGAAGAGGUACGGCGAGAUAGGAUCACCCUGACGUAAGCCACAAGUUGUGUUAAAAACGGGAGCAAUUCCCCAUUUACCCUAACUGAGAACCAAACCGAAGUCACACACUUGAGAACAAGCCUGACAAAACCCUGGUGGAACCCCAGCCGUAGCAUGAUGGCCUCCAGAUAGUGCCACUCCACGCGAUCGUACGCCUUCAUCAUGUCUAACUUAACAGCGCACACCAAAUUCUUCCCAAUCUUGCGUCGCCUCAUAGAAUGCACACUCUCAUAUGCAAUCAAAACAUUGUCAGUAAUCAGACGACCGGGAACAAACGCACUUUGCUCCUCCCCUAUCACCUCAUCCAGACAGGCACGUAGCCGAUUAGCUAUAGCCUUUGCUGCAGUUUUGUACAGAACCGGACACAAAGAGAUAGGGCGGAAAUGUGUGAUCCUUUGAGGGAAAGGAACCUUGGGAAUCAAAGUGAUGGAAGUAUCAUUCAUACCUGCCAGUAGUUCUCCCCCAUUCAGAAACUCCAACAGCGCAUGCAUUAUAUCUUGUUUCAAAAGCUGCCAAUGCCUCUGAAAAAAAAACACCGUAAAACCAUCAACUCCUGGGGCUUUUGAUGGUGCCAUCUGAAAGAGGGCAUGCUUGAUCUCCUCCUCCGAGUAGGCUUUCAUCAUCUCCCUAUUCAUUUCACCUGAUACUCGUGCACGGACCGUCUCCAACAGAGUGUCCAUUGGGUUGACCCCUCGUGAAGUAUACAACUCCUAAUAGAAAGACAAUAUCUCAUGUUGGAUCUCAUCCGGUUGUGCACAUCGUGAGCCAUCUUCUCGCACUAAAUGCUCAAUCUUAUUAGUUCGUUUACGUUGGGAAGCUUGGGCUUGGAAAUAGCCAGUAUUCCUAUCCCCUUCCCGGAGCCAUAGCACUCGAGAGCGUUGGCGCAUCCAGAUUUCCUCCUGUUUAAGAGCUAAUUUAAGCUGGGCUGCGAGCGCCUUCUCCUCCACCGACGGGCCUCUCCCCGCUGAGCGUGAACGCAACCGAUUGAUUCGCUCACGCAAUUGCCUGAUCUUCCUCGAAAGGCAUCCGAAUUCCUUGGCCCCCAAGUAGAUAGAUCUGUUUGGAGCUUGUGCAAGGCUUGAGAGACAUUAAGUAGUCUCUGCCCACCUUCACCACACCUCCAACUGUUGAUAACUAGUUGAUCAUAGUCCGCAUGAGUCUGCCAAGCAUCUUCAUAACGGAAAGGGCGGGAACCCCUCGAUCUCAAAUCAGCUUCCUCCUUUACGCUCACCAUCACAAAGCAAUGGCCAGACUCAACGGCCGGCACAUGCCUUACUAUGAUAGACGCAAACAAAUCAAUCAAGGCCGUAUUGCCAAACGCACGAUCAAGACGUGCUUUAACAUUAGAAGCCCCUGCUUGGGCAUUAUCCCAUGUGUAAUCUGCCCUUAUCCAUCCUAGGUCUUGGAGAAAACAAUCAUCCAUCACCUCCCUGAACUUGAGCAUCUGUCUCUCAGGACGAGCCGACCGUGAGAAGUGCUCAGAUCCUUGCAAGGUUUCAUUAAAGUCACCAAUGCACAUCCAGCCCUCAUGCUGAAUUGCAAAUAGGGUGCAUAGUAAACUCUAGCUUAAGUGUCUGUCUUCAGCUCGAGGAGCACCGUAGAAACCCCGUCAUACGCCAUUUUUUGUUGUUGGAAUUUCGCCGCACCCAUACAUCGAUAUGGCCGGCACUAUAACUCAUCAGAUCUACCUCAAAAUCAGCUGUCCAGAACAAGCCUAGACCGCCACUGAGACCCACACUGCUAACUGCAAAACAUCCUGCAAAACCAAGCUGAUUAUGCAGACGUUCAACUCUAAUUGUGGCUAUCUUCGUCUCCAUCACAAAACAGAGCCCAAGCACUUCCUGCUUCACAAUGCCGCGAAGCUCACGAACUGCCCCCGGGGUUCCCAAGCCCCCGACAUUUCUAGCUGAGGCAGCUCAUUGGCCCUGGCAGGGCUGACUAGCAGCCGCUGCCGAAGAUUCAGACGAAGUUGGAGUUGGCCUCUUUUUCUUUGUGUCUCUCUCCACAAUCUCAUCAUUGCACUCGUUCUUUCCUGUUUCAUCAAUCAUACCCUAGGGCUCCUCAUCAACCCCGCACACCAUCGCUUCUCCAUUCUCUGUUAGGGCUAGGAGAGGUUUCACCACCGGUCUAUAAGUGUGGGUAGCUAGGAGAGGUUCUCUCAAAAUAGGGUUUUUUCCGCUUUAUAUAAAGCAUCCGUCCAAAAAUACUUGUCAUACGAACGGAUGUAUCUAGAUAUAUUUUUGUUUUAGAUAUAUUAUCCAUUUAUGUGGCAAGAAAUUUCGGACGGCUGGAGUCAUUUGUGCCGAUGAGGCUGGUUUGGGAGGCCGGUGAGGAGAGGAGGAGCUCGGGUAGCUAUUUAUGGUGCAGGGGAGAGCUCGAAAAGGCUCUAGGCAACCUUGGGGCAACAAUCCAUGGAGGGGGCAGGGCGGCCAGGUCACGGACGCGGUCAGAGCACUGCAUAGGAGGUGACCUGAGAGGGGGAGAGGGGUCCAGGGCGAAAGCAAGGCCAAGAUGUAGCUCCUAGACAUGGCUAGGUGUCGAGGGCGCGAGGGAACAGAAGAAAUCGUGGGCCCCGACUGCAAGAGCGCGGGCAUUCACAUGCCAUCUGCAUGGUCACCGCAUGAACACGACAAUGACAUGCGAUCUGAUCAGCCAGACCUUGUCUGGACGAUUGGGCAUUCAUCAGUGAGUGCCAAAGUGCAAAUGAACAAGCACACGAACUCAAAAAUGUGACCAGAGCUUGCUAGAAGACAAUAGAAUAGCAAGAUGUUUGUUGCUUCCUAAAGAAGAUUGAUCUGAAGAAAGAUGCUGAUAUUUUGUAGAAGGUGAUCCAUCACUAAGAUGAUUAUCUAUGCAAAUUUUCAGCUCAAUAGGAUGAACCUAGAUAGCACUUGUUGUACAAUGUACCCUACUGCACGAAAAUGUAAAAUAUGAAGUAGCACUCACAUGCUUGAUUGGGUUGAGCUGAAACUUGGAGAAGAUGAGCUAUUUGGGCAUAUGGACGCACUGUAUAAAUUUCAUACCAAUUAGAUACACUAAAAUGGUAUUUCCUUCACAAUGUAUCUCCGUGGACAAAAAUUAAGAAAUAUUGUACAGAAAGAUUGGCUCAAUGAAAUGAUCACAAAUUUGGUGGAGGUGAGAGAUAUGGGAAGGAUCAUGACCUGGUAAAUAUUUAUAAAUAAUCAAACAUUAUCAAAUAUAGUUGCUUCACAAACUAAAAAUCUGACCAGAAACUAAGAUUUGAUGUUGGACUCACACGGAUGAUGUAGUGAUGCUCAAAUCUUGUGUAGAGUGGUAAUUUGAGCAUAUAAAGGUCAUGUAAAAAAAUUUGAAAUCAUUUGGAUAUGCCUAGCGAGUACCUCCUUCACAAAGUUCUUUUCUUGAGAGAAACUUUGGAAAUUAACUGAGGAAUAUUUACUAGGCAAAUGAAUUUGAAUUUUGGCAUGAUGUCCUAAUAUGGGUAGAAAAGAGUCCACACAAAUUUCGAGGGUAAAAAAGAAUAUAUAAAUGACACUUCCUUCAUAAAAUGCCAUCGAGGGCAGAAUAAGGAAAAAAAAUCCUUAAAUUAUUUUUCAACUAGACGAGGAAGGAUUUUGAUAUAUUUGGGGAAUAUAUGACCCAAAAAAUUAUGAUGAUUAUUUGGGAAUUUUGGGAGAGUUAAAAAUAUAGGUUGCUUCACAACCGAGAGAAAAUAGGAUGAUUCCUUUAAUAGAAGAAGGAAUAUUCCCAAGAAACAGAAUAUUAGGAUAGGUCCGAGAUGGAAAAUGACGCGGUCUUGGGAAGGAUUUGAGAAUGACAAGCCACUCUGAAGACUAGAAAGCGAUGAUCUUCCCAAGUUUCUAGACCAUAGAGCAACAGAAAGGCAAUUUCAAAUAAAAUCUUAAAACAUUAAAAGAAAAAGGCCAAAAUCCAGGGUGUUACAUGGCGUGAGGAUUUGACUCGGAUAAGCCCUCGCGUAUAGAUGAUGGCCACACACGUUUGAUGCCCACUCUUCGUUCAAGCCAUGAAGGGAGAGUCGCUCUUUGGUCAUGCUAGGAACAAAGAUCGAUUCUUUGGCCCAUACUAGAAUGCAAAGGCCUCUUUGGCCGAGAUGAAGACAAAGAGGCCCUUUUUGUUCGGAAGGAGGAUGACGGGGUCAGUCCUAUUUGGCGCAUACCACGCUAGAUUGUACCUUUCCACUCUACCGUUAAGCACACUUUCACUCAGCCCAACUAGGCCUUGUCCGGUCAUAGGAAGGUCAUAUCAUUUUUUUCUACUUUCUUUUGCUUUUUCAUUUUCGUCCUUUCUUUAUUUUUAUUUUUUUCAUAUUAUUUCCUUUUUUCUUUUCCUUUUUUUAUUUCCAUUCCUUUUUCUUCAUUCUUGCGAACAUCUAUUCAAAUUCCCGAACUUUUUUGUGAAAGAAUGAAUAUCUUUUAAAUUCAUGAUUUUCUUUACAAAAUAUUGAUUUCUUACAAAAAAUGUAAACAUUUUUCCAACUGCGUGAACAUUCUUUUGAAAUUGUGGUCUUUUAUGAAUUAGAAAACAUUUUUCGAAUUUUGGUAACAAUAUUUCAAAUUCAUGAUUUUCUUUGACAAACCAUUUUUGAAAUGCAUGAAUAAUUUUUGAAGUCAUGUUGUUUAACCGGUGAGCAUUUUUAGAAUCGGAGAACCUUUUCCAUCAUUAACGAGUACUUUUUGAAAAUUUUGGAUUUUUUUGGGUUCACGAACAUUCUUCCAAAUUCAUGAAAAUUUUCGAAAAAUCAUGGCAUUUUUAUUGCCUGAAUAUUGUUUUAAAAUCGUGAUCUUUCUUAAAACCACAAACAUGUUUUAGAUUCCGCAAACAUUUAAUGAUUUCUUGCACAAUUGUUUUCUAGAAUUUUCAUUUUUUGGAAUUUGUACCUUUUUUGAAAUCCAAAAUUAAUUAAAGAAGAAAAAAAAAUCAAAAAUUAAAAACAAAAGGAGAAAUAAAACAAAGGAAAACGAAAUGGAAAAACAAAGGCGCCUUGCCCUCCACAUGGGGCGGCCCAAAAGGGUGUUUUGGAGGGGUGUGUGUUGCGCCUCUUUCGAGAGCGUAAAGCGCCAAAUAGGAGCUCCCGAUGACAGUGUCUUAUUAUUGCAAUUUUUUAAUUUGAUGGUAAAUAUUUGGGAGUGUUAAUUUACAUUAUCAACCUUGAAAAAUGUAGAGUGAGAUUUUUGAAUGCCAAAUUAGUGAAGCUUGAUGCAUGUGCUCCUAGUUUCCAUCCUCUCGUGCUAGGACCAUCUUUAUUGAUGCCAGGAUUUAUGAGAUCCGCUUACUGUAUGUCCAUAUUUAUGCUCAAUAAAACUUUCACUCAAAAAAUGGAGAAAAACGGAAGGUGAUUAUUGGCAAAUGCUUUUUAGGGAUUUUUGGCAAAAGGUAAAAAAUAGAGCUUACCAUAUGGUUAAGUGGACUAUUUGAUGCUUGAACAUAAUUGGGGGUUUAGGUAUCAAAUAUUUGAUCGUCUCAAAAAAUAAGGUAUCAAAGAUUUGAGGAAAUAAAAUAUUAUUCUUUUGGUGAAGUGGUUGUGGAAAUGGGAAACUGAGGAUGGUUUGUUGUAGCAAAUUAUUCGAGCUAAAUACUUUCGAAACAAACUUCUAGCUUUGAUUAAUCUUUGAUUUUUCAUAUUCCUGUUAACUAUGUUUAUUUUGCUAGAGGGAAAGUGAACAUCAAGGGUAGAAAUAUGGUGUGAGUGUGGCAUUACCCUUGGUACUCGUAACUUCUAUAGACACUUUGUUCCCUGGGUUGUUUCACAUCUAUGACAACUAGGAUUGCACCCUUUCUGCAUUUGUUGGUACUGUUGACUAUAAUGCCUCUUUUAGACGCAAAUUGUAUAACGAUCAUUCUAAUCAGUUACAGGAUGUUGUAUAUAGUGCAAUUAUUUUGAUUCUCAAGUCGCUUUUUGAUGGUGUUACUGGUCGCUUAACAGCAAGUAUGCGUUCUCUAUAAAGUUUGUUUAUGAAUGGCCUGAAAAAGAAUUGUCCCAGUCUAACUAUAUAUGGUUGUGUUCCUCGUAAAACAAUUUUUUUUUUCUUGGUAGCUAUUUUCAGAAAUGCUAUUUCAUAUUUUUGAGUUGUACCAAUUUGCAUUUUUCUGGAUUUAUUUUAGUCUUUCCGACGAUGUGCGUUCAGUGGGUGGGGACAUUCUCGUUGACAACGAAGACGUGUGUGACGACUUUAUAAAUUUUAACAUGAUGUGUCGAUUCAGUCUCUCGAGAUGCUCAUAGAGGUAGUAUGUGUGUUUAUAAGGAUGACUGUAUGUGUAUAUGUAUAAACGUCUGUAUCUAUAUUAUGUUAAAAAAUCGCACCAAUGCAAAUUGGCCCCCCAUAAUCCUUCAUGUUCUUUAUGUGAUUCUGAUGAAUCAAAAAAUCAUUUAUUUUUCACAUUUUCAAAUGCUCGCUUUCUAUAGAGUACCUUUGGCAUUGUUUUGGGAUCCUCUUGUUGUCCUACUAGCUUUGCCUGGUUUUAUCAUUUUCUCCCUCGAGAGAAGAAAUUUUACAUGAUGUGUCUUAUUUCUAUCUGUUGGGAAUGUUUUUUUAAAAGGAAUAAAUUUUGCCUCAUUGAUUAAAUAAGAAGAAGAAAAAUUGUCCAGUUAAUUAAUAAAAAAUCGGGCGAAAACCAAUACGAACUUAGCACAUACAAGCUACUCACACGGCAUAAAACUUACAACCGCACAUACGAUCCAUCACACUCGUCGAAUACACAAUAUCCACAAACCCCGAGGCACCUCUCAACCCAAGACAACAACCCAAUCAAGCAACCACACACAUCUACCCUUUGGCGUCACUCUUGCCUUUGCACACCUUCUUCUGUUUGUCCCUUAUUAACAUCCCCGUCCGGAGGCAAACAAUUGACCUAUCCAAACCAGGUCUAGCAACCUUCACACUGGCUAACAAUUCACAAAGUUCCUUCGCGAAGAGAGCAAUUGAAUUUGAAGUAGGUGCCAACAAAAAUGGCUCAAUGGUCAUGCCACUCACACACAUCACAUGCUUGAUGGUCACAAACGAGGGAAUGGCAGAAACAUCUAGAACUACGCGCUCCAUUACGCCAAGAGAUAGGUUGUUUGACGCCUCACAAGGCUCCAUGGGAUGGUGAGGACAUUGGGUCCACCUCUGAAGCCUGGAUAGAGUCCAACUUGAGUUUUUUUAAGGCAAAGCAAAGCUUUAUAACUUAACGGUGCUUGGGCAGAACACCGAAAGCACAAUCAAUCACAUGGGCUGGUACAUCCGACUCCCAUUAUACACAGUAGUUUGGUUCGUACAAACGACCUAUACUAGCUAGUUCAUGAGCCACAGAGUUUGCAUUGCGACGACACAAGGAGAUAUCAUAUUUAGAGAACCAAAGCUUCAACUGGAGCUUCGUAUCUUCAAUGACAGCCGCGUAGGACGAAGAGUCCAGCUUCGUUAGAUCAAGAGCCUCCUGUAGGAGCUUUGAAUCCGUCUCAAAGACCACCCUUAUUAUCCCAAGGCGAGCAGCAAGAGAGACGGUGUGGGACAUGGCAGAAACUUCAGCACGGAACGCUUCUUCAACAUAUUCCUGGCGACCGACCCGGGCACAAACAAUUGAGCCGUCAGAGGACUUAGCCACCCCCCCAACCAGCAUGAGUCUCACCCGGUACCAAGGAUCCAUCAAGGUGGAUUUUAAUCCAGUCUUCCGCAGGAGGUCGCCAUUGACACACGCUCGCCUUCUUCUGCGUCGGAGCACAUACCUGCAAGUACUCAAGGACAUUGCUCCUUGUUCGCCUCGCCACUUCAGUAGCAGCAACGGGAAGCUCCCCUUCCCUUAGUUUAUUUCUAUUCUUCCACCACUGCCACUAGAAGGUAAAAAUAUAUACUCGCUUUAGUUCAUCAAUUGCCACAGGAAGUCAAACAUUGCAUGCACGGAAGAGAUAUGCUCCAGCCCCACUCCUUCUUUCUCCAUAGCCAGCUCCCUCUACACUGCUUUCACUGACUUACACUUAAUGAACACGUGUGUGCCAUCUUCAUCCACACACUCACAUAACAAACAUUUUUGGUCUUCAACAGGGAUUCCUCUCUUCUUUAGAUUUGUUCGCAAUGCCAACGACUCAUGCUUCUGAUGGGGAACGUCGCAUGGGAAACAAAAAUUUUCCUACGCGCACGAAGACCUAUCAUGGUGAUGUCCAUCUACGAGAGGGGAUGAGUGAUCUACGUACCCUUGUAGAUCGUACAGCAGAAGCGUUAGUGAACGCGGUUGAUGUAGUGGAACGUCCUCACGUCCCUCGAUCCGCCCCGCGAACAAUCCCGCGAUCAGUCCCACGAUCUAGUACCGAACGGACGGCGCCUCCGCGUUCAGCACACGUACAGCUCGACGAUGAUCUCGGCCUUCUUGAUCCAGCAAGAGAGACGGAGAGGUAGAAGAGUUCUCCGGCAGCGUGACGGCGCUCCGGAGGUUGGUGAUGAUCUUGUCUCAGCAGGGCUCCGCCCGAGCUCCGCAGAAACGCGAUCUAGAGGAAAAACUAUGGAGGUAUGUGGUCGGGCAGCCGUGAGAAAGUCGUCUCAAAUCAGCCCUAAAACCUCCGUAUAUAUAGGUGGGAGGCAGGGGAGGAGGCAGCCUCAAAACCUAAAGGCUUGGCCGAAAUUGGAGGUGGAGGAGUCCUACUCCAAUCCUACUUGGAGUAGGAUUCCACCUUCCCACUUGGAAACUCUUUCCACCUUGUGUUUUUUCCUUCUCAAACCUUAUGGGCCUUAGUGGGAACUUAUUCCAGCCCACUAGGGGCUGGUUUAUCUCUUCCCAUAGCCCAUGAGACCCCUUGGGGCGUGACACCCCUCCCGAUGGUCCCCGGCACCCCUCCCGGCACUCCCGGUACACUACCGAUGAGACCGAAACUUUUCCGGUAAUGCACGAAAACCUUCCGGUAACCAAAUGAGGUCAUCCUAUAUAUCAAUCUUCGUUUCCGGACCAUUCCGGAAACCCUCGUGACGUCCGUGAUCUCAUCCGGGACUCCGAACAACAUUCGGUAACCAACCAUAUAACUCAAAUACGCAUAAAACAACGUCGAACCUUAAGUGUGCAGACCCUGCGGGUUCGAGAACUAUGUAGACAUGACCCGAGAGACUCCUCGGUCAAUAUCCAAUAGCGGGACCUGGAUGCCCAUAUUGGAUCCUACAUAUUCUACGAAGAUCUUAUCGUUUGAACCUCAGUGCCAAGGAUUCAUAUAAUCCCGUAUGUCAUUCCCUUUGUCCUUCGGUAUGUUACUUGCCCGAGAUUCGAUCGUCAGUAUCCGUAUACCUAUUUCAAUCUCGUUUACUGGCAAGUCUCUUUACUCGUUCCGUAAUACAAGAUCCCGCAACUUACACUAAGUUACAUUGCUUGCAAGGCUUGUGUGUGAUGUUGUAUUACCGAGUGGGCCCCGAGAUACCUCUCCGUUCACACGGAGUGACAAAUCCCAGUCUUGAUCCAUACUAACUCAACUAACACCUUCGGAGAUACCUGUAGAGCAUCUUUAUAGUCACCCAGUUACGUUGCGACGUUUGAUACACACAAAGCAUUCCUCCGGUGUCAGUGAGUUAUAUGAUCUCAUGGUCAUAGGAAUAAAUACUUGACACGCAGAAAACAGUAGCAACAAAAUGACACGAUCAACAUGCUACGUCUAUUAGUUUGGGUCUAGUCCAUCACAUGAUUCUCCUAAUGAUGUGAUCCCAUUAUCAAGUGACAACACUUGCCUAUGGCCAGGAAACCUUGACCAUCUUUGAUUAACGAGCUAGUCAACUAGAGGCUUACUAGGGACAGUGUUUUGUCUAUGUAUCCACACAAGUAUUGUGUUUCCAAUCAAUACAAUUAUAGCAUGGAUAAUAAACGAUUAUCAUGAACUAAGAAAUAUAAUAAUAACUAAUUUAUUAUUGCCUCUAGGGCAUAUUUCCAACAGUCUCCCACUUGCACUAGAGUCAAUAAUCUAGUUCACAUCACCAUGUGAUUCCAAUGAAUCCAACACCCAUAUAGUUAUGGGGUCUGAUCACGUCUUGCUCGUGAGAGAGGUUUUAGUCAACGGUUCUGAAACUUUCAGAUCCGUGCGUUUUUUACAAAUCUUUAUGUCAUCUUAUAGAUGCUGCUACUACGUGCUAUUCGGAAAUGCUCCAAAUAUCUACUCUACUAUACGAAUCCGUUUCACUACUCAUAGUUAUUCGGAUUAGUGUCAAAGCUUGCAUCGACGUAAGCCUUUACGACGAACUCUUCAACCACCUCCAUAAUCGAGAAAAAUUCCUUAGUCCAUUAGUUACUAAGGAUAAAUUUUGACCGCUGCUAGUGAUUCAAUCAUGGAUCACUCUCUGUACCUCUCAUCAUAUUUUGAGUCAAGGCACACAUCAGGUGCGGUACACAGCAUGGCAUACUUUAGAUUCUACGGCUAAGGCAUAGAAGACGACCUUCGUCUAUUCUCUUUAUUCUGCCGGGGUCGGGUUUUGAGUCUUACUCAAAUUCACACCUCACAACGCAACCAAGAACUCCUUCUUUGCUAAUCUAUUUUGAACUCCUUCAAAAACUUGUCAAGGCAUGCAUCUUGUUGAAACUUCCAUUAAGCGCUUUCGAUCUAUCUCCAUAGAUCUUUGAUGCUCAACGUUCAAGUAGCUCAAUCCAGGUAUUCCUUUGAAAACUCCUUUCAAACAACCUUGUAUGUUUUACAGAAAUUCUACAUUACUUCUGAUCCACAAUAUGUCAACCACAUAUACUUAUCAGAAAUUCUAUAGUGCUCCCACUCACUUCUUUGGAAAUACAAGUUUCUCAUAAACCUUGUACAGACCCAAAAUCUUUGAUCAUCUCAUCAAAGUACAUAUAUUCCAACUCCGAGAUGCUUGCACCAGUCCAUUGAAGGAUCGCUGGAGCUUGCAUACUUGCUAGUAUCUUUAGGAUCGACAAAACCUUCUGGUUGUAUCACAUACAAUGUUUGCUCAAGGAAACCGUCGAGAAAACAAUGUUUUGACAUCCUACGUGCAAUAUUUCAUAAAUAAUGCAUCAACAACUAACAUAAUUCUAACAGACCUUUAGCAUCGCUACGAGUGAGAAAGUCUCAUCAUAGUCAACUGUUUGAUCUUGUCGAAAACAUCUUUGCGACAAGUCGAGCUUUUCAUAAUAGUGACUUAUCACCAUCAUUGUCUGUCUUCUUUUAAAGACCCAUCUUUACUCAAUAGUCUUCUGACCAUCAAGUAGUUCUUCCAAAGUCUACACUUUGUUUUCAUACAUGGAUCCUCUCUCGGAUUUCAUGGCUUCCAACCAUUUGUCGGAAUCUGGGCCCACCAUCGCUUUCUCCAUAACUCGUAGGUUCACUGUUGCUCAACAACAUGACCUCCAAGACAGGGUUACCGUACCACUCUGUAGUAGUACGCGACCUUGUCAACCUACGAGGCUUGUAGUAACUUGAUCUGAUGCUCGAUGAUCACCAUCAUCAGCUUCCACUUCAAUCGGUGUAGGCGCCACAGGAACAACUUCCUGCGCCCUGCUACACACUGGUUGAAGUGAUGGUUCAAUAACCUCAUCAAGUUCUACCACUCUCCCACUCAAUUCUUUCGAGAGAAACCUUUCCUCGAGAAAGGAUCCGUUUCUAGAAAUAAACACUUUGCUUUCGGAUCUGAGAUAGGAGAUGUACCCAACUGUUUUUGGAUAUCCUAUGAAGAUGCAUUUAUCCGCUUUGGGUUCAAGCUCAUCAGACUGAAACUUUUUCACAUAAGUGUCGAAGCCCCAAACUUUCAAGAAACGACAGUUUAGAUUUCUCUAAACCUCAGUCUAUACUGUGUCAUCUCAACGGAAAUACGUGGUGCCCUAUUUAAAGUGAGUGCGGUUGUCUCUAAUGCAUAACCCAUAAACGAUAGUGGUAAUUCGAUAAGAGACAUCAUAAUAUGCACCAUACCAAAUAGUGCGUGGCUAUGACGUUCAGACACAUCAUCACACUACGAUGUUCCAGGUGGCAUGAACUGCGAAACAAUUUCCACAUUGUCUUAACUGCGUACCAAAACUCGUAACUCAGAUAUUCAUUUCCAUGAUCAUAUCGUAGACAGUUUAUCCUCUUGUUACGACGAACUUCACUCCGAAACAGAAUUGAACUUUUCAAUAUUUCAGACUUGUGAUUCAUUAAGUAAAUACUGUAGUAUCUACUCAAAUCGUGAGUGAAGUAAGAACAUAAUGAUAUCCACUACGUGCCUCAGCACCCAUUGGACUGCAUACAUCAAAAUGUAUCACUUCCAACAAGUUACUAUCUUAUUUCAUCUCAAUGAAAACAAGGCCUUGCUCAUGUGGUAUGAUUUGCAUGUCACUAGUGAUUCGAAAUCAGGUGAGUACAAAGAUCCAUCAGCAUGGAGCCUCUUCAUGCAAUUUAUACUAACAUGACUCAAGCGGCAGUGCCACAAGUAAGUGGUACUAUCAUCAUCAACUCGUAUCUUUUGGCACCAAUAUCAUGAACAUGUGUAACACUACGAUCGAGAUUCAAUAAACCAUUGAAGGUGAAUAUUCAAGAAAAUAGAGUAACCAUUAUUCUCCUUAAAUGAAUAAUCGUAUUGCAAUAAACACGAUCCAAUCAUGUUCAUGCUUAACGCAAGCACCAAAUAACAAUUAUUUAGGUUUAACACCAAUCCCGAUGGUAGAGGGAGCAUGCGACGUUUGAUCAUAUCAAUCUUGGAAACACUUCCAACACGUAUCGUCACCUCGCCUUUAGCUAGUCUCCGUUUAUGCCGUAGCUUUCAUUUCGCGUCACUAAUCACUUAGCAACUGAACCGGUAUCCAAUACCCUCGUGCUACUAGGAGUACUAGUAAAGUACACAUCAACAUCAUGUAUAUCAAAUACACUUCUUUCGACUUUUGCCAGCCUUCUUAUCUACCAAGUAUCUUGAGUUGCUCCGCCUCAGUGAUUGUUCCCCUCAUUACAGAAGCACUUAGUCUCGGGUUUGGGUUUAAUCUUGGGUCUCUUCAUUAGUGCAGCAACUGUUUUGCCGUUUCACGAAGUAUCCCUUCUAGCCCUUGCCUUUCUUGAAACUUAGUGGUUUUACAAACCAUCAACUAUUGAUGCUCCUUCUUGAUUUCUACUUUCGCAGUGUCAAACAUCGCGAAUCGCUCAAGGAUCAAUGUAUGUAUCCUUGAUAUGUUAUAGUUCAUCACGAAGCUCUCACAGCUUGGUGGCAGUGACUUUGGAGAACUAUCACUAUCUCAUCUGGAAGAUUAACUCCCACUUGAUUCAAGCGAUUGUCGUACUCAGACAAUCUGAGCACAUGCUCAACGAUUGAGCCUUUUCUCCUGUGCUUUGUGGACAAAGAAUCUUGUCGGAGGUCUCAUACCUCUUAACAAGGGCACAAGCAUGAAAUCACAAUUUCAUCUCUUUAGAACAUCACUUAUGUUCCGUGACGUUUUACAACGUUUUCGGCGCCUUGCUUCUAAGCCAUUAAGUAUUUUUGUACUGAACUAUCGUGUAGUCAUCAGAAACGUGUAUGUCGGAUGUUCACAGCAUCCACAGACGACGCUCGAGGUGCAGCACACCGAGUGGUGCAUUAAGGACAUAAGCCUUCUGUGCAGCAAUGAGGACAAUCCUUGGUUUUACAGACUCAGUCUGCAAAGUUUGCUACUAUCAACUUUCAACUAAAUUUUCUCUAGGAACAUAUAAAACAGUAGAGCUAUAGGGCAAGCUACAUCGUAAUUCGCAAAGACCAUUAGACUAUGUUCAUGACAAUUAGUUCAAUUAAUCAUAUUACUUAAGAACUCCCACUCAAAAAGUACAUCUCUCUAGUCAUUUGAGUGGUACAUGAUCCAAAUCCACUAUCUCAAGUCCGAUCAUCACGUGAGUCGAGAAUAGUUUCAGUGGUAAGCAUCUCUAUGCUAAUCAUAUCAACUAUACGAUUCAUGCUCGACCUUUCGGUCUCAUGUGUUCCGAGGCCAUGUCUGCACAUGCUAGGCUCGUCAAGCUUAACCCGAGUGUUCCGCGUGCGCAACUGUUUUGCACCCGUUGUAUGUGAACGUUGAGUCUAUCACACCCGAUCAUCACGUGGUGUCUCGAAACGACGAACUGUAGCAACGGUGCACAGUCGGGGAGAACACAAUUUCGUCUUGAAAUUUUAGUGAGAGAUCACCUCAUAAUGCUACCGUCGUUCUAAGCAAAAUAAGGUGCAUAAAAGGAUUAACAUCACAUGCAAUUUAUAAGUGACAUGAUAUGGCCAUCAUCACGUGCUUCUUGAUCUCCAUCACCAAAGCACCGGCACGAUCUUCUUGUCACCGGUGUCACACCAUGAUCUCCAUCAUCAUGAUCUCCAUCAACGUGUCGCCAUCGGGGUUGUCGUGCUACUCAUGCUAUUACUACUAAAGCUACGUCCUAGCAAAAUAGUAAACGCAUCUGCAAGCACAAACGAUAGUUAUAAAGACAACCCUAUGGCUCCUGCCGGUUGCCGUACCAUCGACGUGCAAGUCGAUAUUAUCUAUUACAACAUGAUCAUCUCAUACAUCCAAUAUAUCACAUCACAUCGUUGGCCAUAUCACAUCACAAGCAUACCCUGCAAAAACAAGUUAGACGUCCUCUAAUUUUGUUGUUGCAUGUUUUACGUGGUGACCAUCGGUAUCUAGUAGGAUCGCAUCUUACUUACGCAAACACCACAACGGAGAUAUAUGAGUUGCUAUUUAACCUCAUCCAAGGACCUCCUCGGUCAAAUCCGAUUCAACUAAAGUUGGAGAAACCGACACUUGCCAGUCAUCUUUGAGCAACGGGGUUACUCGUAGCGAUGAAACCAGUCUCUCGUAAGCGUACAAGUAAUGUCGGUCCAAGCCGCUUCAAUCCAACAAUACCGCGGAAUCAAGAAAAGACUAAGGAGGGCAGCAAAACGCACAUCACCGCCCACAAAAACUUUUGUGUUCUACUCGAGAAGACAUCUACGCAUGAACCUAGCUCAUGAUGCCACUGUUGGGGAACGUCGCAAGGGAAACAAAAAUUUUCCUACGCGCACGAAGACCUAUCAUGGUGAUGUCCAUCUACGAGAGGGGAUGAGUGAUCUACGUACCCUUGUAGAUCGUACAGCAGAAGCGUUAGUGAACGCGGUUGAUGUAGUGGAACGUCCUCACGUCCCUCGAUCCGCCCCGCGAACAAUCCCGCGAUCAGUCCCACGAUCUAGUACCGAACGGACGGCACCUCCGCGUUCAGCACACGUACAACUCGACGAUGAUCUCGGCCUUCUUGAUCCAGCAAGAGAGACGGAGAGGUAGAAGAGUUCUCCGGCAGCGUGACGGCGCUCCGGAGGUUGGUGAUGAUCUUGUCUCAGCAGGGCUCCGCCCGAGCUCCGCAGAAACGCGAUCUAGAGGAAAAACUAUGGAGGUAUGUGGUCGGGCAGCCGUGAGAAAGUCGUCUCAAAUCAGCCCUAAAACCUCCGUAUAUAUAGGUGGGAGGCAGGGGAGGAGGCAGCCUCAAAACCUAAAGGCUUGGCCAAAAUUGGAGGUGGAGGAGUCCUACUCCAAUCCUACUUGGAGUAGGAUUCCACCUUCCCACUUGGAAACUCUUUCCACCUUGUGUUUUUUCCUUCUCAAACCUUAUGGGCCUUAGUGGGAACUUAUUCCAGCCCACUAGGGGCUGGUUUAUCUCUUCCCAUAGCCCAUGAGACCCCUUGGGGCGUGACACCCCUCCCGAUGGUCCCCGGCACCCCUCCCGGCACUCCCGGUACACUACCGAUGAGACCGAAACUUUUCCGGUAAUGCACGAAAACCUUCCGGUAACCAAAUGAGGUCAUCCUAUAUAUCAAUCUUCGUUUCCGGACCAUUCCGGAAACCCUCGUGACGUCCGUGAUCUCAUUCGGGACUCCGAACAACAUUCGGUAACCAACCAUAUAACUCAAAUACGCAUAAAACAACGUCGAACCUUAAGUGUGCAGACCCUGCGGGUUCGAGAACUAUGUAGACAUGACCCGAGAGACUCCUCGGUCAAUAUCCAAUAGCGGGACCUGGAUGCCCAUAUUGGAUCCUACAUAUUCUACGAAGAUCUUAUCGUUUGAACCUCAGUGCCAAGGAUUCAUAUAAUCCCGUAUGUCAUUCCCUUUGUCCUUCGGUAUGUUACUUGCCCGAGAUUCGAUCGUCAGUAUCCGUAUACCUAUUUCAAUCUCGUUUACUGGCAAGUAUCUUUACUCGUUCCGUAAUACAAGAUCCCGCAACUUACACUAAGUUACAUUGCUUGCAAGGCUUGUGUGUGAUGUUGUAUUACCGAGUGGGCCCCGAGAUACCUCUCCGUUCACACGGAGUGACAAAUCCCAGUCUUGAUCCAUACUAACUCAACUAACACCUUCGGAGAUACCUGUAGAGCAUCUUUAUAGUCACCCAGUUACGUUGCGACGUUUGAUACACACAAAGCAUUCCUCCGGUGUCAGUGAGUUAUAUGAUCUCAUGGUCAUAGGAAUAAAUACUUGACACGCAGAAAACAGUAGCAACAAAAUGACACGAUCAACAUGCUACGUCUAUUAGUUUGGGUCUAGUCCAUCACAUGAUUCUCCUAAUGAUGUGAUCCCAUUAUCAAGUGACAACACUUGCCUAUGGCCAGGAAACCUUGACCAUCUUUGAUUAACGAGCUAGUCAACUAGAGGCUUACUAGGGACAGUGUUUUGUCUAUGUAUCCACACAAGUAUUGUGUUUCCAAUCAAUACAAUUAUAGCAUGGAUAAUAAACGAUUAUCAUGAACUAAGAAAUAUAAUAAUAACUAAUUUAUUAUUGCCUCUAGGGCAUAUUUCCAACAGGCAGUAGCAUAUUUGUAAUGUGGGAAAGGCCUCAAAGGCAAGGAAAACAGAUGAAGUAUCCACACCGAAUCAGAGAGUAGUUGCAUCUUGUGAAAGGUUAUUCUCUUUAAUGAGAUAUGUGAAGAAUAAGCAAAGGAACAAAAUGGUGAUGAAUAUUUGAACAAUUAUUUGGUGACAUUUGUUAAGAGAGAAUUUUUCAAUCAAGUUAAGAAUGAAGUUGUAAUCAAUCUCUUCCAAAAAGGCGACUGGAGAGUUAUAUUGUAAGAAGGAUAUCAUCACUUUAUCAAUCAAAAGGUGGUUAUGUAUUCGUGUCGUUAUGGUCUCAUACAUUGAAAUAUUGCUAUUGCCAUUAUGCUAGUGUUAUUUUGUUUAUAUAUUGCUAAUGUUGUGUUGUUUGGUUCAUAUAUUACAUUUAGAGAAAAAGUAAAUUUGGAUGAAUACUCAGCCUUUAUUUCCUAGGCCGCCACUACUCACAGAGGCCAGGGCGACUUCCAUCAUCGGAUGAGCAGGAGGGCGAGGUGGACCCGAAGUUCAUCGCGAAUCGACCAUCGGAGAAGAGACCAUUGGGGGAGGAGGUAUUGGAGCCUGAACGCCACACAGAGAGCGAACAUAUGUCAAGACAAGAAUAUAGUUUCAACUCCGAGCUUCUCGGACAAGUAACGCGUAGGCGCUGCGAUAGCGGUCCAUGUUCGAAUCCCCUAGCGAAAAACCUAGGGUUUCUCUUGCUUCCGAUGCGUGAGCGGGAAUCUAUCUCGUAUCUUCAACGGAUCUCCCCGACGCUCCUCUCUCAUACUCGGGCUGAUCAAGGGGGAACCUCGCAUUCUUUCCCAUCCUUGUUGUGAUGUUUUUCGGAGUUUCAAGGGAAGAAGCUUUAGGGUUUGUUUGUUGAUCAAAGUUUCGGUCGCGAUGGCGGCCGAGGAUCCUGGAUCAUAGAGGAGGGGCAAGGGAGAGUGCAGACGAUCUUCUUGCCCGCCUGAACCUGUAGGAAGAAGAAGAUGAUGACUUCGUCUCAGAAGAGGAGCUUCCUGAUUUGAUGGCGGCGGCCAACUGGCUAGCUAUUGUUAGGGUUGAUACCCCAAAAACCUUUAGUCUGAGUGCGCUCUAUAGGGACAUGCGAGCAGCAUGGAACCCAACUAGGCCUGUGGUUUGGAGGAAUAUCAAUGACAAUAUCUUCACAGCAUAAUUCGGUUGCUUAGCAGACUCGAAGAAGGCUAUGUUUGAAGGUCCAUGGCUCUUCAGGGGACAGGCAGUGAUAUUGAAAGAGUAUGAUGGGUUUAAAAACCCUGAAUCUAUCCAACUGGAAAAAAUAGCAGUGUGGGCGCAGAUUCAUCGACUCCCACACAAUUUUCUGAUAGAUCAAGCAGUUCGAGGGAUGGCCUUUUGCAUAGGUGAGGUGGAGGAGAUUCAACUAAGGCUACCGGCUGUUUUUUUUGGAGAAUUUGUUCAGGUCAAAGUCAAUAUUGAUAUCAAUGCUAAAAUAAAUAGGUUUUUGACACGAAAGAAGGGAAAUGAACGUGUUCGUUAUCAAGUUAAAUACAAAAAGUUACCCACCUUCUGCUUCAACUAUGGGGAAUUUGGCCACUGGUAUGAAAAAUGCGGUGACGGUGAACAUGACGAAUCAGACUUUGGUUGGGGUGAAUUUGUCCUAGCUGAUGUUUUUAGGGAUGGUCAUGAUGGUCAGGGUGUAGCCGAACCCGAGAGAGGAUGAGGUUUUAGAGGAGGUGCAGGAGGAGGAAGAGGAAGGGGGAGGCACGUAUAACCCUAACCAUAGCUGGCGCUUCAAUGCGCAGGAUCAGAACACGAUGAAUACCGGGGGAAGGAUGGAAACUGAAAGGGGAGAGGAUGAACUCUCUGAAACCCCGGAAGGCAACACCUUGGCAGUGGUGCAAGAUAACUUGCAGGUGCAGAAUAAACACCCCUCGGUUGAAAAUGGAGCGAGUUCCAUCUCAGCAAGUCAAGACGUGAUCGCUAAAGAAACGGGGGAUGGCGGGAUGAAUCCAUUAGAUUUGGUGGUGGCUGAAGCCUUCCUCCCGUUUAUAUCUCCCCUUGCAAACAAAUCAAAAGGCACAAGCAAGGGGAGGAAGGAAGUGGCCAGAUAGCAAAGAAGGGCGGUGCCAGAGGGAGAACCUCAGGAGUAGAAGUAACCCAAACCAAUGUCAGAUCGGCGACCUCCCUGGGGGAGGAUCGCCGGGAGCAAUGAAAACCCUAGCAUUGAAUUGUCGGGGGUUACUCUUGCCCACGGCAGUUCGAGAGCUCUUGGAUCUCCAAGGGCGCGUGAGAGCAGAUGUGAUCGUCCUGUCUGAAUCACAUCUGAAUAAUGAUAAGGCAGAAGUUUUGAGAGUUAAGCUAGGAUUUGAUUCGUUUCAUAUAGUAGCUAGUGAUGGCAGGGCCGGUGGGCUUGUACUCUACUAUAAUCCCUCUUAUGAGGUGAUUUUGAACUAUUCCUUGGAUAACUUUAUUGAUGGCCUAAUUAUGGAUGGGAACUCCCGAGCUUGGCGAAUUACAGGGUUCUACAAAGAACCGAGUUCGGAUAGGAAGCAUCUCCCAUGGACAUAUCUUCAGGAUAUUCACGCCAACGAUUCUGGUCCAUGGAUGGUUCUUGGUGAAUUCAAUGAAAUUGCUAACAUGAGUGAAAAGGAAGGUGGUAAUAUCAGACCUGAUCACUACAUGCGGGAUUUCAGAAAUUGCAUAGAGGAUUGUGGCCUCCAGGAAGUCAUGGUGAUAGGGGAUAAUUUCACAUGGAGUAGAGGACCAAUCAGAGAGAAGCUUGACAGGGCCGUGUGCAAUGAGAUGUAGGCGGACAAAUAUCCCCAUGCCGCCCUGAUUCACGAACAUCAUUCCCACCCUGACCAUAGGCCUAUUCUGCUAGACACCGAUUACUUUAAACCAUUCAUGAGGCAACAGACGAAUCGACACAGGUUUGAAGCCCGUUGGUUAGAUGAAAUAACAGUCACUAAGAUCAUCACAUCAACGUGGGAGUGGGCCAAGGCUGCGGGGAUUGGCCCCUCCCUGGCGAACCAGACCAAGGUAGUGUUGCGUGAUAUGCAUGAAUGGGAUCGUGAGAUUCUUAUUAAAAGCCCAAAUAAGAGAAUUAAUAAAUUGCAGAAAGAACUCGAGAAAUUGAGGAGGAAACCGAAUACGGCGGAAGGCCGACAGAAAAUGCAAGAUAUUCAGGUUUUGAUUCAAAAUCUACUCAACCAAGAAGAACUCAUAUGGCUCCAACAGGUCCAUGCAAACUGGUUGUUACAUGGUGACCGUAAUACUGCUUAUUUCCAUAGAGCAGUUUCAGCUCGAAAGAAAUGAAACUGCAUUAAGAAGUUGCUUGAUAAUACCGGGGUGUGGACUGAUAGUGUAGAUGAAAUUAACACAUCUUCUCUACCUAUUUCUCUGACUUGUUCACAACACAUGUUCAUCUGCCGGAUUUGAAUGUGAUAUCUUGGGUGCAGAGACGUGUAACUGAUGCCAUGAACGAGGCCUUUAUGGCCUCAUAUACUCCUGAAGAGGUUAAAAAAGCUCCAUUCUCAAUUGGUGACUUCAAAGCACCCAGACCUGAUGGGUUACAUGCGGUGUUUUAAAAACGGUUUUGGCCAAUGUUGGGGGAAGAUCUGGUUAGGGAAGUUCUUCAUGCUGUCAAUUCACAGGUUAUAUGACGAGCCUGGAAUGAUACUACUAUUGUUAUGAUCUCCAAGAUAAACACACCAUAGACAAUUAAACAAUUCAGGCCUAUUAUCUUGUGCAAUGUGGUUUACAAACUUAUCUCCAAGAUGAUUGCAGCAAGACUAAAAAUUUUGCUGCCAGAAAUCAUCAGCCCCACACAAAGUGCCUUUGUUCCUAGGAGACUCAUCACAUAUAAUGUUCUGAUUGCUUACGAGUGUGUGCAUCAAUUAAACAGAAGAAAAAAGGCAAGGAGGGAUGGUGUGCGGUAAAGUUGGAUAUGCAUAAACAUACGAUCGUGUUGAAUGUGUUUUCUGGAGGGUAUACUUAUCAAAUUGGGAUUUAGGACUGAAUGGAUCAAAACGAUCAUGAGUUGUGUGUCAUGAGUGGAGUAUAGAGUGAGGUAUCAUUCAGUUGAAACGGAUACUAUCAAACCAUUGCGAUGUCUUCGUCAGGGGGAUCCAUUAUCUCCAUAUUUAUUCUUGCUGGUUACUGAGGGACUGACAUCACUUCUUCACCAUGUAGAGCAAUCAAGUGAUCUAUGGGUUUCAAGGUUUUUCAUGAUGCCCCUUCCGUUACGAACCUUCUAUUUAUCGAGGACUCCUUAAUUUUAAUGAAAGCAAAUGUACCGAAUGCAAGUAGCUUGAAAGCUGUUUUGGAUGCUUAUUGCGGCGCUUGUGGCCAACUAGUGAGUGUGGAGAAAUCUAGUAUUUUCGUCAGCCCGAGUACGGAUGUAAACAUCAAGGCUCAGAUUUGUUCCACCCUCAUUAUCAUGACUGAGGCUCUAAAUGACAAAUACUUGGGCCUACCCUCUACCCUUGGACUUGACAAAUCGGACAACUUUCAAUAUUUGAUUGACCGGCUGAUCUUGAGAUUGACGGGACAGAAUGAAAAAUGUCUGUCAUUUGGAGGUAAAGAAGUGCUAAUCAAAUCGGUUUCACAAGCCAUACCAACAUACGCGAUGCCGGCCUUCAAAAUUCCUAAGAAAAUUUGCAAAGGAAUUACAAAUACGAUCUCGAGUUACUGGUGAGGGGAUGGUGCAUCACAUAAGAGAAUGCACCGGUUUGCCUGGUGGAAGAUGUGCGUACCAAAAAGUAGAGGGGGAUUGGGGUUCAAAGACAUCCAUUGUUUCAACGUGCCAUUACUAGCAAAACAAGCUUGGCGACUUAUCGAUGACCCGAAUCUCUCUGUGCUAAGAAUCGCAAAGCAAAAUAUUAUCUCGAUGAUGACAUCAUGAAUGCAAGACUAAAAAAGAAAGCUUCGUUUACAUGGCAAAGCAUAAUGGCUGGAGUGGAAACUCUGAAACAUGGGCAUAUACGGAGGGUUGUUGAUGGCCAAAAGAUUAAUAUAUGGGAUGAUAGUUGGAUCCCACUACCACCAACAAGAAAGGUUAUUUCAAGUAGAGGGGGUCAUCUACUAUCUCAGGUCUCAGACCUCAUUGAUCCAGUGUCAGGUGACUGGGACUCAUCACUGGUUAUUCAAACUUUCUGCUCCAUUGAUGCUCAAAGAAUUCUUGCAAUUCCACUAUCGUUAUACGAAAUUUCAGAUUUCCUGGCAUGGAGCCUCACAAAAUCAGGAGUAUUCACGGUAAAGUCUGCUUACCAUGCUAUAUGGGACUCAAAAUUUGGCCACAAUAAAGAGGGGAUGCCAUGUUCUUCCUCGCCAACAUCUACAUGGGACUCGGUCUGGAGUCUUUGUUGCCUGGCAAAGAUCAAAAUCUUUCUAUGGAGAAUACUUCAAAGUGCCAUACCAUGCCGUUCAAUCUUAGCUGACAGACAUAUCAAAAUUAAGCCAAAUUAUCGAGGUUGCAACUAAGGGCCGGAGAACAUCCGCCACCUCCGUUCGAAUGUCCUGCCGCGGUUCAGGUUUGGAAACUCCUUGGAGUGUUGGAUGUGAUAAAGUGUGGCCUAGCAAUGAACCUAUGUGGAGAGGCAAUGGUUGAUUUCCUGCUAAGUUUACCACACAAUCAUAUCCAUGUGCUGGGCUUGCCGAAGGUGAGAGAAAUGGUGUCAAUAUGCUGCUGGUUCUUGUGGUGCGAAAGGAAGGAAAAGUACUCAUGGAGGUUCCCCACAAACGAUUGAACAAAUCAAUCUUGUUGUCCGAGUUACGGCGGCAAACUUCGUUGCGGCGAAUUCCUUAAAACCAAAAGUUUGCGUGGAUGGCUGGAAGAAACACAAGGAGGGAUUAUGUCAAGUUAAAUGUGGAUGCGAGCUUCGAUCAAGACUCCCUUGAAGGGUCUGUAGGUGCUAUUAUCAGAUAUCACAACGACAAGUUUACUGCUGCUGCAAAUGAAAAAAUAGAAAUCUACUACGACGCUUUCGCUACAGAAGCAAUUGCAGUCAGGUUCGGUCUUAACCUCGCCCAAACAGGUGGAUGCAACAGAGUUGAAGUUAACUCAGAUAAUGUGGAGGUGAUUUUAGCACUCAAGGAAGGAUAUUCAUCUUCGGUGGCCAGCGCAAUUUUUGAUGAUUGUUAUUUUUUGUCUUUAGACUUUGAUCAUAUUGUCUUUGAACACUAUUUUAGAGAGAACAAUAAAGUAGCCCAUGAGUUAGCUAGAUUAGCUAGAUUCAACCCUCACAAAGUUUGGUUAGAUGUAGCCCCAAUAGUUGUUAUUCCUCUCAUUGUAUCCAAUGCUACAAUUGUAGCCAAUUAAUAAAGGGGGUGUGAAUUUCAAAAAACAGAGUGAACAUAACUUGAGGGAGAGCACGAGCAAUCGGACGGGGCCAUCACACCGGAGGACGACAAAGGAAGAAGGGGGCAGCGGCGCCGCACGCCCACAUGCAAGCGUGAACGGGAUAUGCACAUCUUCUCACAUGAGGCACGAGUCAGAGCAGGGGCCUCGGAUCUGGCCUAGGCGGCCGCACGUGAAGGGCAGACUGGGCGACAUUGCGGGCGGACGCUUACCCAACGCAGGAGCUCCGCAUCGUGUAGCUAGCUUUUUGGCUGGAGAGACUUGCGUGAUAUUUGACUUUUAGGUGAGAUCGUGAGAUCAGCCCCAGAAAACAUAUUUAGACAUUUCGAAAAAAUCAUAAAGUGUUUGAUAACAUUUAUGUGGGGUAUAUCUACAACUUCGAAAAAAUCAGCUCAAAACUCGAUGUACAUUUAAGGAUUCAAAAAAGACAAAUUUGAAUGAGAAUAGUAGCAGUUUCGGGUGAUUAGUAUUUUGACACUAUUCACAUUUGAUUUUGUCUUUUUUUAAUUAAUGUAAGUUGAAUUUGGAGCUCAAACUUUUUGAGGUUGUACAUUAAACAUUAAUAUGUGUCUACAAUUUUUUUGAGAAUGAUUGAGCAUGUAUUUUUUUAUAAAUGAUCUCAUAGAUCUCACCUAAUGUGAGAUCUCACACAUGUCUCCCCCUUUCUCAUCCACUCUUGUUUAAAGAAUCUACAAUCGGACCCCUCAUGUCCAUCUCAAACACCCGAGCAGGCUGCUCGGUCACUGACCGAUCAGAAAAUGCGACCCAACCCGACCCCUCAAAUGGGCCUCGAACGNNNNNNNNNNNNNNNNNNNNNNNNNNNNNNNNNNNNNNNNNNNNNNNNNNNNNNNNNNNNNNNNNNNNNNNNNNNNNNNNNNNNNNNNNNNNNNNNNNNNCAGCUGCCACAUACUCAGCUUCGGUUGAUGAUAAGGAGACGCAAUUCUGCUUCUUUGAAGACCAACUUACCAAAGAGCGACCAAGGAAUUGGCAUCCUCCAGACGUUGACUUCCUCUCCACACAAUCUCCUGCCGAAUCUGAGUCAGAAUAGCCAACUAGAUUGAAGUUUGCUCCUUUGGGAUAMMAGAACGACAGUCAGGACUCCACAAAGACUCCUAUGAGCCCGUGCCGCGACCCGGACCGCGGCGGGGCCAGGGGCGGAGGCGGCGCCUCCGGCGAUGGCGAGGGCAAUAACCAAAUACCAGCGGGCGAGAAGGGCGCCUGCUCGCCGGCGGCCACCCCGUCUCCAGUGGGGGCCUGGCUUCCGGGAGUUCAGGAGUCCCAGGAUCUCGACGUUGCUGACUGCGGAGGAGAGAUCGGGGUGGCGAUCGGGAGGGCUAGGAUCGCCAGCCAUUCCGACGGCCUGAUCCGAUCUACCUGUUGUGAUGCCAAGGCGCAUCUCGACGGGACCUCAGCACAUCGGAAGUGGGCGGCGGUGUUCGAGGAUGUCUCCUCUGGAUCUCGUCGGCAGCGCUUUGGAUCAAUAGUGUUGCAUUUACCUUCGCGCUGGGUUACGAUUCGUGACGAAGAUGAUGAUAUUUUGGCUGGCACUUAUUUGCAUGUUGUGUUGCUUAGCAUGCUGUGCUGUAUCUGACCCUAUCUUUGGGUUUGUAAUUUUUUUUCUAUCUUCUCAAUAUAUCAACACACAAGUUUUGUGUUUUUCUCACAAAAAGAACUUGUGCCUUUUUGUUUCUUCUUCUUAUACAAAAUGACGCACAUUUAUAUGCAUGCUCAAGAAAAAAGAGGAUAAAUACAAAAAUAUUUAUGGCCACAUAUGUAUAUACCAGGAAACAGAAGGUGUAUGUCAACAACAGCAAUCCAGGUUGGAAAAGGGAUGUUGGAUAAAAGAACGACAGUCAGGACUCCACAAAGACUCCUAUGAGCCCGUGCCGCGACCCGGACCGCGGCGGGGCCAGGGGCGGAGGCGGCGCCUCCGGCGAUGGCGAGGGCAAUAACCAAAUACCAGSSGGUGAGAAGGGCGCCUGCUCGCCGGCGGCCACCCGUCNNNNNNNNNNNNNNNNNNNNNNNNNNNNNNNNNNNNNNNNNNNNNNNNNNNNNNNNNNNNNNNNNNNNNNNNNNNNNNNNNNNNNNNNNNNNNNNNNNNNUCAAAAAUUGCGCUGGCCACCGAAGAUGAAUAUCCUUCCUUGAGUCUAAAAUCACCUCCACAUUAUCUGAUUAACUUCAACUCUGUUGCAUCCACCUGUUUGGGCGAGGUUAAGACCGAACCUGACUGCAAUUGCUUCUGUAGCGAAAGCGUCGUAGUAGAUUUCUAUUUUUCAUUUGCAGCAGCAGUAAACUUGUCGUUGUGAUAUCGAUAASCAMMUACCAGCRSSCKWSAAGGGMGYCUGCUCGCCGGCGGCCACCCCGUCUCCAGUGGGGGCCUGGCUUCCGGGAGUUCAGGAGUCCCAGGAUCUCGACGUUGCUGACUGCGGAGGAGAGAUCGGGGUGGCGAUCGGGAGGGCUAGGAUCGCCAGCCAUUCCGACGGCCUGAUCCGAUCUACCUGUUGUGAUGCCAAGGCGCAUCUCGACGGGACCUCAGCACAUCGGAAGUGGGCGGCGGUGUUCGAGGAUGUCUCCUCUGGAUCUCGUCGGCAGCGCUUUGGAUCAAUAGUGUUGCAUUUACCUUCGCGCUGGGUUACGAUUCGUGACGAAGAUGAUGAUAUUUUGGCUGGCACUUAUUUGCAUGUUGUGUUGCUUAGCAUGCUGUGCUGUAUCUGACCCUAUCUUUGGGUUUGUAAUUUUUUUCUAUCUUCUCAAUAUAUCAACACACAAGUUUUGUGUUUUUCUCACAAAAAGAACUUGUGCCUUUUUGUUUCUUCUUCUUAUACAAAACGACACACAUUUAUAUGCAUGCUCAAGAAAAAAGAGGAUACAUACCCCCCAAUAGAUUUCACAACUUCUGAAUAUAUGGGCAACUCAACAACCNNNNNNNNNNNNNNNNNNNNNNNNNNNNNNNNNNNNNNNNNNNNNNNNNNNNNNNNNNNNNNNNNNNNNNNNNNNNNNNNNNNNNNNNNNNNNNNNNNNNGCAGGGUCUGCACACUUAAGGUUCGACGUUGUUUUAUGCGUAUUUGAGUUAUAUGGUUGGUUACCGAAUGUUGUUCGGAGUCCCGGAUGAGAUCACGGAUGUCACGAGGGUUUCCGGAAUGGUCCGGAAACGAAGAUUGAUAUAUAGGAUGACCUCAUUUGGUUACCGGAAGGUUUCCGUGCAUUACCAGAAAAGUUUCGGGCUCAUCGGCUAUGGGAAGAGAUAAACCAGCCCCUAGUGGGCUGGAAUAAGUUCCCACUAAGGCCCAUAAGGUUUGAGAAGGAAAAAACACAAGGUGGAAAGAGUUUCCAAGUGGGAAGGUGGAAUCCUACUCCAAGUAGGAUUGGAGUAGGACUCCUCCACCUCCAAUUUCGGCCAAACCCUUUAGGUUUUGAGGCUGCCUCCUCCCCUCCCUCCCAMCUAUAUAUACGGAGGUAUUAGGGCUGAUUUGAGACGACUUUUCCACGGCAGCCCGACCACAUACCUCCAUAGUUUUUCCUCUUAGAUUCGCGUUUCUGCGGAGCUCGGGCGGAGCCCUGCUGAGACGAGAUCAUCGACSWASCUCCGGAGCGCCGUCACGCUGCCGGAGAACUCUUCUACCUCUCCGUCUCUCUUGCUGGAUCAAGAAGGCCGAGAUCAUCAUCGAGCUGUACGUGUGCUGAACGCGGAGGUGCCGUCCGUUCGGUACUAGAUCGUGGGACUGAUCGCGGGAUUGUUCGCGGGGCGGAUCGAGGGACGUGAGGACGUUCCACUACAUCAACCGCGAUCUCUAAUCGCUUCUGCUGUACGAUCUACAAGGGUACGUAGAUCACUCAUCCCCUCUCGUAGAUGGACAUCACCAUGAUAGGUCUUCGUGCGUGUAGGAAAAUUUUUGUUUCCCAUGCGACGUUCCCCAACAACGUCUUCACGUCCCUCGAUCCGCCCCGCGNNNNNNNNNNNNNNNNNNNNNNNNNNNNNNNNNNNNNNNNNNNNNNNNNNNNNNNNNNNNNNNNNNNNNNNNNNNNNNNNNNNNNNNNNNNNNNNNNNNNGAUCUAGUUUCUUUUGCAUUUUUAGCGCAGUCAUCGUUAUAUGACUCCUCAAGAGCCAAACGAAGAGUGCGCUCUUCUUCUAGAGCACUAGAUAAUUCGGAAAUUUCAUCGGCAUAGUCACGACUAUGUCCCUGAAGCUCGGAGAUGGUCUCCUCAUGAGACUCAAUGAGGUCAGUGGCCUCACCCAGUUGUUCCAAGAGAGCCACAAAGUGCUUCUUGGGUUCUCCCUUAAUAGUGCACAGAAACUUAUCAAGAUCAUGCUCAUUAAGUUCCCCAACAUUACUAUCUUCUUGCCCGAGAUUCGAUCGUCAGUAUCCGCAUACCUAUUUCAAUCUCGUUUACCGGCAAGUCUCUUUACUCGUUCCGUAAUACAAGAUCCCGCAACUUACACUAAGUUACAUUGCUUGCAAGGCUUGUGUGUGAUGUUGUAUUACCGAGUGGGCCCCGAGAUAYCUCUCCGUUCACACGGAGUGACAAAUCCCAGUCUUGAUCCAUACUAACUCAACUAACACCUUCGGAGAUACCUGUAGAGCAUCUUUAUAGUCACCCAGUUACGUUGCGACGUUUGAUACACACAAAGCAUUCCUCCGGUGUCAGUGAGUUAUAUGAUCACGUAGNNNNNNNNNNNNNNNNNNNNNNNNNNNNNNNNNNNNNNNNNNNNNNNNNNNNNNNNNNNNNNNNNNNNNNNNNNNNNNNNNNNNNNNNNNNNNNNNNNNNCAUGAGGUUUUUGAUCACACCUGGGCCACACUUGCUCAUCUGAAGACUUCGGCAUAACUUGAAGAAUUGGACUUUGUGCGAGCCUUCGACUGGUCGUGCAUAGUUUAUGCCUAAGUAAUUUUGGUGAUUGAUGACAGUACCGUACAGGACUAACCGUGUGUGUUAAGGUUUCAGAUAACACACGUCAACAGCACAAGACGACACGUCUCCUCAUUCAUGGAAUGGAAGCACGGCGCUCUCUACGAUUCUCUUUAUUUGAGUCAUAGGAAAGCCGUACUAUUAAGAGGGGAUCCAUAGUGGAAAGGUUUGGGUGGAAUCUAUCUUUGCACGCGCACACUUCACAUUCUCCCUUUCCUUCAUCUUUGGAGCAGGCCCCGCCACUUUGUUUCUAGCAUCUUUGCAAAUGGUCCCCAGCGGUAAUACCGCUGGUUCUAGCGGUAGUACCGCUGGACUGCUAGCAGUAGUACCGCUGCAGCCAGCGGUAGUACCGCUAGCUGGCGGUAGUACCGCCCCUGGCCAGCGGUAGUACCGCUCCAGGAACUUUGCUCCACCUGCCUAGCCUUGUGUGCGACCUUCUUGAAGGACUGAUUCUUGGGUUGCAGACCUGAGGUGGCAGACCCCUUGGGCGCCUCUUGGUUGCGAUACUGUUUUGACUGCGUGUCCCGUGGGGGGUUCGAACGGCGAGAAGAGCUACCUGUGACACAGAACACACAGCGAAAAGAGGCGACAAGAAGAGUCAAGGCAAUGAAUCUUGAAAACGCAGAAAAAGUAAACACACAUUGCUAAGCACAAAACACAAAAAAAUACACAGUGAAUGCUCCUNNNNNNNNNNNNNNNNNNNNNNNNNNNNNNNNNNNNNNNNNNNNNNNNNNNNNNNNNNNNNNNNNNNNNNNNNNNNNNNNNNNNNNNNNNNNNNNNNNNNAAUAAGAAUAGAUGAAGUUUUUUGAUAGCAUUGAUGCAAUGUACUCGAUAUUGUUUCUUCAGAAGGUGCACCGUAUGCUCAUUACCGUUGACAUGGAAAGUGGCAUUGCCUUUGUUGCAAUCUAUAACAGCCCCUACAGUGUUUAAAAAGGGUCUUCCGAGGUUGGGAAAGGAAUCAAAGAAGAAGAAAUACAAGGAUGACAGUUCUGAUGACUACGAAGAAAGAAGAAGAAAUACUUCAAAACUCCUCAUCUUCAAAGCCCUCAUCGCACAAGAAGACUAGUUUCAGAAAGGCUCGGGCACUUAUUGGACAAGGAAAUGGAUUCCGAGGCAGAAUCAGAGGAAUGUGAUGAAGAAGAGGGUUCUGAUGAAGACUCAGAAUCCGGACAGGAUAGUCUUGCACCUGCAACCACUUACGUCACCAAGUCAAUCUUCAACCUUGAAGAAGAUGAUAACACCAUCCACACUGAUGACUAUGCUGAUGACUUCGCUCCAACCUAUUGCUUCAUGUCAAAAGGUUCAAAUAUGAUGAGCGCGGGUGUAGCGACGAUGACGAUGGAGCUCGAGGAAAUGGCAGCAUAUCAAAAAUGUGCUAGAGGACUAAGCUCUGAAUACCAUAUAAGUUUGGUUGAAGCGUAUGCCUAAUAGGGAUGCGUUGCAUGUUUAUACAGGCAAGGUUUAGGAUUUACAAGAUUCGAUGGUUCGGUGAGAUUAUAGAUUGAUCACCAAGUUAACUAUGCAGAUAAGGAUCGAUCAUAACCACCUGAACCAACUGAAUGAAAACAGAAAAUAAGACCGAACCUGACUGCAAUUGCUUCUGUAGCGAAAGCGUCGUAGUAGAUUUCUAUUUUUUCUAUUUGCAGCAGCAGUAAACUUGUCGUUGUGAUAUCUGAUAAUAGCACCUACAGACCCUUCAAGGGAGUCUUGAUCGAAGCUCGCAUCCACAUUUAACUUGACAUAAAUCCCUCCUUGUGUUUCUUCCAGCCAUCCACGCAAACUUUUGGUUUAAGAAUUCGCCGCAACGAAGUUUGCCCNNNNNNNNNNNNNNNNNNNNNNNNNNNNNNNNNNNNNNNNNNNNNNNNNNNNNNNNNNNNNNNNNNNNNNNNNNNNNNNNNNNNNNNNNNNNNNNNNNNNCUUCCAACCAUUUGUCGGAAUCUGGGCCCACCAUCGCUUUCUCCAUAACUCGUAGGUUCACUGUUGCUCAACAACAUGACCUCCAAGACAGGGUUACCGUACCACUCUGUAGUAGUACGCGACCUUGUCAACCUACGAGGCUUGUAGUAACUUGAUCUGAUGCUCGAUGAUCACCAUCAUCAAGCCAUUCUGCAAUAACUCUAUAGAAGCAACAACUUUUCUAGUGCUUCCCAAGAUCACAGUAACCCUGUCAAGUUUGGUAAAUUAUAUACUGAGUUAAUAUCAUAACAAGAUAGGUGGAUAAUCAACGCAAAUGAGUUAGGUCACAAUAAAGGAUGAAAAAAAAUUAUCAGCACUGUUAUGUAACGACUAAGAUUCAUUGAUAAAGGAAAUAGUUCUGCAUCUGAAACAUGAUAAGAAACUGCUUUGCUUAAGUCACAAUAAAGGACGGAAAAAUACUAACUCCCUCCGGUCCAUAUUACUUGUCGCUCACUUAGUACAACUUUAAGUCAUUGAUAUAAGAAAUAGUUCUAGACCUGAUAAUACAUGAUAAGAACCUAGCUCAUGAUGCCACUGUUGGGGAACGUCGCAAGGGAACAAAAUUUUCCUACGCGCACGAAGACCUAUCAUGGUGAUGUCCAUCUACGAGAGGGGAUNNNNNNNNNNNNNNNNNNNNNNNNNNNNNNNNNNNNNNNNNNNNNNNNNNNNNNNNNNNNNNNNNNNNNNNNNNNNNNNNNNNNNNNNNNNNNNNNNNNNUACGUCGGCUGAAGAUUUGCUGUUGGACUUGAGGCGAUACAAGAAUUGCAGACUCUGGGUUGAGCACGACGAAAGCAUUGUCUUGGUCUGGUGCAUUUUCCUCAGCAUGGUCCUCAGGGUGAGGAAUUUCAUCAGCUUGAGUUUCAGGCUGAGGAGCAUGCUCUUGUUGCGCUUUAGGCUGAGGAAUGGGGUCUGGUUGAGCUUCAGGCUGAGGAAUGUCGUCAACUGGAGCAUCGUGUUGAAGGUUUUGCUCUGCAAACAUAUUAGGAGUGAUAAUGGAACAGAGUUCAAAACACUGGUCUUGAUGAACUUGGUAUUACUCACGAAUUAGCUGCUCCUUAUACYCCUCARCAAAAYGRYRUSGYMGAAAGGAAGAACCGGACCUUGAUAGACGCUGCAAGGACAAUGAUGGCAGAACUCAAAUCUCCAUAUAACUUCUGGGCAGAGGCCAUCAACACAGCAUGUCAUGCAUCCAAUCGGCUCUACAUCCGCAAAGGCUUGAACAAGACUCCGUAUGAGAUUCUAACUGGAAACAAACCCAAUCUCAAGUACUUCCGGGUAUUCGGUUGUAAGUGUUUCAUUCUCAAAAAAGGAGCACGGUUAAUGAUGUAUCAGUCCUUGAUGAUUUGAAACCAAGCCUUUGGAGUUUUUCACUCAACUUGGAGUACCAUGCUCUAGGUGCUGGUUUCAACCCUGAAAGGNUCGAUAUGGUUGGCUAGAGGGGGGGUGAAUAGACAACGACCACUUUUUAAUAAUCUUAGCAAGUUAAGGUAACACCAUACGGGUUCACAAAUAAUACGACAAUGAGGUGAANNNNNNNNNNNNNNNNNNNNNNNNNNNNNNNNNNNNNNNNNNNNNNNNNNNNNNNNNNNNNNNNNNNNNNNNNNNNNNNNNNNNNNNNNNNNNNNNNNNNCUACGUCGUACCGCACCUGAUGUGUGCCUUGACUCAAAAUAUGAUGAGAGGUACAGAGAGUGAUCCAUGAUUGAAUCACUAGCAGCGGUACAAAUUUAUCCUUAGUAACUAAUGGACUAAGGAAUUUUUCUCGAUUAUGGAGGUGGUUGAAGAGUUCGUCGUAAAGGCUUACGUCGAUGCAAGCUUUGACACUAAUCCGAAUAACUAUGAGUAGUGAAACGGAUUCGUAUAGUAGAGUAUGGCGAAAUAGGGGAUGCUUCGUCAGAGAACUCGACGUUCAGUAUCGGCAUCAGUCCAAAGCGAUGUUUCUAGCCAUCCUUGCUACCAAUUGAGGUUCUCCUCUGAAACUCUCGCUACAAGGCCUUGGAUACUUUUUGGAAGAAAAAAACUGAACAGUGAGACGACGAUAACUUUGUACAUCUUGCAUUACUAGUUUUGAAACAUAGUCUUGGGAGAGCGGUACAAUAGAAGAUGAAUGUCGUACAGCACACCCCAGAGACUGGUUUCAUCGCUAUGAGUAACUCCGUUGCUCAAAGAUGACCGGCGAGUGUCGGUUUCUCCAACUUUAGUUGAAUCGGAUUUGACCGAGGAGGUCCUUGGAUGAGGUUAAAUAGCAAUUCAUAUAUCUCCGUUGUGGUGUUUGCGUAAGUAAGAUGCGAUCCUACUAGAUACCCAUGAUCACCACGUAAAACAUGCAACAACAAUUAGAGGACGUCUAACUUGUUUUGUCAGGGUAUGCUUGUGAUGUUAUAUGUCCUAACGNNNNNNNNNNNNNNNNNNNNNNNNNNNNNNNNNNNNNNNNNNNNNNNNNNNNNNNNNNNNNNNNNNNNNNNNNNNNNNNNNNNNNNNNNNNNNNNNNNNNGGGCAUCAUGAAAAACCUUGAAACCCAUAGAUCACUUGAUUGCUCUACAUGGUGAAGAAGUGAUGUCAGUCCCUCAGUAACCAGCAAGAAUAAAUAUGGAGAUAAUGGAUCCCCCUGACGAAGACAUCGCAAUGGUUUGAUAGUAUCCGUUUCAACUGAAUGAUAAGCUUGAUCUUAGCAUGUACUCCGUAUGUAUGUUCCGUAAAGUGUAUGUUGAUCAAGUAUGGGGAAUGUGGUGGGCAUUUGACUAAUGAAACAGUGGAGGGGAUUUGCCUAUGACAUCCUUUGUGUUCAUAUCUUGGAAAUAAGAGAGAUAAUGGUCAGUAUGUGUGGCUUUGCAUGUGAAAGGGAGAGGAAAUGUGAACUAGGGAAAAGGAAAGAAAAGGUCAAUUCUGCAUAGGGAAAUGAUGUGCAAGACAUAAACUCUAUAGAAAGCACUGACUUAGCAGUGAUACUUGGGCUUGCACAGUGAUCGACUGMUUUCUACUCAUUUCUCCUUUCGGAUGAAGCUUUGUGCAUGAAAACUUGUCAUUCUCACAUGCACUCUGCUGCUCACGCAUGCUCUCUCCAUCACACACAAAAAGGAUAACCAGAUGAAAACACAGGGCUCGCGACGUAGNNNNNNNNNNNNNNNNNNNNNNNNNNNNNNNNNNNNNNNNNNNNNNNNNNNNNNNNNNNNNNNNNNNNNNNNNNNNNNNNNNNNNNNNNNNNNNNNNNNNACUUGACAGUGAUCCCAAUGGAAAGGCAGUGGAUCAAAAGUAUACCGUCUCCAUGAUUGGAUCCCUCCUUUACCUUUGUGCAUCAGACCGGNUAUUAUGUUGAGUGUAGGGAUAUGUGCACGGUUUCAAUCCGCACCAAAAGAAAGUCAUUACAUGGYRYUYAUUUGUCAUGUUGUGUUGCUUAGCAUGCUGUGCUGUAUCUGACCCUAUCUUUGGGUUUGUAAUUUUUUUUUCUAUCUUCUCAAUAUAUCAACACACAAGUUUUGUGUUUUUCUCACAAAAAGAACUUGUGCCUUUUUGUUUCUUCUUCUUAUACAAAAUGACGCACAUUUAUAUGCAUGCUCAAGAAAAAAGAGGAUAAAUACAAAAAUAUUUAUGGCCACAUAUGUAUAUACCAGGAAACAGAAGGUGUAUGUCAACAACAGCAAUCCAGGUUGGAAAAGGGAUGUUGGAUAAAAGAACGACAGUCAGGACUCCACAAAGACUCCUAUGAGCCCGUGCCGCGACCCGGACCGCGGCGGGGCCAGGGGCGGAGGCGGCGCCUCCGGCGAUGGCGAGGGCAAUAACCAAAUACCAGCGGGCGAGAAGGGCGCCUGCUCGCCGGCGGCCACCCCGUCUCCAGUGGGGGCCUGGCUUCCGGGAGUUCAGGAGUCCCAGGAUCUCGACGUUGCUGACUGCGGAGGAGAGAUCGGGGUGGCGAUCGGGAGGGCUAGGAUCGCCAGCCAUUCCGACGGCCUGAUCCGAUCUACCUGUUGUGAUGCCAAGGCGCAUCUCGACGGGACCUCAGCACAUCGGAAGUGGGCGGCGGUGUUCGAGGAUGUCUCCUCUGGAUCUCGUCGGCAGCGCUUUGGAUCAAUAGUGUUGCAUUUACCUUCGCGCUGGGUUACGAUUCGUGACGAGAUGAUGAUAUUCGACUAGNNNNNNNNNNNNNNNNNNNNNNNNNNNNNNNNNNNNNNNNNNNNNNNNNNNNNNNNNNNNNNNNNNNNNNNNNNNNNNNNNNNNNNNNNNNNNNNNNNNNAGACAAGUCGCCGGCUCCAUCUUCAGAAAAUGUGGAGCCCUGGCUUCCGGAUCUUAGUGAAGCUACACUUGGUUAGAGAGUUCCUCGUACCCACUCAGAUUUAGGAGUUCUUCAACAGGUGAAUGCGAGGCGCAGGGAAGGUAAAUGCAACACUAUUGAUCCAAAGCGCUGCCGACGAGAUCCAGAGGAGACAUCCUCGAACACCGCCGCCCACUUCCGAUGUGCUGAGGUCCCGUCGAGAUGCGCCUUGGCAUCACAACAGGUAGAUCGGAUCAGGCCGUCGGAAUGGCUGGCGAUCCUAGCCCUCCCGAUCGCCCCACCCCGAUCUCUCCUCCGCAGUCAGCAACGUCGAGAUCCUGGGACUCCUGAACUCCCGGAAGCCAGGCCCCCACUGGAGACGGGGUGGCCGCCGUCGAGCAGGCGCCCUUCUCGCCCGCUGGUAUUUGGUUAUUGCCCUCGCCAUCGCCGGAGGCGCCGCCUCCGCCCCUGGCCCCGCCGCGGUCCGGGUCGCGGCACGGGCUCAUAGGAGUCUUUGUGGAGUCCUGACUGUCGUUCUUUUAUCCAACAUCCCUUUUCCAACCUGGAUUGCUGUUGUUGACAUACCGACGUAGCCCGGGCUACGUCGAAACGAUCAUGAGUUGUGUGUCAUGAGUGGAGUAUAGAGUGAGGUAUCAUUCAGUUGAAACGGAUACUAUCGAAACCAUUGCGAUGUCUUCGUCAGGGGGAUCCGAUUAUCUUCCAUAUUUAUUCUUGCUGGUUACUGUAGGACUAGACAUCACUUCUUCACCAUGUAGAGCAAUCNNNNNNNNNNNNNNNNNNNNNNNNNNNNNNNNNNNNNNNNNNNNNNNNNNNNNNNNNNNNNNNNNNNNNNNNNNNNNNNNNNNNNNNNNNNNNNNNNNNNUGGCAAGUAUCUUUACUCGUUCCGUAAUACAAGAUCCCGCAACUUACACUAAGUUACAUUGCUUGCAAGGCUUGUGUGUGAUGUUGUAUUACCGAGUGGGCCCCGAGAUACCUCUCCGUUCACACGGAGUGACAAAUCCCAGUCUUGAUCCAUACUAACUCAACUAACACCUUCGGAGAUACCUGUAGAGCAUCUUUAGCUUAGCAUGCUGUGCUGUAUCUGACCCUAUCUUUGGGUUUGUAAUUUUUUUCUAUCUUCUCAAUAUAUCAACACACAAGUUUUGUGUUUUUCUCACAAAAAGAACUUGUGCCUUUUUGUUUCUUCUUCUUUAUACAAAAUGACGCACAUUUAUAUGCAUGCUCAAGAAAAAGAGGAUAAAUACAAAAUAUUUAUGGCCACAUAUGUAUAUACCAGGAAACAGAAGGUGUAUGUCAACAACAGCAAUCCAGGUUGGAAAAGGGAUGUUGGAUAAAAGAACGACAGUCAGGACUCCACAAAGACUCCUAUGAGCCCGUGCCGCGACCCGGACCGCGGCGGAGAUUCUAACUGGAAACAAACCCAAUCUCAAGUACUUCCGGGUAUUCGGUUGUAAGUGUUUCAUUCUCAAAAAAAGGAGCACGGUUAGCUAAAUUUGAUUCUAGAGCACAUGAGGGUAUCUUUGUUGGUUAUGCUACAAACUCUCAUGCUUAUCGUGUCCUCAACAAGUCCACCGGACUAAUUGAGGAGACGUGUNNNNNNNNNNNNNNNNNNNNNNNNNNNNNNNNNNNNNNNNNNNNNNNNNNNNNNNNNNNNNNNNNNNNNNNNNNNNNNNNNNNNNNNNNNNNNNNNNNNNUGAGUGUAUCUCAGGAUGGCAAGUACUUUAGUAGAUUGAGAACUAUGUGCCAAAGGUGGUCUGAGAAGAUCGGGAUUUAUAUUUCAAGAAGGCUCGGGAUUGAGAAAAGAUGAUGUAGACUAUCCUUUUGAGUUUACUAUUAUUGAGUAUAGGGAUCCCGCACUAUUAAGAGGGGAUCACAGGUUUUGCGAUGAACUUGCUCAUACCACAUCUUCACUAUCCUACCCAAUACCACAUAUUCUCUACUCUGUUCCUAUCUCAAAACAGGUCUAUUGCCUCGGACUUCCGGCUCCCUCCGGACGUCUGAGGGCCGGACGACCGGCAGGCUUCGGAAAUCCGGAGCCCUCCACCAAAAGUAUUGGAGUCAUAUAACUCAGAAUUCCGGCUCCCUCCGGACAUCCGAGGGCCGGACGUCCGACCAGCUUCAGAAAUUCGGAGCCCUGCACCAGAAGAACAUGAGCUCUAUAACUCGGAUUUCCGGCUCCCUCCGGACGUCCGAGGGCCGGACGUCAUUCCCCUUUUGGAAAUCCGGGACCUCCCACCAGAAGAAGUUGAGUUGAAUAACUCGGAUUUCCGGCCUUCUUCGGACGUCCAGUCGCUGUUCAAUUCACAAUGUUUCCAGUCAUAGCUACAUCCCUCGGAUGACUGACCUCUGUCGGACGUCCGACCCCUUCCAGAUGCCCGGACUUCCGAGAACUGCCGGACGUCCGGACCAUGUGUGACUUAAAGUGUCCCCAACGGCUGUUUUACACUCCCCACUAUAUAUACCCCUCACCCACUUCGUGAGAGAGUGUUCAACACAUCUAGAAUACAUCCAAGAACACCUUUCUUCUCACUCACUCUUGUCUACACCAAAUCUUAGACCCCAAGAGCAUUUGUGAGUCCCUUUGAGUGUUGUUCCAAUCAAAAGAUAGAUCGUCUCCCUCUCCUCCUUCCCACCAAAGUGAUUUGUGAUUUGAGCAAGUUUUGAGCAAUCCCCGUGAUCUUGUUACUCUUGGAUGUUGGAGACUCCUAGGCGGUAGGAGUCUUCGGAGAGGAAUCAAACCAUUGGGAUUUCCCCCGGAAAGUUUGUGAAGGUUUGGAAGCCACCUCAAGGCUUACCACUAGUGGUUGAGAAACGCCUUCGUGGAGUUAUCUCAAAGGGAGAAUAGGGUGAGCCUUCGUGGCGUUGGUGUGCCUUCGUGGUAACAUCCGCCCCUCUAACGGUGACGUAGCUUCCCUCCAAGUAAGUGAACAUCGGGAUACAUCCUUGUCUCUCUUGGAGUUUCGGUUAUUCCUAACCCUAACUCUCUACUUGUGUUAAUCCUUAUUACGUACUUGUAUUUGAUUAUUGUUUACCGCUUGUCUUACUUUACUCUAAAUAGCUUACUCCUUGUCGUAGCAAUUAUUAGGCCUACACUCAUAUUCCACACUUUUGCCUAAAAUUGCUAUGUACUUAUUAAAAUUUGGAAUUGUACCUAUUCACCCCCCUCUAGGUCCAUCUCGAUCCUUUUCACCUUCGCCGCCAUGGAGACCAUGGACCAGAGGGGAAACCCUUCUCCCAUCUAGGGAGGAGGUCAAGGAAGAAGAAGAAGGAGGGGGGCUCUCUCCCCCUCUCUCCCGGCGGCGCCAGAACACCGCCCGGGACAUCAUCGUGUGACGACGAUCUACACCAACACCUCCGUCAUCUUCACCAACAUCUCCAUCAUCUUCCCCCAUCUAUAUUCAGCGGUUCACUCUCCCUCAACCCGCUGCACCCUCUACUUGAACAUGGUGCUUUAUGCUACAUAUUAUUAUCCAAUGAUGUGUUGCUAUCCUAUGAUGUCUGAGUAGAUUAUCGUUGUCCUAUCGGUGAUUGAUGAAUUGCUAUGAUUGGUUUAAUUUGCUUGUGGUUAUGUUGCUGUCCUUUGGUGCCCAUCAUAUGAUCGCGCGCGUGGAGCACACCAUAGGGUUAGUUGUAUGUUGAUAGGACUAUGUAUUGGCAGGCUAGAGUGACAGAAGCUUCAAACCUAGCAUAGAAAUUGAUGCAUAUGGGAUUGAAGGGGGGCCAAUAUAUCUUAUUGCUAUGGUUGGGUUUUACCUUAAUGAACGUUAGUAGUUGCGGACGCUUGCUAAUAGUUCCAAUCAUAAGUGCAUAGAAUUCCAAGUAAGGUAUGACAUGCUAGCACAGGCCUCUCCCACAUGAUACGUGCUAUCGAUCUAGUAACGUAGUCAAUUGCUUAGGGACAAUUCCGCAACUCCUAUCACCACUUUUCCACACUCGUUAGACACUCGUAUUUGUUCCUUUUUCUAACCAGCCCCUAGUUUUAUUUACGUGUUCUUUACUUUCUUGCAAGCCUAUCCUAUCACUCCUACAAAGUACUUAUAGUUUCAUACGUGUUCUAGGUAAAGCGAACGUAAAGUGUGCGUAGAGUUGUAUCUGUGGUCGAUAGAACUUGAGGGAAUAUUUGUCCUGCCUUUAGCUCCUCUUGGGUUCGACACUCUUACUUAUCGAGAAAGGCUACAAUUGAUCCCCUAUACUUGUGGGUUAUCAGAUACCUGUAGAGCAUCUUUAUAGUCACCCAGUUAUGUUGUGACGUUUGGUACACACAAGGAAUUCCUCCGGUGCCAGUGAGUUAUAUGAUCUAAUGGUCAUAGGAAUAAAUACUUGACACGCAGAAAAACAGUAGCAACAAAAUGACACGAUCAACAUGCUACGUUCAUUAGUUUGGGUCUAGUCCAUCACAUGAUUCUCCUAAUGAUGUGAUCCCGUUAUCAAGUGACAACACUUUCCUAUGGUCAGGAAACCUUGACCAUCUUUGAUCAACGAGCUAGUCAACUAGAGGCUUACUAGGGACAGUGUUUUGUCUAUGUAUCCACACAAGUAUUGUGUUUCCAAUCAAUACAAUUAUAGCAUGGAUAAUAAACGAUUAUCAUGAACAAAGAAAUAUAAUAAUAACUAAUUUAUUAUUGCCUCUAGGGCAUAUUUCCAACAGAUAUCUGUGGGGCAUGGCAUUUUCUCGAUCACAUCAAGCUUAGCCUUAUCAACUUCAAUACCUCUUUCAGAAAUUUUAUGUCCUAAGAUGAUGCCUUCAUUAACCAUAAAGUGGCACUUCUCCCAAUUCAAGAUAAGAUUGGUAUCUUUACAUUUCUGCAAGACUCGAUCAAGGUUGGUGAGGCAAUCAUCAAAAGAAGACCCGUAAACGGAGAAGUCAUCCAUGAAAACCUCAACAAUCUUUUCACAAAAGUUAGAGAAUAUAGCCAUCAUACAUCUUUGAAAGGUGGCAGGUGCAUUACAUAAGCCAAAAGGCAUACGUCUGUAAGCAAAGGUACCGAAAGGGCAGGUGAAAGUGGUUUUCUCCUGAUCAGAUUUUGCAACUGGUAUUUGGGAGAAACCAGAAUAACCAUCUAGAAAGUAGAAGUGUGUGUGUUUAGACAGUCUUUCUAUCAUUUGGUCGAUAAAAGGCAAAGGGUAAUGAUCUUUCCUAGUGGCUUUAUUCAAUUUCCUAAAAUCGAUCACCAUCCUAUAGCUGGUAAUAAUCCUCUGUGGGAUCAAUUCAUCCUUAUCAUUAGGGACAACGGUAAUACCUCCCUUCUUAGGGACGUAAUGCACCGGACUUAGCCAAUCACUAUGAGCAACAGGAUAGACAAUACCUGCUUCCAGGAGCUUUAGUAUUUCUUUUCUUACUACCUCUUUCGUCUUAGGAUUUAAUCUCCGUUGAUGAUCGGCAACUGGUUUGGAAUCAGGAUCGGUUUUAAUCUUGUGUUGGCAUAGAGUGGUACUAAUGCCCUUAAGAUCAUCAAGAGUAUAUCCAAUAGCAGCACGGUGCUUCCUCAGAGUUUUUAGUAACUUCUUCUCUUCAUGCUUUGAGAGGCUAGCACUAAUAAUAACAGGAUAUAUCUCUUUUUCAUCAAGAUAAGCAUACUUAAGAGUAUCAGGCAAUUGUUUAAGCUUGAACACAGGAUCACCCUUUGGUGGGGGUGGACCUCCAAGCAAUUCAACACGCAAAUUACUGUUCAAAGAUAACUCUAUCUAUCUCAUCCCUUUCAUCCAUAUGCAUAUCAUUUUCAUGCUCAAGCAAGUAUUGCUCUAAGGGAUCAGCAGGAGGCACAUCAAUAUAAGCUAGGGCAAUAGUUUCUUCCUUACUAGACAACUCUUUUUCAUGAGGUUGUCUACCAAACUUGGAGAAAUUGAACUCAUGUGACACACCUUGAAAGCCAACAGUGACAGUUUGCUUCUCACAGUCAAUAUGAGCAUUGACAGUAUUGAGGAAGGGUCUGCCAAAUAUGAUGGGACAAAAGCUAUCUUGUGUGGUAGCAAGAACGAGGAAAUUAGCAGGAUACUUCGUUUUACCACACAAGACUUCAACAUCUCUAACAAUUCCCAAAGGGCAGAUAAUAUCUCUAUUGGCAAGCUGAAUAGUGACAUCAAUGGGUUCUAUCUCGACAGGUGCAAUCUCGUCUUUGAUUUCAUCAUAUAAGGAUCGAGGUAUUGCACUAACACUAGCACCCACAUCACAUAAACCAUGAUAACAAUGAUCUCCUAUCUUAACAGAAACAAUAGGCGUGCCAACAACAGGCCUUUGUUUGUCUCUAACAUGAGGUUUAGCAAUUCUAGCAGCAUCUUACAGAAGUGAAUAUCAUGGCCAUCAACAUUGUCGGGCAGGAGAUCUUUGAUAAUAGCAACGCUAGGUUCAACUCUAAUUUUCUCAGGGGGUGUACGUGUUCUAAUGUAGCCCCUACGUAUCACAGUUGAAGCUUUAGAAUGAUCCUUUAUCCUAACAGGGAAGGGUGGUUUCUCAAUGUAAGCAGUGGGAAAAAUAGGAUCAUUAUAGGCAAUGAUUUCUCUUCAACUGGAUUGGGUUUAACUACAUUGACUUCUAUGGGAGGAUGAUAUUUAAACCACUUCUCUUUGGGCAGAUCAAUAUGAGCAGCAAAUGAUUCACACAAUGAAGCUACUAUCUCAGAGUCAAGUCCAUACUUAGCGCUAAAAUCACAAAAAGUGUUUGUUUCGACAAAGGAUUUAACGAAAUCAAACUUGAAAUUCAUACCUGACUCCUUACCUUCAUCAAGCUUCCAAUAUUCAGAGUUGCGUUUAAUUCUUUCCAAUAAAUUCCAUUUGAAGUCAAUAUAUCUCUUCAUAAAAGAAUCGGUACAAGAAGUGUGAAGCAUGGUGCGAUCAUCAUGAGAAAGCCGAGCAUAGAAGUUCUGAAUAAUAAUUUCUCUCGAGAGCUCAUGGUUGGGGCAUGAAUAUAACAUUGAUUUAAGCCUCCCCCAAGCUUGAGCGAUGCUUUCUCUGUCACGAGGCCAAAAAUUAUAAAUAUAAUUCCGAUCACGAUGUACUAGAUGCAUAGGAUAAAACUUUUGAUGAAAUUCCAAUUUCAACCGGUUGUAGUUCCAUGAUCCAGUAUCAUCACAUAGCCAAUACCAUGUCAAUGCUUUAUCCCUCAAAGAUAAGGGAAAUACCUUCUUCUUGACCUCAUCCUCGGGCAAACCCGCAAGCUUAAAUAAACCACAAACUUCAUCUACGUAGAUUAGAUGCAAGUCUGGAUGUGAUGUUCCAUCUCCUGUAAAAGGAUUAGCAAGCAGUUUCUCAAGCAUACCCGAAGGAAAUUCAUAGAAAAUAUUUUCAGUAGGUACAACAAGUUGAGGAGCAAAUCCUUGUGCUUCCGUUCGAGGUGAAGAUACCCCGAACAAGCUCCUCAAAGGAUUAGUUUCCAUAGUGACAAGUGACAAUAAAUUUCAGCACACUAUAUAAAUGUUUCCUUACCAAAUUCCACAUACCAAAGUCUCUUCACUCCCCGGCAACGGCGCCAUAAAAGAGUCUUGAUGACCCACAUGUAUAGGGAUCUAUCGUAGUCCUUUCAAUAAGUAAGAGUGUCGAACCCAACGAGGAGCAGAAGUUUCUGACAAGUGGUUUUCACCAAGUUAUUCUGUGCAAGCACUGAAAUUAUCGGCAACAGAUAGUGGUGUGGUGAGAUGAUUUGCAGCAAGUAGAAAGUAACAACGGUAACAAAGGUGCAGCAAAGUGGCCCAAUCCCUUUUUGUAGCAAGGGACAAGCCUGAAAAAACUCUUAUAGGAGGUAAAGCGCUCCCGAGGACACAUGGGAAUUUGUGUCAUGCUAGUUUUCAUCAUGUUCAUAUGAUUCGCGUUCGCUACUUUGAUAGUUUGAUAUGUGGGUGGACCGGCGCUUGGGUACUUCCCAUACUUGGACAAGCAUCCCACUUAUGAUUAACCCCUCUCGCAAGCAUCCGCAGCUACGGAAUAAGAAUUAAGACAAAGUCUAACCAUAGCAUUAAACUAGUGGAUCCAAAUCAGCCCCUUACUAAGGAACGCAUAAACUAGGGUUUAAGCUUCUGUCACUCUAGCAACCCAUCAUCUACUUACUACUUCCCAAUGCCUUCCUCUAGGCCCAAAUAAUGGGGAAGUGUUAUGUAGUCGACGUUCACAUAACAACACUAGAGGAAAAACAACAUACAACACAUCAAAUUAUCGAACGAAUACCAAAUUCACAUGACUACUUAUAGCAAGACUUAUCCCAUGUCCUCAGGAACAAAAGUAACUACUCACAAUGCAUAAUCAUAUUCAUGACCAAAGAGGUAAUGAAUAGAAUCAAGGAUCUCAACAUAUAAUCUUCCACCAAGUAAUCCAACUAGCAUCAACUACAAAGAGUAAUUAACACUACUAGCAACCUUACAAGUACCAAUCGGAGUCGCGAGACGGAGAUUGGUUACAAGAGAUGAACUAGGGUUUGGAGAUGAGAUGGUGCUGAUGAAGAUGUUGAUGGUGAUGAGUCCCCUCCGAUGAGAGGAGUGUUGGUGAUGACGAUGGUGACGAUUUCCCCCUUCGGGAGGAAAGUUUCCCCGGCAGGAUGACCCUGCCGGAGCUCUAGAUUGGUUCUGCUCAAGUUCCGCCUCGUGGCGGCGGCGAUUCCUCCCGAAAGCCUCCUCCUGAUUUUUCUGGAACGAAACCCUUCUUAUAGCAAAAGAGGGGGGCCAGAGGGCCAGCAGGGAGCCCACAAGCCCCCUAGGCACGGCGAGGGGGGCGCCUAGCACGCUUGUGGCCUCCUGCUGGCUCCCCUCUGGUACUUCUUCGGCCCGGUAUUUUUAUAAAUUCCAAAAUAAAUCCUCAUUGAUUUUCACGGCUUUUGGAGUUGCGCAGAAUAGGUAUCUCAAACUUGCUCCUUUUGUAGGCCAGAAUUCGAGCUGCCAACAUUCUCCCUCUUCAUGUAAACUUUGCAAAAUAAGAGAGAAAAGGCACACGUAUUGUACCGUGAAGUGUAAUAACAGCCCAUAAAGCGAUAAAUAUCAACAUGAAAGCAUGAUGCAAAAUGGACGUAUCAGGCUCCCCACCUUGAAGGGCCCAUGCGCCCAAAGUGGUAGGUGGGAGGUGCCUUCGGGAAUAGGGACUCCUCCCUAGGGCGCCCACCUCCCUUGUGGGAGGUGGACUCAUCCCCCUUGGCUGACCAACCCUCCCUUAGAGGAGGGGCCAGGUGUGACACCCUACCUACCGCUUCUUCCUAUAAAUAGAGAGGGGGGGAGGAGGGCAGCCAAACCCCAAGCCAUAAGCACAACCCUCCCUCUCUCACUAUCCCGUUUUCUCCUACGAUUGCAUCUGCAGCAGCACUUCGUGAAGUCGUGCCGAGAUUGCUCCAACACCACCGUCACCAUGUAAUCCUAUCCCAUUUUCUCCUCCGAUUGCAUCUGUGAUAGUGCUUGGUGAAGCCCUGCUGAGACUGAUCCACCACCACCGCUACUAUGCGGUUGUGCUGCCGGAGAACACAUCUACUACUCCGCCCUCGCUCGUCGUAUCUAGGAGGUGGAGACAUCAUCGAGCUGCACGUGUGCUGAAAAUGGAGGUGCCCUCCGUUUGGCGCUAGAUCGGGGCGGAUCGUCAUUGGAUUGUGAAGUCGCACGACUACAUCAACCGCAUUAUAUACGCUUCCGCUUAGCGAUCUACAAGGGUAUGUAGAUACACUCCCCAUCUCAUAGCUAUGCAUCUCCAUAGAGAUCUUGGGUGUUUGUAGGAUUUUUUUUGCCAUGCAAUGUUCCCCAAUAGUGGCAUCAUGAGCUAGGUCUAUGCGUAGAUGAUAUGCACGAGUAGAACACAAACUGUUUGUGGGAGUUGAUGUUUAGAUUGCUUACGUCCUUAGUCUUAUUUUAAUUCAGAGGUAUUGUGGGAUGAAGCGGCUCCAACAACCUUACUUGUCCUCACACAAGAGACUGGUUCCACCAACUGGCAUGCAACUUGUUUGCAUAAAGGUGGGUGGUGGGUGUCUCUCUCUCCCACUUCAGUUUAAUCGGAUUCAACAUAGGUGGUCCUUGUAUAGGGUUAAAAGGAAACUUCAUUAUCACCAUUGUGGCUUUGCGUAGGUAGGAACGGUUCUUGCUAGUUGCCUGCAACCACCUAAAACUUGCAACAACAAAGUAGAGUACAUAUAACUUGUUUUUGCAGGACAUGUUGUGAUGUGAUAUGGCCAAGACAUGAUAUGACACAUGUGAUACAUGAGAUCAUCAUGUGUUGUAAUAGUUAUCACGACUUCCAUGUCGAUGAGUAUGGCAACCGGCAGGACCAUUGUCUUUAAUUAUUGAUGCAUUUUCUUUACUUUAUCGCUAUGAGUUAGCAAUAGUUGUAGAAGCAAUAGUUGGCGUGACUACCACGUGAAAACAAAAUGAUGGAGAUCAUGGUCUCAUACCGGUGACGAUGGAGAUCAUGUUGGUGCUUUGUAGAUGUAGAUAAAAAACACAAGAUGAUGAUGGCCAUAUCAUGUUACUUAUAUGAUUUGCAUGUGAUGUUUAUCCUUUUAUGCACCUUAUCUUUUUAGGAUGAUUGUAGCAUUAUAAGAUGACCCCUCACUAAAUUUUAAGAUAAAAUUAUGUUCUCCCCAAGUAUGCACCAUUGCGGAAGUUCACCGUUUCGAAGCACCUCGUGAUGAUCCGGUGUGAUAGACUCUUCAUUCACAUACAAUGGGUGUAAGCCAGUUAUGCACAUGCAAAACACUUGGGUUAAACUUGAUGAGCCUAGCAUGUGCAGACAUGGCCUCGGAAGAGGAGAGACCGAAAGGUGGAACAUGAGUCAUAUAGUAGAUAUGAUCACCAUGGAGAUGUUCACCAUUGAAACCACCUCAUCUCACGUGAUGAUCACACUUGGAUUGGUGGAUUUGGAUCAUGUCACACUUAGAAAACAUGAGGGAUGUUGAAUUGAGUGGGAGUUCAUUAGUAAUUUAGUAAUAUGAUUAAUUGAACUAAUUAUCAUGAACGUAGUCUAAAGUUAUCUUUGCAAAAUUAUGUUGUAGAUCAAUGGCUUGCACAGUAGCUCCCCUGAAUUUUAGUGCACUCCUCGAGAAAUCUAAGUUGAAAGAUGAUGGAAGUAACUAUGCGGACUGGGUUCGUAAUCGAAGGAUUAUGCUCACGGCUUCGCAAAAGGCUUAUGUGCUUGAUGCAUCGCUUGAGGCGCCACCCCCUUGAGUGUCGUAUGUAGAUGUUGUAAACAUCUGGCAGGCAUGUUCUCAUGACUACUCAAUAGUGUCGUCUGCAGAUGUUGUAAACGUCUGGCAGGCACGUUGUGAUGACUACUCAAUAGUGUCGUCUGCAGAUGUUGUAAAUGGCUUAGAAUUGAGACUUCAUAAUCGUUUUGAACGCCAUGGAGCAUAUAAGCUGUUCGAGGAGUUGAAAUUAGUAUUCCAAGGUAAUGCCCGAAUUCAGAGGUAUGAUACCUCUGAUAAGUUCUUCGCCUACAAGAUGGAGGAGAAUAGUUGUGUCCCUGAGCACAUACUGAGAAUGUUUGGGUACUACAACCACUUGAAUCACUUGGGAGUUGAGAUUCCGCUUGAGACAACCACUAACAGAGUUCUCCAGUCACUGCACCUAGCUAUAGGGGCCUCGUGAUGAACUAUAAUAUGCAAGGGACGAACAAGUCAAUCUCCGAGCUAUUCGCGAUGCUGAAAGUCACGGAAGUAGAAAUCAAGAAGGAGCAUCAACUAUUGAAUGUGAAUAAAACCACUAGUUUCUAGAAAGUCAAGGGUAAGAAGGGAAACUUCAAGAAGAAUGGAAAACCAAUUGCCGCUCUGUAACGCCAAAGAUGCAGUCUUGUCCUUAUUUUGGCACGAGGGCCUCGACAGGGAUAGAAACACAUGUCGUAGUUUCGCAAGAAUGGAUAUCGUUACAAGUACAUGUACUAAAAAGAUGAGUAUAAGGAAUUGGCUUACACUCGCCACAAGCUACAUCAGAGUCACAUUAGCACAAUAUACACAAUCAUCAUGAAGAAGGGGAGGGUUCGUCUACGGAUGAAAACAAACGAUAAAAUAACGACGUCCAUCCUUGCUAUCCCAGGCUGUCGGCCUGGAGCCCAUCCUAGAUCGAAGAAGAAGAAGAAGAAACUCCAAAUAGAAAAAUCAUCAUGCUCACGUCAAAGUAACCCUUUACCUGUACCUCCAACUAGUGUUGUAGUAAUCUGUGAGCCACAUGGGACUCAGCAAUCUCAUUUCCAAAGGUAUCAAGACUAGCGAAGCUUAACGGGUAAGGUAUGGUUAAGUGGUGAGGCUGCAGCAAGCGACUAAGCAUUUAUUUGGUGGGUAACUUAUGAGUACAAUAAUAAAAGAGGGGGAUCAUAUACGCAUAGUGGACGUGAACUAAUGAUGAUAAAAUGAAUGAUCCUAAACACCUACUUACAUCAAACCUAACCCCACCAUGUCCUCAAUCGGAAAAGGAGCUCACGAAAGAGACAAUCACGGUUACGCACUCAGUUGGUAAGUUUUAAUUACGUUAACUUCAAGUUAUCUACAACCGGAUGUUAAACAAAGUUUCCAUGUUGCCACAUAACCGCGGGCACGACUUUCCGAAAGAUUUAACCCUGCAGGGGUGCUCUAACUAGUCCAUCACAAAUUACCACAAGCCACAUGGAAAUCCUCGAUCACGAAACUCGCGAUCUCGUCGGAGUCCUUAGUGGAAAACCUCAAUUCCCAGAUUACCCAAAGCAUUACCGGAAUCCCGAUGCACAAGAUAUUUCAUAAAAGGUAAAACUAAUCCAGCAAGGCCGCCCGACAUGCCGACCGACCCGAUAGGAGCCACGUAUCUCGUUAUCACGGCACGUCCGGAUGAGCUAGACAUCGGGUUGGCUGAAACCUCGGGUGACCAGGGGGCGCUGGACAUCGCUCGGUUUGGACCAACACUCAUGAGGAGCACUGGCCCGGGGGUUGAUUAAUUAUCCACGGGGCGGUCAAACCCUACGUGGUUCAUUAGUGAAUUAGGCAAAUAUAGUACCAAAGUUGGGCCUUGCGAGACCAGUUUUAAUCUAAGACGAAUUAUCAAGGGGGUCCCCAUAACAACCCCGAUCGUGUUAGGAGCACUCAAGUAUGGAAUAUAACACGGGUAGCCAAAAUUAAGGUGGCAAAGGUGGAACAAAACACCAGGCUAGAAAGCCCGAGCCUUCCACCUUUUACCAAGUAUAUAGGUGCAUUACUUUAAAUAGCAUCAAUAUGGAUGAAGGAGACCUCAUGGACGAAGAGUACGAUAGUGAGUCCAACGCCUAGAGGAGUCUCAGUCAGUCUUGCGAUCUUGGAGACUCUGUUGUUGUAUUAUAUCACCACUUCCGCCAUUAUAAAUAAAUUGUCAAGCUGUCGGGGAAUAAUCCCCAGGUACCCCAAAGAUGCAGAGUCGAGCGGGGUGCCUGCCCGCUCCGGCCGGCUCCUUUGUCCAGCCGGCUACGCCAGCCCGACGACUAGUCGUAGUCAACUACGACGUCCUCUCAGGUGUCGUACUGCUUCAUCUACAAUGUAACUUGUCCCCUGGGCGCUGGUUUAUAAAGUGCCCCAGGGGACAAGCAUAGCUUAGGUCCCAAGCUGCAUAUAGCUUGGCAUGUAAGCUAACCAUGGUAGCUUACAUGCCAAGCAGCUUGGUAUGUAAGCUAUCCACCGUAGCUUACAUACCAAGCUACACAUCCAUACAAAAGGCCUUAGGCUGCCCUCUGACUCUCAGAGGCUCUCACUCCCCCACAUACACACACUCAGACAUGAGGCCAGGAAGGAGGCACUCAGCUCUCUUCCUCCUCUAAUACAACUCUAGGAGCAACCUUGUACUACCAAGAUACAUCAUAUACAAAAAUGCAGGAGUAGGGGUAUUAUCUCUCCGGAAAGCCCCGAACCUGGGUAAACCACCGCGUACUAUUACCCUAUCCCGUCCCGGAUCCUCCACGACAACCUUUCCCUCAACUCGAUUAGCCAUCCCCUGGCAUAUGCCGUCAGGGUACCCCCUAUAUAGAAACGACAACACAAGCUUUACUCUGACGUUUGGCGCGUAGUAGUACUUUGCCAUGUUAUUUCGCUUCGAUGUGACGUGCCUACUCUUUUUUGAACACUAGAGUAUCCCAUGAACACUGUAUCAUAUCCACCCUUAUGUCAUCCAUGGGUGUGUUGUAAUAAAUUGUAGAGCAACCUCCGCUCUACCUUGUUGAAUAUUAAGAACUACUGGUUUUUGUAUCAAGACGUGUCUAUCAGUGUGAAUGAUUUUGUAAACUGAUGACUUUCAUGGCUGAUUUCGAGUAAAUUUAUUUUUCCUGGAAACUGGUCCUGGCACAGUGCAUUCAUAGCAUCUUCCUUGGCCACAAGAUUCAUGUGGCCCUUCCGGUGAUUGUUGUUGGGAUUGAAGUUGAUGUGCUUUGGUACUGAGUUAUUGCUUGAGUGUUUGUCUUUGUCGUACCAUUUCCGGCCUUUGGACACUAUCGGGCAUAGUGUCUAGCCUCUCCUCAGGCGAAACAUGUAACACCGGGGCGGGGAGUAAAGUCCUUGUUCCUUGCUUAAAAGUGGGCGUUGACGUGAUUGGUUGAGGUUGGAGCACGAGGAGUUGAACUCUUUGUGUCCUCAGUCUUGUGCGUGGUGUUGCGACUCGGUGUCGAGUUGUUAUGUCGGUGCUUGCGAAUGUCGUCGAGGCUGCGACGUUCAGCCUCAAGCAUAUUGGCCUUGUCCACAUGUGUUUUGAAGUCUGGAAAGGUGUGAACGACCAGCUGGCACUUUAAUGCCGGAGUGAAUCUGCUACUGUGACAACAGACCUUCCCUGACAAUGGCGCCAGGAAUCCUGCUGCUACGCGCUACGCCUAUAGGGACUUCCUUGGCAAAUAUGCAAAGGAUCUCCCUGCGGCCUUGGAGCCUUACGUUGGUGUUCCCUUGAAGAGGAAAGGGUGAUGUAGCACAGCGGCGGUAAGUAUUUCCCUCAGUUUGAGAACCAAGGUAUCGAUCCAGUGGGAGGAUCGCGUCAAGUCACAAGUACCUGCACAAACACAAAGAGCUUGCACCCAACGCUAUGAAGGGGUUGUCAAUACCUUAUAGAUUGUUUGCAAAGUGAGAACUGAAAGCAAAAAGUAAAGAAAGCAAAGUAAAAGUGAAAGUGGAGACGAUAGUUGUGAAUAGACCCGAGGGCCGUAGUGUUCAUUAGUGGCUUCUCUCAUGAAAGCAAGUAGAUGGUGGGUGAACGAAUUAUUGUCGAGCAAUUGAUAGAAUCGCGCACAGUCGUGACGUUAUCUAUGGCAAUGAUUAUAUCUAUAGGCAUCACGUCCAAAACAAGUAGACCGACACUUUCUGCAUCUACUACUAUUACUCCACACGUCGACCGCUAUCCAGCAUGCAUCUAGUGUAUUAAGUUCAAAAGAACAGAGUAACGCCUUAAGCAAGAUGACAUGAUGUAGAUGGACAGUCUCAAAUCUAUGAUGAAAGCCCAUCUUGUUACCCUUGAUGGCAACACCACGAUGCGUGCCUUGCUGCCCCUUCUGUCACUUGGAAAGGUCACCACAUGGUAUGAACCCAAAAUCAAGCACUUCUCCCAUUGCAAGAAUCAUAGAUCAAGUUGACCAAACAAAACCCAAGACUAAGAGAGACUUACAAGGAUAUCAAAUCAUGCAUAUAAGAAAUCAACAAAGACUCAAAUAUAACUCAUAGAUAAUCUGAUCACAAAUCCACAAUUCAUCGGAUCUCGACAAACACACCGCCAAGGAGGAUUACAUCAGAUAGAUCUCCAUGAAGAUCAUGGAGAACUUUGUAUUGAAGAUCCAAGAGAGAGAAGAAGCCAUCUAGCUACUAACUACGGACCCGUAGGUCUGAAGUGGACUACUCAGGAGUCAUUGGAGAGGCGAUGAUGUUGAUGUAGAAGCCCUCCAACUCCAAAGUCCCCUCCGGCAGGGCACCGGGAAGGGUCUCCAGAUGAGAUCUCGUGGAAACGGAAGCUUGCGGCGGCGGAAAAGUGUUUUCGUGGAUGCCCUGAUUUUUUCUGGAUUUUUAGGGAAUUUAUAGGCCAAAGAGCUAGGGCAGGGGAGCGCCACGGAGGCCACAAGCCUUGUUGCCGCGGGCCCCACUGGCCGCGGCAACACGGCUUGUGGGCUCCCUGUGGGCCCCCUUCCUUGGCCCUCAAGCCCCCCAAUCUUCUUCUAUUCUGGAAAAAAAUAUUUCGGGGAUUUUAUUCCGUUUGGACUCCGUUCCAAAAUCAGAUUUGAAAAGAGUCAAAAACACAGAAAAAACAGGAACUGUCACUUGGCACUUAAUUAAUAAGUUAGUCCCAAAAAAGAUAUAAAAGGUAUAUAAAACAUCCAAAGUUGAUAAGAUAACAGCGUGAAACCAUCAAAAAUUAUAGAUACGUUUGAGACGUAUCAGAGUCCAUCAAGGAACUUCUCCAUUCUCUUCUCUUCUGUCUUAUAGUCUUCACUUGUAUAAUAGGAUAGUUGAUUAAAUUGGUCCAAGUAUUCCAUUACAGUGGAACUCCUUUGCUUGAUGUCCUCAAACUCCCUUUUCUUGAUCUUCAUGACGCUAUUAGGAAUGUGCGCCCCACGAAAGCUUUCUUUGAACUCAACCCAUGUGAUGUUGUUCUCUUCAGGAUGCACACGGAGGAUAUUCUCCCACAACGAGGUUGUGGCUCCAUUCAGAUAGUGAGGUGCGUAGAGCACCUUCUCAUGGUCGGAACAUUGAGCAAUAAUAAGCUUUCUCUAAAUAUCACUGUCGGGACCCCGAUCCUAAGUCAUAGGAAUCCAGCCUGUAACACAUCGGAUCUCUUUGCGGUCUCACGCACGGUCAUCCCCACGGCUGCAGCCUUACCUUAGCCGGGACCGUUUGCGCCUUUUGACUCGCGUAUGCAAUUGUGUCGCUAGCAAUCCAGUGACAGAGAACCCGGAUCGACAUGUCUAGUCAUAAACCAAAGCGCCAGUUCCACAAAGGGACACACAUACAUCACCCAGCGAAGCAGGUGUCGGUCACCAGCGAAUGUAGACGAGUCGUAGCAAGCUACAAGGACUCCAUUACAUCGUGUGACGUUUCCCCAAAGGGGACAGGCACAGCAGCUAAGAAGGACACAUGCCGGUCAACCAAUGUGUCCGGAGCAGUAGCGAACUACCAUGGCUCGUUGGAUCACAAAGGGGCAUUUCCCUGUAAGGAAUGCUGCUAAAGCCUACGGCUAGGUAAUCGAACCCCAUACAUAUCAAGUAUGACACACGUACGCAUGGCAUACUGAUAUGUAUAGAUACAUCGAUGGCAUCACAACAUAACCAUAAACAUACAAGCUUUAUUUAAAAGGCUCGGAAGAGCCUCACACAUAAUUUACACAGUGGGGGUCUGACGACCCAUCAUAACAGUCAUUCAAGUUACAAGCCAGCGGAAGUAGAUAAACUGUAUGAGUAUAGACAGAUGAAACUAGAAGGCACAUGGCCUGACUAUACUACAGACCCACCCUAGGGCCAGAUCGUAGCUGGGAUACCAGCUACUCGUCGUCGUCGAUGUCUAGGAAGAACCCUCCAUUAGUGUCAUUAACAACCUCUGCAACAAAUUAUUAAGCAAACAUGAGUACGGGGUACUCAGCAAGACUUUAGGAUAACUAUCUAGUAAUGCAAUGUAUCAAUAAGGAAUUGUGGGGUUUCAUGCGGAAAGCCAACAUUUGACUCGUGGCUAGACAACUUGCAUUUUUAAAUAAUUUUUACAACUUGAUUUCUCGCACACGAGUCCACUAACACCACAACAAUACUCCAUCGUGGAAUCAUUCCGUCUCCAUAUGGAAAUGCCGUCCACGACACUCACGCUUAUCUUGACAAUUUUAUGAGUAGCCAUUGAAGUUAACUAUGAACAACAUAUAUCUCUCAGUAGUCCAUAUCCGCGGACGCGGCUAUUCGAAUAGAUCAUAACCCUGCAGGGGUGUACUUCUUCACACACGCUCUCGCCACUUAUCGCCAUGUGCACGUCAUGCACCUCGGCAACCUUCAAGCGGAAGUCCAGCGAGGGAGUCGGCCACGACCGUUAACCACGCUUAUACUUAGUCCAGGUCUAUCGCCUAUCUGAGGGUAACCCGCACGGAAGUCCGGCCGAGGUUUCCGCCACGGCCCCAAACGAUGUGCGCAGGGUUCCCAAGCCCACCAUCCGGGUGCCACUUGGUACACCGUGCCACUUCCUACCGCAUCACAGCCCACCUCUCAGAUCAGCACUAUGCACGGCCUCCAGCAUGACUAUAAACACCCGAAACUACUUGCAACUCCUGGACUGAGUACUAAGCGAUUAAUAAGUCGAGCAGGGUCAUAUUUCAGGGCCCAGCAUGUGGUAGUAUCUCGUCUUGGAUUACAUACAUGGAACUCAGUUCCUAAGGACGGUUCCAAUGAAACAACCGGCCAUGUGCUCCUACAUAGCCUUUCACCGGUACCUUUACCAAAUCAGGUUCAACACACAACCUUUACUUACUGAACACAUUCUCACAAUUCUGUUCAUCUCCCAGAUGAUAGACCAUACACAACUCUAAGCAUAGCAUGCAUAGCAGGAUAAGGCACAUCAUGGCUCAAGCAACUACCAGGUAUGCUAGGUUGCAAGGUUCAGCUAUUUACUGUGACAAAGACAGGUCAUGCAAAGGAAGUGGGUUCAACUAACAUGGCAAAAGCAUCUGUAGCAUUUGGUCCUAAUGCAAUAAGUAAGUGCAGGAGCGAGAACAUGGGAUUUAUCGGGAUGAUCAAAAUGGUUGCUUGCCUUGUUGCUCAGUCGGAUAUUCGGUGGAAUCCGGAGGAGCGGAGCCUACCGAAAGAAAUGACAACAAUCAAUAACAAUCAUAUGCAACAAAAUGAUGCAUGAGCAUGGCAUGAGGAUGCAAGGUGGUAUGCUAAUGUAGCUAUCAUUUAUUAAGUUUGAAGUUGAUUUGAAUCAGAUUCAAAUAUCACUUCAAACGAGGUAUUCUCGAAUACCAUUUUAAUUGAUUCGACCUGAUGCUCAGAUCAACUUGUUUUUAACAUGCAUGGGAAUGACAUGUUAAGUUGCUGGUUGUGAUUGAACAAUGUUUGAUCAUAUCAUUUGAAGUGGAAUCCAAAUGAUUUUCAAAUUCCAACUCCAAAGCAUUUAUUAAACUUAACUUAUUCAUUAUUCUGCAUGUUUGGUCCAGUAACAUUUUCAAACAUGUUUGAAAAUGACAUAUUCAGAUUCCUUGGAUUUUUCUGAUACUUUUUCAUAUAUAAAUUAUUUUCAUUGGAGUUACAGAUUAAUUUCUAUGAUUUUUAGAAGUUUUUGGCAUUUUCUGGAAUUCUUUUAAAACAGAAAUCCACUUAUUGCGUCAGGCUCACGUCAGCAUGGCGUCAGCCGUCGGCUGACCUGAUCAGGUCAAACCCGACAUGGGGGACUCACUGGUCAGCCUCACAGGGAUAAUCCCGCGCUGACCAGCCCCUGAUUGCGUUUGACUUGGCAUGGGGCCCACUGGUCAGUGGCUGAAUAGUGUUUAAAACAUGGAUCAACGAGGCCAGGUCAUCCCCUGCCGGAGACUGACCGGCGGCGACGAGAUCCGCGGCGGAUCUAUGCCGGAGAGUCGCCGGAGAUGGCUGUAGUGCUCGGGAUCGAGAGCCGAGAGCACUGGCAGGAUCCCCAGGCUAGGCCUCAUCCAGUACUGGCCUCAAGAAGGGCUCGGGAGGACCGGAGGUCACCGGCGACGAGAGGAGGCGACGGCCGGAGCUCGGGCUCGUCGGUCCAGUGGCUAGGGGGCACGAAACCGAGGGGAAGAAUAGGGGAAAUGAUCGCAAUCUCACGGGGAGUGCACUGGAGGGCUUAGACGGCUCCGGGAGGCGCUGUGGGCGACGAAUCGAACAAAGCUCGCCGGCGGCCGAAGCUUGAAGACGACGGUCCCGUGGGCGUUGCAGGGUUCGGGGGGCUUCUACUUCUGCAAGAGGACCAACUCAUCGAGGCGGAGUGAAUGGGGCACUCGGGGGAAAGAACUAGUGGCCAGAGGCACGGGUAGCUCGAGCUCGAGCUCCUGUCAAUGGCGGCAGAAGGGGAGGAAGGAACCGAGAGGAGAGGGGAGAACUGGUGCGCGGAAUGGAUAGGCCAGUGCUCGGGGAGGUUAUACCCGCGCGUGCCAGCGCGAAGCGGCGGCCAGGCAGGCAGGGAGCUGCGUGGAGGCGCCGGGCGUCGCGGCGGCCACCUCCUGCUCCUACCGGCGAGGAGGAAGACGACAUAGGAGCUGGGCCUGGGCCAGGUGAGCGUCACGUAGGUCUUCCUCAUUCAUUUUUUUUCUUGUUUUGUUUUCUCAUUUACUAACUAUUUUGAUUUGCCUUUUAUUUCAGCUGCAAAAUUGUUUAUGAAAUUAAUUUGAACACACCAGAAUAUUUAUUGGAAUAUAUCCAACCAUUCAUGAAGUUUUCAACAUUUUUGAAAACUUAAAGUUUUUGAAUUCAAAUUUAAACUUGAAUCGAGUAGUUUUUUGCAUUUAAAUAAAAUGCCAAAAGUGUUAUGAAAAUAGUUUUCUUCACUGCUUAUUUGGUUCCAUGAAUUAUCAGAAAAGUUGAACUUUUCUUGAGGCCAUUUUGGGUUCAUUGAUUUGAACAAGUUUAGAAUUUCUUUGAAUUUGAGAAGUGCUAGGGUUUUUGAGUUUUGCUUCACCACUUGCUUGAUCUUGUUGCAAUUUUCUUGGAUGCAAUGCAAAGAAGAUAUGAGCACAAUGCUAUACUUGAUUAGGGUUCCAGGGAUGUGACAACUCACCCCCACUCAAAAGAAUCUCGUCCCGAGAUUUAGAAGUCGUCGGGAAUAACGCGGGAUACUCAAGUCGGAGACGAUCCUCUCUUUCCCAUGUUGCCUCCUUCUCAGAAUGAUUUGACCAUUGAACUUUAAGAAACUUGAGGUUUCGACGUCGAGUGGUACGCUCAGCUUGAUCAAGAAUACGCACAGGGUAUUCUCGGUAUGAAAGGUUAUCCUGGAGAUCAAGCGUUUCGUGGUCCACUUCACGGAUAGGAUCCGAAAAGCAACGCCUGAGUUGCGAGACGUGGAAGACAUCAUGAACCUUGGAAAGAUGCGGAGGAAGUUUCAAUUGGUAGGCAACUUCUCCUCGUUUGGCAAGAAUGCGAAAAGGACCAAUGUAACGAGGAGCCAACUUGCCCUUGAUACCGAAUCGAUGGGUACCCUUCAAAGGUGUAACCCGAAGGUAAGCCUUCUCGUCAACUUCAAAGGUCACAGCCUUAUGAUGACGAUCAUAUUGGCUCUUUUGACGAGACUGGGCUGUUUUCAACUUUUCACGAAUAAUGCGAACCUGCUCUUCUGCAUCCUGGAUCAUAUCCGGGGCAAAGAGUUGCCUCUCUCCGGUUUCUGACCAAUUAAGAGGUGUUCGACAUCUUCGUCCAUAGAGAACUUCAAAAGGGGCUUUGCCCAAGCUUGAUUGAUAACUAUUGUUAUAAGCAAAUUCGGCGAAUGGAAGGCACUUCUCCCAAUUCAUACCGGACGAUAUAACACAAGCUCGGAGCAUAUCUUCUAGGAUUUGAUUCACUCUUUCUACUUGACCACUUGAUUGAGGAUGGAAAGCAGUGCUAAAAGAUAAGUGAGUCCCCAUAGCAUUCUGAAAACUUUCCCAGAAGCGAGAAGUAAAGAUACUCCCACGGUCUGAGUUAAUCUCUAGGGGAACACCAUGAAGAGUCACUAUUCGGGAGAUAUAUAACUCUGCUAGCUGGCUAGCUGUUAUACUCUCAUGAACUGGAAGAAAAUGAGCUACUUUGGAGAGACGGUCAAUGACCACAAAGAUAGCAUUAUUUCCUUUCUUGGUCUUGGGAAAUCCGGUAAUGAAAUCCAUACUGACUUUAUCCCAUUUCCAUUCAGGAAUAGCUAAAGGUUGAAGGGUGCCAGCAGGCCUUUGAUGUUCGGCCUUAACUCGACGACAAACGUCGCAGUUAGCAACGAACUCAGCAAUUUCUCUCUUCAUCCUAGUCCACCAGAACCUCUGGCGUAGGUCCUGAUAUAUCUUAGUACUACCGGGAUGAAUGGUGAGAGGAGAAUCAUGAGCCUCCUUAAGGAUUAACUGCCUUAGAUGUGGGUUCUUAGGAACCACUAGGCGAAUCUGGAAGAACACACCANGACAUAGGAGCUGGGCCUGGGCCAGGUGAGCGUCACGUAGGUCUUCCUCAUUCAUUUUUUUUCUUGUUUUGUUUUCUCAUUUACUAACUAUUUUGAUUUGCCUUUUAUUUCAGCUGCAAAAUUGUUUAUGAAAUUAAUUUGAACACACCAGAAUAUUUAUUGGAAUAUAUCCAACCAUUCAUGAAGUUUUCAACAUUUUUGAAAACUUAAAGUUUUUGAAUUCAAAUUUAAACUUGAAUCGAGUAGUUUUUUGCAUUUAAAUAAAAUGCCAAAAGUGUUAUGAAAAUAGUUUUCUUCACUGCUUAUUUGGUUCCAUGAAUUAUCAGAAAAGUUGAACUUUUCUUGAGGCCAUUUUGGGUUCAUUGAUUUGAACAAGUUUAGAAUUUCUUUGAAUUUGAGAAGUGCUAGGGUUUUUGAGUUUUGCUUCACCACUUGCUUGAUCUUGUUGCAAUUUUCUUGGAUGCAAUGCAAAGAAGAUAUGAGCACAAUGCUAUACUUGAUUAGGGUUCCAGGGAUGUGACAACUCACCCCCACUCAAAAGAAUCUCGUCCCGAGAUUUAGAAGUCGUCGGGAAUAACGCGGGAUACUCAAGUCGGAGACGAUCCUCUCUUUCCCAUGUUGCCUCCUUCUCAGAAUGAUUUGACCAUUGAACUUUAAGAAACUUGAGGUUUCGACGUCGAGUGGUACGCUCAGCUUGAUCAAGAAUACGCACAGGGUAUUCUCGGUAUGAAAGGUUAUCCUGGAGAUCAAGCGUUUCGUGGUCCACUUCACGGAUAGGAUCCGAAAAGCAACGCCUGAGUUGCGAGACGUGGAAGACAUCAUGAACCUUGGAAAGAUGCGGAGGAAGUUUCAAUUGGUAGGCAACUUCUCCUCGUUUGGCAAGAAUGCGAAAAGGACCAAUGUAACGAGGAGCCAACUUGCCCUUGAUACCGAAUCGAUGGGUACCCUUCAAAGGUGUAACCCGAAGGUAAGCCUUCUCGUCAACUUCAAAGGUCACAGCCUUAUGAUGACGAUCAUAUUGGCUCUUUUGACGAGACUGGGCUGUUUUCAACUUUUCACGAAUAAUGCGAACCUGCUCUUCUGCAUCCUGGAUCAUAUCCGGGGCAAAGAGUUGCCUCUCUCCGGUUUCUGACCAAUUAAGAGGUGUUCGACAUCUUCGUCCAUAGAGAACUUCAAAAGGGGCUUUGCCCAAGCUUGAUUGAUAACUAUUGUUAUAAGCAAAUUCGGCGAAUGGAAGGCACUUCUCCCAAUUCAUACCGGACGAUAUAACACAAGCUCGGAGCAUAUCUUCUAGGAUUUGAUUCACUCUUUCUACUUGACCACUUGAUUGAGGAUGGAAAGCAGUGCUAAAAGAUAAGUGAGUCCCCAUAGCAUUCUGAAAACUUUCCCAGAAGCGAGAAGUAAAGAUACUCCCACGGUCUGAGUUAAUCUCUAGGGGAACACCAUGAAGAGUCACUAUUCGGGAGAUAUAUAACUCUGCUAGCUGGCUAGCUGUUAUACUCUCAUGAACUGGAAGAAAAUGAGCUACUUUGGAGAGACGGUCAAUGACCACAAAGAUAGCAUUAUUUCCUUUCUUGGUCUUGGGAAAUCCGGUAAUGAAAUCCAUACUGACUUUAUCCCAUUUCCAUUCAGGAAUAGCUAAAGGUUGAAGGGUGCCAGCAGGCCUUUGAUGUUCGGCCUUAACUCGACGACAAACGUCGCAGUUAGCAACGAACUCAGCAAUUUCUCUCUUCAUCCUAGUCCACCAGAACCUCUGGCGUAGGUCCUGAUAUAUCUUAGUACUACCGGGAUGAAUGGUGAGAGGAGAAUCAUGAGCCUCCUUAAGGAUUAACUGCCUUAGAUGUGGGUUCUUAGGAACCACUAGGCGAAUCUGGAAGAACACACCACCUUGAUCAUUCAUGGAGAAUUCGUUAGCGUUUCCGCUAAUGAUAUUCUCCUUGAUCUGUGAUAUACCCUUAUCACGCUUCUGGCCAGCUAUAAUUUGAUCCUUAAGGGUAGGCUUCACCACCAGGGUGGAAAGGAAUCCUUGAGGAACAAUAUGAAGAUUUAACUUCCAAAAUUCCUCAUAGAGAUGUGGUUGACCUCGUUGUAGCAUCAAAUUGUUACAAUAAGAUUUACGACUUAGUGCAUCAGCCAUAACAUUGGCCUUCCCCGGGGUGUAAGUUAUCCCUAAGUCGUAAUCCGAGAUCAACUCAACCCACCGUCUUUGCCUGAGAUUCAAAUCCGGCUGGGUGAAGAUAUAUUUCAUACUUUGGUGAUCAGUGAAUAUUUCGCAACGAUUACCCAAAAGGUAAUGUCGCCAGGUUUUUAGUGCAUGGGCUACAACUGCAAGCUCAAGAUCAUGUGUGGGAUAAUUAUCCUCAUGUGGACGCAACUGUCGAGAUGCGUAUGCAAUCACAUGAUGAUCUUGCAUGAGAAUACACCCUAAUCCUUGUCGCGAGGCGUCGCAAUAGAUAACAAAGUCCUUAGAAAAAUCUGGUGGUAGCAACACAGGUGCAGAAGUCAGGCGUCUUUUCAGUUCCUAGAAACUAUGCUCACACUGUGGUGUCCACUCAAACUUUUUAUCCUUCUUGAGGAGUUCAGUUAGAGGCUUUGCAACCUUGGAGAAAUUCUCGACAAAGCGGCAACAAUAGCUCGCUAGACCAAGUAAACUCCUAACUUGCUUAACCGAUUCAGGUUGAGUCCAAUCAAGGACGGCUUGAACUCUCUCGAGAUUGACAGCAAUACCCUUACCAGAGAUUACGUGACCUAGAUAGGUCACUUCUGGUAACCAAAAUUCACAUUUUGAAAACUUGGCAUAAAGGCGAUGCUCUCGAAGUUUCAUCAAUACCAGCCUUAGAUGCUCGGCAUGUUCUUGUUCGUUCUUCGAGUAGAUGAGAAUAUCAUCGAGGUAUACCACGACGAAUUUAUCCAGAUACUCCAUGAAGAUUGAAUUCGAGCUCGGUACCCAGGGAUNNNNNNNNNNNNNNNNNNNNNNNNNNNNNNNNNNNNNNNNNNNNNNNNNNNNNNNNNNNNNNNNNNNNNNNNNNNNNNNNNNNNNNNNNNNNNNNNNNNNNNNNNNNNNNNNNNNNNNNNNNNNNNNNNNNNNNNNNNNNNNNNNNNNNNNNNNNNNNNNNNNNNNNNNNNNNNNNNNNNNNNNNNNNNNNNNNNNNNNNNNNNNNNNNNNNNNNNNNNNNNNNNNNNNNNNNNNNNNNNNNNNNNNNNNNNNNNNNNNNNNNNNNNNNNNNNNNNNNNNNNNNNNNNNNNNNNNNNNNNNNNNNNNNNNNNNNNNNNNNNNNNNNNNNNNNNNNNNNNNNNNNNNNNNNNNNNNNNNNNNNNNNNNNNNNNNNNNNNNNNNNNNNNNNNNNNNNNNNNNNNNNNNNNNNNNNNNNNNNNNNNNNNNNNNNNNNNNNNNNNNNNNNNNNNNNNNNNNNNNNNNNNNNNNNNNNNNNNNNNNNNNNNNNNNNNNNNNNNNNNNNNNNNNNNNNNNNNNNNNNNNNNNNNNNNNNNNNNNNNNNNNNNNNNNNNNNNNNNNNNNNNNNNNNNNNNNNNNNNNNNNNNNNNNNNNNNNNNNNNNNNNNNNNNNNNNNNNNNNNNNNNNNNNNNNNNNNNNNNNNNNNNNNNNNNNNNNNNNNNNNNNNNNNNNNNNNNNNNNNNNNNNNNNNNNNNNNNNNNNNNNNNNNNNNNNNNNNNNNNNNNNNNNNNNNNNNNNNNNNNNNNNNNNNNNNNNNNNNNNNNNNNNNNNNNNNNNNNNNNNNNNNNNNNNNNNNNNNNNNNNNNNNNNNNNNNNNNNNNNNNNNNNNNNNNNNNNNNNNNNNNNNNNNNNNNNNNNNNNNNNNNNNNNNNNNNNNNNNNNNNNNNNNNNNNNNNNNNNNNNNNNNNNNNNNNNNNNNNNNNNNNNNNNNNNNNNNNNNNNNNNNNNNNNNNNNNNNNNNNNNNNNNNNNNNNNNNNNNNNNNNNNNNNNNNNNNNNNNNNNNNNNNNNNNNNNNNNNNNNNNNNNNNNNNNNNNNNNNNNNNNNNNNNNNNNNNNNNNNNNNNNNNNNNNNNNNNNNNNNNNNNNNNNNNNNNNNNNNNNNNNNNNNNNNNNNNNNNNNNNNNNNNNNNNNNNNNNNNNNNNNNNNNNNNNNNNNNNNNNNNNNNNNNNNNNNNNNNNNNNNNNNNNNNNNNNNNNNNNNNNNNNNNNNNNNNNNNNNNNNNNNNNNNNNNNNNNNNNNNNNNNNNNNNNNNNNNNNNNNNNNNNNNNNNNNNNNNNNNNNNNNNNNNNNNNNNNNNNNNNNNNNNNNNNNNNNNNNNNNNNNNNNNNNNNNNNNNNNNNNNNNNNNNNNNNNNNNNNNNNNNNNNNNNNNNNNNNNNNNNNNNNNNNNNNNNNNNNNNNNNNNNNNNNNNNNNNNNNNNNNNNNNNNNNNNNNNNNNNNNNNNNNNNNNNNNNNNNNNNNNNNNNNNNNNNNNNNNNNNNNNNNNNNNNNNNNNNNNNNNNNNNNNNNNNNNNNNNNNNNNNNNNNNNNNNNNNNNNNNNNNNNNNNNNNNNNNNNNNNNNNNNNNNNNNNNNNNNNNNNNNNNNNNNNNNNNNNNNNNNNNNNNNNNNNNNNNNNNNNNNNNNNNNNNNNNNNNNNNNNNNNNNNNNNNNNNNNNNNNNNNNNNNNNNNNNNNNNNNNNNNNNNNNNNNNNNNNNNNNNNNNNNNNNNNNNNNNNNNNNNNNNNNNNNNNNNNNNNNNNNNNNNNNNNNNNNNNNNNNNNNNNNNNNNNNNNNNNNNNNNNNNNNNNNNNNNNNNNNNNNNNNNNNNNNNNNNNNNNNNNNNNNNNNNNNNNNNNNNNNNNNNNNNNNNNNNNNNNNNNNNNNNNNNNNNNNNNNNNNNNNNNNNNNNNNNNNNNNNNNNNNNNNNNNNNNNNNNNNNNNNNNNNNNNNNNNNNNNNNNNNNNNNNNNNNNNNNNNNNNNNNNNNNNNNNNNNNNNNNNNNNNNNNNNNNNNNNNNNNNNNNNNNNNNNNNNNNNNNNNNNNNNNNNNNNNNNNNNNNNNNNNNNNNNNNNNNNNNNNNNNNNNNNNNNNNNNNNNNNNNNNNNNNNNNNNNNNNNNNNNNNNNNNNNNNNNNNNNNNNNNNNNNNNNNNNNNNNNNNNNNNNNNNNNNNNNNNNNNNNNNNNNNNNNNNNNNNNNNNNNNNNNNNNNNNNNNNNNNNNNNNNNNNNNNNNNNNNNNNNNNNNNNNNNNNNNNNNNNNNNNNNNNNNNNNNNNNNNNNNNNNNNNNNNNNNNNNNNNNNNNNNNNNNNNNNNNNNNNNNNNNNNNNNNNNNNNNNNNNNNNNNNNNNNNNNNNNNNNNNNNNNNNNNNNNNNNNNNNNNNNNNNNNNNNNNNNNNNNNNNNNNNNNNNNNNNNNNNNNNNNNNNNNNNNNNNNNNNNNNNNNNNNNNNNNNNNNNNNNNNNNNNNNNNNNNNNNNNNNNNNNNNNNNNNNNNNNNNNNNNNNNNNNNNNNNNNNNNNNNNNNNNNNNNNNNNNNNNNNNNNNNNNNNNNNNNNNNNNNNNNNNNNNNNNNNNNNNNNNNNNNNNNNNNNNNNNNNNNNNNNNNNNNNNNNNNNNNNNNNNNNNNNNNNNNNNNNNNNNNNNNNNNNNNNNNNNNNNNNNNNNNNNNNNNNNNNNNNNNNNNNNNNNNNNNNNNNNNNNNNNNNNNNNNNNNNNNNNNNNNNNNNNNNNNNNNNNNNNNNNNNNNNNNNNNNNNNNNNNNNNNNNNNNNNNNNNNNNNNNNNNNNNNNNNNNNNNNNNNNNNNNNNNNNNNNNNNNNNNNNNNNNNNNNNNNNNNNNNNNNNNNNNNNNNNNNNNNNNNNNNNNNNNNNNNNNNNNNNNNNNNNNNNNNNNNNNNNNNNNNNNNNNNNNNNNNNNNNNNNNNNNNNNNNNNNNNNNNNNNNNNNNNNNNNNNNNNNNNNNNNNNNNNNNNNNNNNNNNNNNNNNNNNNNNNNNNNNNNNNNNNNNNNNNNNNNNNNNNNNNNNNNNNNNNNNNNNNNNNNNNNNNNNNNNNNNNNNNNNNNNNNNNNNNNNNNNNNNNNNNNNNNNNNNNNNNNNNNNNNNNNNNNNNNNNNNNNNNNNNNNNNNNNNNNNNNNNNNNNNNNNNNNNNNNNNNNNNNNNNNNNNNNNNNNNNNNNNNNNNNNNNNNNNNNNNNNNNNNNNNNNNNNNNNNNNNNNNNNNNNNNNNNNNNNNNNNNNNNNNNNNNNNNNNNNNNNNNNNNNNNNNNNNNNNNNNNNNNNNNNNNNNNNNNNNNNNNNNNNNNNNNNNNNNNNNNNNNNNNNNNNNNNNNNNNNNNNNNNNNNNNNNNNNNNNNNNNNNNNNNNNNNNNNNNNNNNNNNNNNNNNNNNNNNNNNNNNNNNNNNNNNNNNNNNNNNNNNNNNNNNNNNNNNNNNNNNNNNNNNNNNNNNNNNNNNNNNNNNNNNNNNNNNNNNNNNNNNNNNNNNNNNNNNNNNNNNNNNNNNNNNNNNNNNNNNNNNNNNNNNNNNNNNNNNNNNNNNNNNNNNNNNNNNNNNNNNNNNNNNNNNNNNNNNNNNNNNNNNNNNNNNNNNNNNNNNNNNNNNNNNNNNNNNNNNNNNNNNNNNNNNNNNNNNNNNNNNNNNNNNNNNNNNNNNNNNNNNNNNNNNNNNNNNNNNNNNNNNNNNNNNNNNNNNNNNNNNNNNNNNNNNNNNNNNNNNNNNNNNNNNNNNNNNNNNNNNNNNNNNNNNNNNNNNNNNNNNNNNNNNNNNNNNNNNNNNNNNNNNNNNNNNNNNNNNNNNNNNNNNNNNNNNNNNNNNNNNNNNNNNNNNNNNNNNNNNNNNNNNNNNNNNNNNNNNNNNNNNNNNNNNNNNNNNNNNNNNNNNNNNNNNNNNNNNNNNNNNNNNNNNNNNNNNNNNNNNNNNNNNNNNNNNNNNNNNNNNNNNNNNNNNNNNNNNNNNNNNNNNNNNNNNNNNNNNNNNNNNNNNNNNNNNNNNNNNNNNNNNNNNNNNNNNNNNNNNNNNNNNNNNNNNNNNNNNNNNNNNNNNNNNNNNNNNNNNNNNNNNNNNNNNNNNNNNNNNNNNNNNNNNNNNNNNNNNNNNNNNNNNNNNNNNNNNNNNNNNNNNNNNNNNNNNNNNNNNNNNNNNNNNNNNNNNNNNNNNNNNNNNNNNNNNNNNNNNNNNNNNNNNNNNNNNNNNNNNNNNNNNNNNNNNNNNNNNNNNNNNNNNNNNNNNNNNNNNNNNNNNNNNNNNNNNNNNNNNNNNNNNNNNNNNNNNNNNNNNNNNNNNNNNNNNNNNNNNNNNNNNNNNNNNNNNNNNNNNNNNNNNNNNNNNNNNNNNNNNNNNNNNNNNNNNNNNNNNNNNNNNNNNNNNNNNNNNNNNNNNNNNNNNNNNNNNNNNNNNNNNNNNNNNNNNNNNNNNNNNNNNNNNNNNNNNNNNNNNNNNNNNNNNNNNNNNNNNNNNNNNNNNNNNNNNNNNNNNNNNNNNNNNNNNNNNNNNNNNNNNNNNNNNNNNNNNNNNNNNNNNNNNNNNNNNNNNNNNNNNNNNNNNNNNNNNNNNNNNNNNNNNNNNNNNNNNNNNNNNNNNNNNNNNNNNNNNNNNNNNNNNNNNNNNNNNNNNNNNNNNNNNNNNNNNNNNNNNNNNNNNNNNNNNNNNNNNNNNNNNNNNNNNNNNNNNNNNNNNNNNNNNNNNNNNNNNNNNNNNNNNNNNNNNNNNNNNNNNNNNNNNNNNNNNNNNNNNNNNNNNNNNNNNNNNNNNNNNNNNNNNNNNNNNNNNNNNNNNNNNNNNNNNNNNNNNNNNNNNNNNNNNNNNNNNNNNNNNNNNNNNNNNNNNNNNNNNNNNNNNNNNNNNNNNNNNNNNNNNNNNNNNNNNNNNNNNNNNNNNNNNNNNNNNNNNNNNNNNNNNNNNNNNNNNNNNNNNNNNNNNNNNNNNNNNNNNNNNNNNNNNNNNNNNNNNNNNNNNNNNNNNNNNNNNNNNNNNNNNNNNNNNNNNNNNNNNNNNNNNNNNNNNNNNNNNNNNNNNNNNNNNNNNNNNNNNNNNNNNNNNNNNNNNNNNNNNNNNNNNNNNNNNNNNNNNNNNNNNNNNNNNNNNNNNNNNNNNNNNNNNNNNNNNNNNNNNNNNNNNNNNNNNNNNNNNNNNNNNNNNNNNNNNNNNNNNNNNNNNNNNNNNNNNNNNNNNNNNNNNNNNNNNNNNNNNNNNNNNNNNNNNNNNNNNNNNNNNNNNNNNNNNNNNNNNNNNNNNNNNNNNNNNNNNNNNNNNNNNNNNNNNNNNNNNNNNNNNNNNNNNNNNNNNNNNNNNNNNNNNNNNNNNNNNNNNNNNNNNNNNNNNNNNNNNNNNNNNNNNNNNNNNNNNNNNNNNNNNNNNNNNNNNNNNNNNNNNNNNNNNNNNNNNNNNNNNNNNNNNNNNNNNNNNNNNNNNNNNNNNNNNNNNNNNNNNNNNNNNNNNNNNNNNNNNNNNNNNNNNNNNNNNNNNNNNNNNNNNNNNNNNNNNNNNNNNNNNNNNNNNNNNNNNNNNNNNNNNNNNNNNNNNNNNNNNNNNNNNNNNNNNNNNNNNNNNNNNNNNNNNNNNNNNNNNNNNNNNNNNNNNNNNNNNNNNNNNNNNNNNNNNNNNNNNNNNNNNNNNNNNNNNNNNNNNNNNNNNNNNNNNNNNNNNNNNNNNNNNNNNNNNNNNNNNNNNNNNNNNNNNNNNNNNNNNNNNNNNNNNNNNNNNNNNNNNNNNNNNNNNNNNNNNNNNNNNNNNNNNNNNNNNNNNNNNNNNNNNNNNNNNNNNNNNNNNNNNNNNNNNNNNNNNNNNNNNNNNNNNNNNNNNNNNNNNNNNNNNNNNNNNNNNNNNNNNNNNNNNNNNNNNNNNNNNNNNNNNNNNNNNNNNNNNNNNNNNNNNNNNNNNNNNNNNNNNNNNNNNNNNNNNNNNNNNNNNNNNNNNNNNNNNNNNNNNNNNNNNNNNNNNNNNNNNNNNNNNNNNNNNNNNNNNNNNNNNNNNNNNNNNNNNNNNNNNNNNNNNNNNNNNNNNNNNNNNNNNNNNNNNNNNNNNNNNNNNNNNNNNNNNNNNNNNNNNNNNNNNNNNNNNNNNNNNNNNNNNNNNNNNNNNNNNNNNNNNNNNNNNNNNNNNNNNNNNNNNNNNNNNNNNNNNNNNNNNNNNNNNNNNNNNNNNNNNNNNNNNNNNNNNNNNNNNNNNNNNNNNNNNNNNNNNNNNNNNNNNNNNNNNNNNNNNNNNNNNNNNNNNNNNNNNNNNNNNNNNNNNNNNNNNNNNNNNNNNNNNNNNNNNNNNNNNNNNNNNNNNNNNNNNNNNNNNNNNNNNNNNNNNNNNNNNNNNNNNNNNNNNNNNNNNNNNNNNNNNNNNNNNNNNNNNNNNNNNNNNNNNNNNNNNNNNNNNNNNNNNNNNNNNNNNNNNNNNNNNNNNNNNNNNNNNNNNNNNNNNNNNNNNNNNNNNNNNNNNNNNNNNNNNNNNNNNNNNNNNNNNNNNNNNNNNNNNNNNNNNNNNNNNNNNNNNNNNNNNNNNNNNNNNNNNNNNNNNNNNNNNNNNNNNNNNNNNNNNNNNNNNNNNNNNNNNNNNNNNNNNNNNNNNNNNNNNNNNNNNNNNNNNNNNNNNNNNGGUAUUGGGUAGGAUAGUGAAGAUGUGGUAUGAGCAAGUUCAUCGCAAAACCUGUGAUCCCCUCUUAAUAGUGCGGGAUCCCUAUACUCAAUAAUAGUAAACUCAAAAGGAUAGUCUACAUCAUCUUUUCUCAAUCCCGAGCCUUCUUGAAAUAUAAAUCCCGAUCUUCUCAGACCACCUUUGGCACAUAGUUCUCAAUCUACUAAAGUACUUGCCAUCCUGAGAUACACUCAACAAAUAGAAUUAGUUUCCUAUGUAUGUGUUGUCAUUAACACCAAAAGUCGAUUAGGGGCAUAGCAUGCACUUUCAGGAGGGGCGAGAGCCCCUCCUAGAUUGGAUCUCUCUCUCUAUGUGUCCUUCUGUUUCUGCGCUCCCAGAUUCUGUGUUUCACCGUUUCUUAAAUUCUCGGAGACCCGUUACUCCGAUUGGGCUGAAAUUUUAACAAGAUUUUCUUUCGGAUAUUAUCUUUCUUGCGACGAAAGAAGGGCUCCAACCGCCUUAAGGAGUGGCCACAAGCCCCCCUGCCGUGGGCCCACCCCCUGGUCGCGGCGACAGGACUUGUGGGCACUCCGUGCAUCGCCUCGCGUUGAUUUUUCUUCCCGAACAUCAUAAAUAUUCCAAAACAAAUCCCCGUAAGUUUUUAUUACGUUUGGACUUCGUUUGGUAUGGAUAUUCUGCGAAACAAAAAACAUGCAACAAACAGGAACUGGCACUAGGCACUGGAUCAAUAUAUUAGUCCCAAAAAUAGUAUAAAAAGUUGCCAAAAGUAUAUGAAAGUUGUAGAAUAUUGGCAUGAAACAACCAAAAAUUAUAGAUACGACGGAGACGUAUCAGUAUCUCCGAAGGUGUCCGUUGAGUUAGUAUGGAUCAAGACUCGGAUUUGUCACUCCAUGUGACGGAGAGGUAUCUCGGGGCCCACUCGGUAAUACAACAUCAUACACAAGCCUUGCAAGCAAUGUGACUUAGUGUAAGUCACGGGAUCUUGUAUUACGGAACGAGUAAAAGAGACUUGCCAGUAAACGAGAUUGAAAUAGGUAUGCGGAUACUGACGAUCGAAUCUCGGGCAAGUAACAUACCGAAGGACAAAGCGAAUGACAUACGGGAUUAUAUGAAUCCUUGGCACUGAGGUUCAAACAAUAAGAUCUUUGGAGAAUAUGUAGGAUCCAAUAUUGGCAUCCAGGUCCCGCUAUUGGAUAUUGACUGAGGAGUCCCUCGGGUCAUGUCUACAUAGUUCUCGAACCCGCAGGGUCUGCACACUUAAGGUUAGGCGAUGUUUUAUGCGUAUUUGAGUUAUAUGGUUGGUUACCGAAUGUUGUUCGGAGUCUCGGAUGAGAUCACAGACGUCACGAGGGUUUUGGGAAUGGUCCGGAGACGAAGAUUCAUAUAUAGGAUGACCUCAUUUGAUUACCGGAAAGUUUUCGGACAUUACCAGGAAUGUACCGGGAGUGACGAAUGGAUUCCGGAUGUUCACCGGGGGGGGCAGCCCACCCGGGGGAAGCUCAUAGGACUUAGGGGUGCAGCACCAGCCCUUAGUGGGCUGGUGGGACAGCCCAAGAGGCCCUAUGCGCAGGAAUCAAAGGAAAAAAGGGGAAGUGGGAAAGUGGAGAAGGACUCCACCUUCCAAUCCUAGUUGGACUAGGAUUGGAAGGGGAUGACUUCCCCUUGCUUAGGCCGACCCCUUGGGGCUCUCUUGAGCCUCAAGGCAGGUCCCUCCCCCUCCCUCCUAUAUAUACUGAGGUAUUAGGGCUGAUUUGAGACAACUUUGCCACGGCAGCCCGACCACAUACCUCCAUGGUUUUUCCUCUAGAUCGUAUUUCUGCGGAGCUCGGGUGGAGCCCUGCUGAGAUAGAUCACCACCAACCUCCGGAGCGCCGUCUCGCUGCCGAAGAACUCAUCUACCUCUCUGUCUCUCUUGCUGGAUCAAGAAGGCCAAGAUAAUCGUCGAGCUGUAUGUGUGCUGAACGCAGAGGUGCCGUUCGUUCGGCACUAGAUCGGAGCGAAUCGUGGGAUGGAUUGCGGGACUGUUCGUGGGACGGUUCGCGGGGCGGAUCGAGGGACGUGAGGACGUUCCACUACAUCAACCGCAUUUCUUAAUGCUUCCUGUUGUGCGAUCUACAAGGGUACAUAGAUCGGAAAUCCCCUCUCGUAGAUGGACAUCACCAUGAUAGGUCUUCGUGCGCGUAGGAUUUCUUUUGUUUCCCAUGCGACGUUCCCCAUCAGUGGUAUCAGAGCUAGGUUCAUGCAUAGAUGUUAUCUCGAUUAGAACACAAAAGUUUUUCUGGGCGGUGAUGUGCGAUUUGCUGCCCCUCCUUAGUCUUUUCUUGAUUCCACGGUAUUGUUGGAUCGAAGUGGCUCGGACCGACAUUACUCGUACGCUUACGAGAGACUGGUUUCAUCGCUAUGAGCAACCCCAUUUCUUAAAGAUGACUGGCGAGUGCCGGUUUCUCCAACUUUAGUUGAAUCGGAUUUGACCGAGGAGGUCCUUGGAGAGAGGUUAAAUAGCAAUUCAUACACCUCUGUUGUGGUGUUUGCGUAAGUAAGAUGCGAUCCUACUAGAUACCCAUGGCAACCACGUAAAACAUGCAACAACAAUUAGAGGACGUAUAACUUGUUUUUGCAGGGUAUGCUUGUGAUGUGAUAUGGCCAACGACGUGAUGUGAUAUAUUGGAUGUAUGAGAUGAUCAUGUUGUAAUAGUUAAUAUCGACUUGCACGUCGAUGCUACGGCAACUGGCACGAGCCAUAGGGUUGUCUUUAAAUUAACGUUUGUGUUUGCACAUGCGUUUACUAUAUUACUAGGACGUAGCUUUAGUAGUAAUAGCAUAGCAUACACGACAACCUCGAUGGUGGCACGAUGAUGGAGAUCAAGAUGAUGGGGAUCAUGGUGUGGCGCCGGUGGCAAGAAGAUCAUAUCGGUGCUUUGGUGAUGGAGAUCAAGGAGCACUUGAUGAUGGCCAUAUCAUGUCACUUAUGAAUUGCAUGUAAUGUUAAUCCUUUAUGCACCUUAUCUUGCUUAGAACGGAGGUAGCAUUAUUAGGUGAUCUCUCACUAAAAUUUCAAGCUCAAAUUGUGUUCUCACCGACUGUGCACCAUUGCGACAGUUCGUCGUUUCGAGACACCAUGUGAUGAUCGGGCGUGAUAGACUCAACGUUCACAUACAACGGGUGCAAAACAGUUGCACGUGCGGAACACUCGGGUUAACCUUGAUGAGCCUAGCAUGUGCAGACAUGGCCUCGGAACACAUGAGACCGAAAGGUCGAGCAUGAAUCAUAUAGUUGAUAUGAUUAGCAUAGAGAUGCUUACCACUGAAACUAUUCUCGACUCACGUGAUGAUCGGACUUGAGAUAGUGGAUUUGGAUCAUGUACCACUCAAAUGACUAGACAGAUGUACUUUUUGAGUGGGAGUUCUUAAGUAAAAUGAUUAAUUGAACUCAUUAUCAUGAACAUAGUUUAAUGGUCUUUGCAAAUUACGAUGUAGCUUGCGCUAUGGCUCUACUGUUUUUAUAUGUUCCUAGAGAAAAUUUAGUUGAAAGUUGAUAGUAGCAAACUUUGCGGAAUGAGUCUGUAAAACUAAGGAUUGUCCUCGUUGCUGCGCAGAAGGCUUAUGUCCUUAAUGCACCCUUCGGUGUGCUGCACCUCGAGCAUCGUCUGUGGAUGCUGUGAACAUCCGACAUACACGUUUCUGAUGACUACGCGAUAGUUCAUUGCAAUAUACUUAAUGGCUAAGAAGCAAGGCGCUGAAGAUGUUUUGGAAACGUCACGGAACAUAAGAGAUGUUCUAAAGAGAUGAAAUUGUGAUUUCAUUCUCGUGCCCUUGUUAAGAGGUAUGAGACCUCCGACAAGAUUCUUUGUCCACAAAGUAAAGGAGAAUAGCUCAAUCGUUGAGCGUGUGCUCAGAUUGUCUGAGUACGACAAUCGCUUGAAUCAAGUGGGAGUUAAUCUUCCAGAUGAGAUAGUGAUGGUUCUCCAAAUUCACUUCCACCAAGCUAUGAGAGCUUCAUGAUGAACUAUAACAUAUCAAGGAUAGAUACAAUGAUCCUUGAGCGAUUCGCUAUGUUUGACAUUGUGAAAGUAGAAAUCAAGAAGGAGCAUCAAUAGUUGAUGGUUAGUAAAACCACUAAGUUUCAAGAAAGGCAAGGGCUAGAAGGGAUACUUCGUGAAAUGGCAAAACAGUUCCUGCCCUAAUGAAGAGACCAAAGAUUAAACCCAAACCCGAGACUAAGUGCUUCUGUUACGAGGGGAACGGUCACUGAGGCGGAGCUACCCUAGAUGCUUGGUAGAUAAGAAGGUUGGCUAAGUCAACAGAAGGAUAUUUGAUAUACAUGAUAUUGGUGUGUACUUUACUAUCACUCUUAGUAGCACGAGGGCAUUGGAUACCGGUUCGGUUGCUAAGUGAUUAGUAACCCGAAAUGAAAGCUACGGAAUAAACGGAGACUAGCUAAAGGCGAGGUGACGAUACGUGUUGGAAGUGUUUCCAAGGUUGAUGUGAUCAAACGUCGCACACUCCCUCUACCAUCGGGUUUGGUGUUAAACCUAAAUAAUUGUUAUUUGGUGCUUGCGUUGAGCAUGAACAUGAUUGGAUCGUGUUUAUUGCAAUACGAUUAUUAAUUUAAAGAGAAUAAUGGUUACUCUGUUUGCUUGAAUAAUAACCUUCAAUGGUUUACUGAAUCUUGAUCAUAGUGUUACACAUGUUCAUGAUAUUGGUGCCAAAAGAUACAAGGUAAUGAUGAUAGUACCACCUACUUGUGGCACUGCCGCUUGAGUCAUGUUGGUGUAAAUUGCAUGAAAGGCUCCAUGCUGAUGGAUCUUUAAAUCUCACUUGAUUUUGAAUCACUUGAGACAUGCAAAUCAUACCACAUGAGCAAGGCCUUGUUUUCAUUAAGAUGAAACAAGAAAGUAACUUGUUGGAAGUAAUACAUUUUGAUGUAUGCCGUCCAAUGAGUGUUGAGGCACGCAGUGGAUGUCAUUAUGUUCUUACUUCAAUGACGAUUUGAGUAGAUACAGGAGUGUUUACUUAAUGAAUUAGAAGUCUGAAAUAUUGAAAAGUUCAAUUCUGUUUUAGAGUGAAGUUCGUCGUAACAAGAGGAUAAACUGUUUACGAUAUGAUCGUAGAGAUCUGAGUUGCGAGUUUUGGUACACAGUUAAGACAAUGUGGAAGUAGUUUCGCAAUUCAUGCCACCAGGAACACCAUAGUGUGAUGGUGUGUCUGAACGUCAUAGCCGCGACCUAUUUGAUGUGGUGCAUACUAUGAUGUCUCUUAUGGAGUUACCACUAUCAUUUAUGGGUUAUGUAUUAGAGACAACCGCAUUCACUUUAAAUAGGGCACCACGUAAUUCCAUUGAGAUGACACGGUAUAGACUGAGGUUUAGAGAAAUCUGAGCCGUCAUUUCUUGAAAGUUUGGGGCUGCGACACUUAUGUGAAAAAGUUUCCGUCUGAUAAGCUCAAACCCAAAGCGGAUAAAUGCAUCUUCAUAGGAUAUCCAAAACAGUUGGGUGCAUCUCCUAUCUCAGAUCCGAAAGCAAAGUGUUUGUUUUUACAAAAGGGUCCUUUCUCGAGGAAAGGUUUCUCUCGAAAGAAUUGAGUGGGAGGGUGAUAGAACUUGAUGAGGUUAUUGAACCAUCACUUCAACUAGUGUGUAGCAGGGCGCGGGAAGUUGUUCAUGUGGCUCCUACACCAAUUGAAGUGGAAGCUGAUGAUGGUGGUCAUUGAGCUUCGGAUCAAGUUACUACAAACCUCGUAGGUCGACAAGGUCGUGUAUUACUACAGAGUGGUACGGUAACCCUGUCUUGGAGGUCAUGUUGUUGAACAACAAUGAACCUACGAGCUAUGGAGAAGCGAUGGUGGGCCCGGAUUCCGACAAAUGGCUGGAGGCCAUGAAAUCCGAGAGAGGAUCCAUGUAAGAAAACAAAGUGUAGACUUUGGAAGAACUACUUGAUGGUCGUAGGACUAUUGAGUAAAGAUGGAUAUUUAAAAGGAAUACACACGAUGAUGGUGAUAAGUCACUAUUAAGAAAAGCUCGACUUGUCGCAAAGAUGUUUCCGACAAGAUCAAAUAGUUGACUAUGAUGAGACUUUCUCACUCGUAGCGAUGCUAAAAGUCUGUUAGAAUUAUGUUAGUAGUUGCUGCAUUACUUAUGAAUUGCACAUAGGAUGUCAAAAUAUUGUUUCCUUGACGGUUUCCUUGAGUAAACAUUGUAUGUGAUACAACGAGGAGGUUUUUUUGAUCCUAAGGAUACUAACAAGUAUGCAAGCUCCAGCGAUCCUUCAAUGGACUGGUGCAAGCAUCUCGGAGUUGGAAUAUACACCUUGAUGAGAUGAUCAAAGAUUUUGGGUUUGUACAAGGUUUAUGAGAAACUUGUAUUUCCAAAGAAGUGAGUGGGAGCACUAUAGAAUUUCUGAUAAGUAUAUGUGGUUGACAUAUUGUUGAUCAGAAGUAAUGUAGAAUUUCUAUGAAGCAUAAAAGGUUGUUUGAAAGGAGUUUUUCAAAGGAAUACCUGGAUUGAGCUACUUGAACGUUGAGCAUCAAGAUCUAUGGAGAUAGAUCAAAACGCUUAAUAGAAGUUUCAACAAGAUGCAUGCCUUGACAAGUUUUUGAAGGAGUUCAAAAUAGAUCAGCAAAGAAGGAGUUCUUGACUGUGUUGUAAGGUGUGAAUUUGAGUAAGACUCAAAACCCGACCACGGCAGAAUAAAGAGAAUAGACGAAGGUCGUCUUCUAUGCCUUAGCCAUAGACUCUAAAGUAUGCCAUGGUGAGUACCGCACCGGAUGUGUGCCUUCCAGCAAGUCUGUUAAGAGGUACAGAGAGUGAUCCAGGAUUGAAUCACUGAUCAGCGGUCAAAGUUAUCCUUAGUAACUAAAUGGACUAAGGAAUUUUUCUUGAUUAUGGAGGUAGUUAAAGAGUUCGUCGUAAAGGGUUACGUCGAUGCAAGCUUUGACACUAAUCCAAAUAACUAUGAGUAGUGAAACGGAUUCGUAUAGUAGAGUAGAUAUUUGGAGUAUUUUCGAAUAGUACGUAGUAGCAGCAUCUAUAAGAUGACAUAAAGAUUUGUAAAGAACACACGGAUCUGAAAGUUUCAGAACCGUUGAAUAAAACCUCUCUCAUGAGCAAGACGUGAUCAGACCCCAUAACUAUAUGGGUGUUGCAUUCGUUGAAAUCACAUGGUGAUGUGAACUAGAUUAUUGACUCUAGUGCAAGUGGGAGACUGUUGGAAAUAUGCCCUAGAGGCAAUAAUAAAUUAGUUAUUAUUAUAUUUCUUUGUUCGUGAUAAUCGUUUAUUAUCCAUGCUAUAAUUGUAUUGAUUGGAAACAAAAUACUUGUGUGGAUACAUAGACAAAACACUGUCCCUAGUAAGCCUCUAGUUGACUAGCUCGUUGAUCAAAGAUGGUCAAGGUUUCCUGACCAUAGGCAAGUGUUGUCACUUGAUAACGGGAUCACAUCAUUGGGAGAAUCAUGUGAUGGACUAGACCCAAACUAAUGAACGUAGCAUGUUAAUCGUGUCAUUUUGUUGCUACUAUUGUUCUGUGUGUCAAGUAUUUAUUCCUAUGACCAUGAGAUCAUAUAAUUCACUGGCACCGGAGGAAUGCCUUAUGUGUAUGAAACGUCACAUCGUAACUGGGUGACUAUAAAGAUGCUCUACAGGUAUCUCCGAAGGUGUGCGUUGAGUUAGUAUGGAUCAAGACUGGGAUUUGUCACUCUGUGUGACUGAGAGGUAUCUCGGGGCCACUCGGUAAUACAACAUCACACACAAGCCUUGCAAGCAAUGUGACUUAGUGUAAGUCACGGGAUCUUGUAUUACGGAACGAGUAAAGAGACUUGCCAGUAAACGAGAUUGAAAUAGGUAUGCGGAUACUGAUGAUCGAAUCUCGGGCAAGUAACAUACCGAAGGACAAAGGGAAUGACAUACGAGAUUAUAUGAAUCCUUGGCACUGAGGUUCAACCGAUAAGAUCUUUGGAGAAUAUUCAGGAUCCAAUAUGGGCAUCCAGGUCCCGCUAUUGUAUAUUGACCGAGGAGUCCCUCGGGUCAUGUCUACAUAGUUCUCGAACCCGCAGGGUCUGCACACUUAAGGUUAGGUGAUGUUUUAUGAGUAUUUGAGUUAUAUGGUUGGUUACAGAAUGUUGUUCGGAGUCUCGGAUGAGAUCAUGGACGCCACGAGGGUUUCCGGAAUGGUCCGUAGACGAAGAUUGAUAUAUAGGAUGACCUCAUUUGAUUGCCGGAAAGUUUUCGGACAUUACCGGGAAUGUACCGGGAGUGACGAAUGGGUUCCGAAUGUUCACCAGGGGGGCAGCCCACCCAGGGGAAGCUCAUUGGCCUUAGGGGUGCUGCACCAGCCCUUAGUGGGCUGGUGGGACAGCCCAAGAGGCCCUAUGUGCAGGAAUCAAAGGAAAAAAAGGGGGAAGUGGGAAAGUGGAGAAGGACUCCACCUUCCAAUCCUAGUUGGACUAGGAUUGGAAGGGGAGGACUUCCCCCCUUGCUUCGGCCGACCCCUUGGGGCUCUAUUGAGCCUCAAGGCAGGUCCCUCCCCCUCCCUCCUAUAUAUACUGAGGUAUUAGGGCUGAUUUGAGACAACUUUGCAACGGCAGCCCGACCACAUACCUCCACGGUUUUUCCUCUAGACUGUAUUUCUGCGGAGCUCGGGCGGAGCCCUGCUGAGAUAGAUCACCACCAACCUCGGGAGAGCCGUCAUGCUGCCAGAGAACUCAUCUACCUCUCCGUCUCUCUUGAUGGAUCAAGAAGGCCAAGAUCAUCGUCGAGUUGUACGUGUGCUGAACGCGGAGGUGCCGUCCGUUCGGCACUAGAUCGGAGCGAAUCAUAGGACCGUUCGUGGGACGGUUCGCGGGGCGGAUCGAGGGACGUGAGGAAGUUCCACUACAUCAACCGCGUUUCUUAGCGCUUCUUGUUGUGCGAUCUAUGAGGGUACGUAGAUCGGAAAUCCCCUCUCGUAGAUGGACAUCACCAUGAUAGGUCUUCGUGCGCGUAGGAAUUUUUUUGUUUCCCAUGCGACGUUCCCCAUCAAUAUCAAAGGUAUAAGAAGUUUCCUUGGUCAUGCUGGUUUCUAUAGAAGGUUCAUUAAGGACUUUUCUAAGAUUUCGAGGCCUCUUACCAAUCUCUUGCAAAAGGAUAAUCCUUUUGUUUUUGACGAUGAUUGUGAGGAAGCCUUCGAAAUACUUAAAAAGGCCUUGAUAACUGCGCCUAUUGUUCAACCACCUGAUUGGAACUUACCUUUUGAAAUUAUGUGUGAUGGUAGUGAUUAUGAUGUUGGUGCUGUUCUAGGACAAAGAGUUGAUAAGAAGUUGAAUGUUAUUCACUACGCUAGUAAAACUCUAGACAAUGCCCAAAGAAACUAUGCUACUACUGAAAAGGAAUUUUUAGCAGUCGUGUUUGCAUGUGAAAAGUUCAGAUCUUACAUAGUUGAUUCAAAAGUCACUAUUCACACUGAUCACGCAGCUAUUAAGUACCUCAUGGAAAACAAAGACGCUAAACCUAGACUUAUCAGAUGGGUUCUCUUGCUACAAGAAUUCGAUUUGCAUGUUGUUGAUAGAAAGGGUGCUGAGAACCCCGUAGCAGAUAACUUGUCUAGGUUGGAGAAUGUUCUUGAUAACCCACAACCUAUUGAUGAUAGCUUUCCUAAUUAGCAACUGAAUGUCAUCAAUACUUCAGGUAGUGCACCGUGGUAUGCUAAUUAUGCAAAUUAUAUUGUUGCCAAAUAUAUACCACCUAGUUUCACAUACCAACAAAAUAAGAAAUUAUUCUUUGAUUUGAGACAUUACUUUUGGGAUGAUCCUCACCUUUAUAAGGAAGGAGUAAAUGGUGUUAUUAGACGUUGUGUACCUGAACAUGAACAGGGACAGAUCCUACAGAAGUGUCACUCCGAGGCCUACGAAGGACACCAUGCGGGAGAUAGAACUGCACACAAGGUAUUGCAAUCAGGUUUCUAUUGGCCCACUCUCUUCAAGGAUGCCCGUAAGUUUGUCUUGUCUUGUGACGAAUGUCAAAGAAUAGGUAAUAUCGGUAAACGUCAGGAAAUGCCUAUGAAUUAUUCACUUGUCAUUGAACCAUUUGAUAUUUUGGGCUUUGAUUAUAUGGGACCUUUUCCAAAAUCCAACGGGUAUACUCAUAUCCUAGUUGCUCUCGAUUACGUUAAUAAGUGAGUAGAAGCUAUCCCAACUAGUAGUGCUGAUCACCACACCUCUAUUAGGAUGCUUAAAGAAGUUAUUUUCCCUAGAUUUGGAGUCCCUAGAUAUCUAAUGACUGAUGGUGGUUCACAUUUCAUUCAUGGUGCUUUCCGUAAAACGCUUGCUAAGUAUAAUGUCAACCAUAGAGUUGCAUCUCCCUAUCAUCCUCAGUCCAGUGGUCAAAUAGAGCUAAGCAAUAUAGAGAUUAAACUAAUUCUGCAAAAGGCUGUCAAUAGGUCUAGAAAGAAUUGGUCUAAGAAGCUCGAUGAUGCACUGUGGGCUUAUAGAACUGCUUAUAAGAAUCCCAUGGGCAUGUCUCCGUGCAAAAUGGUUUACGGCAAAGCAUGUCAUUUACCUCUUGAGCUAGAGCACAAGGCUUAUUGGGCAAUCAAAGAGCUCAACUUUGAUUUCAAACUUGCUCGUGAGAAGAGGUUAUUUGAUAUUAGCUCGCUUGAUGAAUGGAGAGCUCAGGCAUAUGAAAAUGCCAAGUUGUUCAAAGAAAAGGUUAAUAGGUGACAUGAUAAAAGGAUACAAAAGCGUGAGUUCAAUGUAGGUGAUUAUGUCUUGCUAUAUAAUUCUCGUUUAAGAUUUUUUGUAGGCAAGCUUAUCUCUAAAUGGGAAGGUCCCUACAUUGUUGAGGAAGUAUAUCGUUCCGGUGCCAUCAAGAUCAACAACACGGAAGGUAAUUUUCCAAGAGUGGUAAAUGGGCAAAGAAUCAAGCAUUAUAUCUCAGGUAUUCCCAUAAAUGUUGAAAGCAAUAUUAUCAAUACCAUAACUCCGGAGGAGUACAUAAGGGAUAUUUAUCAGCCUGUUUCAGACUCCGAAAACGAAGAGGUAUGUGAUUCGGUAAGUAAACCGACUCCAAAACUUUUCCAGUAGGAAUUUUUCUCAUUUUUGGAAUUUUUGAAAAAAUAGAAAAAGUAGUCCGGAAAGCGCACGAGGAGGCGACAAACCUACCAGGCGCGGGCCACCCCCCUGGCCGCGCCUGGGGGGGCUUGUGACCACCUCGUGUGCCUCCCGGACUCCGUUUUCUUACGGAGUACUCCUUCUGGUUGGAAAAAAUAUUAUAUAUUCUCCCAUAAGGUCUGACCCUCAUAUCACGCAAGUUUCCUCUGUUUUCGUUUCGAGCCUAUUUCUGCUGCAGAUCUAGAUCGCUAUGGCAUCCCCAAAAGCUCCGAAGGACAAGAUCUUCGAGAAGGUCAUCAAUCCCUACCUCACGGGAGUCCUGCAACACCCUCAAUCUAUCGAGAUGCGUGAGGGGAUGCUGCACAUCCGUGAUGUUGAGGGGCCUAAGAAGACCGGAAGCAUGGAGGCGAGGCUCGAAGCAAUGGAGCAACAAGUCUUCAAGUGCCAAGGUAUGGUGGAACGCGGACUCAAUGCCAACCACAUGGUGAUCACAGACUUCACCAACAAGCACAAGAUCGAUGCCAAUGACAUCGGGAAGCACCUCUCCAGGCUCUAUGACAAAAUUGAUCACCUCCAAGCCCAGAUCUAUGACCUGCAGAACCAAAACUGUGAGUAUGAGUAUAGAUUUAAAUCAAUACGGUUGGCUGCAGAUUUGAGGAUUCCGUAGACUCAGUCAUCUUUCCAUGAUGGAGCACCUAUGCCUUGGAAGACGGAGGAUCAAACCCAUGUUGCAACAACUCCACCACCAUCACCAUCGAAGGAAGACAACUAAGCAUGGGUAUGGGCAAUCCCCUUGGCUUGUGCCAAGCUUGGGGGAGUUGCCCCGAUAUCGUAUCACCAUCACAUCUUUUGCCUUUACCUUUUCUUAGUUCGAUCCUUUUUGGUCUUAUCUUUCUCUAGUAAAAUAAAGUCCUUAGUGUUUUACGCUUAAGUUUUGCUUUGUGUCACCCGUGAUGUAUUCGAGCUCGUGAGCCUUAUAAUAAAGAGUGUCUUAGUUAAGGGCCUUGCCUCAUGCCAUGAUCAAGAGAAUGAUAAAAGAACAAAAGCAUGAAAGAUCAUGUAAUGAUCUUGUGGAAAGUGAUGGCUUCACAUAUAAGAAGAAUGUUGAUUGAAACUUGUUGAGGGUAGACAAACAUAGACCUUGGUCAUUGUUGCAAUUAAUAGGAAAUGAUAAAGAAGGAGAGGUUCACAUAUAAAUAUAUCAUCUUUGACACCAUCUAUGAUUGUGAACACUCAUUAAACUAUUGCAUGCUUAGAAGUAGAUGUUGGACAAGGAAGACAACAUAAUGAAUUAAGUUUGCUUGGUUCCGAACAAUGAUUAUAUGACUAGAGAUCCAUUAGCAUGUGACGCUUGCUUCCACCUCAUAUCAGCCAAAACUUCCGCACUAAGUAAAGAUACUACUUGUGCAUCCAUAAACCUUCAACCCCAGUUUUGCCAUGAGAGUCCACCAUACCUACGUAUGGAUUGAAUAAGAUCCCUCAAGUAAGUUGUCAUCGGUGCAAGCAAUAAAAAUUGCUCCCUAAAUAUGUAUGAUCUAUUAGUGUGUGGAAAAUAAGCUUUGUAUGAACCUGUGAUGAGGAAGACAUAAAAGCGACAGACUGCAUAAUAAAGUUCUUUAUCACAGGAGGCAAUAUAAAGUGACGUUCCUUUACACUAAGAGGUCGCACAUCCAAACCUCGAAAGUGCAUGGCAACCUCUGCUUCCCUCUGCGAAGGGCCUAUCUUGUACCUUUACUUUUUGCCCUUAAAAGAGUCAUGGUGAUCUACACCAAUUCCUUAUUUCGCCUUUUUCUUGGCUAACGUCAUAUGCUAGGGAAAGAUCUGUAUGCAUAUGUCAACUUGGAAGUGAGUAUUCAUGAAUUAUUAUUGUUGACAUUACCCUUGAGGUAAGCAGUUGGGAGGCGAAACUAUAAGCCCCUAUCUUUCUCUGUGUUCAUCUGAAACUUCGAUCUCAUGAGUACCAUGUGAGUUGUAGCAAUUGUAGAAGACAAAAGGAUGAUUGAGUAUGUGGAUUUUCUUUACAAGCUCUUAUUUGACUCUUUCCGAUGUUGUGAUAAAUUGCAAUUGCUUCAAUGACUAAAGGCUAUCGGUUGUUAAUUAUCAUUAAGCUUCUUGAUCCUUACUUUACUUUGUGAAGGAAUUAUCACUUUAGCAUAAGAGUUCAUAUGAUGAUAUUGUUGUUCUGAUUAUGAUCGUGAUGCCCGCAUGUCCGUAUCUUGUUUUGUCGACACCUCUCUCUCUAAACAUGUGGGCAUAUUUAUUGAUCUCGGUUUUUGCUUGAGGACAAGCGAGGUAUAAGAUUGGGGGAGUUGAUACGUCCAUUUUGCAUCAUGCUUUCAUGUUGAUAUUUAUUGAUUUAUGGGCUGUUAUUACACUUCAUGGUACAAUACUUAUGCUUUUUCUCUCUUAUUUUGCAAUGUUUACAUGAAGAGGGAGAAUGCCGGCAGCUGGAAUUCUGGCCUGAAAAAGGAGCAAGUUUGAGAUACCUAUUCUGCGCAACUCCAAAAGCCGUGAAAAUCAACGAGGAUUUAUUUUGGAAUUUAUAUAAAAUACUAGGCCGAAGAAGUACCAGAGGGGAGCCAACAGGAGGCCAGAAGCCUGCUAGGCGCGCCCCCCUGGCCGCGCCUAGCGGGUUUGUGGGCUCCCUGCGGGCCCUCUGGCCCCCCUCUUUUGCUAUAAGAAGGGUUUCGUUCCAGAAAAAUCAGGAGGAGGCUUUCGGGAGGAAUCGCCGCCGGCACGAGGCGGAACUUGAGCACAACCAAUAUAAAGCUCUGGCAGGGUCGUCCUGCCGGGGAAACUUCCCUCCCGGAGGGGGAAAUCGUCGCCAUCGUCAUCACCAACACUCCUCUCAUCGGAGGGGACUCAUCACCAUCAACAUCUUCAUCCGCACCAUCUCAUCUCCAAACCAUAGUUCAUCUCUUGUAACCAAUCUCCGUCUCGCGACUCCGAUUGGUACUUGUAAGGUUGCUAGUAGUGUUAAUUACUCUUUAUAGUUGAUGCUAGUUGGAUUACUUGGUGGAAGAUUAUAUGUUCAGAUCCUUGAUGCUAUUCAUUACCUCUCUGGUCAUGAAUAUUAUUAUGCUUUGUGAGUAGUCACUUUUGCUCCUGAGGACAUGGGAUAAGUUUUGCUAUAAGUAGUCAUGUGAAUUUGGUAUUCGUUCGAUAUUUUGAUGUGUUGUAUGUUGUUUUUCCUCUAGUGGUGUUAUGUGAACGUCGACUAAAUAACACUUCACCAUUAUUUGGGCCUAGAGGAAGGCAUUGGGAAGUAGUAAGUAGAUGAUGGGUUGCUAGAGUGACAAAAGCUUAAACCCUAUUUUAUGCGUUGCUUCGUAAGGGGCUGAUUUGGAUCCACUAGUUUAAUGCUAUGGUUAGACUUUGUCUUAAUUCUUGUUUCGUAGUUGCGGAUGCUUGCGAGAGGGGUUAAUCAUAAGUGGGAUGCUUGCCCAAGUAAGGGCAGUAGCCAAGCGCCGGUCCACCCACAUAUCAAACUAUCAAAGUAGCGAACACGAAUCAUAUGAACAUGAUGAAAACUAGCUUGACAGAAAUUCCCAUGUGUCCUCGGGAGUACUUUACCUCCUAUAUGAGUUUGUUCAGGCUUGUCCCUUGCUACAAAAAGGGAAUGGGCCACUUUGUUGCACCUUUGUUACCGUUGUUACUUGCUACUUGCUGUGAAUCAUCUCACCACACCACUAUGUGUUACCGAUAAUUUCAGUGCUUGCAGAGAAUACCUUGCUGAAAACCACUUGUCAGAUCCUUCUACUCCUCGUUGGGUUCGACACUCUUACUUAUUGAAAGGACUACGAUAGAUCCCCUAUACUUGUGGGUCAUCAGAGAAAGUUUGAGAUACCUAUUCUACGCAACUCCAAACGCCGUAAAAAUUAACGAGGAUUUUUUUUUCCGGAUUUAUAAAAAAUACUGGGAUGAAGAAGCGCCAGAGGGGCACCAGGGGUUGGCCACAAGCCUGCACGGCGUGGCCACCCCCUAGGCCGCGCCAUGAGGGCUUAUGGGCAACCUGCUGGCCCACUUGCCCCCCUCUUCUGCUAUAUGAAGGGUUUCGUCUGGAAAAAAUCAGGGAGGAGCUUUUUCGUGGUUUCGCCGCCGCCACGAGGCGGAACUUGAGCAGAACCAAUCUAGAGCUCCGGCAGGACGAUCCUGCCGGGGAAACUUCCCUCCCGGAAGGGGAAAUCGUCGCCAUCGUCAUCACCAACACUCCUCUCAUCGGAGGGUACUUGUCACCAUCAACAUCUUCCUCAACACCAUCUCAUCUCCAAACCCUAGUUCACACUUGUAACCAAUCUCCGUCUCGCGACUCCGAUUGGUACUUGUAAGGUUGCUAGUAGUGUUGAUUACUCUUUGUAGUUGAUGCUAGUUGGAUUAUUUGGUGGAAGAAUUUAUGUUCAGAUCCUUGAUGCUACUCAUUACCUCUCUGGUCUUGAAUAUGAUUAUGCUUUGUGAGUAGUUACUUUUGUUCCUGAGGACAUGGGAUAAGUCAUGCUAAUAGUAGUCAUGUGAAUUUGGUAUUCGUUCGGUAAUUUGAUAUGGUGUAUGUUGUUUUUUCUCUGGUGGUGUUAUGUGAACGUCGACUACAUAACACUUCACCAUUAUUUGGGCCUAGAGGAAGGCAUUGGGAAGUAGUAAGUAGAUGAUGGGUUGCUAGAGUGACAGAAGCUUAAACCCUAGUUUAUGUGUUGCUUCGUAAGGGGCUGAUUUGGAUCCACUAGUUUAAUGCUAUGGUUAGACUUUGUCUUAAUUCUUCUUUCGUAGUUGCGGAUACUUGCGAGAGGGGUUAAUCAUAAGUGGGAUGCUUGUCCAAGUAAGGGCAGUACCCAAGCGCCGGUCCACCCACAUAUCAAACUAUCAAAGUAACGAACGCGAACCAUAUGAACAUGAUGAAAACUAGCAUGACAGAAAUUCCCGUGUGUCCUCGGGAGCGUUUUUCCUCCUAUAAGACUUUGUCCAGGCUUGUCCCUUGCUACAAAAGGGAUUGGACCACUUUGCUGCACCGUUGCUACUUUUGUUACUUGUUGCUUGCUAUGAAUCAUCUCACCACACAACUACUUGUUACCGAUAAUUUCAGUGCUUGCAGAUAUUACCUUGCUGAAAACCACUUGUCAAAUCCUUCUGCCCCUCGUUGGGUUCGACACUCUUACUUAUCGAAAGGACUACGAUUGAUCCCCUAUGGUCAUCACUAGCCAACUAGAGGCUUGCUAGGGACAUUGUUGUGUCUAUUUAUCCACACAUGUAUCUAUGUUUUCAUUCAAUACAAUUAUAGCAUGGAUAAUAAACAAUUAUCUUUAAACAGGAAAUAAAAUAAUAACUAUUUAUUAUUGCCUCUAGGGCAUAUUUUCAACACUUACAAUAGAACCAAGUCUCGACCCAACAUUUGGGAUGACUCGCCAGUUUGGCUUCAGGAAAAGUAGUAUUUUUCCUUUUCUAAAUUGAGAUUCCACCAAGCUCUAUGCUAAGUCCAUCUUUGCAUUCCAUUUGGUGGUUGAUAUAGAAAAAUUCAUGAAAGAGUUUGGCUAGCCAGUUGAUAAAAUAGUUAUUAUUAUAUUUCCUGUUUCAAGAUAAUCGUUUAUUAUCCAUACUAUAACUGUAUUGAAUGAAAACAUAAAUGCAUGUGUGGAUAUAUAGACAAAACAAUGUCCCUAGUAAGCCUUUAGUUGGCUAGCCAGUUGAUCAAGGGUGGUUAAGGUGUUCUGAACAUAUGCAAGUGUUGUCACUUGAUGACUGGAUCACAUCAUUGGGAGAAUGAUGUGAUGGACAAGACCCAAACUAUGAACAUAGCAUGUGAUCGUGUUAUUUUGUUGCUAUUGUUUUCUGCGUGUCAAGUAUUCAUUCCUAUGACCAUGAGAUCAUGUAACUCACUGACACCGGAGGAAUACCUUGUGUGUAUCAAACGUCGCAACGUUAAUGGGUGACUAUAAAGGUGCUCUACAGGUAUCUCCGAAGGUGUCCGUUGAGUUAGCAUGGAUCGAGACUGGGAUUUGUCACUCCGUGUGACGGAGAGGUAUCUCGGGGCCCACUCGGUAAUACAACAUCACAUAUAAUCUUUGCAAGCAAUGUGACUAAAGUGUUUGUUACGGGAUCUUCUAUUACGGAACGAGUAAAGAGACUUGCCGGUAACAAGAUUGAAAUAGGUAUAGGGAUACCACGAUCAAAUCUCGGGCAAGUAACAUACCGAAGGACAAAGGAAAUGAUAUACGGGAUUAUAUGAAUCCUUGGCACAGAGGUUCAACCGAUGAGAUCUUCGUAGAAUAUGUAGAAUCCAAUAUGGACAUCCAGGUCUCGUUGUUGGAUAUUGACUGGGGAGUGUCUCACGUCAUGUCUGCAUAAUUCUCGAACCCGCAGGGUCUGCACACUUAAGGUUCGGUGACGUUUUGAUAUAGUUGAGUUAUAGGUGCUGGUGACCGAAGUUUUGUUCGAAGUCCCCGAUGAGAUCACAGACGUAACAAGGGUUUCCGGAAUGGUCCGGAAACAAAGAUUGAUAUAUAGGAUUGUUUCAUUUGGCCUCCGAAAAUAUUUCGAACAUUGUCGACAGUGUACCGGAAGUAACGAAUGGGUUUCGGGUUUUUACCAGGAGGGGGCCAGCCACCCGGGAGAGAACCUAAUAGCCCAUGGGUGUCGCACUAGCCCUUGGUGGGCUGGUGUGGCCAGCCAAAUAGGGCUAUUUCGGCUAAGGGGAAAAUCAAAGAAGAAAAGAAAAAAAAAGAGGAAGGGGGAAGGAAGGAAGGGACUCCUCCUUCCCAAACCGAAUUGGAGUGGGAGUCCCUCCUCCUCCACUCGGCCGACGCCCUAGGGGAUCUCUUGAUUCCCAAGGCUAGCCCCUCCCCUCCUCCUAUAUAUACUAGAGGUUUUAGGGGUUUUGAGACGCAACUUUGCCACGUGCAACCCUAAACCUCUACUUCGUAGUUCUUCCUCUAGAUCGGUUUUCUGCGGAGCUCGGGCGGAGCCCCGGAGUAAUAGAUCAUCACCAUCACCGGCGCGCCGUCACGCUGUCGGAGAACUCAUCUACUUCCCCAUCUCUCUUGCUGGAUCAAGAAGGCGGAGAUCGUCAUCGAGCUGUACGUGUGCUGAACGCGGAGGUGUCGUCCGUUCGGUACUAGAUCGGGACGGAUUGUGGGACGACGGUGAUUUGAAUCACGAAGUUGUUCCACUACAUCAACCGCGUUUCUUAACGCUUCCCGCUUAGCGAUCUACAAGGGUAUGUGGAUCCGAUCUCCCUCACGUAGAUGAACAUCACCAUGAUAGGUCUUCGUGUGCGUAUGAAAAAUUUUGUUUCCCAUGCAACGUUUCCAACAGUUAACAGUUGGUUCAAUGUGAAGAUACACUUUGCAAAGAACUCGAAACUCGCAAAGGUUGGUGAUUGAAUUGGGGUCGAUAUCCUCUGGCGUGAGGUUGAAAAAGUUGAGCACAGUCCCUGAAGAAUUUUGACUCGGGCAUUUGGAAACCUUUGUGCAGAUGAUCUGUAAAAAUUACAACUUCCCCAUGUUGAGGUUGGGGGAAGGUUCUUCUUCACGUGUCCGCCAGCUAAUUUUUUAUUGAGCCGGCAAAAGACCCUGGCUCACGAGAUCUUCUAGUAUAGGCAUUGACACCUGGGAUCUAACCCAGCCAACGGCUUUGCUGGUCUUUGUGGCCAUUGAUAUCUUACAAGCCAACUACAAGGUAAAAGCAAAAGUAAAUAAUUCGGCGUGUGGGUCAUGAGAUCCAAUAAACAAAUGAGUCUGACACAAAUACUAUUAUCAAGGUUAAAAUGGGCUUAGGUGAGGAUAUCAAGAUGGUUUAUAAGCCGACAAGAUUGAACCGGUAUUUCAGGUAAGGGAAUCAUUUCCCACCCGCGUCGGCCGAACCGACGCGCCGGUCGUCUCCCUGACACGCGCGGGCCCUUGCAACAUUUUUUUCAUCCGCGCACUUCUCCGGUCAAUUGAUGCAACAUUUUUCGUCUAAAUAUGUUGCAACCUGCGACAUUUUUGCUACAAGCGUUUUUUUACUAUAUUUUAUUUCAGUAAAAAAGUUGCAUAUACGUUUGGUUGCAACUCUAAUUCGUCGGAUUUUUUGUUACAAUCAAUGUUUUUUACUUUUGCUACAACCGUGUUAAUUUUUGCUACAACCGGCAUCAUGUUUUGCUGCAACCGUUCACUAAAAAGUUGCAUACACGUCACGUAAAUUUCUGUUACAACCGGCGUUUGACUUUUGCUAUCAUGUACCACCAGCUUCGUUUUUUUGCUACGAUCACAUAGAUUUUUUUCCUACAAAUUUUGUUUUUUGUUGCAACCGUUGAAAAAAAUAUUGCAUGACAUCGAAAUUUUGCUGCAUAGGAAGAAAAAUGUUGCAAGCGGGUUCAACGGUACGGACGACGCGGGGUUGGUGGAUCCUGCGGCCCCCGCACGGCCGGCCGAAAAUCUGGGCCGGCGCACCGGCGCAGAUCACCCCCCUUGAGGUAAAUAUAAAAGCCUUGCUAUCAUAUGGGUUUUAAGACAUAUGACUAAUGACAGGAUUCCUUGAUAAGCCGGCAAGCUAAGAUAGAUCAGUAUUACUAAAUGAGUCGGCAAGGUGGUAAAUUGACAAGUGCAGGGAUGAUACGACGUUCGCAAAAGCCAGCUAGGGAAGUAAAGCAAAGGGUCCAUAAGGACUUCGCAAAUUUGCCAUAUGGACAAAUAGUUUUCUCCUCCACACGGAAGAGUAGAUGGAUCUAAUAAACAUGGGGAAAGGAAAUAAAUGCCUAAAAAGCUAGUGGAAGGAACGGAAGUGAAGCAUUUGCAGAAUCUCAUGGGUAAAUUAUUGUGAAUCUACAAUACUAUGUGAAUGCAGCGGAGGCAAAACUACGCGUUGUUUAGAAGAAGCUGCCGAGUUUGAUAGAUCUACACCUAAAAUCUCCAGUGAACUCCGAUGAUACCACUUGAUAUGAUCCGGCCAGGAUAUGACCCGACUCUUAAGUGAAGGCUCACGGGUUGUACUACGACCCGGAUUUUAUUGUAACCUCAUGGCGGCUCAUAACAAGGGUCAAUAUAUGGGUCGCGGAAUCCUUGAAGUUCAAGGCUCGGGAGGCGGCUCACCGAAGAAGUCCGGCUCGUGGACCAGUACUUGGCAGGCCGGCUCAAGGAGGGAAUCGUAAGGAACUUCCUCUACUUGAAAUACAAUACAAGUAAAAGUAGACUAGGUCACGAGUUGUACUACGACCCGGAUUCUAUUGUAACGCCUCAACUUAUAUAUAAAGGGGAGCCCUUGAGGUAGAAAGAUUUAAGUAAAAAAUUCUCAAAAGCUAGGUUGACGAUUCCACGCCUUUGUAGUUGAGACAACCUCAAUCAAAUAACACACAAGCAGGAGUAGGCUUUUACCUCCAUUGUAUGGGCAGGACAUGAGUAAAUCCUUGUCUCUCGUUCCCAUCAACCCCAUGCAAUCAUUCAUCUAGUUGCGAUGGCUCCUAGACUUAGUCCUAUCACUAGAACAUCUGUCGUGACAAAACCACGACACACACAGUUCAUCCGAAUGACAUGUAUGUUGUAUAUCACACACAGCUUGAUCUGAGCAACCGUUUGUGUUAUCUUGGCUCAUCGCAAAUAGUUCAUCUGGGCAACGUGGCUGCAGUCUAUCGCACAUAUUUUGAUGUGGAUAAUCGUUUGUGUUAUUUUAUGUCAUCGCAAACAGUUCAUCCGGUUGACAUGUAUGUCUUCUAUCUCACACAUAAUCAUCUGGACAAUCGUUUGUGUUAUGCUUGAUCAGCGCAAAUAGUUUAUCCGGUUGAACUCUAUGUCGUACAUCGCACACACUUCUUUUUAGUUAAGUGUUUGCUUUAUUUUGGAUCAUCGCAAACAUUUUAUAUAUGUCAACUCUAUGUCGCAGAUCGCACACGCAACUCUUUUAUGAAUCGUAUUUGAUGGAUCCGUCAUCGCACAUAGUUCGUGUUAUUGACCACGAAUCUUGAACUAUAUCGUUUACGAUUCAUGCAUCGCACACAGUUUCGUCGAAGGGUCUCUGAUUGACGUGUUACCUUAGGACCUUCAUGCAUUAGUGUAUGUGUUUGACAUCACCUAACGGAAACCACUAGGCUUAGUUGGACUGACUAGAGUAACGUUUUAUUAAAGAAGCUCACAUGAACAUUUAUCUUCUCCCGAUAGAACGUAACUGCACAUGUUAUCCAAUAUGACACAUGGUCACUGGAAACCAUCCUCUUAUUGUUAACUUCGAUUGCUUAGAGCCANGUUGAAAAAAAUAUUGCAUGACAUCGAAAUUUUGCUGCAUAGGAAGAAAAAUGUUGCAAGCGGGUUCAACGGUACGGACGACGCGGGGUUGGUGGAUCCUGCGGCCCCCGCACGGCCGGCCGAAAAUCUGGGCCGGCGCACCGGCGCAGAUCACCCCCCUUGAGGUAAAUAUAAAAGCCUUGCUAUCAUAUGGGUUUUAAGACAUAUGACUAAUGACAGGAUUCCUUGAUAAGCCGGCAAGCUAAGAUAGAUCAGUAUUACUAAAUGAGUCGGCAAGGUGGUAAAUUGACAAGUGCAGGGAUGAUACGACGUUCGCAAAAGCCAGCUAGGGAAGUAAAGCAAAGGGUCCAUAAGGACUUCGCAAAUUUGCCAUAUGGACAAAUAGUUUUCUCCUCCACACGGAAGAGUAGAUGGAUCUAAUAAACAUGGGGAAAGGAAAUAAAUGCCUAAAAAGCUAGUGGAAGGAACGGAAGUGAAGCAUUUGCAGAAUCUCAUGGGUAAAUUAUUGUGAAUCUACAAUACUAUGUGAAUGCAGCGGAGGCAAAACUACGCGUUGUUUAGAAGAAGCUGCCGAGUUUGAUAGAUCUACACCUAAAAUCUCCAGUGAACUCCGAUGAUACCACUUGAUAUGAUCCGGCCAGGAUAUGACCCGACUCUUAAGUGAAGGCUCACGGGUUGUACUACGACCCGGAUUUUAUUGUAACCUCAUGGCGGCUCAUAACAAGGGUCAAUAUAUGGGUCGCGGAAUCCUUGAAGUUCAAGGCUCGGGAGGCGGCUCACCGAAGAAGUCCGGCUCGUGGACCAGUACUUGGCAGGCCGGCUCAAGGAGGGAAUCGUAAGGAACUUCCUCUACUUGAAAUACAAUACAAGUAAAAGUAGACUAGGUCACGAGUUGUACUACGACCCGGAUUCUAUUGUAACGCCUCAACUUAUAUAUAAAGGGGAGCCCUUGAGGUAGAAAGAUUUAAGUAAAAAAUUCUCAAAAGCUAGGUUGACGAUUCCACGCCUUUGUAGUUGAGACAACCUCAAUCAAAUAACACACAAGCAGGAGUAGGCUUUUACCUCCAUUGUAUGGGCAGGACAUGAGUAAAUCCUUGUCUCUCGUUCCCAUCAACCCCAUGCAAUCAUUCAUCUAGUUGCGAUGGCUCCUAGACUUAGUCCUAUCACUAGAACAUCUGUCGUGACAAAACCACGACACACACAGUUCAUCCGAAUGACAUGUAUGUUGUAUAUCACACACAGCUUGAUCUGAGCAACCGUUUGUGUUAUCUUGGCUCAUCGCAAAUAGUUCAUCUGGGCAACGUGGCUGCAGUCUAUCGCACAUAUUUUGAUGUGGAUAAUCGUUUGUGUUAUUUUAUGUCAUCGCAAACAGUUCAUCCGGUUGACAUGUAUGUCUUCUAUCUCACACAUAAUCAUCUGGACAAUCGUUUGUGUUAUGCUUGAUCAGCGCAAAUAGUUUAUCCGGUUGAACUCUAUGUCGUACAUCGCACACACUUCUUUUUAGUUAAGUGUUUGCUUUAUUUUGGAUCAUCGCAAACAUUUUAUAUAUGUCAACUCUAUGUCGCAGAUCGCACACGCAACUCUUUUAUGAAUCGUAUUUGAUGGAUCCGUCAUCGCACAUAGUUCGUGUUAUUGACCACGAAUCUUGAACUAUAUCGUUUACGAUUCAUGCAUCGCACACAGUUUCGUCGAAGGGUCUCUGAUUGACGUGUUACCUUAGGACCUUCAUGCAUUAGUGUAUGUGUUUGACAUCACCUAACGGAAACCACUAGGCUUAGUUGGACUGACUAGAGUAACGUUUUAUUAAAGAAGCUCACAUGAACAUUUAUCUUCUCCCGAUAGAACGUAACUGCACAUGUUAUCCAAUAUGACACAUGGUCACUGGAAACCAUCCUCUUAUUGUUAACUUCGAUUGCUUAGAGCCAUAUUUUUAAAAAUCCAUCUGCCUAUAAUUGUGUCGAUGAUUUUUUUCAACAAACUCACACAUACUUUUUGAUUGCUUAAAACAAAACUAAUCCUGUGUACAUUUCAAACAUGUUUAAAUUUCAAUGUUUCACCUAUUUCGCUCAACCUAUUUCAGUGUAACUGCUUAGACCAAGACUAACAUGUAAAAUUUGAUUUUGAUUGUNUCCCUGGAGCCCACCUGGCUUGGCCCAAAGGCCCCCUGAUCUUCUUCCGUUCGGGAAAAAAUAAUUUCGGGAUUUUUCUUGCGUUUGGACUCCAUUCCAAAAUCAGAUCUGAAAAGAGUCAAAAACAUGGAAAAAACAGGAACUGGCACUUGGCACUGAAUUAAUAAGUUAGUCCCAAAAAAGAUAUAAAAGGUACAUAAAACAACCAAAGAAGACAAGAUAACAGCGUGAAACCAUCAAAAAUUAUAGAUACGUUUGAGACGUAUCACUGCACUACAUCACCCUUUCUGCUUCGAGGGAACACCAGCGCAAGGCUCCAAGGCCGCGGGGAAAUCCUUUGCAUAUUUGCAUAGGAAUUCCCUAAAGGCGUAGCCGUAGCAGAAGGAUUCCUGGUGCCGUUGCUGAGGAGAAUCAAGACGUCUCCCGUCAGCACGUAUUUCUGGCGCCGUUGGAAGGUCUUUUGUUGCAGUAGCAGGCGUGGUGCACCAUGUGCAUAGGAACUGAAAAUUGCACCUUUCAUUUCCUCCUCAGAUUUCUUUUGUAAGGAUUAGUUUUCCUCGGGAGUCAUUAAUUCAUCCUCCUUCCAAAGGAAAGGCCCAGACUUAUAUUAUGCCUCUGUUCAUAAACAAAGGGAUUUUUAUAGAAAGACAUGGCAACCUCCAACAUCUCUUUUUGGAAUGAACUGGACCAUCGUCGCCGUUGAACUCAUAUAAAUGGUUCUUACUAUGACGAUGGUUAGCUAGGGCAUGAAAGUAUUUAUUGUUUUUAAAUGAGUCAAACAAGUUUCUUGAGGAGUUGAAGUUUAUUUUAGUAAAAUUAGUUGCUUUACACGGUAGAUUUUUUAAGUGAGUGCAUUGGUACAGGUACCUAGCGAAUGUUUCAAUCUACCUUUUGAUACUAUGUUGUUUUAAACGAGUGCUAUUUUUUGAAAAUGAUUGAAUUCUUUUGUUUUCAGUUGAUCACAAUGAGUGAUAUUUUUAAUAAUUGAAAUUAUUAGUUUCAAUUAAUUGAAACGAGUGGAUUUUGUUUCUGAAGGAGUGAAAAUGUGAAAUAAACGAGCGAUUAUAUCAUUCUAAACUAAUGGAAUCGUUCUUUUUCAAAAAUGAUUGAAAUUAUUUGUUUGAAUUAAGAUAAAUUAGUGGAAUCUAUUUUUUUGAAACGAGUGGAGUAUGGAUUAUGUUGUUUUUGACGAGUUGAAUCAUUUUCCUUAAAUGGUUGAAAACAUUUGUUUGAAUCGAAUGAAAAGAGUGAAAUCUAUUUUUUUAAUGAGUGAAGUAUGCCGUUUGACAUAAAUGAUUGAAAACAAUUGUUUCAAUCGAGUGAAACAGUUAAGUCUGUUUUCUGGAAGGAGUGAAAUAAACGAGCGAAGUAUGUCGUUCUAAAUAAAUAAUUGAAAACAUUUGUUUGAAUCAACUGAAAUGAAUGGUGUCUUUUUUUCUAAGGGAGUAAAAUAUGUCGCUCUAAAUGAAUGAAAUUCCAUUCACAACAAACUGCUGGUAGCAGAACAGGGGUAAGUAGGGAUGCAAUUUUCACCUGGUAUAAAAAGGGAGCUUUUGCAAACAUGCAAGCUUCUGGAUGAACAUGCAUAUACAAGCAAGAACCUAGUAGCAAGAACUAGAGCAAAAACUUUGACCGUACGAGGAACUUGAACCCAUGUGCUAGGUUAACCAAGGGUCCAUAAUGCAAUCUGGGUGAGUAAAUUUAACUUAACUAUGAGCAGGCCUAGUUUACCAUGGUCCUGGUCACGGAAUUAAUUGUACUGAUCGAUAUCUUGCAGCCCUCCACCAUGACCAUAAACACAUCAGUCUUUCUCCAUUAGAGCAUGGUUAAUAAUACAUCCAACAAUUGAUUAUAAAAGAUUGUCUUAUCAUAUAAAGUCAACCUAAUAGUCUGCAUAUAUAAUAGUAAAAUUUAGAUUAUAGCAUGUCUACUCACCAAAAGCUCGUUUAUGUGUCUGUGUCUUGUGCUGCAGCUGACUACUCAUUAAAAGCUCGUUUCUUCUCUCACUCCUCAAAACUAAGCAAGGAUAUAAUAUUAUAAUCCUUAUACAUGUCUAUGUCACCUUAUUGUACUUGCUCUUAAGGAUUGUGUCAAUAUAAGUUUCUUAGCGCGGGUUCAUAGGUAUUUUGUUGAUGUGUCACACUAGUUAAUGAUGGAAAAGAGUAGAAUUGUAUCUUAGCUAAGAUACAACAAUUGCACGGCACCAUAUGUAAAAAUGGUUAAUAGUCCAAUCACAUAUAUGCAUAAGCACUAAAUCAUUAAAUCUACAAACAACUUUUAAAAAACAAUGCAUUGUUCAUAUGAUAACAUGCUAAGAAACGAUGCAUUGGCAGAGGCCUAAGAUAAAAAAUUGGCCCACGUCUACUGUAUUAAUACUAGCAAAAGGACCCGUGCAUUGCAACGGAAAAAAAGUAGCACACACUCUUAAUUUAUAAAAAUGGUUUAUAAUUUGAGUAUUUAUAGCUACGACCCAAAUAAAGAUGAUUUUAACCUAUAAAAAUGCAGUUCAAGAUUCCACAUGUUUUCUAUUUAAAUACGACAUGUAUGUAGAUUUAAUACGUACAAAGAAACGAUCAAGUGAUCUUUUAUUUCGUGUCUAAUCCUGAUUUUGCUAAGAUGUUCAUACACAAUCCAAAUCAGUACCGGUAUGAAAGAAAGACGAGUAAUGCAUUAUUGAUUAAGAUUGCAUGCUAGAUACAUUUUUUUAAAUGUUAAGAGGUAAAAUAACAUCAUAUUCAUAUUCUACAUAUUUUUUUAAUCAAAAUCUAUACAUAACGUGUUAAAUUUAGAGUUACGAUUUAGAAGAUAUGAGUAUUUUAAAAAGUAUUUAAUAUGUACUACGGGUUUAACGUUAGAAAGAUGAGGGAGUUCUUUAUAAAAUAGCAUGACGGACUAAGAAUAUCUAUUUUCUUUAUUAAUAGAUAUAGAUAGUGUAUCCGUUCGGUCAUUCAUGUGUAUUGCCAUAGUAUCUAAUUAAUCUCUCUCUAAUAAUAAUAAAGCAAAUUCGGUUUCUAGUCGUCCGUCUUAGAAAUUACCCCUAAAUUUUGCAUAAAUUACCCACCAUGCCACCGCUAAGUAAUAGAAAACGUUUCACAAAGCGAAAAAUCUUGGACUGGGCCGGCCCAUAUAAAACCUCCUAUAUUACGCUCUGCACGCUGAAAGAAUAUCCAGCACACCGUAUGGGCCGGCCCAUGCACAAGCGCCUACUUUUAGUUCCGUUUAUUUAUUUAUUUUCAGUUCCGUUUUAUUUUAUUAUUUUAAAUAAAUUAGAACUUCAAAUAAUCUUUAAAAUUUUAAUAAACCGAAAAAUAUAAAUCAACAUAUUUAAAAAUUAAAAUAUUUGUGACUUCAAAAACUGCUCGGAGUUUUGUAAAAAAUACUCGCAUAUACAAUAAAAUGUUUGCAAUUUUAGAAAAAAUGUUUGUACAAUAAGCAAAGUCCAUGAUCUCAAAUGCAAUUCCAUGUAUUAAAAAUUAUUAAAGGUAUUUAACAAAAUGCUUUCUAAUUCGAAAUAUGUUAAUGCAUUUAAAAAAUGUCCUAAAAUUUUAAAAAUAGCUAAUGCCUGUUUUGAUAGUUUCUUUUUUUAUUUAAAAUUUCCCGUUUCAUUUUUGUUUAUUUAUAAGUUAAAUAAUUUAGAAUUUCAAAAACUUUUGCAUAUUAAAAAAUAGGAAUUUUGAAUUAAAAUGCCGACGAAUUUUUAUUUUGAAUUAAAAAUAGGAUUCAAAAAAGCGCCGGAUUUUUUUUUUGCAAAUUCCAAAACAAUGUCCAUGAAUUUAAUAAAUAUAUGAUUGAUUUAUAAAAAUGUUUGUUUAUUCGGAAAAGCUUCAUGCGUUUCAAAAAAUGUUUGUAAAUUUAAAAUAAAAUCCUCCAACAUCAAAAAUUAUGUUCGUCUUUUCUUGAAUUGGUCGCCAAUUCAAAAGAAAAUAUUUAAACCCGUUCGAAAUAAAAAAAUAUUCACGAUUUUUAAUAAAUGUUUGUGAAUUGUAAAAAAAUGUUCUCGAUUUUAAAAUUAUUCCAUAUUUGUAAAAUUAUUCACGAAAGAUCUAAUGUAUGUAGUUAAACAUUAAUGCUUAUAAGUCUUUGUGACAAUAUAUCUGUGUGAAUUUUGAAGAAUUAACUGUUGGAUGGAUCGAAUUAUUAUUGUAUGUCCUCUAAAAAAAAUCUUGAAAUUCAGAAUAUAUCUUUGAGUUACCAAGAUUUUUGACAACCAUGAUAUAUGUUUUUUGAAAAUGUAAAGAUUGCUUCAAUUUUUGAAUAAAUUUAAAAGAAGAAACAUAUUCUUGCAUUUGUACACAAAAUNAAUAUCUAUUUUCUUUAUUAAUAGAUAUAGAUAGUGUAUCCGUUCGGUCAUUCAUGUGUAUUGCCAUAGUAUCUAAUUAAUCUCUCUCUAAUAAUAAUAAAGCAAAUUCGGUUUCUAGUCGUCCGUCUUAGAAAUUACCCCUAAAUUUUGCAUAAAUUACCCACCAUGCCACCGCUAAGUAAUAGAAAACGUUUCACAAAGCGAAAAAUCUUGGACUGGGCCGGCCCAUAUAAAACCUCCUAUAUUACGCUCUGCACGCUGAAAGAAUAUCCAGCACACCGUAUGGGCCGGCCCAUGCACAAGCGCCUACUUUUAGUUCCGUUUAUUUAUUUAUUUUCAGUUCCGUUUUAUUUUAUUAUUUUAAAUAAAUUAGAACUUCAAAUAAUCUUUAAAAUUUUAAUAAACCGAAAAAUAUAAAUCAACAUAUUUAAAAAUUAAAAUAUUUGUGACUUCAAAAACUGCUCGGAGUUUUGUAAAAAAUACUCGCAUAUACAAUAAAAUGUUUGCAAUUUUAGAAAAAAUGUUUGUACAAUAAGCAAAGUCCAUGAUCUCAAAUGCAAUUCCAUGUAUUAAAAAUUAUUAAAGGUAUUUAACAAAAUGCUUUCUAAUUCGAAAUAUGUUAAUGCAUUUAAAAAAUGUCCUAAAAUUUUAAAAAUAGCUAAUGCCUGUUUUGAUAGUUUCUUUUUUUAUUUAAAAUUUCCCGUUUCAUUUUUGUUUAUUUAUAAGUUAAAUAAUUUAGAAUUUCAAAAACUUUUGCAUAUUAAAAAAUAGGAAUUUUGAAUUAAAAUGCCGACGAAUUUUUAUUUUGAAUUAAAAAUAGGAUUCAAAAAAGCGCCGGAUUUUUUUUUUGCAAAUUCCAAAACAAUGUCCAUGAAUUUAAUAAAUAUAUGAUUGAUUUAUAAAAAUGUUUGUUUAUUCGGAAAAGCUUCAUGCGUUUCAAAAAAUGUUUGUAAAUUUAAAAUAAAAUCCUCCAACAUCAAAAAUUAUGUUCGUCUUUUCUUGAAUUGGUCGCCAAUUCAAAAGAAAAUAUUUAAACCCGUUCGAAAUAAAAAAAUAUUCACGAUUUUUAAUAAAUGUUUGUGAAUUGUAAAAAAAUGUUCUCGAUUUUAAAAUUAUUCCAUAUUUGUAAAAUUAUUCACGAAAGAUCUAAUGUAUGUAGUUAAACAUUAAUGCUUAUAAGUCUUUGUGACAAUAUAUCUGUGUGAAUUUUGAAGAAUUAACUGUUGGAUGGAUCGAAUUAUUAUUGUAUGUCCUCUAAAAAAAAUCUUGAAAUUCAGAAUAUAUCUUUGAGUUACCAAGAUUUUUGACAACCAUGAUAUAUGUUUUUUGAAAAUGUAAAGAUUGCUUCAAUUUUUGAAUAAAUUUAAAAGAAGAAACAUAUUCUUGCAUUUGUACACAAAAUUUCUAAAUCAAGCGAUGAUAUGUAAACAUAAUAUGGUCAUCAUUAUUGAAGAUUAUGUUUUUUUAUUCUUCCAUGACAACGCACGGGUCAUUUUUCUAGUCAUUAUAAAAAAAGUACGAAUCGCCUAGCAGCGAUCGUGGGUCUCGAUAACAUCCUCGCGUGCCACCGUGUCUCAAAAACCCGCGUCCUACUAGCGGUUCACAUUGAUGUUUCUGCUCUACGCUUGCAUGGUUAAAUAAAUAUGAGACUCGUAGUUCUACUUUUGUCACUAUCAUGUUUUUUUUAAGAUUAAACCAAACGAAAAUUGGUAGUAAUUUAUCAAACACGGCCAUCGACCGUGGCCCGAACAGCCGUGCAGCGGCAAAGGUGCGCGGAAAAGAGCAAAACGGCUCCUGCAGGGUUGUCGCGAGGGAGGGCGAAGAAGAGCAGGACGUGGCCCGCGCCCGGCGUGCGUGAUAGGAUGGCACGACCACGAUGGAUGGAUGGAUCUGCGCAGCCGCAGCGGCAGCGGCAAUCGGGGCAGAAGAUGUCAGUGACCGACGCAGACGCAGACGCAACACGUGGGAGGUUGCAUGCUGCACACUCCAGCCGGGCACUGUGGCUUGCCGCUUCCGUCUACCUCAACCCCACCCCGCUGCCCAGCCCCGAGCUGCUACCACCACCACGCCCACGAGCCACGAUGCAGUAGCCCACUGUGCAAUCCAUGUGCGUACCGUAGGCAAAACAGCUACUACCCAAGCAACCGCAGAGCCGUAAAAAAGAAAAGAAGCUACAAGCUGCCUUUGCAAUUUAAGAACCGAGAUCAGCGGACGUUGUGUAGUGGUGGUAUUUUCUUUCAAACAUUAUGUCGUUUUGUACGUGGAUUCCGACGAGGAGAAAUGAGCCAAAGUGACCGACACGAUCCGGUCCGGUCCGGACGAAAAGGCAUUAUUCAUUCAUUCCGUGAUGAGAAAACAGAGAGCAAAGCAGCCGCUGAAAUCCGUUGCCUCUGCCUCGGCCUCGGCCCUGAAGAUCUUGUACGAAAGCGAGGAAGAGAAAGGGAAAAGAAAACNGUCCUAAAAUUUUAAAAAUAGCUAAUGCCUGUUUUGAUAGUUUCUUUUUUUAUUUAAAAUUUCCCGUUUCAUUUUUGUUUAUUUAUAAGUUAAAUAAUUUAGAAUUUCAAAAACUUUUGCAUAUUAAAAAAUAGGAAUUUUGAAUUAAAAUGCCGACGAAUUUUUAUUUUGAAUUAAAAAUAGGAUUCAAAAAAGCGCCGGAUUUUUUUUUUGCAAAUUCCAAAACAAUGUCCAUGAAUUUAAUAAAUAUAUGAUUGAUUUAUAAAAAUGUUUGUUUAUUCGGAAAAGCUUCAUGCGUUUCAAAAAAUGUUUGUAAAUUUAAAAUAAAAUCCUCCAACAUCAAAAAUUAUGUUCGUCUUUUCUUGAAUUGGUCGCCAAUUCAAAAGAAAAUAUUUAAACCCGUUCGAAAUAAAAAAAUAUUCACGAUUUUUAAUAAAUGUUUGUGAAUUGUAAAAAAAUGUUCUCGAUUUUAAAAUUAUUCCAUAUUUGUAAAAUUAUUCACGAAAGAUCUAAUGUAUGUAGUUAAACAUUAAUGCUUAUAAGUCUUUGUGACAAUAUAUCUGUGUGAAUUUUGAAGAAUUAACUGUUGGAUGGAUCGAAUUAUUAUUGUAUGUCCUCUAAAAAAAAUCUUGAAAUUCAGAAUAUAUCUUUGAGUUACCAAGAUUUUUGACAACCAUGAUAUAUGUUUUUUGAAAAUGUAAAGAUUGCUUCAAUUUUUGAAUAAAUUUAAAAGAAGAAACAUAUUCUUGCAUUUGUACACAAAAUUUCUAAAUCAAGCGAUGAUAUGUAAACAUAAUAUGGUCAUCAUUAUUGAAGAUUAUGUUUUUUUAUUCUUCCAUGACAACGCACGGGUCAUUUUUCUAGUCAUUAUAAAAAAAGUACGAAUCGCCUAGCAGCGAUCGUGGGUCUCGAUAACAUCCUCGCGUGCCACCGUGUCUCAAAAACCCGCGUCCUACUAGCGGUUCACAUUGAUGUUUCUGCUCUACGCUUGCAUGGUUAAAUAAAUAUGAGACUCGUAGUUCUACUUUUGUCACUAUCAUGUUUUUUUUAAGAUUAAACCAAACGAAAAUUGGUAGUAAUUUAUCAAACACGGCCAUCGACCGUGGCCCGAACAGCCGUGCAGCGGCAAAGGUGCGCGGAAAAGAGCAAAACGGCUCCUGCAGGGUUGUCGCGAGGGAGGGCGAAGAAGAGCAGGACGUGGCCCGCGCCCGGCGUGCGUGAUAGGAUGGCACGACCACGAUGGAUGGAUGGAUCUGCGCAGCCGCAGCGGCAGCGGCAAUCGGGGCAGAAGAUGUCAGUGACCGACGCAGACGCAGACGCAACACGUGGGAGGUUGCAUGCUGCACACUCCAGCCGGGCACUGUGGCUUGCCGCUUCCGUCUACCUCAACCCCACCCCGCUGCCCAGCCCCGAGCUGCUACCACCACCACGCCCACGAGCCACGAUGCAGUAGCCCACUGUGCAAUCCAUGUGCGUACCGUAGGCAAAACAGCUACUACCCAAGCAACCGCAGAGCCGUAAAAAAGAAAAGAAGCUACAAGCUGCCUUUGCAAUUUAAGAACCGAGAUCAGCGGACGUUGUGUAGUGGUGGUAUUUUCUUUCAAACAUUAUGUCGUUUUGUACGUGGAUUCCGACGAGGAGAAAUGAGCCAAAGUGACCGACACGAUCCGGUCCGGUCCGGACGAAAAGGCAUUAUUCAUUCAUUCCGUGAUGAGAAAACAGAGAGCAAAGCAGCCGCUGAAAUCCGUUGCCUCUGCCUCGGCCUCGGCCCUGAAGAUCUUGUACGAAAGCGAGGAAGAGAAAGGGAAAAGAAAACGGGCAUGGGAAGGAAGGAAUUGAGGUGGACCAUGCUUACCGUGCUGUGCUGCGCUGUGCUGUCCAUGUCCUAGUGGUAGCGCCGCAGGGACGGACGGGACGGGACGAGGAGGCUCACAGGCUGCAGGGACAGGAACCAAUCCUAGGUACUUUGCUUCCUGCCUACGUACGGCUUCGCCUUCGCCUUCGCCUUUGCCUUUGGCUUUGCCUUUGCGUCCUCCUCUGCGCUAUCUGUAUCCUCGGGUCACACGCUCCUCUGCUCCACGAUCCGACCUCGCUUGCUUUCUCGCUCCCGUGGCUGCAUGCGCAUGUACGGGAAGGAGCUGUCACCGGCACGGCAGUAAAUAAUCGACUCAUCUGAUGAAACGCUCUAGCGCACAGACAGUAACGUGAUGCAGCACAUGCUACUACUGGUGUGGCUAGAUACUACUACUAGUACAACGGAGGCUGUAAUUUACUGGCUUGCCUACGGCAAGUACUCUACUACUACUACUAUUUGGUGCCCACUCGCUGGUAGCACGACGUUGCUGUUCAGCUUGGAACGGACAACGGGACCGGCUACACGGGGGGUGAGGGCGUUUUAUGGUCCAGCAUUUGUUUUGCACGGUCGUCGUACCGCGGUGCUGGUUUUUUGCCGGGCCGCAACAAACCAGCAGGACAUGCUCUCAAGAUUUAACGAUGGAGGAUGCAAGUGGGAAUGCUUCACUUGCUUCCCAGCGUCGGUGCCUCACCCUCGAACUCUUGUCGAGGGCUUCUUUGAUUCAAAUGAAUUUUAUAGGAUCUAUGAAGAAUUCAAAUCCUUAAAGAAAAUCCUACGUUAGUCAUUUGAUUUAUAGUAUUGGAUCUCAUAGGAAACUUUUUAUAGAAUCUUUUGUAUUAUAUUUCAUAGGAAAUAUACUCCAACCACUUUAUACAAUUUGCUUGUUUUUUCUGAGAAUUAAACACUCCUUGCUAAUCCUAUAUGAUUCAAAUGGGCAUUGUCAUUCCAAUCCUAUACGUUUACUAUUCCUACGUUUUCAGAACCCUGUGAAUAAGAGAGGCCCUGAAAGUGGAAAUGCUCCACUUGCUUCCCAAAUAGUAUCAAGUCAUGUCAAUGAGAUGAAAGUUAUGCCCUAGAGGCAAUAAUAAAAUGGUUAUUAUCAUAUUUCCUUGUUCAUGAUAAUCGUCUAUUGUUCAUGCUAUAAUUGUAUUAACAGGAAACAGUAAUACAUGUGUGAAUAAAUAGAUCACAAUGUGUCCCUAGCAAGCCUCUAGUUGGCUAGCUCGUUAGUCAAUAGAUGAUCAUGGUUUUCUGGUCAUGGGCAUUAUAUGUCAUUGAUAACGGGGUCACAUCAUUGGAGAAUGAUGUGAUGGACAAGACCCAAUCCUAAGCAUAGCACUAGAUCGUAUUGUUCGUAUGCUAAAGCUUUUCUAAUGUCAAGUGUCUUUUCCUUCGACCGUGAGAUUCUGCAACUCCCAGAUACCGUAGGAGUGCUUUGGGUGUAUCAAACGUCGCAACGUAACUGGGUGACUAUAAAGGUGCACUACGAGUAUCUCUGAAAGUGUCUGUUGGGUUGGUACGAAUCGAGAUCGGGAUUUGUCACUCCGUGUGACGGAGAGGUAUCUCUGGGCCCACUCGGUAGAACAUCAUCAUGAGCUCAAUAUGUGACUACGGAGUUAGUCACACGAUGACGUACUACGGAACGAGUAAAGAGACUUACCGGUAACGAGAUUGAACAAGGUAUAGGUAUACUGACGAUUGAAUCUCGAGCAAGUUCUAUACCGACACACAAAGGGAAUUGUAUACGGGAUUGAUUGAAUCCUUGACAUCGUGGUUCAUCCGAUGAGAUCAUCAAGGAGCAAGUGGGAGCCACCAUGGGUAUCCAGACCCCGCUGAUGGUUAUUGGCCGGAGAGGUGUCUCGGUCAUGUCUGCCUGUCUCCCGAACCUGUAGGGUCUACACACUUAAGGUUCGAUGACGCUAGGGUUAUAGGGAAUUGUUAUACGAGGUUAUCGAAAGUUGUUCGGAGUCCCGGAUGAGACCCCGGACGUCGCAAGGAGCUCCGAAAUGGUCCGGAGGUAAAGAUUGAUAUAUAGGACGGAUGGUUUCGGACACCGGAAGUGUUUCGGGCGUCACCGGUAACGUACCGGGACCACCGGAGGUGGCCCCGGGGGUCCACCGAAAGGGGGCAACGACCCCGGGAGGCUAGAUGAGCCAAGUGGGGAAGGGAACCAGCCCCUAGGUGGGCUGGUGCGCCCCCCCCCCACUCAGCCCAUGGCACAGGAAGAGGGGACAGGGGGAACCCUAGCGCAGGUGGGCCUAAGGCCCACCAGAGGGGUGCGCCACCCCUCCUCCGUGCCCUGGCCGCCACCCCCUCUCCCAUCUGGGGCUGCCGCGCCACCUAGGGGGGAACCCUAGGGGUGGCGCACCCCCUCCCCUCCUCCUAUAAAUAGUGGGGGUUUUGGGGCUGUUGGAGACAGACUUUUCCCUCUCCCUCGACGCAGCCCUGCCCUUCUUUCUCCUCCUCUGUGUCGGUGCUUGGCGAAGCCGUGCCGGGAGACCUCGUCUAUCCAUCGACACCACGCCGUCGUGCUGCUGGAGUUCUUCCCCAACCUCUCCCUCCUCCUUGCUGGAUCAAGGUGCGGGAGAUGUCACCGGGCUGCACGUGUGUUGAACGUGGAGGUGCCGUAGUUCGGCACUAGAUCGGAAUCACACCGCGAUCUGAAUCGCCGCGGGUAUGACUGCAUCAACCGCGUUCUAGUAACGCUUCCGCUUAGCGAUCUUCAAAGGUAUGAAGAUGCUCUCACCUCUCUCUCUUUGCUGGUCUCUCCAUAGGAAGAUGUGAAUAUGCGUAGGAAUUUUUUUGAAUUUAUGCUACGUUACCCAACAGUCUCCCCCCUCCUCCCCGUUGACCAUUUAAAAAAUAGUGAAGAAUGACGAUGAGGUGGAAUGACAUAGAUAUGUUCAAUGGCAAUGAGCUCUGACAAAAAAAAUGAACGAGGACUACUCCCUGCAUGACAAAAGCUUCCAUAGCAGAAGGUUGAAUGGAGAUGGCCUCGAGAUAAAUAGCAAGAUAUCCUUAGUGAUGGUCUAGCAAGUAAAAGAUCUACAUAAUACUUUACAUAGAGUUGUUGUUUUUUGCAGAAACGUGGAUAUAGGGUUGUUGGCGGACCUUUUUAUGUCGACAUGGAAGAAAAGUGAUUCCAUUACUUUGACACGCCGGAGUUAGUAACUAGAUCCCCCGCGAAGAUUCUCUCUGAAGUCAACCAUGGGAAUCUCUUAUUUUGUUUGUUUUAGCUCCGACUCAUUGCGAAAUACACGCAACGAAACAUCGUAAUAUCUGAUCCAACAUAGUGGCUUGCAAUGUUUCUUCUAUGUAAUAUAAUGUCGUACACACAAACAGAGGGUUGGUUUACAUCGAAAAAGCUUUUCGCCCCGGUUAUGUAUAUAAGACUAAUCAUAGUGAGGAGUAAAUUAGAUUAGUGUCAUGCAUAUGACACUAGUAUAUAUUACUGUAUCUUCAUAGUGAAAAGUAGCACAGAGGUAGUGCAAUAUGUGGUUGUAUUUAUUAGCCUGUAGACUCAUUUCAUCUCGGAAAGUAUUGUGUGAUGAUAACAUAUUAACACAUCUUUUCUUAUUAGCUACAUGCCACAUAAGCAAAUUUAACUUGACAUGAGUUAUGUUAGUAGCUAAGUUACCCUCACUAUGACCAAUCUAAAGCAACACUUCUCUUUUUACGCUUCAGGAUCUAGAUUAGUCGACCAUUUAAAGGUUGGUCAUCACCAUAUAUUGAAGCACCAUGUCAACGAUAAAAACAUGGGUGAUCUGAUUAUUGUUAUUUUUUUCUUUUGAAGCAUAUAAAUAACGAACAAGAAUCUACCCGCUCAGCGAGUCUAUCGGCAAGUAGAAAACAUAGAUCAUGUGAGAUGGACCGUCCCGAGGGCGACUCGGAGGGCGACUCGAAUAUCCCUGCCAUCAAUGGCCCUCCCCACCUACCUUCACUUAAUCCCAGCGGACUUACCCACCAGCCUCCUCCUCCCACCGCCCCACCUCCCCUUCCUUGCCCACCGAAAACUCUACACGAUGGCAGGGGAGAGACGGAGAGGCGGAGCGAGGCGCGCGCGACCUGCGGCGAUGGUGACAGCCCCGAUGGCUCCCAUUGUGCCAACCCCGGUGGCACAGCUGUCGUUCGUGGAGCUGCACUCCCCGAAGGCGCGUAUGGAGAUGCUUCAGGUGGUCCGGGGGCGUUUCCCUGAUCGAUCCAGGUGGCCGGAGAUCAUGGUGGAAAUCAUUCGCAUGGCCACCUUCGAGGAGCGCGCCCGGUUCUGCGAAGACGAUGGGGGUAUGGAUUACGAGCUCAUCUUCUCGGCGAUCCAGGAGGCGGAGGCGGCUGAUCCGUUUCAGGCGGCUAAGUGGAGCAUAUUCAAGACGAAGAGCAUGUCCCGUCUCAACAUUCGCCCGCAUCCCGUGCUGGAGCUGUCCCAACUUCCCCCCGAUGCGCUGCCUCUCGGGGUCAACCCGCCCCGUGUCCCCUAAAAUCUUGGGCACCCAGUGGGUGUGCCCUGUAGCGUGCUCGCAGGCCGCGGGGGCGUCGUGCGGGGGGUGAGCUGUCGCGCAGCUUGGAACCUCCGCCGUGGCCGGGGGACCACGGUGAGGUUUACCCUUGCCAGAAUCAGGUACGACAUCCCCGAUCUGUUUCUUCUCGUCUUCCGAUUCAACCUGGGGAAGUGGGUGUUGACCUUUUGGUCAUCAAUUCCGAUCGAUGUUCUAUAGAUUCAGACUGUGUGGUUGCUAGGUCUAGGUUUGGAUUUUCUACUCCGGCGAGUUUGGUGUCGCCUACGAAUGAGCCUAGGCCACCAGAGCCACCUCGCUUUAGUCCGAAGAUCCCUGACUGUGGACCCAAUUUCGAUCGAUAUUCUCUGGAUUCAGAUUGUAUGAUUGCUAGUUAUAGGUUUUGUAGUUUCUACUCUGGUGAGGUCGGUGCCGUCGGCGGUGACCCAGGCUAACGAUGAGCCUAGGCCACCAGAGCCAUCUCAUCUCAGCCCGAAAAUGCCUCACCGUGGACCCAAACCGGUUCCCUCGCCUCUCAUCCGUGGACGGGUGGUCAAGAGAAAAGCGCUUUUUCAAAAGUCGUCUUCCCUUGUGGGAAACAUAUAUGAGGAGACUGUGGAGGAGUUUUUUGGGCAACUUUGGGUUAUCCCCUCUCCUACUUAUCGUCGUCCUCAUAUAUCCUCUUCUCCCUCUCCCCCGAACCCUAGCUUUUCCAUCCCAAAAACUUUCUGAAUUAGAAAGGAUAUCUUCCGAUCGAGGACCUUCUCGCGAGAUGAUUGCUUCCCUGUGAAGAGUCUUAGUCGAUUUGAUCCCACCCCGACCUCCUUCAAGAUCUUUGUCGAGGGGAUCGGCCCUAGAUCUCUCUCCUUCGUAGAGGUUACCAAAGGGGUCAUGGAUCAUGGACAUCAGCAACAGCCGCGACCCCCGCGUCACCAAGCCAACAAGAAGGCGAUACCUGCUCAAAAGGUUCAGCCUCAGCCUCCUCAACCUCCUCCCUCGGCGCCUCCGAAGCCAAUCCCGAACAAAGGGGGAGGGGUGGUAGGGAAGAACCAGACUGGUGGAAGCAUUCUUGCCCAGCCGGCUCCUCUGGCCCCUGCGAUUCCGACCCCUCCUGUUUUCCAAGCUCUGGACCCAAGGUACAAAGAGAUGACUUGUUUCAACUCUAGCUGGCCUAGGCAUUACAUUGGUAAUUGCGUUGAACCCCAAAAAAUGGUUCAUCUGUGCGGAGGACACAAUGUCAACAACUGUGUCGCUUGGGCUCGCCUACAUCCCACGGCUACCUACUCUCGAAGUGCCGCUGCGGGGUUAGGGUUAUAUCAUAUCGAUGUCCGUGUAGCUGCAGAGUCAAGCUAGAUGAACUAUAAAAACUGUGCUUUGCUUCAUGUUGUGAGAGGUGAGGUUUCUGCCUCUGAACUGUUGAUGCAGCUGAAUGGUAUCUUCUGUAAAAACAAGGAAUGGCCAUGGCAGAUUAGGGAGUUGGAGGAUAAGAAAUUUCUUUUAAUGUUCCCUCAAUGGAAAAAUGUGGAUGAUCUGAUUGAGUUCCCUCCUUUUGAUCCGCCUAUUGAUGGUGUCUCACUGAAGGUGGCUAAAUGGCAGGGCAUGUUGAACCCCUAUGGGGAGUUAAUUGAAGCAUGGGUUUAGAUUGAAGGAAUAUCUCCAAAGUGGUGUGCAUGGAAAGUCUUUGCUCACAUUACUUCAUGUUUUGGUAUCCUUGUGGAUGUGGACUAGAAUAGUAUUUUUAAAAGUUUCUAUGAGAACAUCCGUGUGAAAGUUGCUUGCAGAGACCCCACUAAAAUUCCUUUUGAGAGGCUAGUGGAAAUGAAGAAAAAAUUAUACCUGCUAUUCUUCACUGUUGAGGGUUUUGAUCAGAUUGGUGAUGAAGGAGAUGAUGAUGGUGAUGACCCUGAAGAGGAUGAUUUGGACAAGGACAAAAAUGAGGAGGAGGAUUUUGAGGGGAAUCUUGACUUGACUGAUAAGGACAAUUUGGAAGAUGAUGCUAACCCAAUAGAUGAGUUGGCCAAGGCCAAUUUCACCAAGAACAAUACUUCUGCCUCAACGUCUAGCAGCAAAUAAAAAGGCAUUGUUUCUGCAGCUAAAUUCCACCUGCAAUUUAUGUCGAACGAUGCCCAUGAUGCUUUCGUUGACGAGAUCAAAACCCGUGGACUUAUUACAAGUGGCUCUUGUGGUAAAAAUGACGAAGACUUGAAUUUUCCUAUGAGGAUGUUUCCCUCACCCCCGUUGGAUGGGGAUCCCAUGUCUGCCCAUAUGGUGUACUGCUCUGAACAACUAAAAAACUUUGACUUGGCUGGAUCUGAUGAAGAGAUUGUGGACAAUUUACUAGAGAUGCAAUGCCUGCCUGAUGAGAUGGUGAAAGCUUUUGGCUCCAUUGAGAGAUCUUUGCUUGAUACCUUGGAAAAGCUGAGUCAGAAAAGAAAGGGAAGUUUCAAGAGGGGUCUACAAAAUGGGGUCCGGUGCUGUCCAUCAGGCCAAACACAAGGGGGCACGGGGAUGUCAACAUUAUGGAUAAAGCCAAAGCGUAUCAGAAGAAGAAAAACCUAGAGAUUCCCAAGUCGUUCAAAGGUAAUUCUUUUUUUCUGUCUUGAUAAUCAUAUUCUUGCGGACCAAGCUAGGAAAAUAGAUAUCCACAUUGGUAAUGAUGAACCUGAACAAAAUGCUAUCAUUGAUGACAUGAUUGAUGAUGAGAAAUUAAGAUGCCUUCAAUUUGCUCAUAUUAACCCCGAGAUUAUUCUCCCUGAUAGUUUAGAUAUGAAUAGUCAGAACCAAUGCUCGCCUCGUGACACUAUUCCAAGUUCUAGAACAAUGGGCACUAUUGUUUUAGUAUUGGAUAGUCCAACCCUUCUUACAAAAAGUAAGCCUUGUGGCUUAUCUCAUCCUUACAAAAUUCCAUGAUAGGAGCUUUCUGAAAUAUUAGGGGUUUAGGCAACAAGGGAAGUUACACUGCCUAUGGGACUUUAUUAGUAGUCACAAAAUUGAUUUUGUGGGUUUGUUUGAAACUAAAAGAGAGAAUAUUGAUAACCACAUUUUGAAACCCAUUGCUAAUGGGAUUGACUUUUGCUGGCAUAUUCUUCCUGCCGUUAACACUGCUAGUGGCAUCCUCGUGGGACUUAGAAAUGAUGUUUUUGAAAUCAUUGGCUUUAUUAAUAUAUUUUUUUGCAUGAUAGUUAGUGUUAAGAAUAAAGACGAUGGUUUCUUAUGGCAUUUUAUCGCGAUAUAUGGUACUGCAUACAAUGAGCACAAAGUUGAAUUCAUUGGUGAGUUGCAUGAUGUCAUGCAUGAGGUGUCCUAUCCCGUACUCCUUGGUGGAGACUUUAACCUAGUUAGGUUUGUUACUGACAAAAACAAUGGGUUGAUUAAUAACCAAUUCUCUUAUUUGUUCAAUGUUUGGAUCAAUAAAUGGGGCCUCAUGGAAAUUAAAAUCGCUAAUAGGAGCUAUACUUGGAGUAACAACCAAGAUGAUCCUAUUUUUGCGAUGACUGACCGUGUGUUUGUAUCCACAUCCUAGGAUGCUCACUUCCCUUUAUCUGUCCUUUCUGCUCUCCCACGUGUUUGGAGCGAUCAUACCCCUCUCCUUUCAGAUACUAAAGCUAAGAGGGUUACCUCCCCUAAACCGUUUCGAUUUGAGAAAUGGUGGUUGGACCAAUCUGACUUCAAAGAUUUAGUUCACAGAACAUGGACAAAUACCCCCUGUCCGGAUGUGGCAAUUGAUAGGUGGUUGAACAAAACUAGAAUUUUGCAGAAGAAGAUUAAGGGUUGGAGCAUCAAUUUAGAGGCUGCUUUGAAGAAAAAGAAAAAAAUCUUCUCCAAGAAUUUGACAUCCUUGAUGUCUUCUCGGAGUCUAAUAGUUUAGAUGACGCUGAUAGGAAUCAGAUGGAGAAGAUUAAGAAAGAAUUAGAUGAGAUUUGGAAAAAAAAUAAGAAACUGCCUUAUGGCAGCGAUCGAGAGAUAGGAGUAUCAAAGAUGGUGACAAAAACAAUAAAUACUUUCAUGCCCUAGCUAACCAUCGUCAUAGUAAGAACCAUUUAUAUGAGUUCAACGGCGACGAUGGUCCAGUUCAUUCCAAAAAGAGAUGUUGGAGGUUGCCAUGUCUUUCUAUAAAAAUCCCUUUGUUUAUGAACAGAGGCAUAAUAUAAGUCUGGGCCUUUCCUUUGGAAGGAGGAUGAAUUAAUGACUCCCGAGGAAAACUAAUCCUUACAAAAGAAAUCUGAGGAGGAAAUGAAAGGUGCAAUUUUCAGUUCCUAUGCACAUGGUGCACCACGCCUGCUACUGCAACAAAAGACCUUCCAACGGCGCCAGAAAUACGUGCUGACGGGAGACGUCUUGAUUCUCCUCAGCAACGGCACCAGGAAUCCUUCUGCUACGGCUACGCCUUUAGGGAAUUCCUAUGCAAAUAUGCAAAGGAUUUCCCCGCGGCCUUGGAGCCUUGCGCUGGUGUUCCCUCGAAGCAGAAAGGGUGAUGUAGUGCAGUGAUACGUCUCAAACGUAUCUAUAAUUUUUGAUGGUUUCACGCUGUUAUCUUGUCUUCUUUGGUUGUUUUAUGUACCUUUUAUAUCUUUUUUGGGACUAACUUAUUAAUUCAGUGCCAAGUGCCAGUUCCUGUUUUUUCCAUGUUUUUGACUCUUUUCAGAUCUGAUUUUGGAAUGGAGUCCAAACGCAAGAAAAAUCCCGAAAUUAUUUUUUCCCGAACGGAAGAAGAUCAGGGGGCCUUUGGGCCAAGCCAGGUGGGCUCCAGGGAGCCAACAAGCCCCCACUCCGCCACCAGGGGGAGGCGGCGGUGGGCAGGCUUGUGGCCUCCCUUGUCGCCCCCUAACCUAGAUCUUUGGCCUAUAAAUUCCCAAAUAUUCCGCAAAAAAUCAGGGGAGCCUCGAAAAUACUUUUCCGCCGCCGAAAGCUUUCGUUUCCGCGAGAUCUCAUCUGGAGACCCUUCCCGGCACCCUGCCGGAGGGGACUUUGGAGUUGGAGGGCUUUUUCCUCAUCGUCAUCGCCCCUACAAUGACUCGUGAGUAGUUCACUUCAGAUCUACGGGUCCGUAGUUAGUAUCUAGAUGGCUUCUUCUCUCUCUUGGAUCUUCAAUACAAAGUUCUCCAUGAUCUUCAUGGAUAUCUAUCCGAUGUAAUCUUCUUUGGCGGUGUGUUUGUCGAGAUCCGAUGAAUUGUGGAUUUGUGAUCAAAUUAUCUAUGAUAUAUAUUUGAGUCUUUGCUGAUUUCUUAUAUGCAUGAUUUGAUAUCCUUGUAAGUCUCUCCGAGUCUUGGGUUUUGUUUGGCCAACUAGAUCUAUGAUUCUUGCAAUGGGAGAAGUGCUUGGUUUUGGGUUUUGCCAUGUGGUGACCUUUCCCAGUGACACUAGGGGCAGCAAGGCACACAUCAAGUAGUUACCAUCAAGGGUAAAAAGAUGGGGGGUUUAUCAUUGGUUUGAGAUUAUCCCUCUACAUCAUGUCAUCUUGCUUAAGGCGUUACUCUGUUCUUAUGGACUUAAUACACUAGAUGCAUGCUGGAUAGCGAUCGACGUGUGGAGUAAUAGUAGUAGAUGCAAACAGUAUCGGUCUACUUGUUUUGGACGUGAUGCCUAUAGAAAUAAUCAUUGCAUAGAUAUCGUCACGACUUUGCGCAGUUCUAUCAAUUGCUCGACAGUAAUUUGUUCACCCACCAUCUACUUGCUUUCAUGAGAGAAGACACUAGUAAACACUACGGCCCCCGGGACUAUUCACAUCCAUUGUUUACAUCUCCGCUUUUACUUUGCUUUGUUACUUUGUUGCUUUCACUUCUCACUUGGCAAACAAUCUAUAAGGGAUUGACAACCCCUUCAUAGCGUUGGGAGCAAGCUUUUGUGUUUGUGCAGGAUCUUGAGAUACUCCUCCACUGGAUUGAUACCUUGGUUCUCAAACUAAGGGAAAUACUUACCACCGCUACGCUACAUCACCCUUUCCGCUUCGAGGGAACACCAAUGCAAGGCUCCAAGGCCACGGGGGAAAUCCUUUGCAUACUUGCCUAGGAAGUCCCUUAAGGCGUAGCCGCAGCAGAAAGAUCAAGCCAAGUAUUCUCCCGUCGACGUGCCUAUUUCUGGCACCGUUGGAAGGUCUUUUGUUGCAGUAGCAGAAGUAUUUCUGGCGCCGUUGCCGGGGAGGAGAAAUCAAGAUCUAUCCAAGUAGGUCUCACAAACUCUUCUCUUGCAUUUACUUUUGUUGCCAGUUGCCUCUCGUUUUCCUCUCCCCCACUUCACAUUUGCCGUUUUCAUUUGCCUUUCUUCUUCGCCGUUUUCUUUUGCCUUUGUCGUUUUCCUUUGCCGGUUUUCUCGCUUGCUUGUGUGCUUGUUUGUUUGUUGAAGUCAUCAUGGAUGAAAACACCAAACUUUGCGACUUCUCGAGCACUAAUAAUAAUGAUUUUAUUAGUACUCCGAUUGCUUCCGCCAGUAGUGCGGAAUCGUAUGAAAUCAACGCAGCUUUGCUGAAUCUUGUUAUGAAGAGCAAUUCUUUGGCCUUCCUAGUGAAGAUGCCGCAUCCCAUCUCAAUACCUUCACUGAGCUUUGCGAUAUGCAAAAGAAAAUAUAUGUGGAUAAUCACGUGAUUAAGUUGAAACUUUUUCCUUUCUCGUUGCGAGAUCGCGCAAAAACUUGGUUUUCUUCUUUGCCUAAAAAUAGUAUCGAUUCUUGGGAUAAGUGCAAAGAUGCUUACAUAUCCAAGUAUUUUCCGCCGGCUAAGAUCAUCUCCUUACGUAACGAUAUCAUGAAUUUCAAGCAACUUGAUCAUGAACACGUUGCACAAUCUUGGGAGAGGNNNNNNNNNNNNNNNNNNNNNNNNNNNNNNNNNNNNNNNNNNNNNNNNNNNNNNNNNNNNNNNNNNNNNNNNNNNNNNNNNNNNNNNNNNNNNNNNNNNNNNNNNNNNNNUCUCCCUUUCCUUCAUCUUUGGAGCAGGCCCCGCCACUUUGUUUCUAGCAUCUUUGCAAAAUGGUCCCCAGCGGUAAUACCGCUGGUUCUAGCGGUAGUACCGCUGGACUGCUAGCAGUAGUACCGCUGCAGCCAGCGGUAGUACCGCUAGCUGGCGGUAGUACCGCCCCUGGCCAGCGGUAGUACCGCUCCAGGAACUUUGCUCCACCUGCCUAGCGGUAGUUCGUGGACGGACCUUUUUGCGAAGACUUNNNNNNNNNNGUAGUGGAAAGGUUUGGGUGGAAUCUAUCGUUGCACGCGCACACUUCACAUUCUCCCUUUCCUUCAUCUUUGGAGCAGCCCCCGCCACUUUGUUUCUCGCAUCUUUGCAAAAUGGUCCCCAGUGGUAGUACCGCUGGACUGCUAGCAGUAGUACCGCUCCAGGAACUUUGUUCCACCUGCCUAGCGGUAGUUCGUGGACGGACCUUUUUGCGAAGACUUUCUUGGCGGUAGUAGUGCUUUUGCACUACCAAGGGGCCAGCGGUAGUAGCGCUGGUGUCAGCGGUAGUACCGCUGGAGUCCCAGCGGUAGUACCGCUGCAUCCAGCGGUAGUACCGCCAGGCGGCGGUAGUACCGCCCCUGUUCAGCGGUAGUACCGCUGGAGUGCCAGCGGUAGUACCACUGCAGCCAGCGGUAGUAUCGCUGGAGCUCGGGCAGAGAGUGGGAAAACGGUCUGAUUUCCCCCCCCCACUAUAUAAAGGGUUCUUCUAGCUGAGGAACCCCAUCUCUUACCUCUCUAAGCUCCAUUGUUGCGCCCCAAGCUCAAAAGUGCCCGAUCUCUCUCCCUAGCCAAUCAAACUUGUUGAUUCUUUAGGGAUUGGUUGAGAAGGCCUAGUUCCACACUUCCACCAAGAGAAAAGUUGAUUCCCCCACCAAUCCCUUGCGGAUCUUGUUACUCUUGGGUGUUUGAGCAUCCUAGACGGUUGAGGUAACCUCGAAGCCAUAUUCCAUUGUGGUGAAGCUUCGUGGUUUAGUUGGGAGCCUCCAAGCUUUGUGUGGAGUUGCCCCAACCUUGUUUGUAAAGGUUCGGUCGCCGCCUUCAAGGGCACCUAUAGUGGAAUCACGGUACCUUGCAUCGUGCGAGGGCGUGAGGAGAAUACGGUGGCCUUAGUGGCUUUUUGGGGAGCAUUGUGCCUCCACACCGCUCCAACGGAGACGUACUUCCUGUCAAAGGGAAGGAACUUCGGUAAGACAUCCUCGUCUCCAUCGGUUCCANNNNNNNNNNUGNNNNNNNNNNNNNNNNNNNNNNNNNNNNNNNNNNNNNNNNNNNNNNNNNNNNNNNNNNNNNNNNNNNNNNNNNNNNNNNNNNNNNNNNNNNNNNNNNNNNUGAGUCUUGGGCUUUGUUUGGCCAACUAGAUCCAUGAUUCUUGCAAUGGGAGAAGUGCUUGGUUUUGGGUUCUUACCGUGUGGUGACCUUUCCUAGUGACAGUAGGGGCAGCAAGGCACACAUCGUGUAGUUGCCACCAAGGGUAACAAGGUGGGCUUUGUCGUAGAUAUGAGAUUGUCCAUCUACAUCAUGUCAUCUUACUUAAGGCGUUACUCUGUUCUUUUGGACUUAAUACACUAGAUGCAUGUUGGAUAGCGGUCGACAUGUGGAGUAAUAGUAGUAGAUGCAGAAAGUAUCGGUCAACUUGUUUUGGACGUGAUGCCUAUAGAUAUAAUCAUUGCCAUAGAUGAUGUCACGACUUUGCGCGGUUCUAUCAAUUGCUCGACGGUAAUUUGUUCACCCACCGUCUACUUGCUUUCAUGAGAGAAGCCACUAGNNNNNNNNNNUAACACUACGGCCCUCGGGUCUAUUCACACCUAUCGUUUCCAUUUCGCUUUUCCUUUGCUUUGUUACUUUGUUGCUUUCAGUUCUCACUUGGCGAACAAUCUAUAAGGGAUUUACAACCCCUUCACAGCGUUGGGAGCAAGCUUUUUUUGUUUGUGCAGGCACUUGUGAUACUCCUUCACUGGGUCGAUACCUUGGUUCUCAAAACUGAGGGAAAUACUUACCACCGCUACGCUACAUUGCAACAAAAGACCUUCCAACGGCGCGAGAAAUAGGCACGUCGACGGGAGAAUACUUGGCUUGAUCUUUCUUCUGCGGCUACGCCUUAAGGGGCUUCCUAGGCAAGUAUGCAAAGGAUUUCCCCCGUGGCCUUGGAGCCUUGCGUUGGUGUUCCCUCGAAGCGGAAAGGGUGAUGUAGCGUAGCGGUGGUAAGUAUUUCCCUCAGUUUGAGAACCAAGGUAUCAAUCCAGUGGAGGAGUAUCUCAAGAUCCUGCACAAACACAAAAGCUUGCUCCCAAUGCUAUGAAGGGGUUGUCAAUCCCUUAUAGAUUGUUCGCCAAGUGAGAAUUGAAAGCAAUAAAGUAACAAAACAAAGUAAAAGGGGAGAUGUAAACGAUGGAUCUGAAUAGACCCCGGGGCCGUAGUGUUUACUAGUGGCUUCUCUCAUGAAAGCAAGUAGACGGUGGGUGAACAAAUUNNNNNNNNNNNNNNNNNNNNNNNNNNNNNNNNNNNNNNNNNNNNNNNNNNNNNNNNNNNNNNNNNNNNNNNNNNNNNNNNNNNNNNNNNNNNNNNNNNNNAUGUCGAGCAAUUGAGAGAACCGCGCAAAGUCGUGACGAUAUCUAUGCAAUGAUUAUUUCUAUAGGCAUCACGUCCAAAACAAGUAGACCGAUACUGUCUGCAUCUACUACUAUUAUUCCACACGUCGACCGCCAUCGAGCAUGCAUCUAGUGUAUUAAGUCCAUAAGAACAGAGUAACGCCUUAAGCAAUAUGACAUGAUGUAGAGGGACAAUCUCAAACCAAUGAUAAAAACCCCAUCUUUUUACCCUUGAUGGCAACUACUUGAUGUGUGCCUUGCCGCCCCUACUGUCACUGGGAAAGGUCACCACAUGGCAAAACCCAAAACCAAGCACUUCUCCCAUUGCAAGAAUCAUAGAUCUAGUUGGCCAAACAAAACCCAAGACUCGGAGAGACUUACAAGGAUAUCAAAUCAUGCAUAUAAGAAAUCAGCAAAGACUCAAAUAUAUAUCAUAGAUAAUCUGAUCACAAAUCCACAAUUCAUCGGAUCUCGACAAACACACCGCCAAAGAAGAUUACAUCGGAUAGAUAUCCAUGAAGAUCAUGGAGAACUUUGUAUUGAAGAUCCAAGAGAGAGAANNNNNNNNNNNNNNNNNNNNNNNNNNNNNNNNNNNNNNNNNNNNNNNNNNNNNNNNNNNNNNNNNNNNNNNNNNNNNNNNNNNNNNNNNNNNNNNNNNNNACAUAUUCUCUACUCUGUUCCUAUCUCAAAACAGGUCUAUUGCCUCGGACUUCCGGCUCCCUCCGGACGUCCGAGGGCCGAACGACCGGCAUGCUUCGGAAAUCCGGAGCCCUCCACCAGAAGUAUUUGAGUCAUAUAACUCGGAAUUCCGGCUCCCUCCGGACAUCCGAGGGCCGGACGUCUGACCAGCUUCGGAAAUCCGGAGCCCUGCACCAGAAGAACAUGAGCUCUAUAACUCGGAUUUCCGGCUCCCUCCGGACGUCCGAGGGCCGGACGUCCGUCCCCUUUCGAAAAUCCGGAACCUCCCACCAGAAGAAGUUGAGUUGAAUAACUCGGAUUUCCGGCCUUCUCCAGACGUCCGGUCGCUGUUCAAUUCACAGUAUUUCCAGUCAUAGCUACAGCCCUCGGACGACCGACCCCUGUCGGACGUCCGACCCCUUGCGGAUGCCCGAACUUCCGAGAACUGCCGGACGUCCGGACCCUGUGUGACUUAAAGUGUCCCUAACGGCUGUUUUACACUCCCCACUAUAUAUACCCCUCACCCACUUCGUGAGACAGUGUUUAACACAGCUAGAAUACAUCCAAGAACACCUUUCUUCUCACUCACUCUUGUCUACACCAAAUCUUAGAUCCCAAGAGCAUUUGUGAGUCCCUUUGAGUGUUGUUCCAAUCAAAAGAUAGAUCGUCUCCCUCUCCUCCUUCCCACCAAAGUGAUUUGUGAUUUGAGCAAGUUUUGAGCAAUCCCCGUGAUCUUGUUACUCUUGGAGGUUGGAGACUCCUAGGCGGUAGGAGUCUUCGGAGAGGAAUCAAACCAUUGUGAUUUCCCCCGGAAAGUUUGUGAAGGUUUGGAAGCCACCUCAAGGCUUACCACUAGUGGUUGAGAAACGCCUUCGUGGAGUUAUCUCAAAGGGAGAAUAGGGUGAGCCUUCGUGGCGUUGGUGUGCCUUCGUGGUAACAUCCGCCCCUCUAACGGUGACGUAGCUUCCCUCCAAGGAAGUGAACAUCGGGAUACAUCCUUGUCUCUCUUGGAGUUUUGGUUAUUCCUAACCCUAACUCUCUACUUGUGUUAAUCCUUAUUACGUACUUGUAUUUGAUUAUUGUUUACCGCUUGUCUUACUUCACUCUAAAUAGCUUACUCCUUGUCGUAGCAAUUAUUAGGUCUACACUCAUAUUCCGCACUUUUGCCUAAAAUUGCCAAGUAAUUAUUAAAAUUUGGAAUUGUACCUAUUCACCCCCCCUCUAGGUCCAUCUCGAUCCUUUUCAAUUGGUAUCAGAGCCUCGUGCUCUAUUCUUGUGGCUUAACCGCCCUAGAGCGAGAUGGACGGGGUUCCAGCUACGGUAGCUCUAGUGCAGAGGGACGAGACUUCCACGGAAGUCAAGUCUUUCACCUCUGAGGACAUGGAACGGGCCCUUGCCAAGCAAAAGGAGGAGCAUGAUGCUUCUCUUGAGGCCAUGGUCCAAAUGAGACUGGCAUCACUAACCACAGGGACAACCACGUCCCCGAGGGCCUCAGGGUCACAUGUCCACGGUACUUCAUUUGGCCAACAACCUGUGGAAAGGAACCAAACCAGUGUUCCAUGGCUUUAUGCUAGAUCUCAAAUUGAGAAACCUAAGUACAAUCCUGGAGGAAAACCUCCCUUGCUUGAUGACAAUUCCGAUUUUGCUUUGUGGAGAGUUGGUAUGCAGGAUCAUCUUAGGUAUGCCAAUGAUGAGAUGUUGGACAUCCUCGAGCAUGGGUACAAUCCUGUAGAUCCAAGGUGCCUCACUCCCAGAGAAACUUAUGACAAGCAUCUCAAUGACACUGCGAUCAUGUGCAUAAGAAAAGGAAUGAAUGACAAGCAACACAGACCUUACAUUCACAUCACAAGUGCCAAGGAACUGUGGGAUAGCAUUAUAAGGACCAAGACCGGUACCUCCUCUCUUCGGCGUGCUCAAUAUGAAAUUGCCAAGGGGCAAUUACAGAAUUUCUGUAUGGAAAAGGGUGAAUCUCCCAAGCAACUACUAGAACGGCUCAUGACUCUCGCCGCAGACAUUGAGUCAUGUGAGUGUGACAAGACGCAAGAUGGUUUCAAUCUGACCAAGAGAUUUCUCGUGGACAAGUUACUUCAUGCUCUUGCUCCAUAUCACCAUCAAAUGGUAUAGGACAUGAGGCAGCACCAUGGGUUCAAAGAAAUGACUCCAGAUGACAUCAUAUCCACUUUCCAACUAUUUGAAGAGUCAAAGGCAAAUGCAACAAAGCACCUUGCCAUGCAUGGCACUUCAACAUCAAAGAUCAAUCUUGCUUUGAAAGCCAAGCAUGAAUGUGACGAAGAAGAAAGUGAAGAAGAAGAGGGUGAUGAUGACUGCGAAGAUGGUGAUGAUGUUGACUCUGAUGAAAGCCCAUCUUAUGAGGACAUUGCUCUCUUUGUAAAGAAGUUAAGUGCAGGAAAAUUCAAGGGAAGAUUCCCAAAGAAGAAGGUAAGGAAAUGCUACAACUGUGAGGAAACCAACCACUUCUCCAAUGACUGCCCUUAUGAGAAGAGAGAAGACAAACCAAGGUUUCCAAAGACCUUUGUAAAGAAGAAGUUUCCAAACCCUAUGAACUCCAAGCUCAAGAGGACAGAUGGAAGAGCAAUGGUUGCACAAGAAGAAUCAGAUCCAGAAGAUGUUGGUGGGGUUGCCGGAGUAGCUCAGGAUACACAAAACACCAUGAGGCUAGUCAACAAAAGUGGUGAUGUUGUUCACUACAACUAUAUGAAGGACUACAAGGGCAACGCUCACAAGUGUUUGAUGGCAAAGACUGCCAUGGGAGAUGAGGAAGACCAAAGCUCCCAUGAUAAGGUUAAGGUAACUCCACGAGUAAACUCCUUUAGUCUGGCUUCUACCCCAUCUGAUGAGUAUCUCGAUGCGGAAGAUCACUAUGAGGAUAAUGACUUAGAUCAUCCCAUGUUUGCUAAAAUAAACAAAUGUAUGUGCUCUCUUAAAGGAAAGAAGCUCACUAUGUUUCACAUACUUAUGGAAAUGGUGAGUAAGCACACCAAUACCAUCAAGGAACUCGAAACCCUCGUCACUGAGGAGAAGGAAAGAAAUGAAAUCCUUGAGCAGAAAGUCAUGUAUGAGGAAGCACAAAAUGAUGCAUUAUGCUCAAAAGUAGGUGAAAACCUUGAUAAACAUGCUAAUGAUCUUGCCUCCUUGAAAAAGGCUGAAUCUGUGUGCAAAGAGUUACUAAAUGAUAAAAACCGACUAGUGAACUCUCAUGCUUCCCUUUCUAAGGACUCUGAGCGUCUAUCCUUGUCUCUCAAAGACAAGGAAGAGAAACUCACUGUUCUUACAAAGAGCUUUGAGGCACUCAAGGUUACUUAUCUUGACACUUUAGCUAAGGCCUACUCCUCACCUAUUAUUAAUGUUGAUACCUGCACUACUAACUCUAGUAGUGAAUUGGCAUCUAUCCUUGAGGAAAGCUGUUCGCUAAAGGCACAGCUAGACAGACGUCUCAUGACAUGUGCACAAGGACAAAAGACUCUCAAUGAGAUCUUAAGUCGACACAAUGGAGGACUUGCCAAGGAAGGGCUUGGGUUCAACCCAAGCACCGCCAAGAAAAGUGCAUCUCCUCUCAAGUGUACCACUCCACUUAAAGAAAUAUUUGUACGAGAGGGACACAAGGAGAAAGGUAAGGUUGUGAGUGGGUCGGCCACUAGGGGUUCGCCUACUCACAAAAAGACAACCGAAUUCAUGCCUCCAUCCUAUGUACUAUGCAAAUCAAAGGAAGGAGAGGUUUAUGCUAAAUUCGUUGGUCCCCGUAAUGCAUUCCGAUUCUAUGCUAUUUGGGUCCCUAAGACUCUUGUAACUAAUGUGAAAAGCCCCAUGACGAAAUGGGUACCUCAAACCAAGUCUUAAUUCGUUACAGGCUGUUUUCUCCGGAGGAGCCAAAUGGGUGAUCGACAGUGGAUGCACCAAACAUAUGACCGGAGAUAGUAACUUGCUCUAUGACUUCAUGCAAGCCAUUCGACCAUACAUGAGCAUUGUAUUUGGUGGAUGGUCGAAAGGGCAGGUAAUUGGGUUGGGCAAGGUGGAAAUCACUAAUGACAUGUCUAUUGCAAAUGUCAUGCUUGUCCAAUCUCUUCAAUAUCAUUUACUUUCAGUUCGCCAAUUGGCUUCCGUCGGUUAUGACACAUUAUUUGGACUAACGGAUGUGAAAGUCUUUAAGAGAGACACUCUCGAAGUGGCCUUUGUUGGAGAGUUGAAUGACAACCUUUACACGGUUGAUUUCUCAAAAGAGAGCACCUUCCAUACAACUUGUCUAAUGGCCAAGGCCGACAUGGGAGGGCUGUGGCAUCGCCGGCAUGAAAAAUCUUCAAAAUCUCUUAAACGGCAAUCACAUCCUUGGACUAACAAAUGUAUCUUUUAAGAAAGAUCGUGUGUGCAGUGCAUGCAUAGCUGGGAAACAACAUCAAUCAAAACAUCCACCCAAGAACAUUGUAUCCACUUCGAGGCCGUUAGAGAUCCUUCAUGUGGAUCUGUUUGGGCCUCCUUCAUGGGCAAGUCUUGGAGGGAAAAAGUAUGGCCUAGUCAUUGUUGAUGAUUACUCAAGAUAUACAUGGGUGUUCUUUCUCAAGUCCAAGGACGAGACAAAGAUCACUUUCAUUGAUUUUGCCAAACAAGCCCAGCGGAAGUUUGACAAGGACAUCAAGGCAGUAAGAAGUGAUAAUGGCUCUGAGUUCAAGAACUACACCUUAGAAGAAUUUCUUAGUGAUGAGGGAAUUGAACAUCAGUACUCCGCACCUUACACCCCUCAGCAAAAUGGUGUGGCAGAGAGGAAGAACCGGGCACUUGUGGAAAUGGAAAGGUCCAUGUUAGACGAAUACAAGUCACCACAAAGUUUUUGGGCUGAGGCCGUCAACACGGCAUGUCAUGCAUCAAACCGGCUCUUCCUUCGAUCAAUAUUGGAGAAGACUCCAUAUGAGCUCCUAACUGGGAACAAGCCCAAUGUUAAGUACUUUCGUGUGUUUGGAUGCAAGUGUUUCAUCCUCAACCAACGGGAACGGUUAGGAAAAUUUCAAUCCAAAACAACUGAAGGGAUUUUUGUUGGCUAUGGGUCAAACUCUCACGCCUACAGAGUCUACAACAAAUCCAAUGGAUGUGAUAUAGAAACCUGUGACGUGACGUUUGAUGAAUUUAACCGCUCCCAUGGGGAGCAAGUUGAUCUAAAUGAUGCAGGUGAAGAAGACUCCCCACAAGAUAUCUUAAACAUGGGUGUAGGUGCACUUCUUCCCAUGGAACAAAGACCCCAUGAUGAUGAUGGAGAUGAUGAGAGUACUUCUCAUCCUCAAGACAGUUCACUGCCCAUACCUCCACAAGAUACUAGCACACACAUCAUGCCAGUUGUUGAGGAUCAAGUGGGAGAACAUGUCUCUCACACUCAAGAACAAGUUGAUCUUCAAGAGCUAGAACAAAGUAUGGGUAUAUUUGAUGAUGAACCUCAACAGGUGCAACGCGAAGAGGAAUAUCUUCCUCCGCACAUAAAUGAUCCAUAUGUUGAGGACGUUGAUGAUGGAAACGAAGUCGAACCUCAUGAAACCCUGACCUCCAUCAUGCCACGUGUGGCCGGUCGUGUUGAUAUUGAUCAAAUCCUCACCGGCGUGUCGGAAGGUAGAGUGACUCGUAAACAAUUAACAAACUUUUGUGCUCACUUUUCGUUUGUCUCUAGUACCGUGCCACACAGGGUUCAGGAUGCAUUGUGUGACAAUGACUGGCUCCUUGCUAUGCAAGAGGAGUUAAACAGUUUUACACCCAACGAAGUAUGGUCAUUGGUAGAACGACCAACUAAGGAACAUAAUGUCAUUGGAACUAAAUGGAUUUUCGAGAACAAGGAAGAUGAGAAUGGGACUGUCCUACGCAACAAGGCAAGGUUAGUAGCACAGGGGUACUCCCAAGUUGAAGGUUUGGACUUUGGUGAAACUUUCGCCCCUGUUGCUCGUCUUGAGUCCAUUCGCAUUUUAUUGGCCUAUGCUGCUUUCAAUGGUCUUACUUUGCUUCAAAUGGAUGUGAAAAGUGCUUUUCUUAACGGUCCUCUACAAGAAGAGGUAUAUGUAUCACAACCACCUGGGUUUGUUGACCCUCACCACAAAGACCAUGUAUACAAACUUCACAAGGCUCUGUAUGGCCUCAAACAAGCACCCCGUGCUUGGUACGAUCACUUAAGAAGUUCCUACUCGAUGAUGGCUUUAUGGUGGGGGUGAUCGAUCCCACUCUUUUUACUAAGAGGGAAAAUGGUGAUUUGAUCUUAUGCCAAAUCUAUGUAGAUGACAUCAUUUUUGGUUCUCCUAACAUCCAUUUAUGCAAGAAGUUUGCGGCCUCCAUGACCAAGACCUUUGAGAUGUCACUCAACACGGACUUGAAGUUCUUUCUUGGGUUUCAAAUACAACAAUUUCAAGAAGGGAUUUUCUUGUCUCAAACUAAGUAUCUCAAGGACAUUCUUGAAAAAUUUGAUAUGACCAAAUGCUAAACCUAUGAAGACACCCAUGUCCACAGACGUAGUUCUAAAUGAAGACACCAACGGUAUUCCUUUUGACCCAUCUACUUACCGCUCCAUGAUUGGUUCGCUACUUUAUCUUUGCGCAUCUAGACCGUACAUCAUGUUAAGUGUAGGCAUAUGUGCCACAUUUCAAGCUUCCCCUAGGGAAAGCCAUCAUACGGUGGUUAAGCAUAUUCUUAGAUACCUUGUUCACACCCCAAAGUUAGGCUUAUGGUACCCUAAGGAUGCAAAGUUCGAUCUUAUUGGGUACUCCGAUGCGGAUUGGGCCGGUUACAAAGUGGGACGGAAAUCCACUUUCGGUGCAUGUCAGUUUCUUGGACGCUCCUUGGUAAGUUGGUCCUCGAAAAAGCAGAACUGUGUUUCUCUCUCCACGGCCGAGGCCGAAUAUAUUGCAGCCGCAAGCUGUGCAACCCAACUGCUAUGGAUGAGGCAAACACUAAAGGAUUAUGGUAUCACGUAUCGACACGUUCCUCUUCUCUGUGAUAAUGAAAGUGCCAUAAAGAUCUCCGAGAACCCCAUUGAUCACCCUCACACAAAACAUAUUGAUAUUAGGUAUCAUUUCUUGAGAGACCAUGUGCAAAAGGGUGACAUUGAUAUUACCCAUGUGGGUACCGACAUGCAGCUAGCCGACAUUUUCACCAAGCCACUUAGCGUAGCUAGGUUCUGUUGACUUAGGCGUGAACUUGGUAUCUUGGAGCUUGACAACAUAACUUGAAACCUUGCACACAUACACACACUCACAUUAUGUUUGUGUCUUGAUGUGGGCAUGCAUUUAGGAGGAGUGAGUCUUAAUUUUCUGUUUUUGAGCUUACAAAGUAUGCAUAAAUCAAUUUCUGUCCACAAGUAGUAUAUGUAAUGCUUGUAGGCAACUAUGUUCGUACUUUUUGUGAGAAACCAUGAAAAAUCAUCAUCUCAUCAGCAAAAAUUUCAAAACCAGCCUCUGCCUCCUCUUCUCUCUCGGUCGUCCGACGUGUCUCGGACGUCCGGCGGCAAAUCUCAUUCCGGUCGUCCGACCAGUGUCGGUCGUCCGAUGGCACAAUCCUCUCCGGACGUCCGACGCCUGUCGGACGUCCGACGCUUCGGGGCAUAUAAAUAGCUAGGCGCGGGGCUGGGCUUUGCCCUAGCCCUCACACGCCCCCUUUUUCCCCUACCGCCGCCGCCGCCAGCUCCAGGAGCACUCGCCAGCGCCGCCCUUCCCAAGAUCUGCCCGAUCUCCUCUGCGGAUCCUUCUCUCGUUCCUCUUCUUCCUCCGCGGGAUCCGUCUACAGGUAUCUCCUCCGUUUCCCCUUGCGUUUGGUUCCCUCUCUCCCAAGUCUCCAUGUUUGUUCCUAUGGUUUGACCAUGUUCGUUCCUCAUUUGGGGUUUCCAUCCGUAUAGGUUAUUGUGCACCAUGCCCAAUACCAAGCACGCCGCACGGAAGAACGUUGCUGGGUCAUCCUCUCGCGCCCCUACUAGCACGGGGUCGGACUCUGACGGGCCAUGUCGUCCCUUCAAACGGACUGCCCGGCGUUCUCCGCCUCCAUAGCUCCCCUCAUCGUCUGAUGGUGAUGACUCCGACUUCAGGAUGAGCUUGUCGCCGAGGACCUUGCUAACCAGCCCGCCGAUCGGAGGUCCAAGCCAAAGCCCGGGACUCGCAGGGCGUCCUACAUGCCACCACCUCCUCCUGCUCAGCCCGCAGGUGAAGCUCGUCGCAUCUCACUAGAACUCCCUGCUACCUUAGGUCGUGCAAUCACGAACUUCACCACACUUUCCAAGUCGUCAUACCUCACUUUCCGCCGCGACAUUGAUCAAUACGCUGUCGUACGUGACUCUACGGACUCACGUUUCCGCACACACGUCCAGGCGGACAUUUUUACUAGUCAUAGUUCCUAAGGGUUUAUCUGUUCAUCUCUAUAUAGAUCUUGAGCAUAUUCGCAUGCACCCGGCGAAAUACCCGGGUGCCAUUGAGCUUAUUGAGGCAUCGGGGCUUGCCGCCCCGUUUGCCUUUCAUCACGACUUUAAUGCUGCUGCCAUUCACCAGUUCUAUGCCACAUGCUUCUUUGCUCCAAACCACACUGUUAGCUGGAUCACCUCUGAUGUUCGUUUCACAGCUUCUUAUGAUACUUUUGUUGCCGCACUUGGUUUCCCCAACUCCGGCUUCAAAAUACAUAGGGAUGAUCCUAACCAUGCGCCUAAGUCCAUUGAGGCAUGUGGGUAUCUUCUCAAACCACUAAGUGAGCUUGAUGCGGAUGAACGCAUGAAGGACCUUAACCAGGUAUCCAUUUGGCGCUCACCUUACUUCAUCAUUUUUUAGUGUCUCAUCCGCACCAUCUAUCCCAAGAUGGGUGAUAAGGGCUCUUGCAGUGGCUAUUGUAUUGACAUCAUGUCUCACUUGUACGAGCACCCCAAGAGCAAAAUUAAUGUGCCUCAUUUUCUAUGGCAUGAGAUUUGGCUUGCUAGCUUUCAGUACAAGCAAGCCUUUCCUCAUUCCCCCUUCAUCCAGGCUCUUAUUAAUCAUGUUGUUGAUUUCUGUGUGGCUGUCACUCACACACAUCGCAAGUGGGUCAUUCCCGCUCACAUGGCGGAUAACUAUGCUCCCAAGAAAGCCCCAUCCUCCACAUCCACUCGCCGCACUACUGCCCGGUCAGCCACCCCCUCAUCUAGCUCCGCUCCUCUCGGUCGCAUUGCCAAAUUCCUUGGCAAGGCACAUUCUGCUAUGACGAAGGCCGUCUCUUUCCAGUGUGGUCAAACCCAUGAUGUGAUUUCUCGCUUAGUCUGCUCCAAGAAUGCCCUCAAGGCUCGUUUGAGAGCCUCGGGCGCUCUUGAUGUGAGUGAUGAUGAGGCCCCUCCUGCUGCUCCUCCUACUGACUUUGGCUUCCCAUCUGGUCCUGAGUGGGCUGAUUUCCUUGAUGAGGCUGGUGGCAGUGGCUUGCCUGAUGGUGGUGAUGAUGCUGAUGAUGAUGCUGAUGAGCUCUGAGCGUGGUUGGUGCUGUUGGUGCCUCCCUUUUUGGUACCAAAGGGGGAGUACUGUGUAUCGUACUUUUUAGUCUUUGGAGAUUUAAUGUAAUGGAUAAACUCAUGUAUGGCUACUUAUGAAUGAUUGUGAUUGCUAUGGAUUGCUAUGAUAUCAUCAUAGACUAUUAUGUUUUGCUCCACUACUUCUAUGAUGAUCUAUUGUCUUUCUAUGAUGAUCUAUUAUCUUUACAUGUUGAUCCAUUAUAUGUUCGAUAAACACAUUAAAGGGGAGCUCCAAUAUUUUAUCAUGCACAUACUAAGGGGGAGCUCCAUACUAAAUAUCUCCUAGGCUAUAAUGUAUGUUAAAUCUUUUUGAGACCUAUGUAUAUGUUGUCAUCAACUACCAAAAAGGGGGAGAUUGAAAGUGCAUGCUAUGCCCCUAAUCGACUUUUGGUGUUAAUGACAACACAUACAUAGGAAACUAAUUCUAUUUGANNNNNNNNNNNNNNNNNNNNNNNNNNNNNNNNNNNNNNNNNNNNNNNNNNNNNNNNNNNNNNNNNNNNNNNNNNNNNNNNNNNNNNNNNNNNNNNNNNNNAGAGUCGUCGAAGAUGGCUGUAGUGCUCGGGAUUGAGAGGCGAGAGCACUGGGAGGAUCCCCAGGCUCGGCCUCAUCCAGUACUGGCCUCAGGGAGGGCUCGGGAGGACCGGAGGUCACCGGCGACAAGCGGAGGCGACGGCCGGAGCUCGGGCUCAUUGGUCCAGUGGCUAGGGGGCACGAAACCAAGGGGAAGAAGAGGGGAAAUGAUCGCAAUCUCACGGGGAGUGCAGUGGAGGGCUUAGACGGCUCGGGGAGGCGCUGUGGGCGACGAAUCGAAUGAAGCUCGCCGGCGGCCGAAGCAUGAAGACGACGGUGUCGUGGGCGUUGCAGGGCUCGGGGGGACUUCUACUUCUGCAAGGAGGACCAGCUCGUCGAGGUGGAGCGAAUGGGGCACUCGGGGGAAAGAACUAGUGGCCAGAGGCACGGGCAGCUCGAGCUCGAGCUCCUGUCAAUGGCGGUAGAAGGAGAGGAAGUAACCGAGAGGAGAGGGGGGAAAUGGUGCGCGGGAAUGGAUAGGCCAGUGCUCAGGGAGGUUAUCCCCGCACGUGCCAGCGCGAAGCAGCGGCCAGGCAGGCACGGGGCUGCGUGGAGGCGCCGGGCGUCGCGGCGGCCACCUCCUACUCCUACUAGCGAGGAGGAAGACGACACAGGAGCUGGGCUUGGGCCAGGUGAGCGUGUGGUAGGUCUUCCUCAUUCAUUUUUUUUCUUGUUUUGUUUUCUGAUUUACUAACUAUUUUGAUUUGCCUUUCAUUUAAGCUCCAAAAUAGUUUAUAAAAUUAUUUUGAACACAUCAGAAUAUUUGUUGGAAUAUAUCCAACCAUUCGUGAAGUUUUCAACAUUUUUGAAAACUUAAAGUUUUUGAAUUCAAAUUUAAACUUGAAUCGAGUAGUUUUUUGCAUUUAAAUAAAAUGCCAAAAGUGUUAUGAAAAUAGUUUUCUUCACUGCUUAUUUGGUUCCAUGAAUUAUCAGAAAAGUUGAAAUUUUCUUGAGGCCAUUUUGGGUUCAUUGAUUUGAACAAGUUUAGAAUUUCUUUGAAUUUGAGAAGUGNNNNNNNNNNNNNNNNNNNNNNNNNNNNNNNNNNNNNNNNNNNNNNNNNNNNNNNNNNNNNNNNNNNNNNNNNNNNNNNNNNNNNNNNNNNNNNNNNNNNACACGCGGAACACUCGGGUUAAGCUUGACGAGCCUAGCAUGUGCAGACAUGGCCUCGGAACACAUGAGACCGAAAGGUCGAGCAUGAAUCGUAUAGUUGAUAUGAUUAGCAUAGAGAUGCUUACCACUGAAACUAUUCUCGACUCACGUGAUGAUCGGACUUGAGAUAGUGGAUUUGGAUCAUGUACCACUCAAAUGACUAGAGAGAUGUACUUUUUGAGUGGGAGUUCUUAAGUAAUAUGAUUAAUUGAACUAAUUGUCAUGAAUAUAGUCUAAUGGUCUUUGCGAAUUACGAUGUAGCUUGCGCUAUAGCUCUACUGUUUUUAUAUGUUCCUAGAGAAAAUUUAGUUGAAAGUUGAUAGUAGCAAACUUUGCACACUGAGUCUGUAAAGCCGAGGAUUGUCCUCGUUGCUGCACAGAUGGCUUAUGUCCUUAAUGCACCACUCGGUGUGCUGCACCUCGAGCGUCGUGUGUAGAUGUUGUGAACAUCCGACAUACACGUUUCUGAUGACUACACGAUAGUUCAGUACAAAAUACUUAAUGGCUUAGAAGCAAGGCGCCGAAGACGUUUUGAAACGUCACGGAACAUAAGAGAUGUUCUAAACAGAUGAAAUUGUGAUUUCUUUCUUGUGCCCUUGUUAAGAGGUAUGAGACCCCCGACAAGAUUCUUUGUCCGCGAAGUAAAGGAGAAAAGCUCAAUCGUUGAGCGUGUGCUCAGAUUAUUUGAGUGCGACAAUCGCUUGAAUCAAGUGGGAGUUGAUCUUCCAGAUAAGAUAGUGACGGUUGUCCAAAGUCACUGCCACCAAGCUGUGAGAGCUUCGUGAUGAACUAUAACAUAUAAAGGAUAGAUACAAUGAUCCUUGAGCGAUUCGCGAUGUUUGACACUGCGAAAGUAGAAAUCAAAAAGGAGUAUCAAUAGUUGAUUGUUAGUAAAACCACUAAGUUUCGAGAAAGGCAAGGGCUAGAAGGAAUACUUCGUGAAACGGCAAAUCAGUUGCUGCACUAAUGAAGAGACCCGAGAUUGAACCCAAGCCCGGGACUAAGUGCUUCUGUUAUGAGGGGAACGGUCACUGAGGCGGAGCAACUCUAGAUACUUGGCAGAUAAGAAGGCUGGCAAAAGUCGAAAGAAGUAUAUUUGAUAUACAUGAUGUUGAUGUGUACUUUACUAGUACUCCUAGUAGCACGAGGGUAUUGGAUACCGGUUCGGUUGCUAAGUGAUUAGUAACACGAAAUGAAAGCUACGGCAUAAACGGAGACUAGCUAAAGGCGAGGUGACGAUACGUGUUGGAAGUUUUUCCAAGGUUGAUAUGAUCAAACGUCGCACGCUCCCUCUACCAUCGGGAUUGGUGUUAAACCUAAAUAAUUGUUAUUUGGUGCUUGCGUUAAGCAUGAACAUGAUUGGAUCGUGUUUAUUGCAAUACGAUUAUUCAUUUGAAGAGAAUAAUGGUUACUCUAUUUGCUUGAAUAAUCACCUUCAAUGGUUUAUUGAAUCUCGAUCGUAGUGUUACACAUAUUCAUGAUAUUGGUGCCAAAAGAUACGAGGUAAUGAUGAUAGUACUACUUACUUGUGGCACUGCCGCUUGAGUCAUGUUGGUAUAAAUUACAUGAAGAGGCUCCAUGCUGAUGGAUCUUUAUACUCACUUGAUUUUGAAUCACUAGUGACAUGCAAAUCAUACCACAUGAGCAAGGCCUUGUUUCAUUGAGAUGAAACAAGAUAGUAACUUGUUGGAAGUGAUACAUUUUGAUGUAUGCAGUCCAAUGGGUGCUGAGGCACGCAGUGGAUAUCAUUAUGUUCUUACUUCAAUGACGAUUUGAGUAGAUACAAGAGUAUUUACUCAAUGAAUCACAAGUCUGAAAUAUUGAAAAGUUCAAUUCUGUUUCGGAGUGGAGUUCGUCGUAACAAGAGGAUAAACUGUCUACGAUAUGAUCAUAGAAAUGAAUAUCUGAGUUACGAGUUUUGGUACGCAGUUAAGACAAUGUGGAAAUUGUUUCGCAGUUCAUGCCACCUGGAACAUCAUAGUGUGAUGAUGUGUCUGAACGUCAUAGCCACGCACUAUUUGGUAUGGUGCAUGCUAUGAAGUCUCUUAUUGAAUUACCACUAUCGUUUAUGGGUUAUGCAUUAGAGACAACCACAUUCACUUUAAAUAGGGCACCGCGUAWUUCCGUUGAGAUGACACGGUAUAGACUGAGGUUUAGAGAAAUCUGAGCCGUCAUUUCUUGAAAGUUUGGGGCUGCGACACUUAUGUGAAAAAGUUUCMGUCUGAUAAGCUCGAACCCAAAGCGGAUAAAUGCAUCUUCAUAGGAUAUCCAAAACAGUUGGGUACAUCUCCUAUCUCAAGACUCCCGGAAAGACCAAAGGUUGUUUUGUUUUCAAGGAAAACGGAUUCCCUUUCUUUGGAGGGUAAAAGGUUUUCCUCCUUCGAAUAGAAUUGNGUGGGNGGGUGUAGAACUUGAUGGAGGNNNNNNNNNNNNNNNNNNNNNNNNNNNNNNNNNNNNNNNNNNNNNNNNNNNNNNNNNNNNNNNNNNNNNNNNNNNNNNNNNNNNNNNNNNNNNNNNNNNNCCGAGUGGAGGACGGAGGACNCNNCAUGUGANGNCCUCUCUCCCUCNUUUUUUUUCUUUCUCUUUGAUUUCCCCUUAGCCGAAAUAGCCUAUUUGGCUGGCCACACCAGCCCACCAAGGGCUAGUGCGACACCCAUGGGCUAUUAGGUUCUCUCCCGGGUGGCUGGCCCCCUCCUGGUAAAAACCCGAAACCCAUUCGUUACUUCCGGUACACUGUCGACAAUGUUCGAAAUAUUUUCGGAGGCCAAAUGAAACAAUCCUAUAUAUCAAUCUUUGUUUCCGGACCAUUCCGGAAACCCUUGUUACGUCUGUGAUCUCAUCGGGGACUUCGAACAAAACUUCGGUCACCAGCACCUAUAACUCAACUAUAUCAAAACGUCACCGAACCUUAAGUGUGCAGACCCUGCGGGUUCGAGAAUUAUGCAGACAUGACGUGAGACACUCCCCAGUCAAUAUCCAACAACGAGACCUGGAUGUCCAUAUUGGAUUCUACAUAUUCUACGAAGAUCUCAUCGGUUGAACCUCUGUGCCAAGGAUUCAUAUAAUCCCGUAUAUCAUUUCCUUUGUCCUUCGGUAUGUUACUUGCCCGAGAUUUGAUCGUGGUAUCCCUAUACCUAUUUCAAUCUUGUUACCGGCAAGUCUCUUUACUCGUUCCGUAAUAGAAGAUCCCGUAACAAACACUUUAGUCACAUUGCUUGCAAAGAUUAUAUGUGAUGUUGUAUUACCGAGUGGGCCCCGAGAUACCUCUCCGUCACACGGAGUGACAAAUCCCAGUCUCGAUCCAUGCUAACUCAACGGACACCUUCGGAGAUACCUGUAGAGCACCUUUAUAGUCACCCAUUAACGUUGCGACGUUUGAUACACACAAGGUAUUCCUCCGGUGUCAGUGAGUUACAUGAUCUCAUGGUCAUAGGAAUGAAUACUUGACACGCAGAAAACAAUAGCAACAAAAUAACACGAUCACAUGCUAUGUUCAUAGUUUGGGUCUUGUCCAUCACAUCAUUCUCCCAAUGAUGUGAUCCAGUCAUCAAGUGACAACACUUGCAUAUGUUCAGAACACCUUAACCACCCUUGAUCAACUGGCUAGCCAACUAAAGGCUUACUAGGGACAUUGUUUUGUCUAUAUAUCCACACAUGCAUUUAUGUUUUCAUUCAAUACAGUUAUAGUAUGGAUAAUAAACGAUUAUCUUGAAACAGGAAAUAUAAUAAUAACUAUUUUAUCAACUGGCUAGCCAAACUCUUUCAUGAAUUUUUCUAUAUCAACCACCAAAUGGAAUGCAAAGAUGGACUUAGCAUAGAGCUUGGUGGAAUCUCAAUUUAGAAAAGGAAAAAUACUACUUUUCCUGAAGCCAAACUGGCGAGUCAUCCCAAAUGUUGGGUCGAGACUUGGUUCUAUUGUAAGUGUUGAAAAUAUGCCCUAGAGGCAAUAAUAAAUAGUUAUUAUUUUAUUUCCUGUUUAAAGAUAAUUGUUUAUUAUCCAUGCUAUAAUUGUAUUGAAUGAAAACAUAGAUACAUGUGUGGAUAAAUAGACACAACAAUGUCCCUAGCAAGCCUCUAGUUGGCUAGUGAUGACCAUAGGGGAUCAAUCGUAGUCCUUUCGAUAAGUAAGAGUGUCGAACCCAACGAGGGGCAGAAGGAUUUGACAAGUGGUUUUCAGCAAGGUAAUAUCUGCAAGCACUGAAAUUAUCGGUAACAAGUAGUUGUGUGGUGAGAUGAUUCAUAGCAAGCAACAAGUAACAAAAGUAGCAACGGUGCAGCAAAGUGGUCCAAUCCCUUUUGUAGCAAGGGACAAGCCUGGACAAAGUCUUAUAGGAGGAAAAACGCUCCCGAGGACACACGGGAAUUUCUGUCAUGCUAGUUUUCAUCAUGUUCAUAUGGUUCGCGUUCGUUACUUUGAUAGUUUGAUAUGUGGGUGGACCGGCGCUUGGGUACUGCCCUUACUUGGACAAGCAUCCCACUUAUGAUUAACCCCUCUCGCAAGUAUCCGCAACUACGAAAGAAGAAUUAAGACAAAGUCUAACCAUAGCAUUAAACUAGUGGAUCCAAAUCAGCCCCUUACGAAGCAACACAUAAACUAGGGUUUAAGCUUCUGUCACUCUAGCAACCCAUCAUCUACUUACUACUUCCCAAUGCCUUCCUCUAGGCCCAAAUAAUGGUGAAGUGUUAUGUAGUCGACGUUCACAUAACACCACCAGAGAAAAAACAACAUACACCAUAUCAAAUUACCGAACGAAUACCAAAUUCACAUGACUACUAUUAGCAUGACUUAUCCCAUGUCCUCAGGAACAAAAGUAACUACUCACAAAGCAUAAUCAUAUUCAAGACCAGAGAGGUAAUGAGUAGCAUCAAGGAUCUGAACAUAAAUUCUUCCACCAAAUAAUCCAACUAGCAUCAACUACAAAGAGUAAUCAACACUACUAGCAACCUUACAAGUACCAAUCGGAGUCGCGAGACGGAGAUUGGUUACAAGUGUGAACUAGGGUUUGGAGAUGAGAUGGUGUUGAGGAAGAUGUUGAUGGUGACAAGUACCCUCCGAUGAGAGGAGUGUUGGUGAUGACGAUGGCGACGAUUUCCCCUUCCGGGAGGGAAGUUUCCCCGGCAGGAUCGUCCUGCCGGAGCUCUAGAUUGGUUCUGCUCAAGUUCCGCCUCGUGGCGGCGGCGAAACCACGAAAAAGCUCCUCCCUGAUUUUUUCCAGACGAAACCCUUCAUAUAGCAGAAGAGGGGGGCAAGUGGGCCAGCAGGUUGCCCAUAAGCCCUCAUGGCGCGGCCUAGGGGGUGGCCACGCCGUGCAGGCUUGUGGCCGGGGCCGCGCCGUGCAGGCUUGUGGCCAACCCCUGGUGCCCCUCUGGCGCUUCUUCAUCCCAGUAUUUUUUAUAAAUCCGGAAAAAAAAAUCCUCGUUAAUUUUUACGGCGUUUGGAGUUGCGUAGAAUAGGUAUCUCAAACUUUCUCUGAUGACCCACAAGUAUAGGGGAUCUAUCGUAGUCCUUUCAAUAAGUAAGAGUGUCGAACCCAACGAGGAGUAGAAGGAUCUGACAAGUGGUUUUCAGCAAGGUAUUCUCUGCAAGCACUGAAAUUAUCGGUAACACAUAGUGGUGUGGUGAGAUGAUUCACAGCAAGUAGCAAGUAACAACGGUAACAAAGGUGCAACAAAGUGGCCCAUUCCCUUUUUGUAGCAAGGGACAAGCCUGAACAAACUCAUAUAGGAGGUAAAGUACUCCCGAGGACACAUGGGAAUUUCUGUCAAGCUAGUUUUCAUCAUGUUCAUAUGAUUCGUGUUCGCUACUUUGAUAGUUUGAUAUGUGGGUGGACCGGCGCUUGGCUACUGCCCUUACUUGGGCAAGCAUCCCACUUAUGAUUAACCCCUCUCGCAAGCAUCCGCAACUACGAAACAAGAAUUAAGACAAAGUCUAACCAUAGCAUUAAACUAGUGGAUCCAAAUCAGCCCCUUACGAAGCAACGCAUAAAAUAGGGUUUAAGCUUUUGUCACUCUAGCAACCCAUCAUCUACUUACUACUUCCCAAUGCCUUCCUCUAGGCCCAAAUAAUGGUGAAGUGUUAUUUAGUCGACGUUCACAUAACACCACUAGAGGAAAAACAACAUACAACACAUCAAAAUAUCGAACGAAUACCAAAUUCACAUGACUACUUAUAGCAAAACUUAUCCCAUGUCCUCAGGAGCAAAAGUGACUACUCACAAAGCAUAAUAAUAUUCAUGACCAGAGAGGUAAUGAAUAGCAUCAAGGAUCUGAACAUAUAAUCUUCCACCAAGUAAUCCAACUAGCAUCAACUAUAAAGAGUAAUUAACACUACUAGCAACCUUACAAGUACCAAUCGGAGUCGCGAGACGGAGAUUGGUUACAAGAGAUGAACUAUGGUUUGGAGAUGAGAUGGUGCGGAUGAAGAUGUUGAUGGUGAUGAGUCCCCUCCGAUGAGAGGAGUGUUGGUGAUGACGAUGGCGACGAUUUCCCCCUCCGGGAGGGAAGUUUCCCCGGCAGGACGACCCUGCCAGAGCUUUAUAUUGGUUGUGCUCAAGUUCCGCCUCGUGCCGGCGGCGAUUCCUCCCGAAAGCCUCCUCCUGAUUUUUCUGGAACGAAACCCUUCUUAUAGCAAAAGAGGGGGGCCAGAGGGCCCGCAGGGAGCCCACAAACCCGCUAGGCGCGGCCAGGGGGGCGCGCCUAGCAGGCUUCUGGCCUCCUGUUGGCUCCCCUCUGGUACUUCUUCGGCCUAGUAUUUUAUAUAAAUUCCAAAAUAAAUCCUCGUUGAUUUUCACGGCUUUUGGAGUUGCGCAGAAUAGGUAUCUCAAACUUGCUCCUUUUUCAGGCCAGAAUUCCAGCUGCCGGCAUUCUCCCUCUUCAUGUAAACAUUGCAAAAUAAGAGAGAAAAAGCAUAAGUAUUGUACCAUGAAGUGUAAUAACAGCCCAUAAAUCAAUAAAUAUCAACAUGAAAGCAUGAUGCAAAAUGGACGUAUCAACUCCCCCAAUCUUAUACCUCGCUUGUCCUCAAGCAAAAACCGAGAUCAAUAAAUAUGCCCACAUGUUUAGAGAGAGAGGUGUCGACAAAACAAGAUACGGACAUGCGGGCAUCACGAUCAUAAUCAGAACAACAAUAUCAUCAUAUGAACUCUUAUGCUAAAGUGAUAAUUCCUUCACAAAGUAAAGUAAGGAUCAAGAAGCUUAAUGAUAAUUAACAACCGAUAGCCUUUAGUCAUUGAAGCAAUUGCAAUUUAUCACAACAUCGGAAAGAGUCAAAUAAGAGCUUGUAAAGAAAAUCCACAUACUCAAUCAUCCUUUUGUCUUCUACAAUUGCUACAACUCACAUGGUACUCAUGAGAUCGAAGUUUCAGAUGAACACAGAGAAAGAUAGGGGCUUAUAGUUUCGCCUCCCAACUGCUUACCUCAAGGGUAAUGUCAACAAUAAUAAUUCAUGAAUACUCACUUCCAAGUUGACAUAUGCAUACAGAUCUUUCCCUAGCAUAUGACGUUAGCCAAGAAAAAGGCGAAAUAAGGAAUUGGUGUAGAUCACCAUGACUCUUUUAAGGGCAAAAAGUAAAGGUACAAGAUAGGCCCUUCGCAGAGGGAAGCAGAGGUUGCCAUGCACUUUCGAGGUUUGGAUGUGCGACCUCUUAGUGUAAAGGAACGUCACUUUAUAUUGCCUCCUGUGAUAAAGAACUUUAUUAUGCAGUCUGUCGCUUUUAUGUCUUCCUCAUCACAGGUUCAUACAAAGCUUAUUUUCCACACACUAAUAGAUCAUACAUAUUUAGGGAGCAAUUUUUAUUGCUUGCACCGAUGACAACUUACUUGAGGGAUCUUAUUCAAUCCAUACGUAGGUAUGGUGGACUCUCAUGGCAAAACUGGGGUUGAAGGUUUAUGGAUGCACAAGUAGUAUCUUUACUUAGUGCGGAAGUUUUGGCUGAUAUGAGGUGGAAGCAAGCGUCACAUGCUAAUGGAUCUCUAGUCAUAUAAUCAUUGUUCGGAACCAAGCAAACUUAAUUCAUUAUGUUGUCUUCCUUGUCCAACAUCUACUUCUAAGCAUGCAAUAGUUUAAUGAGUGUUCACAAUCAUAGAUGGUGUCAAAGAUGAUAUAUUUAUAUGUGAACCUCUCCUUCUUUAUCAUUUCCUAUUAAUUGCAACAAUGACCAAGGUCUAUGUUUGUCUACCCUCAACAAGUUUCAAUCAACAUUCUUCUUAUAUGUGAAGCCAUCACUUUCCACAAGAUCAUUACAUGAUCUUUCAUGCUUUUGUUCUUUUAUCAUUCUCUUGAUCAUGGCAUGAGGCAAGGCCCUUAACUAAGACACUCUUUAUUAUAAGGCUCACGAGCUCGAAUACAUCACGGGUGACACAAAGCAAAACUUAAGCGUAAAACACUAAGGACUUUAUUUUACUAGAGAAAGAUAAGACCAAAAAGGAUCGAACUAAGAAAAGGUAAAGGCAAAAGAUGUGAUGGUGAUACGAUAUCGGGGCAACUCCCCCAAGCUUGGCACAAGCCAAGGGGAUUGCCCAUACCCAUGCUUAGUUGUCUUCCUUCGAUGGUGAUGGUGGUGGAGUUGUUGCAACAUGGGUUUGAUCCUCCGUCUUCCAAGGCAUAGGUGCUCCAUCAUGGAAAGAUGACUGAGUCUACGGAAUCCUCAAAUCUGCAGCCAACCGUAUUGAUUUAAAUCUAUACUCAUACUCACAGUUUUGGUUCUGCAGGUCAUAGAUCUGGGCUUGGAGGUGAUCAAUUUUGUCAUAGAGCCUGGAGAGGUGCUUCCCGAUGUCAUUGGCAUCGAUCUUGUGCUUGUUGGUGAAGUCUGUGAUCACCAUGUGGUUGGCAUUGAGUCCGCGUUCCACCAUACCUUGGCACUUGAAGACUUGUUGCUCCAUUGCUUCGAGCCUCGCCUCCAUGCUUCCGGUCUUCUUAGGCCCCUCAACAUCACGGAUGUGCAGCAUCCCCUCACGCAUCUCGAUAGAUUGAGGGUGUUGCAGGACUCCCGUGAGGUAGGGAUUGAUGACCUUCUCGAAGAUCUUGUCCUUCGGAGCUUUUGGGGAUGCCAUAGCGAUCUAGAUCUGCAGCAGAAAUAGGCUCGAAACGAAAACAGAGGAAACUUGCGUGAUAUGAGGGUCAGACCUUAUGGGAGAAUAUAUAAUAUUUUUUCCAACCAGAAGGAGUACUCCGUAAGAAAACGGAGUCCGGGAGGCACACGAGGUGGUCACAAGCCCCCCCAGGCGCGGCCAGGGGGGUGGCCCGCGCCUGGUAGGUUUGUCGCCUCCUCGUGCGCUUUCCGGACUACUUUUUCUAUUUUUUCAAAAAUUCCAAAAAUGAGAAAAAUUCCUACUGGAAAAGUUUUGGAGUCGGUUUACUUACCGAAUCACAUACCUCUUCGUUUUCGGAGUCUGAAACAGGCUGAUAAAUAUCCCUUAUGUACUCCUCCGGAGUUAUGGUAUUGAUAAUAUUGCUUUCAACAUUUAUGGGAAUACCUGAGAUAUAAUGCUUGAUUCUUUGCCCAUUUACCACUUCUUGGAAAAUUACCUUCCGUGUUGGUUGAUUCUUGAUGGCACGGACGAUNUACUUCCUCAACAAUGUAGGGACCUUNNNNNNNNNNNNNNNNNNNNNNNNNNNNNNNNNNNNNNNNNNNNNNNNNNNNNNNNNNNNNNNNNNNNNNNNNNNNNNNNNNNNNNNNNNNNNNNNNNNNUUACCUAACCGUAGUUAGGCUCGGAAAAGAAUAAUAAGUGAAGCACAUAGAAGACAAAGUAAUCUAGACUCAAAAGAAUAUAAGUGAAGACACAUGUGAGACUGAAUUUGUCUACCAAAAGAUAUAAGUGAAGCUCGGACAAAWWCACGGUGAGUGCAUGUCUCUCUCUCUCUAGGUGUCCAUAAAGGAUGAUUGUGACACAACAAAAAUAAAAGACUCCUACGAUACAAGACGCUCCAAGCAAAAACACAUAACAUGUGGUGAAUAAAAAUAUAGCCUCAAGUAACGUUACCGAUGGAUUGAAGACGAGAGAAGGGGAUGCCUUCCCGGGGCAUCCCCAAGCUUAGGAUUUUACGGCAUCCUUGAAUCUCUUGGGGUGCCUUGGGAAUCCCCAAGCUUGAGAUCUUUCCACUCUUUAUAUCUUUGUCCAUAAGAACUUCACCCAAAACUUGAAAACUUCACAACACGAAACUUAAACAGAAACUCGUGAUAACAUUAGUACAAGAAAGCAAACCACCACUUCCUUAGGUACUGUAGAAAACUUAAAUUCUGCUUGUGCUGAUGUUGGGUUACUGUAAUUUCAAUCUUCCAUGGCUAAUACCCCCCGAUACUAUCCAUAGUUUCAUCAAAAUAAGCAACCAACACAACAAAAACAGAAUCUGUUAACAGCAGACCAGUCUGUAUCAAUCUGUAUAUUUCGUAUACCUUUGGUCCUUCAAACAUUCUGAAAAAUUACGACAGUCUGAAUAAUUUGCGUAGCAAUCAGCAGCAAAAAUAAUCAACUCAAAAGGUCUUACAGAAAGAAAAUGAAAAUUCUUUUCGUGAGCAGAAAGUUUCUAUCUUUUCCAGCAUGACCAAACGAUCAUCCCCAAGACUAAUCAUAACGGUUUUGCUUGGCACAAACGCAAAAAGAAACACAAAAACACAAUCAUAACAGAAUUAUGAAAGUGUGGAAAACACAAAACAGAAAGAAAAAUGAUAGAUUUGUUGGGUUGCCUCCCAACAAGCGCUUUUGUUUAACGCCCUUAGCUAGGCGAAAGUGAUGGAAUCACGUAUAGUCAUCUUUGGUGUUCAAACAUAGGUAGCCCUCAUCAUAGAUUCAUAAGGCAAUCUUAUUUUAUUUCUAGGAAAGUGCUCCAUGCCCUUCUUUAAAGGAAAUUGAAAUCUAAUAUUCCUUUCCUUCAUAUCGAUGAUAGCACCAAUAGUCGUUAGGAAAGGUCUACCAAGAAUAAUGAGACAUGAAGGAUUGCAAUCUAUGUCAAGUACAAUGAAAUCCAGAGGUACAUAGUUCUUAUUUGCAACAAUAAGAACAUCAUCGAUCCUCCCCAUGGGUUUCUUGACAGUAGAAUCCGCAAGAUGCAAAUUAAGAGAACACUCUUCAAUCUCAUGAAAACCAAGAAUAUCACAUAAAGACUUUGGAAUCGCGGAAACACUAGCACCCAAAUCACACAAAGCAUUGCACUCAUAGUUUUUUAUCUUGAUUUUGAUAGUAGGUUCCCACUCAUCAUGAAGUUUUCUAGGUAUAGAGACUUCUAGUUCGAGCUUCUCUUCAAGAGAUUUCAUCAUAGCAUCUACGAUAUGUGUGGUAAAGGCUUUGCUUUGGCUAUAAGCAUGUGGAGAGUUUGCAAUGGAUUGCAUCAAAAAAAUGCAUUCAAACAAGGAGCAAUUAUCAUAAUUGAAUUCCUUGAAAUCCAAAGUGGGAGUUUCAUUACUACCCAAAAUUUUGAGUUCUUCUACUCCACUCUCCACACCUUUAUCAUCAAGAUAGGUGGACUCCGAAUCAUUGGGGCGUUUUUCAACCAAAGUGGAUUCAUAUUCAGCCCCUCCAUAAGUACGUUUGACACGCAAAAACAAAGAUUCAAGAGGAGACACACCAAGCACUUUAAGAUCUUCGUGAUUUGCAUCACUAGAACGCACCCUUUUAAACCAUUCAUGUCUAGCGCGAAUUUGGGCGGUUCUUUCUUUGCUCUCAUUCAUGGAGAUACGCAUAGCUUUCAAAGUUUCAUCCAAGUUGACCUUGGGAGGAGCGCAUCUAACUUUCAAAGCAUCAAUAUCACAAGACAUCCUAUCAACGCUCUUAGCCAAAUCGUCUAUUUUGAGUAGUUUUUCCUCUAUGGACGCAUUGAAAAUCUUUUGAGAGUUGAUGAACUCCUUGAUACUACUCUCUAAAUCAGAGGGUAAUUUGUUGUGAUUUCCAUAAGUGUUGUUGUAGGAAUUGCCAUAGUUUUUAGAGGAGUUACUAGGAAAAGGCCUAGGAACAUAGUUUCCUCUAAAAGCAUUAUUGUUGCCAAAAUUGUUCCUACCAACAAAAUUCUCGUCCAAACUAGCGUUGCUACUCUCAAUCAAAGAAGAUAGUGGCAUGUCAUUAGGAUCUAUGGUAGCGUUUCUACUAGCAACCAAAUUCAUCAACUCGUCCAUCUUAGCACUAAGCGAGUUAAUCUCUUCUAUAGCGUGCACAUUUUUGCUAGCAGGCGAGCUUUCAGUGUGCCACUGAGAGUAGUUGGUCAUGAUAUUGUCUAGGAGUUUUGUAGCGUCGCCUAACGUGAUUUCCAUGAACAUUCCACCUGAGGCGGAGUCCAAGAUAUUGCGAGAAGCGAAAUUCAAGCCAGCGUAAAAGAUUUGUAUAAUCAUCCACAAACUCAAGCCAUGAGCGGGACAAUUUCUAAUCAUAAGCUUCAUCCUCUCCCAAGAUUGUGCAACGUGUUCAUGAUCAAGUUGCUUGAAAUUCAUGAUAUCGUUACGKAGAGAGAUGAUCUUAGCCGGCGGAAAAUACUUGGAAUAUAAGCAUCUUUGCACUUAUCCCAAGAAUCGAUACUAUUUUUGGGCAAAGAAGAAAACCAAGUUUUUGCGCGAUCUCGCAACGAGAAAGGAAAAAGUUUAAAUUUAAUCACGUCAUUAUCCACAUCUUUUUUCUUAUGCAUAUCGCAAAGCUCAAUGAAGGUAUUAAGAUGGGAUGCGACAUCUUCACUAGGAAGGCCAAAAAAAUUGCUCUUUCAUAACAAGAUUCAGCAAAGCGUCAUUGAUUUCGUAUGACUCCGCACUAGUGGCGGGAGCAAUCGGAGUACUAAUAAAAUCAUUAUUAUUAGUAUUCGAGGAGUCACAAAGUUUGCUGUUUUCGUUCAUGGUGACUUCAGCAAGCAAGCAAGCACAGAAGCAAACAAAGAGCAGGCAAGAAAAAGGGGAAAGAAAAGGGCAAACGAAAAAAGGCAAACGAAAAAAGGCAAAUUGGUGAAGUGGGGGAGAGGAAAACGAGAGGCAAUUGGCAAACAAAGUAUAUGCAAGAGAUGAGUUUGCGACACUUACUUGGAUGAGUUCUUGACUUGAUCUUCCUCCCCGGCAACGGCGCCAGAAAUUCUUCUGCUAUCCCACAGACAACAGCGCCAGAAAUUGACACGUUGACAGAGGCUGGGCUUGCGUUGGUUUUUUCCUUGAAGAGGAAAGGGUGAUGCAGCACAGGAGCAGUAAGUAUUUCCCUCAGUUUGAGAACCAAGGUAUCGAUCGAGAAGGAGGGUCUCGUCAAGUCCAGAGUACCUGCGCAAACACAAACAAGUUUGCACCCAACGCUUCAAAGGGGUUGUCAAUCCCUUCAAGAUUGUUUGCAAAGUGAGAUCUGAAGGCGGAAAGUGCAACGAAGUAAAAAGUGUAAGGCUGAAAAUAUGGUGUGGAGUAGACCCUCGGGGCCAUAGUGUUCACUAGAGGCUUCUCUCAAAAUAGCAAGUGUUAUGGUGGGUGAACAAAUUACUGCCGAGCAAUUUAUAGAACCGCGCAAAGUCGUGACGAUAUCUAAGGCAAUGAUCAUACAUAUAGGCAUCACAUCCGAGACAAGUAGACCGAUACUUUCUGCUUCUACUACUAUUACUCCACACAUCGACCGCUAUCCAGCAUGCAUCUAGAAUAUUGAGUUCAUGACGAACAGAGUAACGCUUUAAGCAAGAUGACAUGAUGUAGAGGGAUAAUCUCAAACCAAUGAUGAAAACCCCAUCUUUACCCUUGAUGGCAACAACACGAUGCGUGCCUCGCUACCCCUUCUGUCACUGGGUGAGGUCACCGCACGGUAUGAACCCAAAACCAAGCACUUCUCCCAUUGCAAGAAUCAUAGAUCUAGCUGGCCAGACAAAACCCACAACUCGAAGAGAAUUACAAGGAUAUGAAAUCAUGCAUAAGAGAGAUCAGAAGAAACUCAAAUAAGAUUCAUAGAUAAUCUGAUCAUAAAUCCACAAUUCAUCGGAUCUCGACAAACACACCGCAAAAGAAGAUUACAUCGGAUAGAUCUCCAUGAAGAUCAUGGAUAAAUUUGUAUUGAAGAUCCAAGAGAGAGAAGAAGCCAUCUAGUUACUAGCUAUGGACCCGUAGGUCUAUGGUGAACUACUCACGCAUCAUCGGAGAGGUCAUGGUGUUGAUGGAGAAGCCGUCCGUAUCCGAAUCCCCCCUCCGCCAGGGCACCAGGACGUGCCCCAUAUGGGAUCUUGCGGAGACAGAAGCUUGCGGCGGUGGGAAAGUGAUUGCUAUGAUCUCCUGAUUUUUUUCUGGAAUUUAUGGGAAUAUAUAGGCGAAAGACCUAGGGCAAAGGGCGUCCAGGGGGCCCACAAGCCUGGAUGGCGCGGCCUCCCCCCUAGCCGCGGGGUGGGGGCUUGUGGGGCCCCUGAGGCUCGCCUGCCUUGGCUCCCAAGCUUCCCGAUCUUCUUCCGUUCGAGAAAAAAUCUUUUCGGGGAUUUUCUUCCGUUUGGAUUCCGUUUCAAAAUCUCCUCUGAAAGGGGUCAAAAACAUGGAAAAAACAGGAACUAGCACUUGGCACUGAGUUAAUAAGUUAGUCCCAGAAAAUAUAUAAAAGGCAUGCAAAACAUCCAAAGUUUGACAAGAUAAUAGCAUGAAACCAUCAAAAAAUUAUAGAUACAUUGGAGACGUAUCAUGGUACCGAACACAAGGAUAGGGGUGUCAUCAUUUCGUCACGGCAGAUGCCAUGGGGGUGGCUUAUCUCGAGUGGUUGGGGCCAAUGUGCAUUGGUGGACUCCGGCACAGGGAUUGGGGACGAGCGAUGGUGACACACAAUUAACCCAGAUUCACGACCCUCCAUGGGAGCUAACACCCCUAGUCCAGCCGGAGCUGGUAUACGGUAGACGAGAGCUACAAUGGUGCUCCUUGACCUAUUGGCUAGAUGAGGAAUAAGGAGCUCGCUUGCUUCUCCUUGCCUCCUGUUUAGCAAAUCCCUGGCAAUGGCUAGACAAAUGCUAUUCUCGAUUGCUCAACAAUUAGAAAUUGUCUUGCAAUGACCCACCAGCGCGUGGGAUCGAGGCAGUUUUCGAGGGUAGGGUAUUCAACCCGAAUUUGUUGGUUCGUCGGUCAGGAAGUAAGAGGAUACUCUCAAGUAUUAGCAGUUGAAUGUGUCAGAUUCAACCACACCUGAAAGAUUAGUAUCUUCAAGCAAAGUAUCAAUAACAAAGUAGUAUGAUAACAACGGUGUCAGAAACGAUCCGUUGACGGCAGACUAUUCCUAACGAUUGUAUCAAUGGCGCCAGAAGUUGCCCGUGGACGGGAAAUAUUCUUUCCCGUCAACGUCGUGCGAACCAGUAUUGUAGCAGGUAGCAGCAGUGUAAUGAGUAGCAGCAGUGGUAAGGAACAACAGUAGUGACAGUAGUAGCAAGUAGCAACAGUAGCAAGUAACAGCAGAGCAAGCAAGUAACAGCAGCAGCAACAGUAGUAAUAGCAGCAGAGCAGAACAAGUAACAGCAGCAGUGGGACAAACUCAUAGGCAAUGGGUCGGUGAUUUGUUUGGAUGAUAUUCAUCAUGCAACAGUUAUAACACGGAGAGAUAUGUGGCUAGCUCCCGUUCGUGAAUGUGAUGUAGGCAUGCAUUCCGUGUGUCGUCAUACAUGCUUAGGGAAAAGAACUUGCAUGACAUCUAUUGUCCAUCCCUCCCGUGGUAGCGGGGUCCAAAUGGAAACUACGAGAUAUUAAGGUUCUCCAUUUAAUAAAGAAUCGAACCAACGCAUUAGCACUGGGUGAACACAUGAACUCCUCAAACUAUGGUCAUCACCGGGAGUGGUUCCGGUUAUUGUCACUCAGGGGUUGCCGGGUCAUAACACAUAGUAGGUAACUACAACUUGCAAGAUCGGAUCUAAAACACACAUAUAUUGGUGACAACAUAAUAAUUUCAGAUCUGAAAUCAUGGCACUCGGGCCCUAGUGACAAGCAUUAAGCAUGGCAAAGUAGUAGCAACAUCAAUCUCAGAACAUAGUGGAUACUAGGGAUCAAUCCCCGUCAAAACUAACUCGAUUACAUGAUAGAUCUCAUCCUACUCAUCACCACCCAGCGAGGCUACGAAUAGAUUACUCACGAACGACGAAGAGCUUCAUGGAAUUGGAGAGGGAAGAAGGUUGAUGAUGACGAUGGCGAUGAUUUCCCCUCUCCGGAGCCCAGGAUGGACUCCAGAUCUGCCCUCCAGAUGAAGAACAGGAGGUGGCGGCGCCUCCGUAUCGAAAACGCGACGAAAACUUCUCUUUUUAUUUUUUCUGGGACGAAGGGCAACUUAUAGAGCUGGAGUUGGGGGCGGCAUGUGCCUGUGGGCCCCACAAGCCUGCCCACCGCCACCAGGGCGGGUGGUGGCGGAGCAGGGGCUUGUGGCCCACUGGCCCACCCCCUGAGGUGGAACUUGGCGCAAAUAUUUUUGAUAUUUUCCAAAACUGCUCCCCGUAAAUUUCAGGACGUUUGGAGAACUUUGAUUUCUGCACAAAAAUAACACCUAGACAGUUCUGCUGAAAACAGCGUCAGUCCAGGUUAGUUCCAUUCAAAUCAUGCAAAUUAUAGUCCAAAACAAGGGCAAAAGAGUUUGGAAAAGUAGAUACGUUGGAGAAGUAUCAGCUGCCAUUUGAAUAGCCUGCCUCUCCGUAGGCAUGGCUCUCCCGACAAAGCGAAGAUGACGGAUCUCAACUCUCCCACCAAAGACUGAUGCAUAGUCAGGGAGUCACUGAUCUUGUGGCGGUAGAACGUGUACUCGGUGUGAGUCUUCGGUCCAAUCGUGAUCCUCGCAAUGACUGAGAGGAGUCGCAAAAARUCCCGUCGGCUCGUUGGCAAAGACGUGAGACGGACAACCGUUGCCAUCCAUCUACACAGUAGACAAAUUUCCAUAUAGUCAUAACAUAAAUAUAAUGUUGACUAAAUAGAAAAAUAUCUACACUAUGCAUAAUAAUAAAACAACAAAUCUGGUUAGCAAUUGCACCUAGUGGUUCCCUAUAGUUAGCCUGGCUCUGAUAUCAAGGUUGUACGACCGGUUUCCAAAUGAAAUAAUUCAUUGGAAAUCAUUCAUGCAUGUCACCAGUGUAGAAAAAUAUUCCUCACUGAUAGACUCAUCUUGAUACAUAAAACCAGUAGUACUUAAUAUAAAACAUAGUAGAGCGGAGGUCGCUCUAGAAAUUAUUACAACAUGUCCAUAGUGUCACAAGGAUGGAUAUGUUAUAGUGGUCUUUGGUAACUCUACUGCUCCUAACGAAAGGGGCACCUCACAUCAGAGUGAAGUGACAUGACAAGUACUACUAUGCGACAAGCUUCAAAGUGAGGCUUGACAAUCUAUUCGGGGUGGCGGAAGCGGUGAAAUAAGCAACAGACUCCAUAGCAAGACUCACCAGGACUCCUCUAGGCGUUGGACUCGCUAUCGAAUUCUUUAUCCAUGAGGUCUCCUUCAUCCAUAUCCGGCCACAUCAACAAGCCAAUGAGUACUUCGAAAAGUACUCGCAAACGGUUUGCACAAAAGAUGAGGUGCAUGCAGCAAAUUUAAAUAUGCAUGGGUAAGUAUCAAACUUAUUAUGAUGGAAAGGUAAAUAGAAGUUAUGUUUUAGUAGAUAAGUCGGGCCGUAAUCCUCCCGAAAUAUCCAAACAAAAAAAAUGCGUCGAUCGGGUGUAUGAAGCGACGCCUCGAAAGGUUGACAGGUAAGGUAAAUAACCGUCAUCGGGCGUCUAAGCGACACCACAUACACGACAUAACAAAAUAACGAGCCGCAGUCGAGCGUCUUAGCGACACCACAGAAAGGGCAUAAAUAAAUAACAAGCCAUAGUCAGGCGUCUUGGCGACACAACAGAAAGGGCAUAAAUAAAUAACAAGCCACAGUCAGGCGUCUUGACAACACCACAGAAAGGGCAUAACUAAAUAACAAGCCACAGUCGGGCGUCUUGGCAACACCACAGAAAGGGCAUAAGUAGAAGUAAGAAUUAUCCGGGUGGUACAACCAACCUUCAGAAUAUUCCGAGUACCCAAGUUUCCAUCCAGUCAUUUCCUUAUAUUACUGUCAUAUGUUUAUUACCAUUAUUAUUACAACAAACUUGUACUCCUGGGACCGACUCUACGGCUGACACUUGACCUGUCAACCAGCCGUCCUUGACCGUGGACACGGCUACUCGAAUAGUUUUGACUCUGUAGAGGAUGUACUCUUUACCCAUAGGCCACGGGUUCCAAUAGUCACUAGGACUAAUCCCGCAUACGGUAUAUUAGAAGUAAACACUCAGAAUCGGCACACACCCAUUUUUUAAUCCCGCGAAGACCGGCUUCACCCGGACUACGCUGCCACAGAAAACCAUAAGAUGGGGAGGCUCCAACCUUGACUAGCAUGGGAUCAGACUUAUACCCCACGCUACAAGAGAGUGCUCUCCCUCUCGGUCCCAUACCGGAAACACCCAUGCCCCGUGACCGGAUGACUGGAUUUAGUCUAGGGCCAUGGAUACCUUCGUCGUGGCCCUUGUACUUGGUGUGUAACUGAUAAUAGGUCUACGAUCAACUAUACCACAUUCCCUUUCGAAAAAACUGACAAGACUCGACCUAGGUCGAUCUGGUUAUCCAAUUUAUUCCCGUCAAGGUCAUGCAUCCGACAUGACUAGGCCACAACCUAUCACGUUACGCGUGACUAGGUUAUCCAUGGCCUCUCACAACCAUAUAAGUCAUCACAGCCACAUAUUGAAUUUUAUUUGAGUAAUAUGCAAUACGCUUAGUUAAUGUAGCAGAUGACAAUUAAAUUGGUUAGUCAACAAACAACACAUCAAAAGUUCAAACAUGCUUGCCUGGUUCAACGUAGUCGGUAUCGAGCUCGAUGAAGUUGGCGCCGACAUUUCCCUCAUCGGAAUCGAGUCCUUCCGUGUCAGUGGUAGGUGGAGCUGAUCAUCAGUGAUCACUAAGUCGAGGUGGACACUACUCCGACGGAAGACGAUGACGGGCUCACUUUGAUCUCACCCCACGAGGAGCCUACGCGAAUCCAGCCGGGACCCGAAGUGGAUCGAGGCGGCCGGAGUCGGGUAAGCAGGCCUCCCCGAGGCUCUUCUCUGGCUCGGGCGAGGUUUCAGAAGGAGGAGGGGUGGAGCUGACGUGGUUGAGGUGCUCGGGAGCAAGGGGGCUCCCUAUUUAUAGGCGACCGAGAGGGAUGCUGCAGGAGCUUAACUCCGGCGAUAAAUUCCGGUGGCCAGAGAGGUUUAGCAGGCGAUUUUAGGCGGGGCAACACUAACACUCCAAGGGGAACUCAUUUUGGCCUAAGCUUGUGCGAUCAUCGAUGGGAGACCCGUCUCGACGGUGCGGCACUCACUGUGCGCGACGGCAGCAUGAAUCACACUCUGUGCCGUUCGGGACAUGGCGAUGGGCAUCACGGCGUGCACUGGAGGGGACAUGACACGCAAAGCUCGUAGGAUGCUUGGGCGGUGUCGGGCGGCGCGAUUUUGCAGCAGGGGCUGUUGGUGGCCGUGGCAACCUUCGUUGGUGCUGCUGCCGGAGCUCGCUGGCUUAGGCCAGCUCACCACCGACGCGUGCAACUGUCCAAGGGACCGUGCGGCAGGGUGGAUAGGCUCGGAGUAGAAUGGUGAGCUGCCACCACCGUUACUGCUGAGAUUGAUGCUGCAACUCUAAUAUUUUGACGAGACCCCGCGAGCCGAUGGGCCCUACGUGCGACAAGACCGUACCAGUGGUGGGACCCUCCAUGUGACCAGAGAGGCCACUAGUCGGGCCCACCCCAUGCAAGGGCGUUAGGUUCCACUCUCACUGUCCCACACGCACACUCACGCGGGGAGGUGAUACGUCUCCAUCGUGUCUACUUUUCCAAACUCUUUUGCCCUUGUUUUGGACAAUAAUUUGCAUGAUUUGAAUGGAACUAACCUGGAAUGACGCUGUUUUCAGCAGAAUUGCCUUGGUGUUGUUUUUGUGCAGAAAUGAAAGUUCUCGGAACGUCCUGAAAAUUUACGGAGAAUAUUUCUAGAAAAUAUGAAAAAUACAUGCGCAAAGAUCCACCGGAGGGGAUGGGCCAGUGGGCCACAAGCCCUGUAGCCGCCACCCCCUGGUGGCGUCUAGCAAGCUUGUGGGGCCCACGUGGCUCUGCCGCCCCCAAACUCAGCUCUAUUUAUUCCCUUUCGUCCCAGAAAAAAUCAAGAGAGAAGAUUUCGUCGCGUUUGCGAUAUGGAGGCGCCGCCACAUCCUGUUCUUCAUCUGGAAGGCAGAUCUGGAGUCCGUUUUGGGCUCCGGAGAGGGGAAAUCGUCGCCAUCGUCAUCAUCAACCUUCUUCCCUCUCCAAUUCCAUGAAGCUCUUCAUCGUUCAUGAGUAAUCUAUUCGUAGGCUCGCUGGGCGGUGAUGAGUAGGAUGAGAUCUAUCAUGUAAUCGAGUUAGUUUUGACGGGGAUUGAUCCCUAGUAUCCACUAUGUUCUGAGAUUGAUGUUGCUACUACUUUGCCAUGCUUAAUGCUUGUCACUAGGGCCCGAGUGCCAUGAUUUCAGAUCUGAAAUUACUAUGUUGUCACCAUUAUAUGUGUGUUUUAGAUCCGAUCUUGCAAGUUGUAGUUACCUACUAUGUGUUAUGAUUCGGCAACCCCGGAGUGACAAUAACCGGAAGCACUCCCGGUGAUGACCAUAGUUUGAGGAGUUCAUGUGUUCACCAAGUGCUAAUGCGUUGGUCUUGUUCUUUAUUAAAAGGAGAACCUUAAUAUCCCGUAGUUUCCUUUUGGACCCACUGCCACGGGAGGGAUGGACAAUAGAUGUCAUGCAAGUUUUUUUCCCUAAGCACGUAUGACGACACACGUAAUGCAUGCCUACAUCACAUUGACGAACGGGAGCUAGCCACUUAUCUCUCCGUGUUAUAGCUGUUGCAUGAUGAAUAUCAUCCAAACAAAUCACCGACUCAUUGCCUACGAGUUUGUCCUAUUGCUGCUGCUACUACUAUUGCUAUUACUAUUGUUACUUGUCUUGCUCUGUUGUUGCUGCUACUACUGUUGCUAUUGCUGUUACUUGUCUUGCUAUGAUGCUGCUACUACUGUUGCUACUGUUGUUACUUGUCUUGCUCUGCUGCUACUGUUGCUACUACUGUCGUUUGCUACUGUUGCUACUUGCUACUGGUGUCACUACUGCUGUUCCUUGCUGCUGUAUUGCUCGUUACACUGCCGUUACUCGCUACUUUGAUGUUACUACUGUGCUUGCAGAUACUAAUCUUUCAGGUGUGGUUGAAUCUGACAAAUUCAGUUGCUAAUGCUUGAGAGUAUACUCUCACCUCCCGUCGUGCAAACCAACAAAUUGGGUCGAAUACUCUACCCUCGAAAACUGUUGCGAACCCACGCGCUGGUGGGCCAUCAACAACAUUCUUCCAGUCUCAUUACUGGGGAGUGCUUUCAGCAUUCUUCUGGUGCCGUUGCAGGAGAAGGUUUGUUGUCAUAAGCAUUCGUCUAGCUAACGCCGGAGAUUGCGCGAUCAGCAGCCAGGGAGGCGAUUGCCAUAUUCGGGACACCCUCCCAGUGAUAAAGACUCAUCCUUAUCACUACCUGCCAUGCCAUGUUCCGUACACGAGUCACUAUGUGUUUGCUUUCCCAGAGGAGAGGAAGAUGAGGCUAUUGGGAUGCUUGUGCAGUACCUCAUGGCCUUGGAGUCAGCCUUCGACGACUUAGUGGAUGACUUGGUGGCUUCUCAUAUGGAGGCCCUUACUCGUCCCCACAGCAGGACUGAGCUUCUCCGUCCCGCACCACCCCGGUCAUGCCCCUCUUCCUCGGCUUCGUGCACUCCGCCAGCCCGGCCAGUUCGUCGCCAGCUGCCUACACUCGAGGAGUUCAAUCAUGUCAUUGCUCCUGCCCCCAUCAGAGUUGCCCUGCCUACAAGUCUAGUUCAUGCUUCGUCGUCUCGUGCAGUUCGCUUAGAGCCCGUGCAGGAGGAAGUGGAGUCCCCAGCUCCUCAUUCGAGACUUUCCAUGGGCCAGCCGACCCAGGUCCCUUCCGACUCCACCUUGAGAUGGUGCAACAGAACGUUCAUGCGCGUGUAUGAUAUGUAUUAUAUGUAUGAUCGUGUGAUCUUAGACUGAAGGGAAGUAGUCGUGUUGCAUCAUGUAGGAUCAGGAGAAAGUGUACUAGCUUAAAUAACAUGUCAGGCAUACGAGAGUACGACCUGAGUGACAUAUAUAUAAUUAUGCGUGAUGUAAGAUAUGUACUGCAAUCCUUCUCCAAACACGACGUUUUUUAUGGAAACUAUUUGAUGUUUUCCUUGGUUGAGAAUUUUUUUUACUUUUCCUCUUAAACUCGGAUUUCUCAUUUGGUUUUUGCAACAUUAACCCAGCCCUGAAAAAUGGGUCGUCCCUGGACACGCUCCAUGCCAAGACUGCACGGAGAGAACCAUUAUGCUGAGACAGGAAAUGAUUUCACUCAAGGACAGUCAAGCCAACACGAGAGUGAUACAACGUUUUCAGAAGUUUGUCGUCUUUAUGAGCAAAGCCAACAACAACAUCAAGAAAUGAUGAGCCAACUAAUGAAUAUGGGAAAUCAACGCGGACCACAACCGCACCAAUCCAGAUUGGCUGAGUUACACAAGACUUGUCCAUCCACUUUCUCGCACAUUAAUAAACCAAUGGAAGUCGGUGAUUGGCUACANNNNNNNNNNNNNNNNNNNNNNNNNNNNNNNNNNNNNNNNNNNNNNNNNNNNNNNNNNNNNNNNNNNNNNNNNNNNNNNNNNNNNNNNNNNNNNNNNNNNACAAAUAGAAUUAGUUUCCUAUGUAUGUGUUGUCAUUAACACCAAAAGUCGAUUAGGGGCAUAGCAUGCACUUUCAGGAGGGGCGAGAGCCCCUCCUAGAUUGGAUCUCUCUCUCUAUGUGUCCUUCUGUUUCUGCGCUCCCAGAUUCUGUGUUUCACCGUUUCUUAAAUUCUCGGAGACCCGUUACUCCGAUUGGGCUGAAAUUUUAACAAGAUUUUCUUUCGGAUAUUAUCUUUCUUGCGACGAAAGAAGGGCUCCAACCGCCUUAAGGAGUGGCCACAAGCCCCCCUGCCGUGGGCCCACCCCCUGGUCGCGGCGACAGGACUUGUGGGCACUCCGUGCAUCGCCUCGCGUUGAUUUUUCUUCCCGAACAUCAUAAAUAUUCCAAAACAAAUCCCCGUAAGUUUUUAUUACGUUUGGACUUCGUUUGGUAUGGAUAUUCUGCGAAACAAAAAACAUGCAACAAACAGGAACUGGCACUAGGCACUGGAUCAAUAUAUUAGUCCCAAAAAUAGUAUAAAAAGUUGCCAAAAGUAUAUGAAAGUUGUAGAAUAUUGGCAUGAAACAACCAAAAAUUAUAGAUACGACGGAGACGUAUCAGUAUCUCCGAAGGUGUCCGUUGAGUUAGUAUGGAUCAAGACUCGGAUUUGUCACUCCAUGUGACGGAGAGGUAUCUCGGGGCCCACUCGGUAAUACAACAUCAUACACAAGCCUUGCAAGCAAUGUGACUUAGUGUAAGUCACGGGAUCUUGUAUUACGGAACGAGUAAAAGAGACUUGCCAGUAAACGAGAUUGAAAUAGGUAUGCGGAUACUGACGAUCGAAUCUCGGGCAAGUAACAUACCGAAGGACAAAGCGAAUGACAUACGGGAUUAUAUGAAUCCUUGGCACUGAGGUUCAAACAAUAAGAUCUUUGGAGAAUAUGUAGGAUCCAAUAUUGGCAUCCAGGUCCCGCUAUUGGAUAUUGACUGAGGAGUCCCUCGGGUCAUGUCUACAUAGUUCUCGAACCCGCAGGGUCUGCACACUUAAGGUUAGGCGAUGUUUUAUGCGUAUUUGAGUUAUAUGGUUGGUUACCGAAUGUUGUUCGGAGUCUCGGAUGAGAUCACAGACGUCACGAGGGUUUUGGGAAUGGUCCGGAGACGAAGAUUCAUAUAUAGGAUGACCUCAUUUGAUUACCGGAAAGUUUUCGGACAUUACCAGGAAUGUACCGGGAGUGACGAAUGGAUUCCGGAUGUUCACCGGGGGGGGCAGCCCACCCGGGGGAAGCUCAUAGGACUUAGGGGUGCAGCACCAGCCCUUAGUGGGCUGGUGGGACAGCCCAAGAGGCCCUAUGCGCAGGAAUCAAAGGAAAAAAGGGGAAGUGGGAAAGUGGAGAAGGACUCCACCUUCCAAUCCUAGUUGGACUAGGAUUGGAAGGGGAUGACUUCCCCUUGCUUAGGCCGACCCCUUGGGGCUCUCUUGAGCCUCAAGGCAGGUCCCUCCCCCUCCCUCCUAUAUAUACUGAGGUAUUAGGGCUGAUUUGAGACAACUUUGCCACGGCAGCCCGACCACAUACCUCCAUGGUUUUUCCUCUAGAUCGUAUUUCUGCGGAGCUCGGGUGGAGCCCUGCUGAGAUAGAUCACCACCAACCUCCGGAGCGCCGUCUCGCUGCCGAAGAACUCAUCUACCUCUCUGUCUCUCUUGCUGGAUCAAGAAGGCCAAGAUAAUCGUCGAGCUGUAUGUGUGCUGAACGCAGAGGUGCCGUUCGUUCGGCACUAGAUCGGAGCGAAUCGUGGGAUGGAUUGCGGGACUGUUCGUGGGACGGUUCGCGGGGCGGAUCGAGGGACGUGAGGACGUUCCACUACAUCAACCGCAUUUCUUAAUGCUUCCUGUUGUGCGAUCUACAAGGGUACAUAGAUCGGAAAUCCCCUCUCGUAGAUGGACAUCACCAUGAUAGGUCUUCGUGCGCGUAGGAUUUCUUUUGUUUCCCAUGCGACGUUCCCCAUCAGUGGUAUCAGAGCUAGGUUCAUGCAUAGAUGUUAUCUCGAUUAGAACACAAAAGUUUUUCUGGGCGGUGAUGUGCGAUUUGCUGCCCCUCCUUAGUCUUUUCUUGAUUCCACGGUAUUGUUGGAUCGAAGUGGCUCGGACCGACAUUACUCGUACGCUUACGAGAGACUGGUUUCAUCGCUAUGAGCAACCCCAUUUCUUAAAGAUGACUGGCGAGUGCCGGUUUCUCCAACUUUAGUUGAAUCGGAUUUGACCGAGGAGGUCCUUGGAGAGAGGUUAAAUAGCAAUUCAUACACCUCUGUUGUGGUGUUUGCGUAAGUAAGAUGCGAUCCUACUAGAUACCCAUGGCAACCACGUAAAACAUGCAACAACAAUUAGAGGACGUAUAACUUGUUUUUGCAGGGUAUGCUUGUGAUGUGAUAUGGCCAACGACGUGAUGUGAUAUAUUGGAUGUAUGAGAUGAUCAUGUUGUAAUAGUUAAUAUCGACUUGCACGUCGAUGCUACGGCAACUGGCACGAGCCAUAGGGUUGUCUUUAAAUUAACGUUUGUGUUUGCACAUGCGUUUACUAUAUUACUAGGACGUAGCUUUAGUAGUAAUAGCAUAGCAUACACGACAACCUCGAUGGUGGCACGAUGAUGGAGAUCAAGAUGAUGGGGAUCAUGGUGUGGCGCCGGUGGCAAGAAGAUCAUAUCGGUGCUUUGGUGAUGGAGAUCAAGGAGCACUUGAUGAUGGCCAUAUCAUGUCACUUAUGAAUUGCAUGUAAUGUUAAUCCUUUAUGCACCUUAUCUUGCUUAGAACGGAGGUAGCAUUAUUAGGUGAUCUCUCACUAAAAUUUCAAGCUCAAAUUGUGUUCUCACCGACUGUGCACCAUUGCGACAGUUCGUCGUUUCGAGACACCAUGUGAUGAUCGGGCGUGAUAGACUCAACGUUCACAUACAACGGGUGCAAAACAGUUGCACGUGCGGAACACUCGGGUUAACCUUGAUGAGCCUAGCAUGUGCAGACAUGGCCUCGGAACACAUGAGACCGAAAGGUCGAGCAUGAAUCAUAUAGUUGAUAUGAUUAGCAUAGAGAUGCUUACCACUGAAACUAUUCUCGACUCACGUGAUGAUCGGACUUGAGAUAGUGGAUUUGGAUCAUGUACCACUCAAAUGACUAGACAGAUGUACUUUUUGAGUGGGAGUUCUUAAGUAAAAUGAUUAAUUGAACUCAUUAUCAUGAACAUAGUUUAAUGGUCUUUGCAAAUUACGAUGUAGCUUGCGCUAUGGCUCUACUGUUUUUAUAUGUUCCUAGAGAAAAUUUAGUUGAAAGUUGAUAGUAGCAAACUUUGCGGAAUGAGUCUGUAAAACUAAGGAUUGUCCUCGUUGCUGCGCAGAAGGCUUAUGUCCUUAAUGCACCCUUCGGUGUGCUGCACCUCGAGCAUCGUCUGUGGAUGCUGUGAACAUCCGACAUACACGUUUCUGAUGACUACGCGAUAGUUCAUUGCAAUAUACUUAAUGGCUAAGAAGCAAGGCGCUGAAGAUGUUUUGGAAACGUCACGGAACAUAAGAGAUGUUCUAAAGAGAUGAAAUUGUGAUUUCAUUCUCGUGCCCUUGUUAAGAGGUAUGAGACCUCCGACAAGAUUCUUUGUCCACAAAGUAAAGGAGAAUAGCUCAAUCGUUGAGCGUGUGCUCAGAUUGUCUGAGUACGACAAUCGCUUGAAUCAAGUGGGAGUUAAUCUUCCAGAUGAGAUAGUGAUGGUUCUCCAAAUUCACUUCCACCAAGCUAUGAGAGCUUCAUGAUGAACUAUAACAUAUCAAGGAUAGAUACAAUGAUCCUUGAGCGAUUCGCUAUGUUUGACAUUGUGAAAGUAGAAAUCAAGAAGGAGCAUCAAUAGUUGAUGGUUAGUAAAACCACUAAGUUUCAAGAAAGGCAAGGGCUAGAAGGGAUACUUCGUGAAAUGGCAAAACAGUUCCUGCCCUAAUGAAGAGACCAAAGAUUAAACCCAAACCCGAGACUAAGUGCUUCUGUUACGAGGGGAACGGUCACUGAGGCGGAGCUACCCUAGAUGCUUGGUAGAUAAGAAGGUUGGCUAAGUCAACAGAAGGAUAUUUGAUAUACAUGAUAUUGGUGUGUACUUUACUAUCACUCUUAGUAGCACGAGGGCAUUGGAUACCGGUUCGGUUGCUAAGUGAUUAGUAACCCGAAAUGAAAGCUACGGAAUAAACGGAGACUAGCUAAAGGCGAGGUGACGAUACGUGUUGGAAGUGUUUCCAAGGUUGAUGUGAUCAAACGUCGCACACUCCCUCUACCAUCGGGUUUGGUGUUAAACCUAAAUAAUUGUUAUUUGGUGCUUGCGUUGAGCAUGAACAUGAUUGGAUCGUGUUUAUGCAAUACGAUUAUUAAUUUAAAGAGAAUAAUGGUUACUCUGUUUGCUUGAAUAAUAACCUUCAAUGGUUUACUGAAUCUUGAUCAUAGUGUUACACAUGUUCAUGAUAUUGGUGCCAAAAGAUACAAGGUAAUGAUGAUAGUACCACCUACUUGUGGCACUGCCGCUUGAGUCAUGUUGGUGUAAAUUGCAUGAAAGGCUCCAUGCUGAUGGAUCUUUAAAUCUCACUUGAUUUUGAAUCACUUGAGACAUGCAAAUCAUACCACAUGAGCAAGGCCUUGUUUUCAUUAAGAUGAAACAAGAAAGUAACUUGUUGGAAGUAAUACAUUUUGAUGUAUGCCGUCCAAUGAGUGUUGAGGCACGCAGUGGAUGUCAUUAUGUUCUUACUUCAAUGACGAUUUGAGUAGAUACAGGAGUGUUUACUUAAUGAAUUAGAAGUCUGAAAUAUUGAAAAGUUCAAUUCUGUUUUAGAGUGAAGUUCGUCGUAACAAGAGGAUAAACUGUUUACGAUAUGAUCGUAGAGAUCUGAGUUGCGAGUUUUGGUACACAGUUAAGACAAUGUGGAAGUAGUUUCGCAAUUCAUGCCACCAGGAACACCAUAGUGUGAUGGUGUGUCUGAACGUCAUAGCCGCGACCUAUUUGAUGUGGUGCAUACUAUGAUGUCUCUUAUGGAGUUACCACUAUCAUUUAUGGGUUAUGUAUUAGAGACAACCGCAUUCACUUUAAAUAGGGCACCACGUAAUUCCAUUGAGAUGACACGGUAUAGACUGAGGUUUAGAGAAAUCUGAGCCGUCAUUUCUUGAAAGUUUGGGGCUGCGACACUUAUGUGAAAAAGUUUCCGUCUGAUAAGCUCAAACCCAAAGCGGAUAAAUGCAUCUUCAUAGGAUAUCCAAAAACAGUUGGGUGCAUCUCCUAUCUCAGAUCCGAAAGCAAAGUGUUUGUUUUUACAAAMGGRUCCUUUCUUGAGGAAAGGUUUCUCUCGAUAGAAUUGAGUGGGAGGGUGGUAGAACUUGAUGAGGUUAUUGAACCAUCACUUCAAACAGUGUGUAGCAGGGCGCAGGAAGUUGUUCCUGUGGCGCCUACACCAAUUGAAGUGAAAGCUGAUGAUGGUGAUCAUCGAGCAUCGGAUCAAGUUACUACAAGCCUCGUAGGUUGACAAGAUCGCGUACUAUUGCAGAGUGGUACGGUAACCCUGUCUUGGAGGUCAUGUUGUUGAGCAACAGUGAACCUACGAGUUAUGGAGAAAGCAAUGAUGGGCCCGGAUUCCGACAAAUGGCUGGAAGCCAUGAAAUCCGAGAGAGGAUCCAUGUAUGAAAACAAAGUGUAGACUUUGGAAGAACUACUUGAUGAUCAUAGGACUAUUGAGUAAAGAUGGAUCUUUAAAAGGAAGACAGACAAUGAUGGUGAUAAGUCACUAUUAAGAAAAGCUCGACUUGUCGCAAAGAUGUUUCCGACAAGAUCAAAUAGUUGACUAUGAUGAGACUUUCUCACUCGUAGCGAUGCUAAAAGUCUAUUAGAAUUAUGUUAGUAGUUGAUGCAUUAUUUAUGAAAUAUUGCACAUAGGAUGUCAAAACAUUGUUUUCUCGACGGUUUCCUUGAGCAAACAUUGUAUGUGAUACAACUAGGAGGUUUUGUCGAUCCUAAAGAUACUAGCAAGUAUGCAAGCUCCAGCAAUCCUUCGAUGGACUGGUGCAAGCAUCUCGGAGUUGGAAUAUACACUUUGAUAAGAUGAUCAAAGAUUUUGGGUUUGUACAAGGUUUAUGAGAAACUUGUAUUUCCAAAGAAGUGAGUGGGAGCACUAUAGAAUUUCUGAUAAGUAUAUGUGGUUGACAUAUUGUGGAUCAGAAGUAAUGUAGAAUUUCUGUAAAGCAUACAAGGUUGUUUGAAAGGAGUUUUCAAAGGAAUACCUGGAUUGCGCUACUUGAACGUUGAGCAUCAAAGAUCUAUGGAGAUAGAUCGAAAGCGCUUAAUAGAAGUUUCAACAAGAUGCAUGCCUUGACAAGUUUUGAAGGAGUUCAAAAUAGAUCAGCAAAGAAGGAGUUCUUAGUUGCGUUGUGAGGUGUGAAUUUGAGUAAGACUCAAAACCCGACCCCGGCAAAAUAAAGAUAAUAGACAAAGGUCGUCUUCUAUGCCUUGGCCGUAGAAUCUGAAGUAUGCCAUGCUGGGUACCGCACCUGAUGUGUGCCUUAACUCAAAGUCUAUUGAUAGGUAAAGAGAGUGAUCCAUGAUUGAAUCACUAGCAGCGGUCAAAAUUUAUCCUUAGUAACUGAUGGACUAAGGAAUUUUUCUCGAUUAUGGAGGUGGUUAAAAAGUUCGUCGUAAAGAGUUACGUCGAUGCAAGCUUUGACACUAAUCCGAAUAACUAUGAGUAGUGAAACGGAUUCGUAUAGUAGAGUAGAUAUUUGGAGUAUUUCCGAAUAGCACAUAGUAGCAGCAUCUAUAAGAUGACAUAAAGAUUUGUAAAGAACACACGGAUAUGAAAGUUUCAGAACCGUUGACUAAAACCUCUCUCAUGAGCAAAACGUGAUCAGACCCCAUAACUAUAUGGGUGUUGGAUUCGUUGGAAUCACAUGGUGAUGUGAACUAGAUUAUUGACUCUAGUGCAAGUGGGAGACUGUUGGAAAUAUGCCCUAGAGGCAAUAAUAAAUUAGUUAUUAUUAUAUUUCUUUGUGCAUGAUAAUCGUUUAUUAUCCAUGCUAUAAUUGUAUUGAUUGGAAACACAGUGCAUGUGUGGAUACAUAGACAAAACACUGUCUCUAGUAAGCCUCUAGUUGACUAGCUCGUUGAUCAAAGAUGGUCAAGGUUUCCUGACCAUAGGCAAGUGUUGUCACUUGAUAACGGGAUCACAUCAUUAGGAGAAUCAUGUGGUGGACUAGACCCAAACUAAUAGACGUAGCAUGUUGAUCGUGUCAUUUUGUUGCUACUGUUUUCUGCGUGUCAAGUAUUUGUCCCUAUGACCAUGAGAUCAUAUAACUCACUAACACCGGAGGAAUGCUUUGUGUGUAUCAAACGUCGCAACGUAACUGUGUGACUGUAAAGAUGCUCUACAGGUAUCUCCGAAGGUGUUCGUUGAGUUAGUAUGGAUCGAGACUGGGAUUUGUCACUCCGUGUGACGGAGAGGUAUCUCGGGGCCCACUCGGUAAUACAACAUCACACACAAGCCUUGCAAGCAAUGUGAUAGGUCUUCGUGCGCGUAGGAAAAUUUUUGUUUCCCAUGUGACGUUCCCCAACAGUUUCAUCAGUUGGUUCUUCAAUCAGAGGCUGAGGAGUUGGUACUUGAGGGGCAUCUUUCUUGUUGUAGUCGUUAACAGCUUCAGUAGCAAGUUUGAUGAAAUUGCUUUUGAGACUUUGACGAUCAGAAAGCUUGGAGUACUUAUCUGUGAAAGUCUUCAACUCCGCAUGUGUUGACACAAGGUCAUCAGGAGUUAGGUUGAGGAGAUUCUUCUUGAGAAAUUUCUCCUUCUUGAGCUUGGCCACCUUGGCCUAUUUAGCUUGUUGCUCCUUCCACUUGGCCUCGUUGAUGAAUGUAGCCACCAUAUGGCUGAUGCCAGGAGGAAGUUUCAAAUCAUCAAGUGGAGUAUUGGGGUCCUCAUACCAGAUAUUGACGUAGUCUAGGAGGACUUUUGGGUCCAUGGCCAGAGGAAUGGAGCUGCCAGAAGCUUGAGCUACCCUCUCUUGCUUGUUUCUCAUCAUUGCUUGCAGAGUUUCAUCAUCAAAUUCAUCACUACCCUCUGAUGCAGAAGGGACAGUGAUGGUUUUGCUUGGGCUGGGUCUUGUUCCUCUCCCAGCAGUCGCCUUAGUCUUUAGAGGAGUUGGUGAAGACUUUGUCUCCGAGCUGAUUGCAGCUGGGAGUGAGGAGCUGGAGGUAGCUGGCAGUGGCUUCACUAUCGGCUUCUGUUCAGGUUUUGAAGCCUGUGGUGGUGCUGAGGAUUUUGGAGCUGAGAGUUUUGGCGCUGAUGGUUUUGGAGCUGAUGUUGGAGCUGGUUUCUCUUGAGGCUUUGAAGCCUUUGGUUUUGAUGGCACAGACUUUUGUUGAGGAAUUGCCGAACCAGAGGUCUCAGCAGCAGAGGAAGUAGCUGCAGAUGAUUCGUUGAAUUUCCUCACAGCACCCUCUGCCUGCUUCUUGAGCUUUGCCAAGUGCUUUUCCUUUUCAUGAGGAUAGUCAUCAAGGGUCUUGAGGCUUGAGGGAUGUGCUUCUUGAUAAUCCUCAAAUGGAGCCCGUUUGCCAGGAGGCUUCAGAGCGAAUUUCUUCGCAUAUUUGGGAGUGACGAAUAUGUACUCCUUCCACUCCUUAGCCCAUCGGCGUUCUAUCUUCUGAAGCCGAAUCUUUCUCUUGGCCAUAGUUUCAUUUUCAUCAGGAGUGCAGUAGUCCAAGUAUAUAUCCUCAGGGAUAUCUGCGGCUGUAUUCUGCUCAAGUUUCUUGCCUCCCUUUUGCUUCCUGUCAUCCUCCAUUUUCUUCAGCUGAGGAUUUUGCUGAUGAGAUUGAACUCUUGAGGAUUCUCAUGAGACUUGAAGAUUUUCUUCAAGAAACGCUGCAAAUGAGUUAAUUUGAUGAGAACCGAGAGAUUCAUCAGCUGACAUGUGUGUACCUGUGAAUAGAGUAUAGUUGCGAGGAAUGUGGAGAGGUCAUAUGCGUUCUCAGAUUUGAAGAAAUUAAAAAAAUUGACAGUUGAGGAAUUUGACCAGUGGUUGAGGAAUUUGCCUAAGCAUACUGUUCUUGGGUUUCAGAGUUGUACAUAUCCGAAAAUUCGCACAACUGAGGAAUCUCGUGAAAAUCUUAGAUGCUUAGUGAAGUUCAUCAAUAGUGUGGUGACAGGCAGUGUUUGAGGAAAAGAAACAUAUGGAUUCUUGAGGAAAAACAGAUUUCACAUCUCAGUGAUAAAAUAGUAGAUCAAACUUGCUGUAAAAAUAGGGUUUUUAUUUACCCUAGAUGGCGCGCACGAAGAACAGAGAAGAGUAGCAGGGAGAAGCUCUUUCGGUGCGUGUCCAAUGCGCCCUAAUCCGGCAGCAGAGGACGUCUACGGCGGCGGCGGACGAGGAUGGUCCUACUCCGGCGUGGUUUCGACGAUGGAAAAGUCGAGGCAGUGAAGCUCUUCUUCGCCGGCGUCGAGACUUCCAGCGGUGGCGCUAGGGUUCGGGGCUUUGCUGUAGCAGGAGAGCGAUGGAGCGAAGAAGUGUUUACCAAGGGGGUUGGGGACAUAUUUAUAGCCAGGCAGUUAUUGUUGGCGUGAAGAAAUCGGACCAAAUAGCCCCUGCCUCUACGUCUCCGCAGGACACGUGUAGCUUACGAGUAAAGCGGUGGAGAUCGUGGAGAUCGUGGUUGUUGGGGCAUAGAUCGUGGUUGUUGGGGCAUAGUUUAUGCCUAAGUAAUUUUGGUGAUUGAUGACAGUACCGUAAAGGACUAACCGUCUGUGUUAAGGUUUCAGAUAACACACGUCAACGGCACAAGACGACUCGUCUCCUCAUUCAUGGAACGGAAGCACGGCGCUCUCUACGAUUCUCUUUAUUUGAGUCAUAGGAAAGCCGGACUAUUAAGAGGGGAUCCAUAGUGGAAAGGUUUGGGUGGAAUCUAUCUUUGCACGCGCACACUUCACAUAUUCUCCCUUACCUUCAUUUUUUGGAGCGGCCCCCGCCACUGUGUUUCUUUCCUCCUUGCAAAUUGGUCCCUAGCGGUAGUACCGCUGGCUGGCGCUAGUACCGCCCCUGGUCAGCGGUAGUACCGCUCCAGGAGCUCAGUACCGCCUGCCUAGCGGUAGUUCGUGAACGGACCUUUUUGCGAAGACUUUCUUGGCGGUGGUAGUGCUUUUGCACUACCACGGGCCCAGCGGUAGUACCGCUAGGCGGCGGUAGUACCGCCCCUGGUCAGCGGUAGUACCGCUGGAGUGCCAGCGGUAGUACCGCUGCAGACAACGGUAGUACCGCUGGAGCUCGGGCAGAGAGUGGGAAAACGGUCUGAUUCCCCCCCCCCCCACUAUAUAAAGGGUUCUUCUAGCUGUGGAACCUUAUCUCUUACCCUCUCAAGCUCCAUUGUUGCUCCCUAAGCUCAAAAGUGCCCGAUCUCUCUCCCUAGCCAAUCAAACUUGUUGAUUCUUUAGGGAUUGGUUGAGAAGGCCUAGUUCCACACUUCCACCAAGAGAAAAGUUGAUUCCCCCACCAAUCCCUUGCGGAUCUUGUUACUCUUGGGUGUUUGAGCAUCCUAGACGGUUGAGGUCACCUCGAAGCCAUAUUCCAUUGUGGUGAAGCUUCGUGGUCUAGUUGGGAGCCUCCAAGCUUUGUGUGGAGUUGCCCCAACCUUGUUUGUAAAGGUUCGGUCGCCGCCUUCAAGGGCACCUAUAGUGGAAUCACGGUACCUUGCAUCGUGCGAGGGCGUGAGGAGAAUACGGUGGUGUUAGUGGCUUUUUGGGGAGCAUUGUGCCUCCACACCGCUCCAACGGAGGCGUACUUCCUGUCAAAGGGAAGGAACUUCGGUAACACAUCCUCGUCUCCAUCGGUUCCACUUGUGGUUAUCUCUAUCCUUUACUUUCUUUUUCCUUAUGCUUGUGACUAUAUCUUACUUGUCUUAAUAGCUCUCGUUGUUAGCUUCUUUAGGGUUCACCUCAUUGUCGUAUUAUUUGUGAACCCGUAAGUUGUUUACCUUAACUUGCUAAGAUUAAUUAAAAAGUGGUUGUUGUCUAUUCACCCCCCCCCUCUAGCCAACCAUAUCGAUCCUUUCAGUGGUUAUCCGAACGAGGAAAGUGGGGUCCAGUUACUGUUCAUUAAUUUUUUUUUUUUGAAGAUUUGAGGAUUUUGUUACAAAAUCAUCAGCUGACAAGGACGCAGUGAAGAUUUUGAACAAAGUUUCAAGUAGAACGCAUAUGAAGAAUUGAAUAGACUGGAUGAGAAUAGCAUAGAGGGAAAGUAGGGUCCGAUCACAUUCACUUAGAUGAAAUAUCAACUUGAAGAAAUAGCUAUAAGUGAAUGUUGUUGAGGACUUGAAAUUACAGUCUAUCUAGGUAAACGAAAGUCAUCAAGUGUUUUUGAAGAUUUGACUAACUUGAGGAUUUUGUGAUAAAUCGUCACAAUGAUGAAAUUCAGUUUUUUGAAGAAAAAUGAUUUUGAAGAACAACUGUUUUGAAGAAAAUCAAAUUUUGAGGAAAUGGAACUUUGAAGAAAAUCAACUUGAGGAAUUUCACGUUGGACGGUAGCGUGACCCACCAUAUAAGAAUGUUGAUUACAGACGCCGCGUACAAUUGUCGUAGGGCCCUGAGAAUCAAUUUCUUCGUUGAUUUCUUCACAUUCAGAGUGAUAUUCUUCAUCAGUUGAAGAAAAUCGAUUCAUCAUGUGUUGCACAUCUAAGUCAUCAAUUUUGCAUAAGUGUUAGGAUGUGUGUAUGUUUUUACAAAACAUUUGAAGAUUCUAAGAUAUUUAGCUCACACAGCAACUUGCAAAACCUUUCCCAUCCAAGGGCUUAGUGAAGAUAUUUGCCAGUUGAUCAUCAGUCUUCACAUGGUCGAUGAGGAUAUUGCCCUUGAGGACAUGGUCCCGAAGAAAAUGAUGACGAAUCUGGAUGUGCUUGGUCUUCGAGUGCUGUACUGGGUUGUAUGCAAUCUUGAUUGCACUCUCAUUGUCGCAGUAGAGAGGCACAUUCUUCAUGUUGAUGCCGUAGUCCUUGAGGGUUUGCUUCAUCCAUAGCAAUUGAGCACAGCAUGAGCCAGCAGCAAUGUACUCAGCUUCGGCAGUGGAGAGUGAUACGCAGUUCUGCUUCUUUGAGGACCAGCAGUCUAGUGAUCUUCCGAGGAAAUGGCAUGUGCCAUAGUCAGAAUCAGAAUACCCUAUCAGAUGAAGAUUUGAGCCCUUGGGGUACCAUAAUCCUAGUGUUGGUGUGUGAGCUAAGUAUCGAAGAAUAUGCUUCACAGCCUUAUGGUGUGAUUCCUUCGGUUUUGCUUGAAAACGUGCACACAUGCAAACACUAAGCAUUAUAUCUGGCCUAGAUGCACAUAAAUACAAUAAAGAGCCAAUCAUAGAGCGAUAUAUUUGCUGAUCGAAUUCUUUACAAUUUUCGUCAGUGCAGAGGUGGCCGUUGGUAGGCAUUGGAGCCUUGGCACCUUUGCAUUCAUGCAUGUCGAAUUUCCUCAGAACAUCCUUGAGGUAUUUCUCGUGUGAUAUGAAGAUUCCAUUGCGUUGUUGACGAAUUUGAAGACCUAAGAAGAAUUUCAGCUCCCCCAUCAUAGACAUCUGAUAUUCUUCACUCAUCAUGUAAGCAAAUUCAUCACUGUAUCAUUUGUCAGUACAGCCAAAUAUAAUGUCAUCGACAUAUAUCUCGCACACAAAUAGCUCAUUAUCAUAGGAUUUAGUGAAAAGAGUUGGAUCGAGUGAACCCGGUUUGAAGCCUUUCUUCAUGAGGAAUUCCUUCAAUGUAUCAUACCAUGCCCGAGGGGCUUGCUUGAGACCAUAGAGCGCCUUUUUGAGUCUGAAGACUUUGUCUGGAUUUUUUGGAUCCUCAAAACCUGGGGGUUGAGCAACAUAUACUUCUUCCUCAAGCUUACAUUGAGGAAUGCACUUUUCACAUCCAUUUGAUAUAAUAUGAUGUUAUUAUAAUUAGCAUAAGCAAGUAGUAUUCGAAUAGCUUCAAGUCUAGCAACAGGUGCAAAAGUUUCAUCAAAAUCUAUUCCUUCAACCUGGGUGUAGCCUYGGGCUACCAAGUCGUGCCUUGUUCCUCACCACUUGACCAUCCUCAUCUUGCUUAUUUUGGAAAAUCCACUUGGUUCCGAUGAUAUUGUGCUUGCGAGGAUCUGGUCGUUUGACGAGCUCCCAUACGUCAUUCAUCUUGAAUUGAAGAAGUUAAUCUUGCAUAGCUUGGAUCCACUACGGUUCCAGGAAAGCCUCAGCAACUUUUGAGGGUUCUGUGAUAGAUACAAAGGAGAAAUGCCCACAAAAGUUAACUAAGUGUGAAGCUUUUGAGCGAGUGAGGGGACCUGGCGCGUUUAUGUCAUUGAGGAUUUUGUCAAGUUCUACUUCAUUUGCAAUCCUCGGAUGAGCUGGUUGAGGAUUUCGUCUGGGCUGAGAAAGUGGUUCUGGAGCAAUUUCCUCAGGAGCACCUUCUUGAUUUUCAUCAGUGAUGGGGAUGGUUUCUUCAUCAAUUUCCUCAGUGGGAACAAUGGCUUCAGUAGGUUUGAGCUUUAUUGCUUCCUCAGGAGACAACUUAUCUAGAUCAGAAGGCAAUUGCUCUCUUUGCGAGCCAUUAGUUUCAUCGAACCGCACAUCUAUAGUCUCAACAACUUUGUUGUGAUAGUUGUUGAAGACUCUAUAGGUGUGCGAGUCCUUUCGAUAACCGAGCAUAAAACCCUCAUGUGCUUUAGGUGCAAAUUUUGAGCUAUGGUGAGGAUCUCUAAUCCAACAUUUUGCACCGAAGACUUUGAAAUAACUUACAUUGGGUUUCUUAUCAGUGAGGAGUUCAUAUGAGGUUUUCUUGAGGAAUUUGUGAAGAUAUACCCUCUUGAUGAUAUGGCAUGCAGUGUUGAUUGCUUCAGGCCAAAAGCGACGAGGAGUCUGAUAUUCUUCAAGCAUGGUUCUUGCCAUCUCAACCAGAGUCCUGUUCUUCCUUUCGACGACACCAUUUUGUUGAGGAGUAUAAGGAGCAGCUAAUUCGUGAGUAAUACCAAGUUCAUCAAGACCAGUGUUUUUGAACUCUGUUCCAUUAUCACUCCUAAUAUGUUUGAUCUUGAUGCCGAAGUUCGUUGAGGCCCUUGAAGAAAAUCGUUUGAAGAUUUCCCGCACUUCAGUUUUAUAUAAGAUGAUAUGCACCCAUGUAUAUCUGGAAUAAUCAUCAACUAUGACGAAGCCAUAUAAAGAUGUUGCAUUUGUUAGUGUGGCAUAAUGAGUAGGUCCAAAUAGAUCCAUGUGAAGCAAUUCGAAUGGACGAGUAGUAGUCAUGAUAGUCUUCGAGGGAUGCUUGGAUCUGGUCAUUUUCCCACAUUCACAUGCACCACAGAGAUGAUCCUUGAGGAAUUUGACUAAUUUGAUGCCGAUGACAUGCUUCUUCUUCGCGAGCGUGUGCAAAUUCCUCAUGCCUGCAUGAUCGAGUCUUCGAUGCCACAACCACCCUUCCGAGGUUUUUGCUAGUAAGCAAGUGGCUGGUUGAGGACCUGUAGAGAAAUCGACAAUGUACAAAUCCCCUCUUCUAGCACCUUCGAAGACCUUGAAUUUGUCAGAUUCCAUGAUGACAACACAUCUAUAUCUACCAAAGAUAACAAUCAUAUCAAGAUCAAAAAGCAUCGAGACUGACAUGAGGUUAAAUCCAAGGGAUUCAACAAGCAUUACUUUGUCCAUAUGCCUAUCCUUGGAAAUAGCCACUUUGCCAAGUCCCAAUACCUUGCUUUUACUUUUGUCAGCAUAUGUGAUUUGCUUCAGAGGUGAUGGAGUUAGUGGCAUAUUCAUCAGCAAGCUUGUAUCACCAGUCAUGUGAUGUGUGCAGCCACUAUCAAGAACCCACUCAGUAUUCUUGGGUUUGUCAUCCUGCAGAUGAAUUAGUACAGCUUACCAUCUCAUAUGCUUCAGAUUUGAAGAAUAUGAUAUCAAUUUCAUCAGAUAGAAAUUUCAUCAUAACAAAAUUAUGAGGACGUGUGAAAUAUUUAUUUUUCAUCAAUAUUAGCUUGCGUCCUAUCAAGCAUUUCCUCAGGUCUCCAGCAAAUUCUUCAGAUGAUGAUUUUCAUCUGGAGACCUGUCGUGCAGAAGUGAUUAGUUCAAUUUCUUCACCACCCACAUAUGAAGGGGUGGUAAAGCAUUCAUCAUCCUGCGAUCAUCAUAUGAGAAAGGUGGCAUUGAAGCUAAUGCACUUCUCUUAACAGUAGGGGGGUAAAAGUACUCAUAUGAAUAUGCAGAGAACUGGUUUGAGGAUUUAUGAACAUAAUGAUUUGAAGAGUAACGCUCAUAUUCAUAUUGCUUGUAGUUUCCCUGCAUGUUAGAAGCAUUAGCACGAGUACGAGCAUAGUUUUGACCAGUUGAGGAUUUUGAUCCUCUUGAAGACUUUGGUCCUCCUGAGGAAUUUGAUCUGGGGUUCAGAUUCUUCAUUGGUGGUGUCAUGAGGACAUUCACCUAAAGAUUUUCAAGACAACUUUUGGGAACCCAGAAUUUCCUCAGGGGAGGGUCAUUCCUGCCGUUAGUUCCAACAUAUUGAGCAAAUACUUCACCAGCUUGAUUUUUGAACAGUUUAUAGUUGGAGUCAAAUGACUCAUCUGAGGAAUAGGAUAAUUCACAUGAAAAGCCAGUUAGAUUGGAUGGAUCAAAAGGAGCCCUAGUAGCAGCAACCCAUUAGGUUUUGGGAUACUGCUUAGGUUUCCAAUAAGAUCCAUCAGCAUUCAAUUUCCUCUCAGAGGCAAUUCCUUCUUUCCUCGGUUUCCUGUUCAAGAUCUGCUUUUUGAGCACACCACAAAGGGUUUGAUGUCCUUUGAGACUUUUUUAUAUGCCUGUCACAUACAAUUCCUUCAGCCCUGCAUUUUCAUCAGUGACAUUUGUGUUUUUCUCAAGUGAGGAAUUUGACACUACACGAGCAGUUGAAGAAUUCGUAGCAAUAGAAGCAUUUGAUGAUUCUGGUGAAGAAUUAGCAGUUUCACGUUCAAUGCAUUUAAGACAAGGAGGAAUGAAUUCAGCUUGAGGAGUGCUGAUCAGUUGAGCUAGUAAUGAAUCGUUUUCCAUACGAAGAUCACCAUGAGAAAUCCUCAGGUUCUCUAGAUCAAGUUUCCUUUGAACAAAUUCAUAGGAAAGUUUCUCAUGAUCAGCGAGGAGUGUAUCAUAACGAUCUUGAAGAUUAUCAAAUCUAGACUGAAGACUUUUCACAUCUUCAGUGAGGAUUUGGGUAAGAUUCAUUUCAUCAUUCAACAGAUCAUCACUUUUAUCUAGCAGUUUCUGAAGCUUUUCCAGGGCAGUUUGUUGUUUACUCGCAAUGAUAGCAAGUUUACUGUAACUGGGUUUUUUAAAUCAUCAGGUUCACAGUCACUUGAAUCAGAGGAGGAAGCAUCAUUCGGUAUAUUUGAACCUUUUGACAUGAAGCAAUAGGUUGGAGCGAAGUCAUCAGCAUAGUCAUCAGUGUGGAUGGUGUUAUCAUCUUCUUCAAGGUUGAAGAUUGACUUGGUGACGUAAGUGGUUGCAGGUGCAAGACUAUCCUGUCCGGAUUCUGAGUCUUCAUCAGAACCCUCUUCUUCAUCACAUUCCUCUGAUUCUGCCUCGGAAUCCAUUUCCUUGCCAAUAAGUGCCCGAGCCUUUCUGAAACUAGUCUUCUUGUGCGAUGAGGGCUUUGAAGAUGAGGAUUUUGAAGAUUUCUUCUUCUUCUUCGAGUCAUCAGAACUGUCAUCCUUGUAUUUCUUCUUCUUUGAUUCCUUUCCCCAACGGGGAGAAUCAGCAAUGUAGUGACUUGAUUUCUUGCAUUUGUGGCAGGUUCUUUUCUUGUAGUCCUCAGAUGAAGAUUCUGAUUUCCUCAUAUCUCUUCUUGAAGAUUUACCGAACUGGCCACGUCGUGUAAACCUCUGGAAUUUCCUCACAAGCAUUGCAAGCUCCUGUCCAAAUUCUUCAGGGUCACGAAUGCUAUCAUCCGAGUCUUCUUCAUUAGAUGAGGAAAUUGCUCUAGCCUUCACUACACGUGGUCUAGAAUAGCUUGGUCCAUAUAGAUCUUUCUUUUCUUCUUGCUGGAAUUCAUGAGUAUUGAGUCUUUCGAGUAUAUCAGCUGGAUCAAGCAUCUUGUAGUCUGGUCUUUCUUGAAUCAUCAGGACUAAAGUAUCAAAUGAAGAAUCCAAAGAUCUUAGCAGUUUCUUCACAACUUCGUGAUCAGUAAUGUCUCGAGCUCCCAGUGCUUGCAGUUCAUUUGAUAUGUCACUGAGGCGAUCAAAGGUAUCUUGGCAGCUUUCAUUGUCAAGCCUCUUGAAGCGAUUAAAGAGAUUGCGAAGAACAUCAACACGAGAAUCACGCUGGGUUGAUACUCCUUCAUUUACUUUGCACAGUCUCUCCCAGAUAAGUGUCGCUAAGCCCAAAGCACUCACUCUUCCAAACUGGCCUGGGCUCAGAUGGCCACAGAUGAUAUUCUUCGCUUGAGAAUCAAGUUGCUUCAAUUUCUUCACAUCAGCAGCAGAGACACUAGCAGACAUGAUGGGGACGCCAUGUUCCACAAUAUACCAGAGAUCAUUGUCAAUAGCUUGUAGAUGCAUCUGCAUCUUGGUCUUCCAGAAGGGAAAGUUCUUUCCUUCGAAAGUAGGACAUGCUGCAGUAACCUUAAUCAUGCCUGCAGUCGACUUAACUAAAACUCCAGGUGGUUAAACCAAAAUCACACAGAACAAGGGAGUACCUUGCUCUGAUACCAAUUGAAAGUGCGUUAUAUCGACUAGAGGGGGUGAAUAGGAGAUUUUUAGAAUUUCAUCACUGAGGAAAUUCCUUUUGAGGAAAUUCCUCACUGAUGACUAACUUACAACGGAAACAGUAAAGGAUCAGGAGUGCAAAGUUUCACUACAAUAGUUUUUCAGUAUGAAGAAUGCAAAAAACAGAUUGCACAGUAAGCAGGGCACGCAGAAAACUUAGAUGAGGAUUAACUUGCGUGAAGAAUUUGGGGGUUNAGGGAAUUUCAGAGAAAGUCUUCAGCAAAUUCUUCAAACAGUGACAGUNNNNNNNNNNNNNNNNNNNNNNNNNNNNNNNNNNNNNNNNNNNNNNNNNNNNNNNNNNNNNNNNNNNNNNNNNNNNNNNNNNNNNNNNNNNNNNNNNNNNGUAGGCGUAUAUUUUUAUUUCUACCACACUGUUAUGUGUUUUUUGGUCUUGGUAGGCGUCCUUGUAUCGUAGGAGGCUUUUACUUUUUGUUGUGUCACAAUCAUCCUUUAUGGACACCUAGAGAGAGAGAGACAUGCACUCACCGUGAUUUUGUCGAGCUUCACUUAUAUCUUUUGGUAGACAAUUCAGCUCACAUGUGCUUCACUUAUAUCUUUUUGAGCUAGAUACUUUUGCUCUAUGUGCUUCACUUAUAUCUUUUCGAGCACAGUGAUGCAUGGCUUGGUAGUUGAUCUAUGCUUUGAAAGUAGUCUCAAAAGGGGUAGUUAUCCAAAGGGAUACGAAAACUUCCACCUUCAUGUGCAUUGAAUAGUUAGAGAAGUUUGAUUCAUCUCAAUUAGUUUUGAGUUGUGGUUAUGGUAAUAUUAAAGACAUGCUAGUAAGCUGUUGUGGAUCUAGAAAUACUUGUGUUGAAGUUAGCGAUUCCCGUAGCAUGAACGUAUGGUGAACCGCUAUGUGAUGAAAUCUGAGCAUGAUUAGUCUAUUGAUUGUCAUCCUUUGCGUGGCGUUCGGGAUCGCGCGAUGGUUUAUACCUACCAACCCUUCCCCUAUGAGUAUGCAUUGAAUGCUUUGUUUCGAUUACUAAUAAAAUUUUUGCAACAAGUAUAUGAGUUCUUCAUGACUAAUGUUGAGUCCAUGGUUUAGAUGCACUUUCACCUUCCACCAUCACUAUCUUCUUAGUGUCGUGCAACUUUCGCCGGUGCACAAAACCCACCAUUAGCCUCCCUCAAAACAACCACCAUACCUACCUACUAUGGCUUUUUCAAAGUCAUUCCGAGAUAUAUUGCCAUGCAACUACCACCAUGACAUGUGCCACCACGUCUACACUGCCAUUGCAUGAUCGUAAGAUAGCUAGCAUGAUGUUUCCAUUGAUAUCUAUGCCAUGCUAGAUCAUUGCCACGGUACACUACCGAAGGCAUUCCAUAUAGAGUCAUCGUUACUCUAAUUUUUGAGUUGAAAGUGUGAUGAUCAUCAUUAAUGGAGCAUUGUCCCAUGUGAGGAAAUAAAAGAGGCCAAAUAAGCCCAMCMAAAAAAAGAGGCCAAACGAUCCCAMCMAAAUAAAAAAAUGAAGAGAAUAAGAAGAGAAGGGACAAUGCUACCUACUUUUCCACUACUUGUGCAUAUUAAGCACCAUGAUCUUCAUGAUUGNGAGUCUCUCGUUUUGCCACCACCNUAUAGCUUAGGUGGUAAAUUUUCAUUAUAUACUUGGCUUUAGUAUUAUUCCUAUGNNNNNNNNNNNNNNNNNNNNNNNNNNNNNNNNNNNNNNNNNNNNNNNNNNNNNNNNNNNNNNNNNNNNNNNNNNNNNNNNNNNNNNNNNNNNNNNNNNNNGAAAACACCUUCACCAAAAGCUUCAAAGGUGAAGAAGAUGACUCUGUCUGCAUGAGACGUGAAAAAAGACAAGUGCCGCUGAAAAGGAAGCGAAGAAGAGAAAAGCUUCAUCAGUAGAAGAACACAUUGAGGCCAAGCGCCUCAAAGCACUUGAAGAAAAUGCUCCACUGGAUCCUGUGCCUCUCAACAUCGCUCCAUCUUAUGAAAUGGUCACCUUCGAAGACCAGGAGAAAAGGCCAGAUGAGGAAACGAAGGAAGCCGAAUCUGAGGAACACACUGACGAAGAAAUUCGCAUUGACGAAAGUCCUCAGCCUUCUAUUCCUCAUGAAGAAACUUCACAAGGAUCAACUACACCAGUUGAUGAAUCUGGAUCUGUCACCAAGCAAGCUGAGGAAGAACAAACUGAAAAUCCUCAAGCUGAUGAAAGUCAUAGUCCUGAGAAAAAUCCUCAACCUCAAGAUCAGGCUGACCCAACUCCUCCUCCUGAGCACGAUCCUCAAGUUGAGGCUCAGGAUGAACCUAUUCCUCCUCCAGAGCAAAACCUUCAACACGAUGCUCCAGUUGACGACAUUCCUCAGCCUGAAGCUCAACCAGACCCCAUUCCUCAGCCUAAAGCGCAACAAGAGCAUGCUCCUCAGCCUGAAACUCAAGCUGAUGAAAUUCCUCACCCUGAGGACCAUGCUGAGGAAAAUGCACCAGACCAAGACAAUGCUUUCGUCGUGCUCAACCCAGAGUCUGCAAUUCUUGUAUCGCCUCAAGUCCAACAGCAAAAAUCUUCAGCAAAUGCAGCGUCAGCCGUUCUCCAAGCGACUGAAGUUUCAAAAGGAGUCCUUCUUUGAAGAACGCAUGUUCUUCAUCGAAGAAAAUCCCUAUGACAAGCCUCAAAUCAGGCAUCUGAAGUUUUGGACGAGGACACAACUCAAUUACUAUGCCUCUGUGCUGUGUGGACGAAACAAGAUUUUCCAGCACAGGCAUAUUCCUCAUGUUGAGCUUGAAGCAAUACCAUGCCUGGCUUCAGUCCUCAACGUCCUUCAUGAAGCUGGAAUUUUCCCAAUGUGCUCAGAUAUCUGUGAUUUGGGACAAUGAGCUCAUUCHUUCAAUUUUAUGCCACUCUUCACAUAUCUGGGGAUCCAGCAGAUAUCAACACCUGGGUGUUUGACUGGAUGACACAAACAACACACACAAGGCUCCUGCCAUUGAGCUCCUGCGUGAACUGCUAGUGUCAAUUCCCUCAGAGCAAGCUGUGAAGCUUUAUGAUGAGCGUGAGCUGCCCAACGGGAUGAUGGAAGUCCUCAUGAAGCCUUUGGCUAAAGGGCAACCACCGAGAAAAACCUUCCUCAUCCAUGAGCUCAAAUAUGAACCAAGGACUGUUUACAGAAUCCUCUCCAGCGUUCUUGCGCCGAUCAAGGGCCACGAUGAUGAAGAAGAUGUCGUAGGCCUCAUGAAGAAUAUCCUCCUUCAAAAUCAUUCGUGGUAUUCCUAUCAACAUACAUGGUUUCUUCUUGAGGACUUUGGCCGACAAUGCAAUGUGUCCUUUUGACUACAAGAUAUAUGCUCCAUGGAUCAUGAGAUUAAUCAGGACAAGGACAGGCAUCAACUUUCACGCUGAUUGCAACAACCAUGUUGGUUAUAUGCCUCCUAUCAGGGUCAACAAGAAGACCUUCGAGCCUGUUGAAGGAAAAGGAAAGUCUGUCAUUGAUGAAGGCCGUAGGCCCCUUGAUGGCCAGUUCAGAGAGCCCGAAGCAUAUUCUUCAUGGGAUGAUACAGAGACUCAUCCUCCAAGCCCUGUUGCUCCUCGUGUGUUGAAUACCGGAGAGCUUCUUCUCAGUCUUCACCAGAAGGCAGAUCGGAAUCACAAGUGGGUCAAACGCCAGUUCGGUGCCAUUGUCGAAAAACCCCUUCGAAACCGGUAAAACGGCCAAGGUAAGUUUAGGUUAGGUUAGGAAACGGUAAACUUUAAAACCCCUAAANNNNNNNNNNNNNNNNNNNNNNNNNNNNNNNNNNNNNNNNNNNNNNNNNNNNNNNNNNNNNNNNNNNNNNNNNNNNNNNNNNNNNNNNNNNNNNNNNNNNUCCGCCUAUUGAUGGUGGUCUCCACGUGAAGGUGGGCUAAAUGGCAGGGCAUGUUGAACCCUAUGGGGAGUUAAUUGAAAGGACAGUUAGGGGUUUUAAGAGUUGAAGGAAGUAUCUCCAAAGUGGUGUGCAGUGGAAAAGUCUUUGCUCACAUUACUUCAUGUUUGGUAUCCUUGUGGAUGUGGACUAGAAUAGUAUUUUUAAAAGUUUCUAUGAGAACAUCCGUGUGAAAGUUGCUUGCAGAGACCCCACUAAAAUUCCUUUUGAGAGGCUAGUGGAAAUGAAGAAAAAAUUAUACCUGCUAUUCUUCACUGUUGAGGGUUUUGAUCAGAUUGGUGAUGAAGGAGAUGAUGAUGGUGAUGACCCUGAAGAGGAUGAUUUGGACAAGGACAAAAAUGAGGAGGAGGAUUUUGAGGGGAAUCUUGACUUGACUGAUAAGGACAAUUUGGAAGAUGAUGCUAACCCAAUAGAUGAGUUGGCCAAGGCCAAUUUCACCAAGAACAAUACUUCUGCCUCAACGUCUAGCAGCAAAUAAAAAGGCAUUGUUUCUGCAGCUAAAUUCCACCUGCAAUUUAUGUCGAACGAUGCCCAUGAUGCUUUCGUUGACGAGAUCAAAACCCGUGGACUUAUUACAAGUGGCUCUUGUGGUAAAAAUGACGAAGACUUGAAUUUUCCUAUGAGGAUGUUUCCCUCACCCCCGUUGGAUGGGGAUCCCAUGUCUGCCCAUAUGGUGUACUGCUCUGAACAACUAAAAAACUUUGACUUGGCUGGAUCUGAUGAAGAGAUUGUGGACAAUUUACUAGAGAUGCAAUGCCUGCCUGAUGAGAUGGUGAAAGCUUUUGGCUCCAUUGAGAGAUCUUUGCUUGAUACCUUGGAAAAGCUGAGUCAGAAAAGAAAGGGAAGUUUCAAGAGGGGUCUACAAAAUGGGGUCCGGUGCUGUCCAUCAGGCCAAACACAAGGGGGCACGGGGAUGUCAACAUUAUGGAUAAAGCCAAAGCGUAUCAGAAGAAGAAAAACCUAGAGAUUCCCAAGUCGUUCAAAGGUAAUUCUUUUUUUCUGUCUUGAUAAUCAUAUUCUUGCGGACCAAGCUAGGAAAAUAGAUAUCCACAUUGGUAAUGAUGAACCUGAACAAAAUGCUAUCAUUGAUGACAUGAUUGAUGAUGAGAAAUUAAGAUGCCUUCAAUUUGCUCAUAUUAACCCCGAGAUUAUUCUCCCUGAUAGUUUAGAUAUGAAUAGUCAGAACCAAUGCUCGCCUCGUGACACUAUUCCAAGUUCUAGAACAAUGGGCACUAUUGUUUUAGUAUUGGAUAGUCCAACCCUUCUUACAAAAAGUAAGCCUUGUGGCUUAUCUCAUCCUUACAAAAUUCCAUGAUAGGAGCUUUCUGAAAUAUUAGGGGUUUAGGCAACAAGGGAAGUUACACUGCCUAUGGGACUUUAUUAGUAGUCACAAAAUUGAUUUUGUGGGUUUGUUUGAAACUAAAAGAGAGAAUAUUGAUAACCACAUUUUGAAACCCAUUGCUAAUGGGAUUGACUUUUGCUGGCAUAUUCUUCCUGCCGUUAACACUGCUAGUGGCAUCCUCGUGGGACUUAGAAAUGAUGUUUUUGAAAUCAUUGGCUUUAUUAAUAUAUUUUUUUGCAUGAUAGUUAGUGUUAAGAAUAAAGACGAUGGUUUCUUAUGGCAUUUUAUCGCGAUAUAUGGUACUGCAUACAAUGAGCACAAAGUUGAAUUCAUUGGUGAGUUGCAUGAUGUCAUGCAUGAGGUGUCCUAUCCCGUACUCCUUGGUGGAGACUUUAACCUAGUUAGGUUUGUUACUGACAAAAACAAUGGGUUGAUUAAUAACCAAUUCUCUUAUUUGUUCAAUGUUUGGAUCAAUAAAUGGGGCCUCAUGGAAAUUAAAAUCGCUAAUAGGAGCUAUACUUGGAGUAACAACCAAGAUGAUCCUAUUUUUGCGAUGACUGACCGUGUGUUUGUAUCCACAUCCUAGGAUGCUCACUUCCCUUUAUCUGUCCUUUCUGCUCUCCCACGUGUUUGGAGCGAUCAUACCCCUCUCCUUUCAGAUACUAAAGCUAAGAGGGUUACCUCCCCUAAACCGUUUCGAUUUGAGAAAUGGUGGUUGGACCAAUCUGACUUCAAAGAUUUAGUUCACAGAACAUGGACAAAUACCCCCUGUCCGGAUGUGGCAAUUGAUAGGUGGUUGAACAAAACUAGAAUUUUGCAGAAGAAGAUUAAGGGUUGGAGCAUCAAUUUAGAGGCUGCUUUGAAGAAAAAGAAAAAAAUCUUCUCCAAGAAUUUGACAUCCUUGAUGUCUUCUCGGAGUCUAAUAGUUUAGAUGACGCUGAUAGGAAUCAGAUGGAGAAGAUUAAGAAAGAAUUAGAUGAGAUUUGGAAAAAAAAUAAGAAACUGCCUUAUGGCAGCGAUCGAGAGAUAGGAGUAUCAAAGAUGGUGACNNNNNNNNNNNNNNNNNNNNNNNNNNNNNNNNNNNNNNNNNNNNNNNNNNNNNNNNNNNNNNNNNNNNNNNNNNNNNNNNNNNNNNNNNNNNNNNNNNNNGCCAACAAGCCCCCACUCCGCCACCAGGGGGAGGCGGCGGUGGGCAGGCUUGUGGCCUCCCUUGUCGCCCCCUAACCUAGAUCUUUGGCCUAUAAAUUCCCAAAUAUUCCGCAAAAAAUCAGGGGAGCCUCGAAAAUACUUUUCCGCCGCCGAAAGCUUUCGUUUCCGCGAGAUCUCAUCUGGAGACCCUUCCCGGCACCCUGCCGGAGGGGACUUUGGAGUUGGAGGGCUUUUUCCUCAUCGUCAUCGCCCCUACAAUGACUCGUGAGUAGUUCACUUCAGAUCUACGGGUCCGUAGUUAGUAUCUAGAUGGCUUCUUCUCUCUCUUGGAUCUUCAAUACAAAGUUCUCCAUGAUCUUCAUGGAUAUCUAUCCGAUGUAAUCUUCUUUGGCGGUGUGUUUGUCGAGAUCCGAUGAAUUGUGGAUUUGUGAUCAAAUUAUCUAUGAUAUAUAUUUGAGUCUUUGCUGAUUUCUUAUAUGCAUGAUUUGAUAUCCUUGUAAGUCUCUCCGAGUCUUGGGUUUUGUUUGGCCAACUAGAUCUAUGAUUCUUGCAAUGGGAGAAGUGCUUGGUUUUGGGUUUUGCCAUGUGGUGACCUUUCCCAGUGACACUAGGGGCAGCAAGGCACACAGGGGAUAGGUUACARUCAAGGGUAAAARNNNNNNNNNNNNNNNNNNNNNNNNNNNNNNNNNNNNNNNNNNNNNNNNNNNNNNNNNNNNNNNNNNNNNNNNNNNNNNNNNNNNNNNNNNNNNNNNNNNNUCUUACGUCAGCAUNUUCCAAAGCUAAGCUGCAUUGGUCAGGUACGUGGGAAAWUAAGUACAGGACUUGAAACCGACGUUUUUGGUUAACAAACUGGGAGAAAAUAAGAUUAUGUAUUGCGAUUUGAAAGGGCAUGAAUAAUUUACAAAACAAAGCUACACUUGUAUAAGCUGAAGCCCGAAAGGCUUACAGUGAAGUGCAUGAAUUCUACAGGAUGUUGAUAGCUCAAUUUAGAGAAACGGAAGCUCAUGUGCAAAUGUUGGGUCAAACCAUCAAAGGCCCGGCGUAAGCUGGCCGAAUUUGGGACUUACAAUCAGCCCACUCACUACAUGCUUUCAUCGAUUUUUACUCCUCACCCUGCAAAUCAGCCAGCGACUACCCUGCCCGAAUAGCUUCAUGCUCCAAAUUUUAUCUACCAGUGGCCUUUGAUCCAUAAACUGUCCUUUUCAGGGCAUGAAAGGUUCGUAACAUAACUCCUAGUAUUAAAAGCUAUUCCUUACCUCACCCAGUUCAUCAAUAUUGAUGUUCAAGAACUACUCCCUCCGUCCCAGUGUCUGAAGCUUAGUACAACUUAGCUCUAGUACAAAGUUGAGACAGUUAUUUUGGGACGGAGGGAGUAUAAUUUAAUUUAUGGUCCUUUCAGGAAAUGGACUUCCUUAUAAAAAACUUCCUAACAUAACUUCUAGUGUAAGAGUUGUUUCUCUCACCCAGUUCAUCAAUAUUGAUGUUCAUGAACUAUAAUUGCAAGUAAAAAAUCAUGCAUAGUGGCAGGAAGGACACAUAGUAAUAUCUGAUGUCAGGAAGUAGUAUAAUUUUGCAACUAAUAACAGGAACUACCUCAUUAUUGAUCACUUUCCAGAAACACAAUGCCAGGUGCAGCAAGCUCACCAUUUAACAUGCCCAUAAGGCAGCUCCAACCUGGUGUCCAUCUGCUCGUCAGGCUGGUUUGCAAGGAUAACGAAAUCGUCCUCCAAGUCCAUCUGGUCUUCCUCCUCGGGCUGAUUUGCAAUGAUAACAAAAUCGUCCUCCAGCUCUGAAUCCUCAUCCUCAUACUCCAAGCUCCCGGUUGGUACCUUGCUCUGCUCACCCUCAUCAUCCGAGGUCCCAUCAUCUUCAUCCUCCGAGGUCCCAUCAUCUUCAUCCUCCGAGGUCCCAUCAUCUUCAUCCUCCGAGGUCCCAUCAUCUUCAUUCUCCAAGGCCACAAGUGGCACCACCACGCUCUCCCCCUCGUAAUCAUCGAUGGGCACCGGUGGCACCUCCCUCUCCUCAAGCAGGUCGGUGACAUCCGGGUCGAUAGCCUCCUCGACUGGGAUCAGCUCUCCCGUUGCGGCGGCAUUGUCCAGACCAACCUCAACACCACGCGCGUCGUAAGCCUACAGAGAACAGCACCGGGAUCAGACACCUGGAAGGCUAGAAGGGAUGAAAUUACGCGGCAGGGUCUAGUGAACAAACAGAUCGGACCUUGACGCUCAACGGGAGGCCGCAGCGCGCGGCGCGGCGGGUGGGGAGGAACACGGUGGACGAGCCCCCCGCCGCCGGUGGAGGAGUAGGAAGGGCGGAUCUCGCGGAUGUGGUCGAGGUAGUUGUAGCCGUCGUCGGGGAGGCCGAGCUCGAGGAUCGCGCGGCGGACGUGGUCGGGGAGGGCGGCCCCGGAGGGCGAGGACGAGGGCUCGGCGCCGUCGUCGUCCGCGGAGGGGAUGGCGCCCUCGAAGUAGGAGCAGUCAUCGUCGUCGUCGUCGAGGCCGGGGACGUGGUACUGGUUGCCGUCGACGCGGACGAGGACGCGGUCCGAGGGGUCGGCGGCGCCGGGGCGCGGGCAGAGGCGGAACGUGGCGGAGUUGCGCGGCUUGCGGUUGCGGCCUCCUCGACCACGGCCCAUGGCGACGGUGGCGGUGGCGGAUGGGGCGGGGGAGGCUGUGGCGUGCGGUGAGGUUUCCGAUCUGUGUGGAGUUUAUUUUUUUCCGGGAUCCUACUUCCUUCCCUUUUUUAUUAGGGCUGGGAAAUGGAUGAUGCGUGAGGGGUACUACAAAGAGCGCGAGAUAAGGGAAUAUUCUCCCGAGAUCUAUCCAUUUUUCUUUUUUGAAGGGGAUCUAUCCAUUUUUCUUAAGAGAGAGAGAGAAACUCCCGAG